rnacentral:lncRNA from 1 species
UGCAAUCAGGUGGAUCCAGGAAAGUUCAACAAAGUUCUGGUGUGGCGUAGUGAAAUUGGUUUGUGCAACUCAAGAGUCUUUCAGGUGAAUGAUGAUGGGUUUUGAUUUGUAAAUGAUAUAAAUCUACUGUGAAUAGUAUUCUAGUAGAAUCAUCUAUAAGUUCUAGUUAUUGAAAUUGUCUACUUUGUCCAGUUUGAGUUAAGGGCAAAUGUAAUAUGAAAAAUAGUUGUCGCAUCUUUUAGGUUACCUAACAUUUGAUCAAUCCUAUUAUGAGGGCUUCAAGAUGUCUAACAAUAUGUAGAAUGCCCAUGCUCCUACCAUUGUUUAUCUUAUACAAUAAUUUGUUAUAGAUGCUAAUAUCUUUGUCGAUACUGGUAUCAAUAUUACAAUAUCUGCAUUUAUUGGGUAUUACAUAGGUUCGACUGUUUGACAGUACACACUAUCUGAAGGCAUUUGGAAUUGGAGAUGUAUGGGUUGCUGUUGGGUGGAGUAGUGAUGUUCUUCCUGCUGUCAAACGUAUGUCUAAUGUUGCAGUUGUUGUUCCCAAGUCUGGUGCUAGCUUAUGGGCCGAUCUUUGGGUACACCCAUGCCUGCCAUUCUACUUCGAUAUUCACAUUGUUAUCUCCUUCAUAUUAGUGAUCAGUAAACGCGAUAAUGUGACUAAUAAGUUCGUAUUCUCUUUAUAGGCAAUCCCUGCUGCCUCAAGACUUGAAACAAAACAAAUUGGAGGGCGGGUCAGAGGUCCAUCUCCAUUAAUCCAUCAAUGGAUAGAAUUCUGCUUGCAAACAGCGAGAGCAUUGCCUUUCAAGCAAGAGGUCAUCCCGGGCGCAUCUCCCUCUGCCCUUGAAACUACUCUGGUUAAGUUGCCUGAAGAACUGCUGAAGGGUAAACCAAGUCUGGAUACUAACUUAAUUGUUGGAGUACCCCCGGCUGAAAUUCUGGCCAGAUGUGAGUUUUUGGAGCCAUUAUCUGAAGCUACUUUGUCAGAUUAUGAGUGGCUGGUUGCUAAUCUGCAAAAUCCUGCUCCUGUCUUCAUGAAAAGGGUGCAACAUUACUUGUCAUCAUUAAUCCAAAGCUUUCUAGCAAAAGCUACAUUGAAAAGUUAAUGGCACUGCAUGCCAGUGAUUAUAAUGCUGACAGGGCAAUUGGGUCAGGGCAAUUAGGUCAGAGCAUAACUUCAUUAGGAAACGAGGCUUCAGCUACGUUAAAUAUUACAGGAUGUACUGAGAUGGCUCAAGUUCUUGAGGUUUUACGAGAAACGAAAGAUGAGUGUUUCUUUGAACAAAGUUGUUGCCAAUCUUGUAGAGUUCGAGAAGAAAGAUCACGGAGCGAGUGCCGCCGAUUUCUUCAUUAUUGUAGCCUCCAUAGUUGAAGUUUCCUCAUUUGAAGCUGUUUAUGCAUAAGCUUUUUCCCUGCUCAAGUACAGGAAACUGAAGAAUUAACCGGACAUGAUAUGCUGAAAGAGGGAAGUUUUCUUCCUUGAAUGUGGCCUUGUUAUUUGUAGUGAAGUAAUAGGAUGAUCACUGGCAAGAACCCUAUCAAGGUAGAUUUUAUGAUGUCAACAUAUUAUUAAGCAUUUGUCACUUUAGCACUAUCGCAAUGAUACAUUCAUAGCAUGAAAUUAAUUAUAUGAUCCUGAUUAGUCAAUUAAUCUUCAUGAGAUUUAACCUAGUUAAAACUAAGUACAAUCAUCGUUAACAAAUACUGAAAUUGGGUAAAUAUGAUCUCGACAUUGAAGAAUUUGAAAACACAACCCACAGAGGAAAUUACCUAUUGCAUGGGGAUGGAGAUGGUUACUGCAGGGAUAUAGAAUAUGCGCAAGGUGUUGUCCACUGCUCUUUGGGUUAUGGUGUGACUUGCGAUUUCAAGGUUGCCCUGAAACAAUGGAAAAGAUUAACAUAUCCUCCAAUGAAUGAAAACAGCUUGACUAAUUCUAAUUACCGAAUUGACUCCGGAUCAGGUGGCAAGAAUAACAGGUCAUUAACAUUGCACAGUCCGAGUACUUUUCCAGGAUAAGAUACAACGUGGUCUAAUGUUGAUAAUAAUAGUUUAUUAAAUGACAAAUCAUUGUUCUUGGGUGUUGGUUAUAUACGUCAUUGCUACUUCAAGUAGAAGAUGAAGGUUGUGCGGGUGAUCUCAGAAAUAAAAUAUAUUUCUGAAAGAUGAUGGUCCACUAUUGCAUGCCCCCCAGAUUUAAGCAUCUUUUGAUUGGGGCAUUUGGCAACGAUUCUGAAAAAUUCUAGAUUCAACCUCCUCCGCGACGGGAUUCGAACUGAGUUAUCAAUUAUCUUAGCAGUUCUAUUAACUAAAAUUAGUAAAUAUAAUACAAGAAAAAGAACAACAAAUACACGUAAAUUUUUUUUUAAAAAAAAUUAAUAAUCACACUCUAAAUUUACCACUCAACUCUAAAUAAUAACCAUACUCUGAAAGAAUUUACAACUUUUGACGGGAGUAGCUAUGACGAAAAUCCUUUUCUCAGUGGAUGGCCAUUGCCCAACAGUUGCAAUGAAAAUGGACCACCUGCAACUGUGCCUGAAGAUUCAACUAGGUCUGAAAAAGAUGAUAAUUUAAUUGAUAUGGACAGUAAUUGUGAUGUCGGAAAGCAUUAGUAUUCUAUAUGUGAACCAUUAUUGGCGACUUCGAUGGUUUUAUCUUGUUAAAAUGUGGAUGACUUCUAGUUACUAUUUUAUUAUAAACAAUCUUAUUCAAUUAACAUACAGUUUAAAACCAUUAUGUAAAUCAAUCUAUUAAUUUUCAUGAUAUUUAACUGAGUUAAAACUAAGUGUACUCAAUAAAUCUCUUUUCCUUUAAAAAACUGCUACGCUUUGAUUUUAGUGCUUACUAUUAAUUGAACUCUGAUACAGGGAAUUUGAAAUCAAACUCGUAACUACAGAUUAUCUAAUUGCGAGUUGCUGUCCAUAGCCGCUGAUCUGUAGUGAUUAUCUAAUUGACUGAGGUGACAUCAAUUUUUUUUUGUAAAUUUUCAAUAGCACAAUAUGGAAUUCAAUAAUUAAAUUCUCCUGUUUAAUUUGUUUCAAGUUAAAUUAUUCAUUACUUAAACUCUGUUUUAAGUCUUUACUUUUAUGUGUUAAUGCAGAAUUGGAUUCUUGAGCACGUUGGACAUGACUAACUAGGCUUGGCAAAAUCCGGGUCCGGUCCAGGUUUUGGUGUUGCCCGGGACCGGACCGGAUGAGAGAAAUGCAAGCCCGGACCCGGGUCAAAACCCGAUUUUUCCGAGUGCGGUCUGGGCUUGAGCCCGGCACCUUCUGGGUCUGGGUUUUGAUCCGGGCUUUUUAAACCCGCAUGCGAUAAAUUCAAUUUUUUUCUUCAAUUUUUUUUUUCAUUUCUCUAACAAUGCAAAUUUUAAAAAAGAAAAUAAUCAAAUAAACUCAUUCAAUCUCAAACUUUAAAAAAGAAAAUAGUCAAAUACAAAUAUAUAACACAUUAACAAUGCAAAAUUUGCACAAAUGAUAAAUAAAAAUUAUUUCAAUCUACUUUCUAAUACCUAAAUUCAUCCAAUUUCUAACUUAAACUCAUUCAAUCGAUAUAUAAAAUAAAUAAAUUAAAUUCAACAACACAAUAAUUAGGGAUGGCAAUGGGGAGGGGAGGGGAGGGGACCAAGGGGAGGGGACCAAUCUCCCCAUACCCAUCCCCGAUAUUUUGUGUAUGUCCCCGUCUCCUCCCCGUCCCCGUCAGAAUUGCUUGAGAGAAUCUCCAUCCCCUCCCCGAAUAAUAACAGGGGAUCCCCGAGGGUCCCCGGUCCCCGAAUAAUUAAUAGUCUAAUAUAUUUUUUUUAUUUUCGAUUUUAAAUUAAUCAUAUUAAAAUAAAAAAUUCAGAUAAAAAUAAAGUUUAAAAUAUAUCUUACAUUAAUAUUGAUCCAUUACAAAAUCACAUUCAAAAUAUAAAUUAUUAAAAUAAUUAUCUUUAUCAAUGUCUCAAUCUUCAUAAUCCUACAAUAAAAAGAAAAAAAAUUAUUUUUUAUAUCAGCAAUAAAAUAAAUGAAAUAAAUGUAGAUACUUAAUUAAUAUUUUUAAUAAAACUAUUUACCUCCUGGUCGUCCUGUUCUUCCUCGAGAAAUGUGGCAAAUUGAGAGAUAGCCUCAGAUUUCAAACCUAAAACAAUGAAAAUGAUAUUAGUAACGUAACUUAUAAGUGCAAAUAUUAAUAACUGUAUAAUAUAAUUACAAUGUAAAAUAAACUCAUACUGCUAUUGUAAGCUCGUAACCAACUUUAACAGCACAUUAAGGCCUCCAAUGUGCUUGGAUGAAGUUUGUUACGGUGUGGGCUCACAACUCUACCACCGGUGCUAAAAGCUGAUUCAGAAGCAACUAUUGUAAUUGGAAUUGCCAAAAUAUCUCUAGCAAUUCGAGCUAAUGUAGGAUACCUAUUAGCAUUUGUCUUCCACCAACUCAAAAUAUUAAAAUCUUCCAUCCGGGGUAUAACUUUUUCAUCCAAAUAUGAAUCUAAUUCAUCUGCAACAACUGCACAAUCUCCAUUGUUUACAUAAUCAUCAAAACUUGUCAUCCAUUUGGUUGCUUUCUUAUAAGAAUCCCCUGUAGAUCUAAUAGAAGAACUACUACCAGUAUAAUCAAAGCAAUAAACAGUUGGUGAAAACUUCAAUUGAUACUCUUUCACUAAUUCCCGGCAAAGGGUGACCACUUUCCCAACAUACAACUCUUUAACACCACCAUAAACUAUAGAAAAGUAAUAUUCAAUGAACUUCUUUUUAUACCUUGGAUCAAAGAUACAUGCCACACCCAAAAUUCCACUCAUAUCUUGCCAAUAUUUAUAAUUUUGUUAUUUAUUUAUUAGUAAUUUUAAAAAUAAAAAUAAAAUUAAAAAUUAAAAUGGGGAAAUGGGUAGGGGAUGGGGAUUCCACCUCAUCCCCGUCCCCUCCCCGAAUAAAAAAUUGGGUAAAAAAUUUUCCCCGUCCCCUCCCCGAAUAAAAAAUUGGGUAUAAAAUUAUCCCCGUACCCUCCCCGAAUGGGGAAAAUCCCCAAGGGUACCCGUCCCCGUGGGGAUUUUUGCCAUCCCUAACAAUAAUCACACAAUAAAUUUAAAUAACAUCCAACAUAUCAUAAAUUCAUAAUUAUAUAUUUAUAUAUAAUAUAUUAUUUUUUUAAAUUUAUUAAAAAACCGGGUCCGGUCCGGGUUCCGGCUUUUUUGUGUUGAACCCGGACCCGGGCCCGGAAAUGUCCAGAUUUGAGAAUUUCAAACCCGGGUCCGGAUUUUAUAUGCAUGCGGUCCGGGUUUUGCCCGGACCGGUUUGGCCGAGUCCAGGCCUGGUCCGGUCCGGGCGGGCUUUUUUGACACCCCUACAACUAACAAUGAAAUUGAUAGUAAACAAACAUUACAACGCGUGGACUCCGGUAGCUGCCCUACAAAUCCAACAAUGAAAUUGGGUUCUCGGGACCCUCCAAUGAAUUUCUAGCCCCGUUGACUCCACCGACUAAAGUUCUGUAAAAUAAAAAAAAAAGUACGAUGAAUUCCACCAAAUGCAAAACGCGUGGAAUUUAAUUUUUGGCCGUGUGGACCAAAAUUUAAUUUAACGAAAAAGGAAAAAAAUGGUAAAGAUUUUUAGAAUGUGUGGAAAGUGAUCCAUAUUUUACCGAAACAACUUGUUUCGAACAUCAAUAUGAUUGAUAUUUUUUUUGAAUACUAUCAACUUUCAUAUCUUUCUAUCCCCAGAACAUACUCACAUUCAAGUCUAUCUGCGAAUUUGAAAAAGAAAAUCAAAUCAAAUCAACACCAAAGCAAUGAAAAGUAAAGCUUUUGAAUUUUAACUUCAGCUAGCAAACGUAUUCAGCGUUUUCAAAUUCUUCCCAUUGCAUAUCUUCUUCCUCCAUCAAUGCAAUAUUAAGUAUUUUUUCUUCAUUAUAUUAUUUUCUGCGCAUUUCUUCUUCCUCCAUCAAUGCAAUAUUUGAACAAUUAAGAAAGAGUUUAAGAACAUAAAAAAUCUCCUAGGUUUAUACGGUACAACAAAUUUAAAUUCUCAAUUAUAAUAGAUAAUAAUUAAACUAAUAAUUUUUUAUUUUCUUAUUUUGGUCAUGUCACCUAAGAAUAAUAUUGUCAUUAGAAAAAAUCUAAUAAGUGGGAUGGUUUUAUACAAAAUCAACUACAUACAGUAAUAAGUGAGUACGCGCCCCUUCAAUGAAUUUCUAGCCCCAUUGACUCCACCGACUACGGCUAAAGGUCUGUAAAACAAGUAAAUAUAAUUUCUACAAAUGCAAAACUUGUCGAAUUUAACUUUUGACCAUGAAAAGAACAAAACAAAAAAGAGGUAAAAUUUCCAAAACGUGUGAAAGGUGACUCAUGAUUUAUUAAAACGACUUGUCUCAAAUAUCAAGAAGAUUAAUCUUGUUUUAAUUUUUUUUAAAUAAUAUCAACCCCCAUAUUUUUCCACUCGCAGAACAUGUUCACAUUCAAGUCUAACUUGCUAAUUUGGAAAAGGAAAUCAAAUCAAAUCAAUACCAAAGCAAUGAAAAGUAAAACUUUUGGAUUCUAACUCCAGCUAGCAAACGUUGGAAUUCAAUAAUUAAAUUCUCCUGUUUAAUUUGUUUUAAGUUAAAUUACUAAUUACUUAAACUCUGUUUUAAGUCUUUAAUUUUAUGUGUUGGCGUGUACGCAGAAUUGGAUUCUUGAGUGACUUGGACAUGACCCCAAUGAAAUUGAUGGUAAACAAACAUUAAAACGUGUGGACUCCGGUAGCUGCCCUGCAACUCUACAAUAAUAAUUGAGUACACACCUUUGAUUCUCGGGACCCCUUCAAUGAAUUUCCAGCACCGUUGACUCCACUGGCUAAGGCUAAAAUUUUGUAAUACAAAACUUGUGGAAUUUUUGGCCUUGUGGACCAAAAUGUAAAUUGAAGAAAAAGACAAAAAAGAAAAGGGGCUAGAGUUGUAAAACGUGUACAAGGUCUGAAGAUGGUUCAUGAUUUAUUGGAAUAACCUGCCUCCAAUAUCAUGAUGAUUGAUUUUUUUUUAAAUAAUAUCAAUUUCCAUAUCUUUCCACUCCCGGAAAAUGUUCACAUUCAAGUCAAAUUAAAUCGACACCAAAACAAUGAAAAUUGAAAAGUAAAACUUAUGAAUUCUAACUCUAGCUGGCAAACGUAUUCAGUAUUUUUAAAUUCUUUGAAUCGCUUAUCUUCUUCCUCCAUCAAUGCAAUAUCAAGUAUUUUUUUUCUUUUUCGUAAUCUUUUCUUUGCAUUUCUUUUUGCUCCAUCAAUGUACUUUAACUUCUUUUUUUUUAUUAGAACGUCUCGGAAAGAGUUGAAGAACAUAAAAAAGCUCUUGGUUUUAUACGGUAAAAUAAAUAUAACUUAUAAUUAUUCAACUAACAAUUAUUUAUUUACCUAUUUUAGUAAUUUCACCGAAGAAUAAUAAUCUAAUUACAAAAAAUCUAGUCAGUUGGGUGGUUUUAUACAAAAUCAACUACAUACCCAUAUACAGAUGCAGAUGCAAAUAAUAUUUUUAAAUAAGAAAAUUGUAUAUUGAGAUGAAUAAGAUGUUUCUAUGAUUCUAUCUUAGGAAAGCUUGGUGGUGGUAACGACAUGAAGUUGCGAGUUGCCGCACAUAGUUGCUAGUAAUAUAAUAAAACAAGAGAAAUUAAUUAAACUCAGGCCUUUACGUAUAUGUUAUCUUAACUUUACUUGCCCUUGUUUGAUGAUAUUCAUUCUUGGAGCUAAGGGCGCAUGUAAUAUUUGUAAUUGUAUUAAAGUAUAUAUUAAUGUGAUUUUCAAAAUCAGGUUUUAAAAUCUAUAGGAUAGGCUGAUUUUGGUAGUUUUGGGUCGGCCGUUGCAGCCAUUGAGACUUUAUUAAUAAUAAUAAUAAUAAUAAUAAUAAUAAUAAUAAUAAUAAUAAUAAUAAUAAUAAUAAUAAUAUCAACUUCCAUAUCUUUCUAACCCCGGAAUAUGCUCACGUCACGUUCAAGUCUAUCUUGCUAACUUGAAAAAGAAAAUCAAAUCAAAUCAACACCAAAGCAAUGAAAAUUAAAGCUUUUGAAUUUCAACUCCAGCUAGCAAACAUAUUGAGCGUUCCCAAUUUCUUCCCAUUGCAUAUCUUCUUCCUCCAUCAAUACAAUAUUAAUUACUUUUUCUUUAUCAUAUUCUUUUCUUUGCAUUUCUUCUUCCUCCACCAAUGCAAUAUUUGAACGAUUAGGAAAGAGUUUAAGAACAUAAAAAAUCUCCUAGGUUUAUACGGUAUAGCAAAUUUAAAUUCUCAAUUACAAUAGAUAAUAAUUAAACUAAUAAUUUUUUGUGUACUUAUUUUAGUAAUUUCACUUAAGAAUAAUAUUGUAAUUAGAAAAAAUCUAAUAAGUAGGGUGGUCUUAUACAAAAUCAACUGCAUACAGAGAAUUCCACCAAAUGCAAAACACGUGGAAUUUAAUUUUCGGCCGUGUGGACCAAAACAUAAUUUAAUGAAAAAAGAAAAAAAUGAUAAGAUUUCUAAAAUGUGUGGAAGGUAAUCCAUAUUUCACUGAAACGACUUGUUAAAUUUGACUUAUUAAAAUGUGGCGACUUCGAUGGCUUUAUCUUAUUAAAAUGUGGAUGACUUCCAGUUAACAUAUAGUUUAAAACCAUUAUGUAAAUCAAUCUAUUAAUUUUCAUGAUAUUUAAUUGAGUUAAAACUAAGUGCACUCAAUAAAUCUCUUUUCCUUUAAAAAACUGCUACACUUUGAAUUUAAUGCUUAAUAUUAAUUGAACUCUGAUACAGGAAAUUUGAAAUCAAACUCGUAACUACAGAUUAUCUAAUUGCGAGUUGCUGUCCAUAGCCGCUGAACCGUAGUGAUUAUCUAAUUAACUGAGGUGACAACAAUUUUUUUUUUUUAAUUUUCAAUAGCACAAUGUGGAAUUCAAUAAUUAAAUUCUCCUGUUUAAUUUGUUUCAAGUUAAAUUAUUCAUUACUUCAACUCUGUUUUAAGUCUUUAAUUUUAUGUGUUUAUGCAGAAUUGGAUUCUUAAGCGUGUUGGACACGACCAACAAUGAAAUUGGAUUCUCGAGACCCUCCAAUGAAUUUCUAGCCAUGUUGACUCCACCGACUAAAGUUCUGUAAAAUAAAAAAAAGUACAUAGAAUUCCACCAAAUGCAAUUUUUGGCUCGUAUGGACCAAAAUAUAAUUUAACGAAAAAGGAAAAAAUAGUAAGAUUUUUAGAAUGUGUGGAAAGUGAUCCAUAUUUUACUGAAACAACUUGUCUCGAACAUCAAGAUGAUUGAUAUUUUUUUUAAUAAUAUCAACUUUCAUAUCUUUCUACCCCCAGAACAUGCUCACAUUCAAGUCUAUAUUGCUAAUUUGAAAAAGAAAAUUAAAUCAAAUCAACACCAAAGCAAUGAAAAGUAAAGCUUUUGAAUUUUAACUCCAGCUGGCAAACGUAUUUAGCGUUUUCAAUUUCUUCCCAUUCCAUAUCUUCUUCCUCCAUCAAUGGAAUAUUAAGUACCUUUUCUUUAUCAUAUUCUUUUCUUUGCAUUUCUUCUUCCUCCGUCAAUGCAAUAUUUGAACAAUUAGGAAAGAGUUUAAGAACAUAAAAAAUCUCCUAGGUUUAUACGGUACAACAAAUUUAAAUUCUCAAUUAUAAUAGAUAAUAAUUAAACUAAUGAUUAUUUAUUUACUUAUUUUAGUAAUUUUACCUAAGAAUACUAUUGUCAUUAGAAAAAAUCUAAUAAGUGGAGUGGUUUUAUACAAAAUCAACUGCAUACAGUAAUAAGUGAGUACGCACCUUUGAUUCUCAGGACCCUUCAAUGAAUUUCUAGCCCUGUCGACCCACCGGCUACGGCUAAAGGUCUGUAAAACAAGUAAAUAGAAUUUUCACAAAAUGCAAAACUUGUCGAAUUUAAUUUUUGACCAUGUGGAUCAAAAUGUAAAUUAAAGAAAAAGACAAAACAAAAAAGAGGUAAAAUUUUCAAAAUGUGUUAAAGGUGACUCAUUAUUUAUUAGAGCGAUCUGCCUCGGAUAUCAAGACGAUUAAUCUUUUUUUUAAAUUUUUUUUGAAAUAAUAUCAACCCCCAUAUUUUUCCACUCGCAGAACAUGUUCGCAUUCAAGUCUAACUUGCUAAUUUGAAAAAGGAAAUCAAAUCAAAUCAAUACCAAAGCAAUGAAAAGUAUAAGUUUUGGAUUCUAACUCCAGCCAGCAAACGUUUGAAUUCAAUAAUUAAAUUCCCCUGUUUAAUUUGUUUUAAGUUAAAUUACUAAUUACUUAAACUCUGUUUUAAGUCUUUAAUUUUUUUUUUGUUUGAGAAAUUUAAGUAUUUAAUUUUAGGUGUUGGCGUGUAUGCAGAAUUGGAUUCUUGAGUGACUUGGACAUGACCACAAUGAAAUUGAUGGCAAACAAACAUUAAAACGUGUGGACUCCGGUACCUGCCGUGCAAUUCUACAAUAAUAAGUGAGUCCGCACCCUUGAUUGUCGGGACCCCUUCAAAAAAUUUCCAGCCCCGUUGACUCCAUUGGCUAAGGCUAAAAUUUUGUAAUAGAAAAAAGGUCAAUUCUUGUGGAAUUUAAUUUUUGGCCUUGUGGACCAAAAUGUAAAUUAAAGAAAAAGACAAAAAAGAAAAGUGGCAAGAUUUAUAAAACGUGUAGAAGGUUGUCCAUGAUUUAUUCGAAUAACCUGCCUCGAAUAUUGUAAUGAUUGAUUUUUUUUAUUUAUUUUUAAAUAAUAGCAAUUCUCAUAUCUUCCCACUCCUUGAAAAUGCUCACAUUCAAGUCAAAUUAAAUCGACACCAAAACAAUGAAAAUUGAAAAGUAAAACUUGUGAAUUCUAACUCUAGCUGGCAAACGUAUUCAGUAUUUUUAAAUUCUUCGAAUCGCUUAUCUUCUUCCUCCAUCAAUGCAAUAUCAAGUAUUUUUUUUUCUUUUUCGUAAUCUUUUCUUUGCAUUUCUUUUUGCUCCAUUAAUGUAAUUUAACUUCUUUUUUUAUUUGAAUGGCUCGGAAAGAGUUGAAGAACAUAAAAAAGCUCUUGGUUUUAUACGGUAAAACAAAUUUAACUUAUAAUUAUUCAACUAACAAUUAUUUAUUUACCUAUUUUAGUAAUUUCACCGAAGAAUAAUAAUGUAAUUACAAAAAAUUUAGUAAGUUGGGUGGUUUUAUACAAAAUCAACUACAUACACAUAUACAGAUGCAGAUGCAAAUAAAAUUUUUAAAUAAGAAAAUUGUAUAUUGAGAUGAAUAAGAUGUUUCUAUGAUUCUAUCUUAGAAUCAAAAUAUUAUCUUAACUUUUUUCUUUUAAUCUAAAUUAGAAGAGAGAGAUUUAGAUCGCAAUUGAUCAAAAUAUUGUUCUACUUUUUUUAAAUCAAUGUCAAAAUUAACAUAAUCUAAAUUAAAAAAUGGUCAAAAGUUAAUUCUAUGCUUUAAUUAUUUUUCAUGUAAUGAAUCUACUAAUUAAUUAUUGUAAACCAUUCUUUUGAUUUAAUAGGGAAAUCAAUUUACAGAAAAAAAAAUAAAUUAAACUAUACAUCAUUCAAGUUCUUCUAUUUACAUAUGGAGACUAACUUUUCACAAUUUCCAUUUCUUUCUAGCGGAUAGCACAGAGGAAAAAGAGAUCAAGUGUUUUUUUAAAAAAAAAAAAAUAGAAGAAGAAGAAAGAAAGUACAUCUUUUUUUUGUUUUUUGUUUUUUGGUCUACUGUGUGAGCGUAUUGAGCAGUGAAACCCUGGUGGUGAUCAAACUUCUGAACACUUUCUCACUAGCAAGUUCAAUUUCACAAAUGCAGUCCUCCAAAUUUUGCAUUCUCAUCAAGACCACCUUCACUUGUUCAUCUCCUUUCUUUCUGAAGCCCCACAAGCUACCACCACCGACCUGUUGAAACUCUUGAAUGCCCUCUUCGAAUUUUACUCUGUUGGCUUUCUUGCUCAGUCUCAAACUCUCAAAUAUAUAUUGGCUAUUUUUUUUUCAUGAAAUUUCAUAAGAGCAAAUUCAGGUGUAAUAGUAAGAUUUUUUUUAUGUUGUUUUAAAUUAAUAUUUGAAAUAUACAAAAUUUAUGUGCUAAUUAUCUUAUCUUGUCUAUUAUUUAUACUCUUUUUUUUUUAAAUAUGAAUACGCAGUUAAUUUUUAAUACGUUAUAAAGAUAGAUAAUUUAAUAAUAUUAAAAAUUAAUUUUUUAUAAAACCACACGACUUAAUAACAUAUCUACAUAAAAAAAAAAGACAUACACACUAAAAAAAAAUUUAUAUAUAUAUAUAAUACAUCAUCGUGAUACCAUAUAACUUAUUGAUUUAAAAAAAAAAAACUAUGAAGCUUAACUGUGCAAGUGAAACGUUAUCACUCAUUUACGAUGAAAAGAUACUUUACUUCUUUUUUUUUUUUUUUAAAAAAAAAGAGAAACGUCACUUCAAUUGAAAAAGUUUUUGUUUGAUUGUAUGCUGACAUUAAUUGGUAAUUUUUUUUUUAGAAAAUUGCGACUAUUCAAAUUAAUCCACUACGACCCCACUUCAAGAAAAUGCCAUGCUAGGGUGUGGAAAUUUUAGCACAAUAAUACAACAACAACGACUUGCACAAUAAUACAAAAAUUAGAACAAUAUCUUAAUUAAUCUAAAUCUCUCUCUUCUAGUUUUCAAUCUAAAUCUCUCUCUUCUAAUUUUUCUUUUAAAAUUAUAAUUGAAAAUUGAGGCUUGUUCACUAGCAUAAGAAAUCAAUAAAAAGAGAAGGAAAAAAAAAUUCUUUUUCUUUUGUUAAGGUUUCAAACUUCACAAAAGGCAAAUUAAAGCAAGAGAGAGAGUUUACUUAGAGAAAAAGAAGAAUAGGGUUAGUUUGGAAUCAAAUUAGGUUUUAAAAUUGGUUUGCCGGUUCAUUUUAAUUUCGGGGGUGCGGCAAGAAAGCGGUUUUUUAAGGGAAUUAGAGGCGCGACAAUACCGCCACUCUUUUUAAAAAUUAACGGUUCGGGUCUGGGAAAGAAUUGGACCGGCGGUCCACGUUAACUCAUUCACUCACGGUUUAUAAGAAUUUGGGUAAAUUAAGCCGUUGUGUUGGAGAUUUUUUUUUUUUUUGAUUACAUGAGACUAUUGCUCAGAUUACAACUCAUAUACAUGAGACUAUAACUGAUAUUUACAAAUCAGACUAGUACUGGGACCAAAUUACAUCAUUACUAAUGGAGCUCUGCCCAGAUUUUAACCCUCACAAAUAUUCGAGGGAUGUCUACUCCUCACUCAUGGGUAAGGGAGAAGACUACCUUCACUUAAAUUAAUUGAGAAAGAAAAUACCCCCAUAAUAUUUUUAUGGGGAUUCGAACUGCUGCCCUCCAAGUCCCUCCAACUUGGAGGGCAGCAGCCCUGGCCACUCGGGCUGAGCCGAGUGGUUGUUGUGUUGGAGAUUUAAGAUGUCUUAAAGUAGGAUUCCUCGAUUACCUGCGGGUACUAUAAAUGAUUAACAUCUCUAGGCAUGCAGGUAAAUCCAACUAAUGCAAUGCAAGCUUCUUUUUGUAUAAUCCUAGAAUACACGUCUUCAUCUGUUAUAGAUACAAACAGCUCAAUCUCUUCCACACAUACAGAUGCACAAAUCAUGACAGUAAACAAACAUUACUAGGGGUGUUUAGAAUCCAAUCCGAUCAGCUCAAUCCGUCUGAUCCGUGGAUCCGUGGAUUGGAUAUGGAUUGAAAAUUUAAAAAUCCACAGUCGAUGGAUUGGAUAUGGAUUUACUUCUGUAAAUCCGUUAAAAUCCGUGAAUCCGCAAAAUAUAUAUAUAUAUAGUUAAAAAAAAUUAUAAAUUUAAUUAAAGAAUAUUAUGAAUGUGACAUUACAUAAUUACAUAAGCACUAUAACAUAUCUUAGUCAUUACCCAAUAAUAAUAUAAAAUAAUUAAAUAAUCAAAUAUGCAAAUAUAACUUGUAAAAAUUGCAAAACAAAAUAAAAACAAAGUCACACGCACUAGCAAAAGCAAAGUAACAUAACGUCAAGUUACCAACAAUUUGCAAAGUCACCCAAAAGCAAAGUAACAUAACGCCAAGUCACUAACAAUUUGCAAACAAAAAACCCUAAGCUUCCCCGCCAUCACAUGCCUUAUCAACACCCAAUACUGAUUCGAUACACUCUUGACACCGAUUUGAAGGACGUCGGCCGCACGAUUCCAACGAGAGCAAGCCAACUUCUUCCUCGAGUCCAUCGAGCCACUUCACAAUCACUGGUUCUAGCCAAACAAUUGCACUAUUGCACUAUCACAACCUUCAAGAUCACCACCCGUACUUCUCCUGAUUCCCAUCAUUGACGGCUCCAUAAUCACUACUUUUCGACAAGUACAACAGCCCUGGUGAAGGAUCAGACCGUGUUUGGUUCCAGAAAAUUCGCCAUUUCAAUUAAUUAUGGCUUUAUUUGACAAGUAAAAUUAUUUUUAUAUUAGAUUUUUUUAAUUUCAUUAGUUCAUGCAUUGGGGAGAACUAAAAAUUUUUAAUUCGGAAACUAAUGUGUAAAAUGGUAGAUUGGAUAUGGAUUAAGUUAAAUCCGCAUCCGAUCCGCAGACGUAUGGAUUGGAUAUGAAUUGAGUCAAAUCCGCAUCCGAUCCGUAGAUGUAUGGAUUGGAUUGAAAAAUUAUAAUCCGCAAAAUUAUGGAUCAGAUAUGGAUUGAUAUCCAAUCCGUAAAAUCCUAUCCGCGAACACCCCUAAACAUUACAAAGUGUGGACUCCGGUAGUUGCCCCACAAGUCUACAACUUUACAAAUAAUAAUCGAGUAAGCACCUUUGAUUUCCUAGCCCCGUUGACUCCACCGACUAAAGUUGUGUAAAAUAAACAAAUAUAUAUAUAGAAUUCCACCAAAUGCAAAACGCAUGGAAUUUAAUUUUUGGCCGUGUAGACCAAAACAUAAUUUAACGAAAAAGAAAAAAAUGACAAGAUUUUUAAAAUAUGUGGAAGGUGACCCAUUUUUUACUGAAACAACUUGUUAAAUUUUUCAAGGAUUUAGAAUAUUUGGUCAUAAAUUACAAACAUGUUAAUUUUUCGGCCAUUGAUUAUCAUAUUCUAGACUUAAUGGUACCUUUCUUGAUGAAGGGUACUUAGUCUCUCUUCUCCUCUUAUAAAAAUUAUAUUAAUUGAUUUUUUGUUAUAGUUAAUAGUCUUUAAGAACGGAUAGAUUUAUUGUUUUCAUGACCAAAUUAUGCAUGCCUAAGGUUGCAACUAUUAAUAAAAUUAAUAUUUAAUGUUUAUGUUAAAAGAUAUAAGAUUUUAUGCAUUCAUUAAAUGUUAUUAGCUAAAGGAUGAAUUAUUUUUUCCCAAUCAGUUGAUGCAUCUGCAAGAGUUUUUUUUUUUUCCUUUGAUUGACCAUAAUUAUGUUCCGGGUACAAUAAAUUGUCUUUGGUGCUUGAAGAUAUGACGUCUCUCUGUCAACUUACUGGAAAUAUCUCCUCAUCUACUCUCAUUUAUCUAAUAUCAAUUGAAGAUCUCAUAUUUCCAAACUAUGACUUCCAAAUCUCAUUAUCAUUUGAGCAUUCAAAACUAAUCAAGUGUGGAAAUAAUCAAAUAUAUGCAAAAAUCGAGUCACAAUCUUUGGCCCCUCAAAAUUCUAAUUAUAUAACUUCUAUAUAUCUCAUACAUUUUCCAAAUUCCUCUUCCAUCAACAUCACUAGGAGUAUGUUCAUCUCUCACACAUUAACUUGAGUGAAGAGUUUCUAAAUUGAUUAUUAGAAAACAAUACAAAAGCUAGACACACUUGAUCUGUCUAAUAAUUCUCUUUCGGUAAAAUUAAUUAAUUUUAGGGUAAUAUUCAGCCAACCUCUGUAAUUUCAGAGUAAUCAUUAAUUAAUUAAACGAUACAAUAUCUAAAGUGAUUAGAUGUUUGCGGACAAUACAAGUUCAUGACAUGAAAUUUGAUCUCUAUCGAUUGGUUUACAAAUGGACGUACUUAUGCCUUUGUGGCCAAAAUUGAACCAGAGAUGUGCAGCUGUAAGGAUUUGGCAGUAGUCAAUUGUUAUAAAGACAUAAUGACAAGGGAAAAUUCUAUAAUGCCGUAAAUAAAUUUACGGCAUUGAUACCGUAAUAAACGUGGACCAUUGGAUUAGAUCAACGGUACCUAAUAAUUAUAAUAUAAUAAAGUAUUUAAAAAUUUUUCGUUAACAGGUUUACAACCGGUUAAACAUUUAUUUUAAAAAAUUAACCCGUUAAAAUUUCAAAAUUAUAUAUAUUUUAAAAUUGAAAUCUACGAAAGUCCAAAUAGAAUCAAAGUCUGGUCAUAAUUCGAAGGUCCCGGAAUCGAAUCUAAAAAUCGCAGCACGCCGGAUUUUGUAUCUUUGAAGCAAUCGAGUUUGCUGGCUAACCCGAAUUUUGUUGUAAAUUGAAAGAAGAACUUGUAAACAAAACAAAAACUUAGAAAAAUGACAUAGAACUUGUAAAUUGACAUUAAGUAUGAAAUAAAACAACAAAUGUGUAAAUCACACAUAAAACUAGUAAAUUAAUGGAAAAAUGAGUAAAUUAAUGUUGGAGUUGUAAAUUGUAAGAAGAACUUGUAAACAAAACAAAAACUUAGAAAAAUGACAGAGAACUUGUAAAUUGACAUUAAGUGUGAAAUAAAAUAAAAAAAAUAUGUAAAUCACACAUAAAACUAGUAAAUUAAUUGAAAAAUUGGGAAAUUAAUGUUGGAGUUGUAAAUUGAAAGAAGAACUUGUAAACAAAACAAAAAUUUAGAAAAAUAACAUAGAACUUGUAAAUUUACAUUAAGUGUGAAAUAAAAUAAAAAAUAUGUAAAUCACACAUAAAACUAGGGAAUGGAUGGAAAAAUUAGUAAAUUAAUGUGGGAGUUGUAAAUUGAAAGAAGAACUUAUAAACAAAACAAAAACUUAGAAAAAUGACAUAGAACUUGUAAAUUUACAUUAAGUGUGAAAUAAAACAAAAAAUGUGUAAAUCACACAUAAAACUAGUAAAUUAAUGGAAAAAUUGGGAAAUUAUUGUUGGAGUUGUAAAUUGAAAGAAGAACUUGUAAACAAAACAAAAACUUAGAAAAAUGACAUAGAACUUGUAAAUUGACAUUAAGUAUGAAAUAAAACAACAAAUGUGUAAAUCACACAUAAAACUAGUAAAUUGAUAGAAAAAUGAGUAAAUUAAUGUUGGAGUUGUAAAUUGUAAGAAGAACUUGUAAACAAAACAAAAACUUAGAAAAAUGACAUAGAACUUGUAAAUUGACAUUAAGUGUGAAAUAAAAUAAAAAAAUAUGUAAAUCACACAUAAAACUAGUAAAUUAAUUGAAAAAUUGGGAAAUUAAUGUUAGAGUUGUAAAUUGAAAGAAGAACUUGUAAACAAAAUAAAAAUUUAGAAAAAUAACAUAGAACUUGUAAAUUUACAUUAAGUGUGAAAUAAAAUAAAAAAAUAUGUAAAUCACACAUAAAACUAGGGAAUGGAUGGAAAAAUUAGUAAAUUAAUGUUGGAGUUGUAAAUUGAAAGAAGAACUUGUAAACAAAACAAAAACUUAGAAAAAUGACAUAGAACUUGUAAAUUUACAUUUAGUGUGAAAUAAAACAAAAAAUGUGUAAAUCACACAUAAAACUAGUAAAUUAAUGGAAAAAUUGGGAAAUUAAUGUUGGAGUUGUAAAUUGAAAGAAGAACUUUUAAACAAAACAAAAACUUAGAAAAAUGACAUAGAACUUGUAAAUUGACAUUACGUAUGACAUAAAACAAAAAAUGUGUAAAUCACACAUAAAACUAAUGAAUUGAUGGAAAAAUGAGUAAAUUAAUGUUGGAAUUGUAAAUUGCAAGAAGAACUUGUAAACAAAACAAAAACUUAGAAAAAUGACAUAGAACUUGUAAAUUUACAUUAAGUGUGAAAUAAAACAAUAAAUAUGUAAAUCACACAUAAAACUAGUGAAUUAAUGGAAAAAUUGGUAAAUUAAUGUUGGAGUUGUAAAUUGAAAGAAGAACUUGUAAACAAAACAAAAACUUAGAAAAAUGACAUAGAACUUGUAAUAAGUUUGAAAUAAAACAAAAAAUGUGUAAAUCACACAUAAAACUAGUGAAUUAAUGGGAAAAUGAGUAAAUUAAUGUUGGAGUUGUAAUUUGAACGAAGAACUUGUAAACAAAACAAAAACUUAUAAAAAUGAUAUAGAACUUGUAAAUUGACAUUAAGUGUGAAAGAAAACGAAAAAUGUGUAAAUCACACAUAAACCUAGUAAAUUGAUGGAAAAAUUAGUAAAUUAAUGUUGGAGUUAUAAAUUGCAAGAAGAACUUGUGAACAAAACAAAAACUUAUAAAAAUGACAUAGAACUUGUAAAUUGACAUUAAGUGUGAAAUAAAACAACAAAUAUGUAAAUCACAUAUAAAACUAGUGAUUUAAUGGAAAAAUUGGUAAAUUAAUGUUGGAGUUGUAAAUUGAAAGAAGAACUUGUAAACAAAACAAAAACUUAGAAAAAUGACAUAGAACUUGUAAAUUUACAUUAAUUGUGAAAUAAAACAAAAAAUGUGUAAAUCACACAUAAAACUAGUAAAGUAAUGAAAAAAUAGGUAAAUUAAUGUUAGAAUUGUAAAUUGUAAGAAGAACUUGUAAACAAAACAAAAACUUGUAAAUGUUGCAUAAAACUUAUAAAUCAGCAUUAACUUGUAAAAGUUUCAUAAAACUUGUAAAUCACACAUAAAAUUAGUAAAUGUAACCUGGAACUUGUAUAAAAAUGAGUAAUUACCUACUACUUAGGUAACAAGUUACUUAUUUAUUUAGAAUUAGUGGUAUAGAUUUUUUAUUCAAAUCUAACGGCCCACGUCCAUUACGUCAUCAAUGCCGUAAAUUUAAUUACGGCAUUAUAGAAUGACCCUAAUGACAAGUUCCCAUGAUUAUUAUUUUUUCCGAAAACUUUUUUACAACAAAUUCAUCUCGCCAAAAAUUUUAUUUUGUUAACUAACAAUAAUUGAGCACUUGGCCGCAUUGACUCCACGUCUCCACCUACUUUCUAAGUAAAAACAUGGAAAUGUAAUCUCUACAAAAUGCCAAACGUGUGGAAUUUAAUAUUUGGCCUUGUGGACCAAAAUGCAAAUGAAAGAAAAAGAGAAAAAAAACAAGGCCCAAAGACUUCUAAAAGAUGUAAAAGUCUUUGGGCUUUUUUAUAAUAGUAGAUUUUUUAAAAGUAAAAAAUACCAACACUUAUAUGGUUUGUUUUGAUAAUCACAUUUACAUAUACUCUCUAAUUUUCAAAAUGGAUACAUAAAUCUUUUUUUUUUUCUACAAAUGUAUAUUAUUCGUAUUUUUUAUUAUUUUUAAUAUCAUAUUGUUAUUUAUUAUAAAUGUUUAAAGUAAAUUUUUAGGUUGAAAUAUAAUAAAAGGGUAUAAUCGUUCUCUUAUUAAACACCCAUACUUUUAGUUUCUAUCCAUUUGUCAUCUCAAUCUCUCUCAAUUAUUCUUUAUUGCUAGCUCAAAACGCGUUGCUGUUGCAAAUUAUAGCAAAAAGACAAACAUGGAAAAGAAAAAAGGGUAGAAAAUUAAUGCAUGAAAGACUUGGAGAAAACAACGAAAUAAGUCAACUAUAAUCUAGCUGGGUGUAUAAAUUGUUUGAUGCUUUAUAAGCAAAUAACAUACAGAGACAGACAAUGUGUGUUCGUUUUUUCAUAGUUAAAGAUAUAGUUAGAAUGGGUGGUUCAAAAUCAAAAAUGGUGAUAAUGUUUGUUAUGUUAUUAAUAAUAUUUAAAAGUGGGUGGAGUGAGGGAUGUUGGGAUCACGAGAGAUUUGCUCUUUUGCGACUCAAACAUUUCUUCGAUGAUACUGGUAGUUAUCUUUACGACUGGGUAGAUGAUGAGGGAGCUACUGAUUGUUGUCAAUGGGAAAGGGUUGAGUGCAGCAACACCACAGGCCGAGUGAUAGCGCUAGACCUUUUUGAAAUGUAUUCGGGAGAGUACAGCUGGUAUCUGAAUGCUUCUUUGUUUACUCCCUUCCAACAACUUGAGUCACUUGAUUUAACUGACAACAAUAUAGCUGGUUGUGUUGAGAAUGAAGGUGCUUCGUUUAAUUUAAUUAAUUUACUUUCUCCCCCCUAAUUUAAGUUGAAUAUCAAGACCGAGCAACUAUACGCAUAUUCAUUUAGUCGACAAUUUUGACUUUUUUUUUAAGUGAUUAAUUAAUUUUAAAAUUACACCAAUAUCUAUGAUCUUUUUUUUUUUUUAAUUUUGCUUGCAGGUCUAGAGAGGCUAUCAAGAUUGAACAACUUGAAGAUGCUUAAUUUAUGUGAUAACUCGUUCAACAAUAGCAUUUUAUCAUCACUAACUCAUCUUUCAUCAUUAAGAUCAUUAAAUUUAUAUGGGAAUAGAUUGGAAGGAAGUAUUGACGUUAAAGGUACAUAAUUAAAACUUCAUCCCUUAUCCAAGCUCUUUCAUUAACUUGCUAAAAUAAUAUUCAAGGCUUUGAAUUCAAUUUUUUUUUAUGAUUAGUAUUAAAAAAACAGUUUCAAGCAAUUUAUAAAUACAAGUUUUAAUGUUUCUCAUAAUUUCAUCUUGUACUUUGAUAUGUCUCGAAUUUAAGAUUAAAAAAAAAAACUCUAAUAACGAACCAAACACCUCCACAACUUAUUAUUAUUAUUAUUAUUAUUAUUAUUAUUAUUAUUAUUUGUGGUGAGGUUUGAAACAUUCAACUCAAUUUGUACUUAUUACAGAAUUUGAUUCUUUGAGAGAUUUAGAGGAGCUAGACAUUGGUGAGAACAAGAUUGACAAAUUUGUGGUCUCAAAAGGUACUACAAAUACCAUUAAAAAAAUGCUAACUUAUACAAAUUAGUUGGAUUCUUUGCCAUUUGGUUUAUUAUUUUGCAGGUUUGAGUAAGCUGAAGUCUCUCGAUUUAAGUGGUAUCAAACUCAAUCGUAGCAUCUUAUCUUCUCUUUCUUCGUUAAGAGAAUUAUAUAUAAGUAGUACGGGAUUCAAAGGAACAUUUGAUGUUCGAGGUAAGUCUAAGCCUUGCUUUCUCAUUUUAUAUAUGCCAACUAGAUUUGUGUAUCAUCGACAUAAUUUAAUAUUUAAUUUGAUAAGUCUGAAGGAAUUACAUGCUAAUUUAAACAUACUUUUAUUUACUUUGUCCAUUAAUUAAUUAAUUACUAUUUGGCUUGGUUUGGAUGAAAUUCUCAUGAUGUUUUAAUUUCUUUAAAUUAAUUAAUUAAUUAACUCUGUUUUUAAGUCUUAAGUCUGGGCAUGUUUGCAGAAUUUGAUUCCUUCAAUAACUUAGAAGUGUUGGACAUGAGCGACAAUGAAAUCGACAAUCUUGUGGUUCCUCAAGGUAAACAAUUAAAAUAUUAUUCAAUUACAUUAUUUUAAUUCAUUUGAUUAGAGAAGGCCAAAAAGGUCCAAAAAAAAAAAAUAAUAAUAAAGAAACAGAUAAUUUGUAUUAUUUAAAAAACAGAAUGUAAUAAAGAUUUGAUUCCAGUUCUUCAAUCUUUAAAGCGAUUGAAAAACAAUGUUGCUCUUUUCCCAAAGCAGAAAAUACGAAUUGAAUGCCAAUUAACUUAAUCAUUCAUUUCGUUUAGCUCUAAAUUUAGACAAUGAAUUUUUAUAUUAUUUCAAAAACAAGACGUAAUAGAAUUUUUUUAAAAAACAGAUUGUAAUAAAGAUUUGAUUCCAAUUCUUUAACCUUUACAGUGAUUGAAAAACGAUACUGCUUCCCAAAGCAUAAAAUGCAAAUUGACUCCCAAUUAAAUUAAUCAUUUAUUUCAUUUAGGUCUAAAUUUUAGAAAAAUGAAUUUUGAUUCUCUUCAAUCUUUUCUUAAUUAUUAUUAAAAAACAGGUUACAGAGGUUUGAGGAAGCUGAAAAGCCUUGAUCUAUUGGGAGUUGGAAUUAGAGAUGGAAGCAAGUUGUUACAGUCAAUGAGAUCAUUCCCAUCCCUCAACACUCUUGUCCUUGGGGAUAAUAAUUUUACCGAUAUAGCGACAACUACUACUCAAGGUAAGUGAAAAGGUACAGAUGUGGCCAAAUUUAUAAAUAAAUUAUUAAUUAAUUAAUUUUUCCGUAUUAUUAAUUAAGCUAAAUUUGUUGCUCCUUCCUUCUAAAUCUAAACAGAGUUGCACAAUUUCACCAACUUGGAAUAUUUGACAUUGGACUCUUCCUCUCUCCAUAUAAGCCUUCUGCAAAGCAUUGCAUCAUUAUUCCCUUCAUUAAAAAAUCUGUCGAUGUCUGGUUGUGAAGUCAAUGGUGUCCUACGCGGUCAAGGUAAAAGAAAAGCGUUGAUUGUGAACUCACUCAAUGGUGUCCUACGUGUUCAACAUUUUUGUUUAUUUAUUUUAUUGUUUAAUGUUUCUGCUAGGUUUUCCUUCUUUCAAGAGUUUGGAACAUUUGCACAUGAGCUCCACGCGCAUUGCACUCAACACCAGCUUUCUUCAAAUCAUCGGUGAAUCGAUGCCUUCUCUUAAGUACUUAUCACUGUCAAAUUAUACUCGUGGCACUAACAGCAGCAGGAUUCUUGAUCAAGGUUAAUCAGAUGCUCCCACCCUCCCUUCUUAAUCUAUAAUAUUAAUUUUCAAUUCAAUAUUUAAUUACACAAACAAUACGCAUUCAUUAAUCUUUAUAUUGUAUUAAUAAUUGAUGAAUUUAAUAAAUUUUCAGGCCUCUGUUCGUUGAUGCAUCUGCAAGAGUUGUACAUUUAUAAUAAUGAUUUAAGAGGCAGCUUGCCUUGGUGCAUGGCAAAUAUGACAUCCCUCAGAAUAUUAGAUGUUUAUUCCAAUCAACUUACUGGAAGCAUCUUCUCAUCUCCCCUCGUUCAUUUGACAUCCAUUGAAGAGCUGAUGCUUUCAAACAAUCACUUCCAGAUCCCAAUUUCACUUGAACCACUUUUCAAUCAUUCAAGACUCAAGAUUUUUUAUGCUGACAACAACGAACUAAAUGAAGAAAUAACUGAGUCACAUUCUUUGACCGCCCCAAACUUCCAAUUAUCACGUCUCUCAUUGUCUUCCAGUUACGGAGACAGUUUCAUAUUCCCCAAAUUUCUUUACCAUCAACAUGACCUGGAGCUUGUUGAUCUCUCACACAUAAAGAUGAAUGGAGAAUUUCCAACUUGGUUGUUGGAAAACAACACAAAAUUAGAAACUCUUUCUCUCGUCAAUGAUUCUCUUGGAGGACCUUUUCGGUUGCCAAUUCAUUCACACAAGCGGUUAGGAAUGUUGGAUAUAUCCAACAACAACUUCCGAGGCCACAUUCCAGUAGAAAUUGCAGAUGUUUUACCAAGUUUAUACGCUUUCAACAAUUCCAUGAAUGCUUUAGACGGUAGCAUUCCCUCUUCAUUUGGUAAUAUGAAAUUCCUCCAAUUUCUGGACUUAUCCAACAAUCACUUGACUGGUGAAAUCCCCGAGUACUUGGCCGUCGGUUGCGUCAACUUGAAGUCUCUUGCAUUAUCAAAUAACAACCUACAAGGUCACAUGUUCUCUAGAAAUUUUAACUUGACAAACUUGAAAUGGUUACAAUUGGAGGGCAAUCGCUUCGUAGGUGAGAUCCCACAAAGUUUGUCUAAAUGCUCCUCACUAGAAGGAUUGUAUCUUAACAAUAAUAGUCUUUCGGGUAAGAUUCCACGAUGGUUGGGUAAUCUCACAAGGUUACAAUAUAUUAUAAUGCCCAAUAAUCAUCUUGAAGGCCCUAUUCCAGUGGAGUUUUGUCAGCUGGAUUUGCUUCAGAUUUUGGACAUUUCAGACAACAACAUAUCUGGAAGUCUACCAUCUUGUUUCCAUCCUCUCAAUAUCAAACAAGUUCAUCUUUCAAAAAAUAUGUUACAUGGACAGCUAAAAAGAGGUACAUUCUUUAAUUGCUCUUCCCUUGUGACAUUAGAUCUUAGCUAUAACCGCUUGAAUGGCAGCAUUCCGGAUUGGGUUGAUGGGCUUUCUCAGUUAAGUCACCUUAUCUUAGGUCACAAUAAUCUUGAAGGUGAAGUGCCAGUUCAAUUGUGCGAAUUGAACCAACUACAAUUGUUAGAUCUUUCUAAUAAUAAUCUUCACGGUCCUAUUCCUCCUUGCUUUGAUAACACCACACUUCAUGACAGUUACAGCAAUAGUUCUAGUCUUGAUGAGCAAUUUGAAAUAUCUUUUUCCAUCGACGGCCCUCAGGGAGAUGUAGAAAAGCAAAUCCGUGAAAAUUUUGAGUUCACAACAAAGAACAUUGCGUACAUUUACCAAGGAAAAGUGCUUAGCCUCCUAUCAGGACUUGAUCUUUCUUGCAACAAGCUAAUUGGUCAUAUUCCCCCUCAAAUUGGAAAUUUGACAAGGAUUCAAACAUUGAAUCUAUCACACAACAACUUGACAGGAUUGAUCCCAUCAACAUUUUCAAACUUGAAGCAAAUCGAAAGUUUGGAUCUUUCCUACAACAAAUUGAAUGGGAAAAUCCCUCAUCAACUUGUGGAGUUAAAGGAAUUGGCUGUUUUCAGUGUGGCAUACAAUAACUUAUCAGGCGAAAUUCCAGAAUGGGAAGCACAAUUUGCAACCUUCAACGAGAAUAGCUAUGAGGGAAAUACUUUUCUUUGUGGACUGCCAUUGCCCAUUUGCAGAUCACCAGCAACUAUGUCGGAGGCGUCAAUCGGCAAUGAACGAGAUGAUAAUUUAAUUAACACGGACAGUUUCUUUAUCACAUUUACAACAUCGUACGUAAUAGUGAUAUUUGGAAUUGUUAUUGUUUUAUAUGUAAAUUCUUAUUGGCGACGUAGAUGGUUUUACUUUGUUGAAAUGUGCAUAACUUCAUGUUAUUAUUUUGUUGUAGACAAUCUUAUUCCAACAAGAUUUUGUCAUUGAAAUUAAUUAGUAGCUUAAUUACGAUUCUUUAAGUACUAAUCAAGUUUGCUUAGGAAAUAAAUUUAUUUUUAUUUUUUAUUAAAAUUGUAGUAGUAUUUAGCGUUAUAUAGCUUCCAACUUCCAAGCACUUCACAUUUGUCUCUACACUUCCAAACCCAUAUCUAUCCACCAUAACUUAUACUUCCCUAUACUGUGCAGCAUACUUAAAUAAGAGAACCAUCUCCAAUGUUAAAAGCAGCCACUCUAUAACAUUCAUUUAGAAACUAUAUUCAGAAUAGUUUUAUAAUCAUACACAAGAAAUGAAACACCUAGAUGCACUUGAUCGCCUAUUUUACUUUAAAAAAUAAUGAUUAUGGUGCUAUCAUCAUCUUCUUCACUAGCAACAUUAACACCAAAUCCAGCGAUGGACCCAGACAUUUUAUCAAGAAAGGUAUAUAUAUAAUAAAGUUGAAGCUUGACAAAAAAUUUAGGAAGAUUAAUGCCUCGCCACAACAAGGGGCACAACAACAUCAAAGUAGAGAUGAAGCAAUAUUCUCAAAGCUAAAACUCUCAAAUCCACCCACCAGAAUUUCAUAUCUCCUCAACAAUUUUAAGAACAAAAGAUAAUUAGGAUCUAACAUUAGUUUUUUAUAUAUUAGUUUCAUAAUUUACAAAUCAAUGAAGAUGAAGAUUAUGCUAAUGAAUUCAAAUUAUACCAUACAUUCUCGAGAUGUUACCAAAAAUUUCUAAGUCAAUCCCACAUAUUUCAUAAUUUUAAGACUAGAAAAUUUCAUUAGUCAGAAGUUUCAUUACCUUCAAGUGGAAGAUGAAGAACAUUAUACAAUUGAUUCAGAUUAUAUCAUACAUACUCCAAAUGCAACUAGAAAUUAACAAGUUCAUGCACACAGAUUUCAUAACAUUAUGAAUGGAAAGUUUCACAAAGAGAAAUUCUAAAUUCAAUCUCUUGCAUCAAGGUAGUUUGAUUGAUUUGAGUUACUUUCUGAUCAAGCUAUUAAUAUAACAUUCAAGUCAGGGAGAAAGUAAAUUAAAACUGGGAAGAAAUAACAGUAAAAAUUUGUUGCUAAACAUGAUGUGUAUUUUUUUUUUAAGGCAAUUUGGAAACACAGUUGUUACUACAGAUAUUCUCCUCAACUUAGAAAUAAAUACAAAUAUUAAAAUGCAUAUGAUCGCACAUAGUACUUGGAGCUUAGUAAGAUUUCAUUAAGAGAAGCAAUCAAACCACUUAUCAAUUGUUGCAAUCGUUCUAUAAGCUAAAAUAGCAAUAUAAUACAAGAAAAAGAACAUAUAGAUACUUGGCAAGAGUUCAUUAAGAAGUCGCAUCACAUUCGGGUGAGUUUGCUUCUGAUAUCUUGCUAGCUGGGGCUUUUUCUUGUCUUUCUACGUAUGCCGAGGGAAACCAACCAGCUUGGCCCUUGCAUUCACCUUCCGACCAUCCAGUAGGAGCCACCUUGAGAAGUUAUAACUAAAACAGUGAAUUAAACAACAGUUGACUGUUCAAAGACCUAAGGGGAAAACUAAUUCUUUUACGUAGGAGGAGUGAAUUAGUUGUGAUCACUGAAAUAACAGCAUAACUAUGGAAGCAUAACAAGAUAUAAAUUCACACGUCUAUAAGGGUAAUCUGGGUGGUUUAGAACUGAGCUAGCAACCCUACUAUAUUCUGAUUUGCACUUCAAUGUAAAAGGGAAUAUAUGGUAGGAAGAAAGAAAGCCAACCAUCAUUUGUUAACUCAUUGCUUUUCAAUCAAAAUUUUAAGAACAAAAUGCCAUGUGCUUUGAACAUCAAAUAAGUAUAAGCAUUAGUUCUAAAUUCCACAUAUCAUAAGUUAGAAGGAUAAGUUAAUAGCAUAGUAGAAAAAUCUGUGUUGUUAUUUAGAGGGGAAAGUACCUGGCGAACCACAACAUAAUCAUCAAUUGAAAGACUUAACUCUCCAUUUGCUUGAGCAUCAAAUGGAUGUAUAACCUGCAAGAUAAUGGGAUAAAUAGAACUUGAUCUUAAAAAAAGCAUGAAAAAAAGCAGCAACAGUAGCAGCAGCGUUCAUUGUAACCACUAUGAUCAUGGCCAACAAAGAUAUAUUAGAAAAAAAAUUCCAUUUUUACUACGACAUUAAUAUGUACUAUAUGAUAUCAUGACGAUUGGGUUACCAAGAGCUAUCAAAGUCCAAUAAGUUCUGUAUAACUUUAUGUAGUUAUUCAAAUUAUGGAUCAGAUUUUAAAUCUGAAAUUUUGACUGCUCUCCACAAAACAUGGCCUAUGCACAAGAAAGUCAUAGAUAAUGAGGAUUACAAGUGUCUGACAUCUUUUGAGUGAUGGAUUUAACAUGAGAGCUUAUGGUCAGUCAAUUUCCUCUGCCUAGCAAUAUAAGCUUUCUCGGCCAGAUUUAUCAUCAAAUACAUAGAUUGCCCCAAGUCACAUCCAUAUAAACAUAGUUUUUCUAGGUAAACCAAGCAAGGAGAAUCAUAAUUCAGACAUAAUCAUAAAAAGGCCCAUCUAACUUAAGAGAAAAUCUCAAAAAGAGGGAUGUUGAGCUAUCAGUCUUGUAUCUAUAAGCAAUAUCAAGACUUUACAUCACCUGCUACAUCGUGAGUGGCUACACAACUUUCAGUGGUUUGUCUUUCUUUGGCAUGCCUAACUCAGCUUUGAUGUUGCUGAGAUAUUGAUAGUAGAGACACAUGAGACUUCUAGCUCAUGCAUUCUAUCUAGCUCAUCCGACAGCUAUCUCUUUUUUAAUUCAUUAGUGUUUGCUAAACCUCAUGCUUAAAAGUCAUGUUGUUCUAAACAAAGUUUCCUAAGAAUGACUUCCUCAGCACCACAUUUGGACACUUUUAGAGCAAUUUUAUUUGGGGGAAAAGAAUUUUCAAGGUGUUAACUAAUAAAUUUUAAAAAAUAAUUACAAUUUGUCCUACGAUUAUAUGACAAUUUAUCUGGGAUGCAAGGAUACAGACAGACAUCUUCCACUUUCAAGACUAAUCACUACUUCCGUAGAUGUUUUGCAAUAAUACAAAUACUUGACCAGAUGGUAGUGAUGGUAGAAAAAAAUUUUAUUGCUCCAAAAUUAAAAUAAGAAUGCAAUGUGUUAAGCGAAAGACUAUGCAACAUCAAAUUAAUUGAUAAGUUUGUAAUUCAGUAAAUUAACAACUUUCAUGGUAAAAUACAACAAAUUUCUUUUGAAAAAAAUAAAUCUUAAAAGACAACAUUCAAUUUUGUGCGCAUCUUAUUUCUUAAGAUUUUCCAGGAGGGCAAUAGAGGGACUUUCACCCAUGCAAGAGAGCAGAAGCCUUACUUUCGCUAUAAAGUAGACGUCAUUCUGAUUAAUAUGCGUUUGCAAUUCAGCUCCAUUUGAAUCAGUAUUCUGAUAGACACAUGAGGCAUUUACAUCCAUUUCCAAAGUCACAUGUUGCGAGGAGGACUCAUUUGAUUGCUCCUCUAGGAUCAUCUAAUUCAAGUAGCAAGGGUUGGAAGAGAAUAAAAAGUCACAAUUAUUCUUUUGCAUAAGUGAGACGAAAAUGAUAAAUGCAAUAUUAUCAGCAGUAAACAAGAAGAGAACAUUCCAAGGAAUAGAUAGAUGCGGACAAGCAAGUUAAAAUGCAUAGUUCCAAACCUCCGCAUACAACUUCUCUAAAAUAGCAAUAACGUGUUGAUGAUAUGUUUUCUCAGCAUCUACCUGCAAAGGCCCGAGACCAGGAAAACAACAAUAAAACCACUAGCUAAAGGAGAAAGUAAAGAAAGAAAUACACUUGACAUAAAUCUUGACAAGAAGCACAAUUUAAGACAUAACAAACCCCAAUCAUAUUGUUUAGAACUACCACUCAUUAUUUCGUUAUUGUAGCAUUUCGAACAAGUGUUGACUUAUGUAACACCCCAAAUCUAACACGUGUGGAGCACGUGAAGAAGGAGGUUACUCACAAAUCAAUGAUCUAUACUCAUAAGUUUCAAACUGAAAUACCUCUAAUUCUUAUUCAAAUAAAUCCACAAAUCCAAACGUCAAAUACUAAAUAAUCUCUCUCGAGGACAUAUAAAAAUAAUAACAAAAGUCUCAAACUCCAAAUUACACGUUCAUAAAAAAGUAACUAAAUAGAAACACAAGUCUAUUCCUCCUCUUAUUCAAUCGCAAACGGAAACUGGAAAAAUUACUAACUCCAAAGCUAAGCGCACCUCUCAAAAGAAACUUAAUCUGCAAAAAGUAAUGACGAGGGGUGAGCCGUCAACUCGGUAAGUAAAACCAUUUCUAACAUACUAUGCUUAUCGAUACGAAGAUAUUGCAAGCCUUCUUUUGUUUAAAACAUAUAUCAUAAUCCAUAAAUUUUCAUAAAACGAUAUAUCACAUUAACAUAAGAUAAAUUCUUAAUAAUUCAGAAUAUUCAAAAGAAUAUUUACUUACGAAGCAAAUCAUGUAAUACGUAUACAGAAACAAAAAGGUUAGCUCAUGUCACAUAGUGUCACCUAUAGUCCCGGUGACCCGGCCAGAAACAGAAUCAGAAUAUCGUGUGCACACUCAGAACAUAAACCCAGUACUGGUCCAGACAGAUAUAUCAUAUAUUACGAUUAGAAUUAGAAUAACUAUGGACAAUGAGCCAAAACAUUAGGAAUCUCAUUCAAUCAUCAAUAAUUGAAAUCAAACAUGGGUAAAAACAUUCGUAUCAAAUUUAUAAAAGUUCAUAACAAUAAUUUAGGCUUGCAUAACAUUUAUAAAUAAAAUCAUAAAAGUAGGCAUGUAACAAAAUAACUUACAUAUUCAAAAGCAUUUAUAAAAUACUUUGUUAAAGAGAAUUUAGCUUUAAAACAUUUACAUAAAACUAAUUUUGUUAUCAAAAUCAAUUAAUCCUUUAAGCAGUAUAAAAACAUUUAUACUUAUAAUAAUAAUAUCAAAAUACUUAUACAUAUCCAGUAUGCUAGGAAUGAAGUUACUUACCUCGACAAAUGAACUUGAAUUAACCCACCUCUAAGCUUCUAAGAGCCUCAAUCACCUUCAACUCCUUAAACAAAUACAAGAUAUGACAAUUAAUGACUUAUUCUAAGAAUCUGAUUUUCUAAUUCAUACCUGUACAGGUCUGAUUCUCAGAAUUUUAACUCUUAAUCUAAAACUCAGAAUGAUAUAAUAUUCUAUGGAACUAUUCUGGACAUCCAUGAAUACCCCAUGUAAAAUUUACAAGAGGAUCCGAUAUCAAAAACAUUUUAAAAACUAUUUACUACUCAGCAAACUCGAAACUGUUUUCACAUAAUCUAAACCAAACAGAACGGGUUCCGUAAUUUUUAUAAAAUAAAAUACUAACCAGAAAAUUAUAAAAUUAAAACUGGGAAUCCUAGACACAUAUAUUAACCUACAUAUAAACUUUCAGAAUUUUCCGAGUUCAUUUGAUGGUACAAAUAGUCUUGUGAAUCCGAUCGCAAUGCUGGAAUCGCAGUUUUCCAGUGCGGUGGUUUCUGUUUCGAAAAUACAUAUAAAAUUCAAAACGAAAUCGAAUUCAAUGAAAUAAAAUUUAAUCAAGAAUCCCUACAUGUCUAGUUCCCAGAAAUAUAAAUUUUAUAAGAAAAUUCGUUCAGAAAAUAUAGCUUUAAAUUCGAGAUACUCAUGCUGUCCAGAAUUAUCCUGUGCUUAAUACGUCAAUGAUUGAUUAACUAAACUCAUAAUAAAUCAAAACCCUAAACAAGGCCUAAAUAUAUUAUAAACCAUGCAUUAUGAUCUACAACCAUUAGAAUCGUGCCAAUAUAAACUCUAGCUAGAUAGAGUGAUUAGAAAUCUGUUGAGAACAUGGAGAAUAACUUACCCGUCGCUUGAUUCUCUCCUAAACAAAGGUUUGAAUCCUAGGAUUUGGGUAAGAGCGUAAAGAGCAGCAGGGAAGAAGAAUAAACGUUGUGAAUUUAGGGUUAUGGGAGAGAAAAAGUAUGAAUUUAUAGGGAGUCUUAAGAAACCCUAUUUAGUUAGGAAAAAUAACCAUUUUCCCAAAAUUAUCUCAUAAAUAACCUCUUAAUAAGGGUUAUGGGCCACCCAUAAUUCUCAAUGAAAGCCCAAUUUCCAUAACUUAAUAUAUAUGAGAAUUUGUGUAAUUUCCUAUAUUACACAAUCCUGGCUCUGAUACCACAAUUGUAACACCCCAAAUCUAACACGUGUGGAGCACGUGAAGAAGGAGGUUACUCACAAAUCAAUGAUCUAUACUCAUAAGUUUCAAACUGAAAUACCUCCAAUUCUUAUUCAAAUAAAUCCACAAAUCCAAACGUCAAAUACUAAAUAAUCUCUCCUGAGGACAUAUAAAAAUAAUAACAAAAGUCUCAAACUCCAAAUUACACGUUCAUAAAAAAGUAACUAAAUAGAAACACAAGUCUAUUCCUCCUCUUAUUCAAUGGCAAAUGGAAACUGAAACUUAUUAGCUCCAAAGCCAAGCACACCUCUCAAAAGAAACUUAAUCUGCAAAAAGUAAUGACGAGGGGUGAGCCGUCAACUCAGUAAGUAAAGCCAUGCUUAACACACUAGGCCCAUCGAUACCAAAAAUAUUGCAAGCCUUCUUUUGUUUAAAACAUAUAUCAUAAUCCAUAAUUUUCAUGAAACGAUAUAUCACGAUAACAUAAGAUAAAUUCUUAAUAAUUCAGAAUAUUCAAAAGAAUAUUUACUUACGAAGCAAAUCAUGUAAUACGUAUACAGAAACAAAAAGGUUAGCUCAUGUCACAUAGUGUCACCUAUAGUCCCGGUGACCCGGCCAGAAACAGAAUCAGAAUAUCGUGUGCACACUCAGAACAUAAACCCAGUACUGGUCCAGACAGAUAUAUCGUAUAUUACGAUCAGAAUCAGAAUCAGAAUCAGAAUAACUAUGGACAAUGAGCCAAAACAUUAAGAAUCUCAUACAAUCAUCAAUAAUUGAAAUCAAACAUAGGUACAAAACAUUCGUAUCAGUUUCAUAAAAGUUCAUAUCAAUAAUUUAGGCUUGCAUAACACUUUAUAAAUAAAAUCAUAAAAGUAGGCAUGUAACAAAGUAACUCACAUAUUCAAAAGCAUUUAUAAAAUACUUUGUUAAAAAGAAUUUAGCUUUAAAACAUUUACAUAAAACUAAUUUUAUUAUCAAAAUCAAUUUACCCUUUAAGUAGUAUAAAAACAUUUAUACUUAUAAUAACAAUAUCAAAAUACUUAUACAUAUCCAGUAUGCUAGGAAUGAAGUUACUUACCUCGAGAAAUGAACUUGAAUUAACACACCUCUAAGCUUCUAAGAGCCUCAAUCACCUUCAACUCCCGUCGCUUGAUUCUCUCCUAAACAAAGGUUUGAAUCCUAGGAUUUGGGUAAGAGCGUAAAGAGCAGCAGGGAAGAAGAAUAAACGUUGUGAAUUUAGGGUUAUGGGAGAGAAAAAGUAUGAAUUUAUAGGAAGUCUUAAGAAACCCUAUUUAAUUAGGGAAAUAACCAUCUUCCCAAAAUUAUCUCAUAAAUAACCUCUUAAUAAGGGUUAUGGGCCACCUAUAAUUCUCAAUGAAAGCCCAAUUUCCAUAACUUAAUAUAUAUGAGAAUUUGUGGCGUUACAAUUUCUCCCCUCCUAACAAAAAUUUCGUCCUCGAAAUUAAAAGGUUAGCUCAUUGUAACCCUUAAUUACAAUUAAGUAUCUUGCCAGGUCUUGGUUGGGUCAUGACAUUAUGGUAUCAGAGCGGCUCCGCGUGUCCUCUUGAGCGAUGGUGGGGCAAACCUCAGCGAGGACGCUGAGUCCCCAAGGGGGGGUGUAUGUAACACCCUAGGCGAAUCCCACAUCGGCAAAGCACGGGAGAGAUGCUGGGUCAAAAGCAUUUAUAAAAUACUUUGUUAAAGAGAAUUUAGCUUUAAAACAUUUACAUAAAACUAAUUUUGUUAUCAAAAUCAAUUAAUCCUUUAAGCAGUAUAAAAACAUUUAUACUUAUAAUAAUAAUAUCAAAAUACUUAUACAUAUCCAGUAUGCUAGGAAUGAAGUUACUUACCUCGACAAAUGAACUUGAAUUAACCCACCUCUAAGCUUCUAAGAGCCUCAAUCACCUUCAACUCCUUAAACAAAUACAAGAUAUGACAAUUAAUGACUUAUUCUAAGAAUCUGAUUUUCUAAUUCAUACCUGUACAGGUCUGAUUCUCAGAAUUUUAACUCUUAAUCUAAAACUCAGAAUGAUAUAAUAUUCUAUGGAACUAUUCUGGACAUCCAUGAAUACCCCAUGUAAAAUUUACAAGAGGAUCCGAUAUCAAAAACAUUUUAAAAACUAUUUACUACUCAGCAAACUCGAAACUGUUUUCACAUAAUCUAAACCAAACAGAACGGGUUCCGUAAUUUUUAUAAAAUAAAAUACUAACCAGAAAAUUAUAAAAUUAAAACUGGGAAUCCUAGACACAUAUAUUAACCUACAUAUAAACUUUCAGAAUUUUCCGAGUUCAUUUGAUGGUACAAAUAGUCUUGUGAAUCCGAUCGCAAUGCUGGAAUCGCAGUUUUCCAGUGCGGUGGUUUCUGUUUCGAAAAUACAUAUAAAAUUCAAAACGAAAUCGAAUUCAAUGAAAUAAAAUUUAAUCAAGAAUCCCUACAUGUCUAGUUCCCAGAAAUAUAAAUUUUAUAAGAAAAUUCGUUCAGAAAAUAUAGCUUUAAAUUCGAGAUACUCAUGCUGUCCAGAAUUAUCCUGUGCUUAAUACGUCAAUGAUUGAUUAACUAAACUCAUAAUAAAUCAAAACCCUAAACAAGGCCUAAAUAUAUUAUAAACCAUGCAUUAUGAUCUACAACCAUUAGAAUCGUGCCAAUAUAAACCCUAGCUAGAUAGAGAUUAGAAAUAUGUUGAGAACAUGGAGAAUAACUUACCCGUCGCUUGAUUCUCUCCUAAACAAAGGUUUGAAUCCUAGGAUUUGGGUAAGAGCGUAAAGAGCAGCAGGGAAGAAGAAUAAACGUUGUGAAUUUAGGGUUAUGGGAGAGAAAAAGUAUGAAUUUAUAGGAAGUCUUAAGAAACCCUAUUUAAUUAGGGAAAUAACCAUCUUCCCAAAAUUAUCUCAUAAAUAACCUCUUAAUAAGGGUUAUGGGCCACCUAUAAUUCUCAAUGAAAGCCCAAUUUCCAUAACUUAAUAUAUAUGAGAAUUUGUGGCGUUACAACUUAAUUCAACAUUGUUGGAAAGAUAGGCUUUUAGAAGCGGAAGAAAGCCACUCAAACCAAAGUGAUUGUCCUUGUAUUGAUCAAGGGAUGUAAACAUAUUACAUUUGCAGGAUGAGUUUUAAUCACUCCCCUGAUUUAUUUGGGUUGCAAUAAACUAAGCGAGCAACUGUUUGACUUUCAAGCAACAUCUAAAUCAGCUAUUAAAAUUCAAAUAAAAUUAUAAUAGAAUAAUAACAGGCCAUCUUGCAUCAAAAAUUAAGUUUAAUUUGUGAAUUUUUUUCUAUAGACAUGUUAGUUCCUGCUAUUGAAAUGUUAAAAGCAUUGAAAAAUUAUUCAAUAAAUUAUGCAAACAUUAAAAUAGAGGACAUAUUAAAAAGCUUCUAAUUACAAUGUUAAGAUUUCCUAUAUUUUAGCAUUUGCAUAUUUUAAUUUAUUUAAAAGCUACGUCGAUCAACUUUGGGCGUGAAGAUUUUAGCUUCUACGAGACUUGAUUGGAAUAUGCAUAAGGAAGUGUGUUAAAAUAUGAUGCAUCCAACGAAAGACGAACCACGUGUAGUCUUUUAAUUAAGCCAAAGUAGCAGCUCAAACAAAUGACACUUGGACCAACAUGCAAUCAUGAAGUGGCCAGAAAAAGGACAAAUGCAACUUUGGCUUAAAUAAAAAAUAACAUGUGACUUGACUUUUGCUGGACAUGCAUCAUGUUAUUACAAGACAACAGAAAUCAGUAUGAUAGUACUAAAAGUUCACAAUAACAUGAAGAUAAGAGGCAGAAUGUCAACAAAUGCAUAGGCACACACAAGAAAGUAUUAACUUAUAUACCAUAGCAAAAAGUCUUUGAUAUGUCAUCUGUUGCUGCUGUGAUUCAACUGACAGCAUGGCAGCUGUCGCUUCUCUACCAAGAGCCAUUAUUGUAGAUUUAAGCUCGGUCAAUCUUGCUUCUGCAUUUCGAAGCUUCACAGCACUCUCUGCUGAUAUAUCAGAUUCCCUAAUCUUUGAUCGGCGCCUAAAUACUUCAGCUGCCUGGUGAAAAUAUUCAAUGUAAAUCUAACAUAAUUCUAAUCUUGCCUUAUACAUGCAUAUGUUAACUCAAAGCUUACCUGGGCUUCAACUUCAUGUCGAAGUUUGUCAUAACGAUGAGUCAAGAAAAUAUCUUAGAACUAAGUUUCCUUAUGAGAAGAUAAUAGUUUCAGUAGUAAUUUACAUAUAAUUUUCUAUAUUUGAAUUAUUUUCUAGUUAGGGAUGAACUAACCUGCUCACGAAGAAUCCCAAGCAAAGUUUCCCUCUCAUUUUCCAUCAAAUCAUGUGAAGUGCCAAAUUGAAGAGCAGCUCUUGCAACGCAAGAAUUGUCACUUUGAUUCUCCACUCCAUACUUGCAACAAUCUUCGGCCAACUUUCUCGCUACAAUAUUUGAAUACAAAAAUAUUGUACACAAGAACUAGUCAAGAAAAAAAAAAUCAAAUAUUAUAACGAGAGCAAGAGCAAACUAACAACCUAUUUCCAUUUGUUUCAAGCUUACUGCAACAAACACUUCAACGCCACGGACAACAUUCCUCUGAAAAUGCUGCGCUACAGAGCAUAUAUUCCAAAUCAUUGUUCAGAUAAAACCAUACAAACCAUCAUAAUUAUUCAACAUACAUUAAGCUCCGUUUGGUAAAUACUUGCAACUUCAGUCUAGAAAAUACAGUUAAUUUUUAUUUAAAAAACAUCAUAAUUAUCAACAUACAUAUUUGACAAAAUUAUUAUUUAAAAAUCAUAACUAAUUACCAAAAGCCACAAUAAAUCAAUAUCAAACAGAGUCUUAUUAUUAGCUAAAGGAGGAUGGUGCCUUAGCUGCCCUGGUGGAAUUGUAUAGAUUUUGAAGUUGUUGGUGACACUCAAGUUCAGCUUCAUCAACCGCAACAUUUUCAAUGCCAAGAUGGAGCAGAUGCUUCAAUACUGCCUGUACAAACCAUAAAAAACUAAUGAAAAAUAAAUAAAAUCGAGAAAUUUCACUAAUUAAAAAAGAAAAGAAACGGACUUGCUGUUGAAAACAGCAGCUGUGAAGAGUCAAAGAUUGACCUUGAAUCCAAGCUGGCAUGCCACCUAAGCUUCUGUAAUCUACAGCCAGCUGACAUGGAAGAUGAGUCAGGAUUAUUGAGCUGGCAGAACAGCUGUGCUGAAGAAUAUCAGCACAUAAGCAUGGAGCAGCUGAAGCUUCUAGAAUUCUAAAAUGAUUGGCUCAUGAUUGGCAGUCUGACAAAAUUAGUUUUUCUGUGUAAUAUUCUUUAUUAGCUGUCAUUAUUUUCUUGUCUCUAUAUAUACUACAAUUGCUCUGUAAUACGUCAGUUGGGUAAGCAAUAAUAAAAGGAAUACUCUGUCUUGUUCACUCUGCUUGCAAUACUAAGCAAUUCUUUAGAAUUUAAGUUGGUAUCAGAGCCAUCUUUUAGCUAUGGCAAGCAGCAGCGACAAUGAAACAAAUGUUAAUCCAACACAGGUUGAUUCAAGUGAUCAACCAGACGAUUUGAAUCAAAACACUGAGCCACAAAAUCCAGGCCUUAACACCAGAAACACAGCACAAAUAAGUGCAUCACCAACCCAGCAUAUCACCAGCAACACCUAUGUCUUUACUACUCCAAUCAAACUAACUCAAAGCAACUUUAUGCUCUGGAAAUCACAAGUGAUUUCUAGCAUUAGAGCAAAUGAGCUUAAGGGGUUUAUUGAUGGCAGCCAUGUCUGCCCUCCUAAGGUCUUCAUGAGUCCUGGACCAAAUCGAUCCACCAUUACCACACCUAACCCUGAAUACCAGAUUUGGAGGAAACAUGAUCAUAUCCUAUUGAGUUGGCUACUCUCCUCUCUAAGUGAAGGAGUACUAGGCACAGUGGUAGAUUGUUCCACCUCCUGUGAGGUGUGGACAACUCUAGCCAACCAAUUUGGUGCUAGAACAAGGGCAAGAGUCCUAUAUCACAGAACUCAAAUUCAAACUACUAAAAAGGGUUCAUCAACCAUUCACGAAUACUACUCAAAAAUGAAAACUUUAUUGAACUCACUUAGAGCUGCAGGGAAUAGCAUGAAUGAUGAUGAUUUCAUCAUGUGUGUGCUUGCUGGUUUGGGGACAAAAUAUUACUCAGUAGUUACCAACAUCAACUCAAUGCAGGAGAGUCCCUCGAUCUCGGAAGUAUAUGGUAUGCUCUUGAGUCAAGAAAACAGAACUGAGCAAAACUUGAGCUCAGGGAACAUUGAAGCAAACUAUGCUCAAAUGAGGAAUGGAAGAAGGAGCUGGAACAACAGUGAAAGAACUACACAUCAGCAGCUGCCUGGAAUUGUUUUCAGAAAUCCUGGAAACAACCCCACAAAUAACCAAACCAAUCAGAAUCCUCAAGACAAAGGAAAAGGAAAAGCAGUGGCUGAUGACAGUGGUUCUGACCCAAAAGGGCCUUGUCAAAUCUACUGGAAAAUGGGACACACAGCAGCUGAGUGUUGGCACAGAUUCAAGAAGAACUUUGUACCUCAGCCAAACAGAAGAAGAGAGCAGAGAGGUGCUUAUGUUGCUGCAGCUGAAGGUCAAAGUAGUGGAGCUUGGUACCUUGACAGUGGUGCUACAAAUCAUGUGACUAACUCUCUUGGAAAUCUCAGCAUCAACUCUGAAUACCAAGGUAAAAACAAGCUAGCUGUUGGUAAUGGUGAAAAGCUUUUGAUUAGUCACAUUGGUUAUUCUGCUUUGCCCACAUAUGAUCCACACAAGCACAUCACCUUAACUGCUAUACUAUGUGUGCCUGACAUAACCAAAAACCUUAUUAGCAUUUCUAAAUUGCUGCAUGACAAUGAUGUUGAUGUUGAGUUUCAAAAAUCUGUUUGUUUUAUUAAGGACAAGAGACAAGGGAAAAUUCUGGUGAAAGGAGUGGCUAGAGUGGGCUAUAUGAGCUGAUGCACUUACCUGCCAUCCUGAGCAGGAACAAAAAUCCACAUGCUGUUUUGUCUUCUAUUCUGUCAAAUUCAGAGUCAAUGAAUAAUAAUAGUUGUCCAGUGUCCAUGUUGUCUUUCAAUUCAAGUAAUGAGUCCGUCAAAGUUAGUGUCGAGCCAAAUAUAGCUGAUGAGUCAAGAAGCAACAAUCUGCAAGCUGCUGAAGAAACUGAUGUGUGGCAUUCCAGACUAGGACACCCUAGUACUUCAGUCCUGAAAAACACCUUGUUAUCUUGUAAUCAGCUCAAAAUUAAUAAAGAUAUUGUUCCUUCAUUUUGCUCAGCAUGCCAAUAUGGAAAGCAAUCAAAACAAUCUUUCAAAAGCACUGAAACCAAAACUAAGACAGCCCUUGAACUGAUUCACACAGACCUUUGGGGACCAGCACCAAUUCUAUCCACUCAUGGACACAGAUAUUACAUCUCCUUUGUUGAUGACAGAACAAGAUACACAUGGCUCUUCCCUUUAGCAACCAAGUCUCAAGCUCUUGAAACCUUCAUUACCUUUAAAAAUCAGAUCGAAAAAUAAUUGAACCUAACAAUCAAAGCACUACAAACAGACAUGGGAGGAGAGUUCAGAGCCUUUGAACCAUAUUUGAAAAGAGAUGGAAUAACUCUAAGGCAUUCAUGUCCAUACUUACAUGAACAAAAUGGCAAGGUUGAGAGAAAACAUAGACACAUUGUGGAGACUGGACUUGCCUUACUUGCCCAAGCCAAAAUGCCCUUAAAAUUUUGGCAAGAAGCUUUCGGCUAUGCUAUCUUCAUUAUCAACAGACUUACCUCACCUGUGCUAAAGAACAAGACACCAUUUGAGUUAUUGUAUUCUUUCAAACCAGAUUAUACACAAAUUAAAAUCUUUGGCUGUGAGUGUUUUCCAUUUCUUAGACCAUACAACAGACACAAAUUUGAUUUUCACACUUCCAAAUGCAUCUUAUUGGGGAUCAGCAGUGCUCACAAAGGUUAUGUUUGUAUGAACAGUUCAGGAAGAGUUUAUAUCUCAGCUAGUGUCAAAUUCAAUGAAAAAUCCUUUCCUUUCGAAAAUGAUUCUAGCUUUAGGAAACAAGAGUCAGUAAAGGAAGGUGAUGAAAUUGCCUUACUUGAAAAAUUCCAGGUUGUGUCAUUCUCUGUCAACAAUCCCCAUGGUCUCACACAAGUGGCAACAUCUCAUAGCAACUCUCCAGACACUACUGGAAACACAGAAUGCAUCCUAAGUCCAGUCCAGAAUGAAAUGCAAUAGGUAAAUGAUACUGACACAAUAUCAGGUAGCCUUUCAACUCACAGUCCACCUCACAUUACAGAAAUAAACAGCCAAAACCUUCCCACACAAAAGGCCUUGCCUUCACACCCCAUGGUAACAAGAUCCAAGGCUGGGAUCUUCAAACCAAAGCUGUACCAGGUUUCCAGUAAACCACAACCUUCUCUUCCCAAAAACACAUUUGAGGCUUUGAAGGAUCCCAAGUGGAGAAAGGCAAUGAAGGAUGAGUAUCAUGCAUUGAUGAAAAACAAAACCUGGACCUUGAUACCAAACAACCAAAAUUGCAAAUUGAUUGGAAAUAAGUGGAUCUACAAAGUAAAGGAAAACUCAGAUGGCAGCAUCAACAAGUACAAGGCCAGAUUAGUAGCAAAGGGAUUCUUACAAACUCCAGGACUUGAUUUCAAUGAAACUUUCAGCCCUGUUAUUAAGGCUGCAACUAUUAGAAUCAUCCUAACCAUGGCAGUAAGCAAUGACUGGUUGCUUAGGCAAGUGGACAUAAACAAUGCCUUCUUGAAUGGUGACCUGACAGAGGCAGUAUACAUGCCACAACCUGAGGGUUUUGAAGACAAGAACAGACCAAGCUACAUUUGCAAACUGGAAAAGGCUUUGUAUAGAUUGAGGCAAGCUCCGAGAGCAUGGUUCGACAAACUAAAAGGUGCCUUGAGUUCUUGGGGAUUCAAAAAUUCCAGGAGUGACACAUCUUUGUUUUUCAGAAGAAUUGAAUCAAAGAUAGUCAUCAUGCUCAUAUAUGUAGAUGACAUUAUAAUCACUGGAAGUGACAGUCAAGGCAUUGAGGAAGUCAUUAAAGAUCUGAACACAUCCUUUGCUCUGAAGGAUCUCGGAAAUUUGAAUUUCUUCCUUGGGAUACAAGUUCUAAGGAAUCAAAACUCUAUCCUACUCUCUCAAGCAAAAUAUAUUCAAGACUUGUUGGCCAAAACAGAAAUGACAGACUGUAAAGGAAUAGAGACACCCUUCAGCACUUCUGAGAAAUUGGAAAAGGAUGCUGUGAAUAGAUUCCACGAUCCCACACUCUAUAGAAGCAUCAUAGGAAGCCUGCAAUAUACAGUAUUGACCAGGCCAGAGCUUGCUUUCUCAGUUAACAAGCUCAGUGAGUUCAUGUCUGAUCCUAGACAGCCACAUUGGGUAGCAUGCAAAAGAGUGCUGAGAUAUCUCAAAAACACAAUGAAUAUGUGUUUAAGUUUCAAAAAAUCUGAACAUCUGGAUCUCAUUGCCUAUACGGAUGCAGAUUGGGCAACUGAUCCAGAUGACAGAAGAUCCAUAAGUGGAUACUGUGUGUACUUGGGAGAUAAUCUGGUUGCUUGGAGCUCGAGAAAACAAGGCAUAGUAGCAAGGUCAACAGCUGAAUCAGAAUAUAGAGCAAUGGCUCUAUGCAGCACUGAAAUCACAUGGAUUAAUUCUCUACUUGGUGAGUUGAAGAUGGAUGUUGAAAAUAUACCAAUUAUCCUAAGUGACAGCACCAGUGCAGCAGCCAUAGCAGCAAACCCAGUCUAUCACUCCAAAACAAAACAUUUCGAGAUAGACCUUUAUUUUCUCAGAGACAAAGUUACAAAGGGAGAAUUGGAAAUAAACUAUAUUGGCAGCAAUGAUCAAAUUGCGGAUGUGCUGACCAAGCCAUUACCACAUCACAAGUUUAGCUGUUUUAGAAGCAAACUCAAAGUCAUUGACAAGACCUUGAGUUUGAGAGAGGGUGUUGAAAACAGCAGCUGUGAAGAGUCAAAGAUUGACCUUGAAUCCAAGCUGGCAUGCCACCUAAGCUUCUGUAAUCUACAGCCAGCUGACAUGGAAGAUGAGUCAGGAUUAUUGAGCUGGCAGAACAGCUGUGCUGAAGAAUAUCAGCACAUAAGCAUGGAGCAGCUGAAGCUUCUAGAAUUCUAAAAUGAUUGGCUCAUGAUUGGCAGUCUGACAAAAUUAGUUUUUCUGUGUAAUAUUCUUUAUUAGCUGUCAUUAUUUUCUUGUCUCUAUAUCUACUACAAUUGCUCUGUAAUACGUCAGUUGGGUAAGCAAUAAUAAAAGGAAUACUCUGUCUUGUUCACUCUGCUUGCAAUACUAAGCAAUUCUUUAGAAUUUAAGUCUUGCUGCUGCUUGGCGACUUGUUCUCGGAGCUUGAUUGCCUGUUUCUUGAUAGCUUCCAUACUGUUUCUUUCAAAAAGCGACGACGGCUCAGCUCAUGGAGGUGGAAAAAAAAAAGUGUGAUCGAGAAAAAUAAAAAGGCAUGAAUAAUUUUUGAAAAAAAAGCGAAAAUCAAGGAAAGCCAGCUCUUUCCAGAAAAUAAAAAAAGAAAAAAGAAAAUUAUAAGUUUGAAAGGAGAAGAUGAUAGUGGAAGUGUGCAGUGUGGCUGCCAGCUACUUGGAUUGUAGAGAAUUUUUUUUUUGUGGACAGAGCAUGACAUUAGACUUUUGUGGACCAAAUUCAAAAGCCGAAUGGCAUGGCCCAGAAGCUUUUGAAUACAAUAACUUGCUAGAAAGCUCCAUUUUUUAUUCUUCUUAUAUUUUACGCUUGUAUCAGCCUCAAUCACUUCUUAAUCGCUUGCUUUAACUGCAUCGCUCUCUCUGUGCUCUUCUAUAUAUGUAACAGUUAUGCGGUUGUAGUUCACGACUGAGGCUACGUGUUGGUUUGACGUGGCAGUUACGUUACAAGGGGAUAAAUAAGAUUGGUUGCAACAAACCCACUAAUUUUAUAAAAUUCGAGUAAUAUAGAAUAAAAUAAAAAAUAAAUACAAAAUUGGCUUUUAUUUUUUAUGGUUGACUGUAUUUUGUGUUCUCUUCCGGCACUACUACAAUUGUUACCUAUAUAUCAGUCACACCCAUAUAUCAUUAACACAAGAAAUGAAAUCUAAUGUCACCUAUUUAGUUAAAGAAUCACUCAUGAAAUUUUUUUACCUUUUUCAUUUGAGGAUCCAUAUUUUGAACUGCAAGUUAAUGUUCAUCAAGAAUCACUAAUGUUCAUAAAAAUCCGAGUAUGGCCGUUGAGUAGAAAAAUUAUUUUUGGACAAAUUAUUUUUGUUGAUAGAAGAAUUUCUUAAGGGACUACUAAAAUUAUUAAUAAAAAUGUAGAACACACCCACAUAUCAUCAACACAAUUGACUUUGAGGAUCCAUGCUUUGAACUGCCGCCUAAUGUUCAUCAAGAACAGAGUAUGACUUGUGAGUAGAAAAUUUUAUGAUUUUGGCCCGAAAUAAAAAGAAAUUAAAUUAGAUGAGAAUCUGCCACUUUCUCAUGAAGAAAGGCAUACGGAGCAUACCAUGGUACCAUACAAUACAAAGAGUCUCCGUUCUCUGGUUUUUCAAACUAUAAAGGGGCCAAUAUUCCCGAAUUCUCCCUUGAAAAUUCUGAUUACGACAUUAUUCAUCGCUUGACGCAAUCAAAGUAGCGACAAAGUUAAGAAAAAUAUGAGUCCUAAGCAAUUGCUAGGUAGGGUUCCUGAGAGUAAAAUUGUCCUAAGCAUUAUAUGCAUACAUGGUGUGGUACAUAGAGCACGUUGAAUUCCACACUAUAACACAAACCUAGAAAGACAAGUAAUAACUCAACUGAUAUAAAGACAAAAAGAAGAUAAAAUGAUAUAGAAAAAAGAAUUUCAAAGAGACAGCAACAUACGAUAGACUGAAGCCACUUGAUCUGCUCAUUGAUUGCAGCCUUAAACUUACAAAUAAUUACCGUACGCUAGUGCUCUAAGAAGUGAAAAUGAUGCAAGCCCUGAUUCCCUUUUGACUUCCAUUUACUGUCAAACAUUCUAGUAAUACAAAAAAUUGUUUAAAUAUCUUGCUAUAAAUAUAGCCGUUUGACUGUCAUAAUAAAGUCACAAAUAACCAUUCAUAUUGAAAUAUCUUGCUAUAAAUAUAACCAUUCCUUAUCAAUACAUUUGGCAAAAACUUAAGAAGAAAACUAUUUCUCCAUCUCUUUUUUGAAAUUUCACAAUAAACCAGCACAUUAUGAAAGCUAUGUUCUAAUCUUAUGAUAAAUGCUCUAGACUCCAAAAGGACUUUAUAUAUGAGAGUUUGUUGCAGCAGAUAUAUUGACUUAUCAAGUAUGAAUCAUUGUCUGGAUGAACUAUCUUUAAAUAAAAGAACAUUAGAACCACUGUAGAAUAUCUUUACGCUGCUGGUUCUAACAGGAAUCUGCAUGUGGCAACAAUUGCUAGAUCCACAAUUCCCCAACUUGAAAUACAUAGUUGCACACCAUGAGAUAGUGCUACAAUCUACUGAGAUCUAACUUAUAUGAUACUUUAUGCUACUAAUUGCAUAUUUUUACAUGUUAAAUUAACACUAUCAUCUAUAAUCACUCCAAAAUGACAAAUGAUAAGCAGCUUUUGGCUAGUUAUUACUAGCAUCCACAAUUAUAAAUAAGAGAUCAUGGGUUUACUUGUUGCACCUACUUAAUGAUCUGCAGUUGAGACCCUGACGCAAGGUUUAAAUAGUGACUGCUUAGAACCCUUGUAGUUGGAUCUUGACCUCUCCCAUUUUAGCCAAGAUUGGCUACUCUGGUAAUGAAUCAACACUGUCCUGCUCAGGGCCAUGAAGAUCUGGAAGCUCAGCACUAGUGGAGAACUUCACCAAUCUCUUCUUCUCAGCAUACUUGAGACAAGGCUGCAUUACGAGACCAAUCACCACAGCACCAACGAUUAAAACUGCAACUUUUAAAGUAGAAAGAGCCAACACAACACAAAUCAAUAUGGUUGGAGGAAUACAUAUGAUAAUGGCUCCAACAGUGCCAGUGGGUAUCUUGUAAGGACGAGAUAAAUAGUAGAGAAGUUUUUAAGAAGCUAGAACAGAGCAUGUUAGACUUUUGUUGACCAAAUUCAAAAGCCAAAUGGCACAGCCCAGAAGUUUUUGAAUAGAAUAACUUACUAGAAAGCUCCAUUUUUUGUUGGCUACAGUAAAAGGAUGUUGUUUUGUUCUUCUUAUACUUUACGCCUGCAUCAGCGUAAAUCACUUCUUAAACGAUUGCUUUAACUGCACCGCUUCGAGUCUGUUAAACAUUCGGUGAUAAGAUUAGUUACAACAAACCUACUAGUUUUAUAAAAUUCAAGUGAGAUGGAAUAAAAUAAAAAAAUAAAUAUAAAAUUGGCUUUUAUUUUUUAUGGUUGACUGUAUUUUGUGUUCUCUUCGGGCACUACUACAAUUGUUCCCUAUAUAUCAGUUACACUCACGUAUCAUCGACACGAAAAAUGAAAUCUAAUAUCACCUGUUUAGUUAAAGAAUCACUCAUGAAAAAAAAUUACCAUUUUGAUUUGAAGAUCCAUAUUUUGAACUACCAAUUAAUGUUCAUCAAGAACAGAGUAUGGCCGUUAAGUAGAAAAACUAUUUUUGGACAAAUUAUUAAAUUCCAAUAUUGUAUCGAUAUGCAAACGAUGCCUGAAGCAUAGCCUCCAAACAAUGAUCAGGGCACAAAACAAGAGUGUAGUAAUCAAGUGUAUUGUCUCAUAAUCAAUUAAAAGCAGAUAUACAGGAUACCAUAUUCAAUUCCAAAAUAACAAAAGCAUAAUGAGGAUGAGAAGAACAAUGCAAGAUUUGUUGUUGUUUUAGUUGCUUCUAAUAUUUUUUAUGACGCACAUCUAUUGAAUUAAGAGAUUUCUAUAAUCAGUGCCGCAGUACUGAAAAUAAACUACUUGUCAGUCAAAUAGCUGAGUAUUUCUAUGAGAAUGCCAUUAUUAAUGACCGACUUUUUCCAGAUUCUUGGACAAACAUAAGAGACUAUUGUGCUUAGUUAAAACGAUCACUCAAAUAUGAUUUCUCCACUUUGGUUGUCAAUUAUCUAUUCAAAUUAAUCAGUGUCAUAAUCGACUUAUUUAUUUAGAAGAGCGGGUGAUAAAUAUAUUUAAUAAUGUGAACAAGAAGUUGAUCAACUUUUAUGAUCAUUUGGAAGGUCGGCGUGUCAUCACUCGUCAAACACAUUGCAUCGAUCCACCAGCAUGAACCGACCGGAUUAUGCCCAAAAGUUGAAAUAUCAAUAAAAAAAAAUUAAUUAAAGGUCGAAGAUGGGUCCUUUACAUAUGUUUUUGUUUUCGUAUUAGGUAGGAAGUUACUAUAUUAUAUCAUGUAAUUAAUUUAUUAUUGCUCAACAUUAAGUAAUAACUUAACUAUAUAAAGACAAAAAGAAGAUAUAAAAAAAAAAGAAUUUCAAAGAGAUAGCAACAUACAAUAGAUUGAAGCCAUUUGAUCUGCUCAUUGAUUGCAGCCUUAAACUUGUAAAUAGUUACUGUACGCUAGUGCUCUAAGAAGUGAAAAUGAUGCAAACCCUGAUCCCCUUUUGACUUCCAUUUACUGUCAAAUAUUCUAUUCAUACGAAAAAAAUGUUUAGAUAUCUUACUAUAAAUAUAGCCGUUUGACUGUCUUAAUAAAGUCACACACAACCAUUCUUAUUAAAUUAGUAAGAUCAAACACUGCCCUGGAUCUUGAAGAGAUCAACACAAGUUGCACAACUUACGAUUGAAUCCGGCCAGAAACAAUCAACUCUUUAGCAAGAACAAUUAAUCAGAGCAAGAAACAAGUUUAAUGAAUAUAAACCUAUAAUUGAAAAUUUGAAACAAACAUAGCCAAGAAAAAAAUACAGAUUUUACACGGUUCAGUUGUACCUAGGAUGGCACAACCUACACCACGAGAGAAGCUUUCUGGUGAGAUUUUAUUGAUGAUCAAAGAAGAAUCUUUUGACAAAGCUGAUAAUAGAGAUUUCAGAGAAUAAGCCAUAACCCUCUCUCCCUCUUCAAUCUCUCUCUAUUUUGUUCCCAUUGAUGACCCCAAUCUGCUUAGUUAUCCAGCUUUAUAGCUGCAUCAGUAACAAACCAGCAAACCCAGAUUGAGCAGAUUAACGACACGUGGAUAACGGCUUUAACGAACCUGGUUAAGAACUGCUCACAUUUUCGUCACGCGUACUGCUUAAAUGAUGGCCAAAACGACUUCAAACAAAUGUCGUUUUGAGGCUUAUGAAUUACAAGUGAUAACACGAGCUUGUCUCAUGACUUUUAAAUGCAACAACGUGCCCACAACGCCGUCGUUUUACUCUGUUGAGUUUGAUUCAUUACUAAGCUUUACGACUGGCAAUGGAGAAGAUGAUAAUUUAAUUGACAUGGACAGUUUUUAUAUCACUUUUACUUGCAAUUGUAAUAUUGAGAAUUAUUGAUGUUUUAUAUGUGAAUCCUCAUUGGCAAAAACUAGUGGUUUUAUCUUUGUUGAAAUGUAGAUGACCUCUCGUUACUAUUUUAUUAUAAACAUAUAGUUUCGUAAGAGAAACUAUAUGUUUAUAAUAAAAUUAACAUAUAGUUUCGUUACAUUUCUGCCUCAUUAAGAUUCUCAAAUACCAGUCAGGUUUGCUUAAGGAAUAAAAUUUUUUCAUUAAAAUUGCAGUAGUAUUUCCAAGCAUAUUGCAUUUUCUAUGAUUUUUCAUAAAUUAAUUAAUCUGCGGUGCCAAUAUCAGAUUUAGUUUUUCAAACUAAAUAAUCAAGAAAGCAAACAUACAAAUAUACAGUUUAGAGGGGUAAACUAGGUAGGUGGUUUAGAUUUUAGAACUAAGCCAGCUACCUCGCUAAAUUCCGAUUCGUACAGUGAACUGCAAGAAAUUGAGAAAACAAUGUAUUUAUAACUUAAUAGAAUCAUAAGAAAACAAUGUAGUCAUUGCUCAAUAUAAGAUGAUUUCGGAGAGGCACAUUGUUUUCAAGUUAAUUUGAUCCGUUUAUGAGAGAUGAAGUGGAAUGAAGUUGAAAGUUUCCUGACAUGUACAGUAGAUGAAGUUGUUGCUCCUUUCUUUGGAUUAUUUCAGCUCCGGUUGUUGGUCACCGAUGAGCCGGAGUCUUAUUUUAAUUUUAUUUAAACUCAUCAUAAGAUUCGUGGAGCACCUAACUAACUUAACUGACUGUGCAGAGCAUGUCAACAUUGCAUAUUUAACCAUCAUUCAAGUGAUGGGUUUAAUAAGACUGCUUUUGUUCUAUCAAGUUCCUCCGCCUCUAAGCAGAAUUACUAUUGAAGAGCCAAAAAGAAAAUGAAAACGUGUGAACCCCAACAACCACCCCACAAAUUCAAUGACGAUGCUAAGAGAGGGUUAGGCUGGGCCUCUGAGAAAAAACAUUUAUUUAGUUAAAAAAUUACCCUUAUUGAAACCUGUAUAAAAAUUUAUAUUAGUUAGUUAUGUUGCCUCUUCAACUAUGAUCAAAUUCUUAUCCGAGCUCAUCAUUUAAUGAGUAAAAGUGUAUUUUAAUGAUCUCAGUUAAUAUUUAGAACAAAUAUUUUAAGAAGUAAAGCUUAUUAUAUCUCCCAUCAUUAGGUAUCUCUUUAAUUUCUUAUUUACAAAAUUAUAUUGUACAUUAAAAAAAUUCAACUCACUCAAAAAAAAAAAAAAUGCUGGUAGCUUCGUAAUAAUUACUGUAUUAUUGACUGCACAAGAUAAAGUUUUGUAAAAUAAUAAGUUCUCAUUAGUGGUUUUUAAUUUUUUUAAUUUUUUUUUCCGGCACACCUGAUCAAGAAUUCUAUUUUGUUAACUAAUCAAUUGCAAAGCAUAAAUGUUGAACAGUACAAAAAAUUUGAAAAAAGACACUUAAAACGUGGGGUGAAAACACUUCUGUCUAAUUUCCGUUAGUGGAUUUAACGGAAUGUUCACGAAAUUACAUUUUUACCUCUCAAAAUUACAAUUUAACCCAAAAUAAAUGGAAAUUGCAGAUAAAUUGGAUGGAUUUAAUUUUUUUCAAAGGUGGAUGCUAGAAAUUGGAGGAAAAUAGUGUUUGUUGCUUGCUAAAUUUAGAAAAUUUGUAUUUAUUUUUUUGAAAGAGAAAAAAUAAAUACAAAUUUUCUAAAUCUAGCAAGCAACAAACACUAUUUUCCUCCAAAAAAAAAUAAAUACAAAUUUUCUAAAUUUAGUAACAAACAUUAUUUUCCUCCAAUUUCUAGCAUCCACCUUUGAAAAAAAUUAAAUCCGUCCAAUUUAUCUCCAAUUUCUAUUUAUUUGGGGUUAAAUUGUAAUUUUGAGGGGUAAAAAGGUCAUUCCGUUAAAUUUGCUAACGGAAAUUAGACGUAAGUGGACGAAUGCAACAAAAAGCAAGCUUCGGGUGGCGCGUUGAAAAUAAAAAGUGUUUGUCUAUUUUUGAAAAAGACAAAACAAACAGGUGGACGGUUGUAAAUUUUCCUAAUUUUUAUAUCACUUUUACAACGUCCUAUAUAAUUGUAGUAUUAGGAAUUAUUGGUGUUCUAUAUGUGAAUCCUUAUUGGCAAAAAUUGAUGGUUUUAUCUUUAUUGAAAUGUGGAUGACCUCUCGUUACUAUUUUACUUAGACAACUUUAUUCUCAGGAGAUUUUGUCAUUGAAAUUAACAUGUAGUUUCGUUACAUUUCUGUUUAUUAAGAUUCUCAAAUACCAGUCAGGUUUGCUUAAGAAAUAAAAUUUUGCCAUUAAAAUUGUAGUAGUAUUUCCAAACAUAUUGCAUUUUCUAUGAUUUUUCAUAAAUCAAUUAAUCUGUGGUGCCAAUAUUAGGUUUAGUUUUUCAAACUAAAUAAUCAAGAAAGCAAACAUACAAAUUCACAGUUUAGAGGGGUAAACUAGGUAGGUGGUUUAGAUUUUAGAACUAGGCUAGCUACUUCACUAAAUUCUGAUUUGUACAGUGAACUGCAAGAAAUUGAGAAAACAAUGCAUUUAUAGUUUAAUUGAAUCAUAAGAAAACAAUUUAGUCAUUGCUCAAGAUGAGAUGAUUUCGGAGAGGCACAUUGUUUUCAAGUUAAUUUGAUCCGUUUACAAGAGAUGAAGUGGAAUCAAGUUGAAAGUUUAAAUAACAAAUCCUUGUUCUUGAGUUUUACGACGUCUUUGCUCCUUCCAAGUGGCAGAUUAUAUAAACUAAUCAACACUAAAUUGAUUAUGUUUUGUAUGUUUAUAUGCUAAUCAACACGAAAUUAUAUUAAAUGAAGAAAUGCUUCAAUUUUUUCUAAUUUAGUUUAGAAAAUUAAUUAAUUAACAUUAAUAUUCCUAAUAAAAAUUAUUUUCCAUCAGUAUUCAAAAUUUUCACUUAUAGAAAAUGCAUUUUACGUGAAUACUAGCUAUUGUGUAAAUUUGAAUGAUAGCGAAAAAUAAACCUAUUUGAAAACUUAGAUGACCAGCUAAAUAAACCUAUUUGAAAACCAUUCGGCCAACUCCCCAGGGCAAAAAUACGAGGUCCUUAUUUACAUAAUAUACAUGAAUUGAUGUCAUUUAUUAGAAUUAUCCAAAUUCAUCAGAGGUAAAACUGUAAAAUAUAGCAAAAGAAUUAGAAGGGUGUGUUGGGAUAUUUUAUUUAGUUAAAAAAAUUACCUUUAUUGAAACCUGUAUAAAACUUUUAUAUUAAUUACUUAUGUUGCCUCUUCAACUGUGAUCAAAUUCUUAUCAAGCUCAUCAUUUAAUGAGUAAAUGCGUAUUUUAAUGAUCUCAAUUAAUAUUUAGAACACAUAUUUUAAGAAGUAAAGCUCAUUAUAUCUCCCAUUAUUAGGUAUCUCUGUAAUGUAUUGAAUUAGAAGAAAAAAAAAUUCAACUCACUCAAAAAAAAAAAAAAAUGCUGGUAGCUUCGUAAUAAUUACUGUAUUGACUGCACCAGAAAAAGUUUUGUAAAAUAAUAAGUUCUCAUUAGUGGUUUUUAAUUUUUUUAAUUUUUUUUUCGGGCACACUUGAACGGUACAAAAAAUUUGAAAAAAAAACACUUAAAACGUGCCAAGUGUGAAAUUUACGACAAUAAUUACUUUUGAUGCUUGGAAUCAUUUAAUUUCUAGCCGUAUUGACUCCACCAGAUGAAGUUUUUAAGAUAACAUGUUCCCAUUCUUUAUUUUUUUUAUUUUUAAAUGUGCUUCUAAUAAUUUAUAGAAGAAUUUAUGAUUUCCCAUUAGCAUUAUCAUUGAAGGGGGUUGGGUCAAAUAUCAGUUGCUUGAAGAAUUUAUUUAUUAUUAUUGUAUUGAAGUAGGAUGGGUAACGGUUCACUCAAUUCGUUAGGAAUUAAAUAUAGAAAUGAGAAAUAGAGAAAGAAUGGAAGAAAGUUAAGAUAUGAAAGAUCUGCAGUGAAAUUGAUAAUCAUGUUUCUAUUUCGUUAACUAAUCAAAAGGAAAACUGAAACUGUAAACAAACAUUAACACGUGUGGACUCUGCCAGCUGCCCUACAAGUCUACAAUAAUAAUUGAGUACCUUUGAUUCAUCCUUCUAUGAAUUUCUAGCUGUAUUGACCCCAACUGCUAAAGUUUUGUAAAAUAAAAAAAAAAAAAAAACUGGAAUUUCAACAAAAUUCAAAACGUGUGAAAUUUAAUUUUUGGCCAUGUGGAACAAAAUGUAAAUUACGGAAAAAGUAUAAAUCUCAAUUGCUUAGUAUGGUUAGGUUUUGUGAGCAUCACUAAAAAGUGAAAACUAUGAAUGAUAGAGGUGAUGUUUGCAACAUGAAUAAACGAUGAACUGAAUCAAUUGAUGAUCGUAAUUAUAUAAUGAACAAAAUUUACAAAAUCAACAAAAGUUAAUAAAAAUUUAUUUUAAUAAUAAAAAAUAAUAAAACUUAUUAUUUAACGGCGCUCUAACCAUGGAGUGCCAUAAUCAUAUUCUUCUUUUAAGAAAAUUAUAACUUAUUUCAAAUAGCACCAUAACAUAAUUCUAGAUAUUUAAAAGAAAAGCAUUAUCCACCUGAAAUGACUUGAAGUCUAAAGAAAAAGAGAGAGUGGCUCCCCACAAUUUUCUUGUUUUCAGUAUAUUUUCUUUUUUUUUUCUUUUUAAAAUCUUUUGACGCAUACAUAAUCUACCCUUGUUCAUUAUCUCUAUUUUGCUCUGUUCAAGUCCCUUUUUUUUCAAAUCUUAGUUUAAAUAAGAAAAUUGAAUAAAAGUACAUUUGUGUAAUUAAUUAGUAUCUGUUUUUUUUUUGGGGGGGGAGGAUAUUUGGUGUAAUGUUUUGCUAUGUAAGACUCAGCUAUUAUUAAACAGUUCCUUAACCUGUUUCGCAGUUUAUUUGCUAUCUUUGUGGAUCUCAUAGGCGUUGCAGAAUUUAAUAAUUUUAUUCGUCAGAAGAAUAGGAUAUUGGCUUCAAUAAAUUUAAUUUAAACCAACUUUUAUUUACUCCAUCAAUUAAUUAAUGCCAUUUGGUUUUGAAAAAUUCAAUAAUUAAAUUCUCACGUUUUAUGUGUUUGAAGUUAAAUUAUUCAUUAACUAGAACUCUGUUCAAAAUUGACUGUCUUGUGGUUCCCAAAUGUAGUUGUAAUAUUGAAUGAAAGUAAAAACUUUCUAUGGCGAGUUUAAAUCUAAAUCUGAACAAUGAAUUUUGACUUUCUCAAUACUAUCCUAAUUAUGAAAAUUAUAUUAAUUGAUUUAUUGUUACAGUUACUAGCCUUUGAAAAUGGAUGGAUUUAUUGUUUCCGUGACCAAAUUAUGCCUGCCUAACGCUGCAACUAUUAAAAAAAUUAAUAUUUAAUGCACAUGUUAAAAGAUUUAAAAUUUUAUGCAUUUAUUAAUUGUUAUAAUCUAAAAGAAAAUUAAUUAAUUCAGGUCAAUCUGAGUUGGUGCAUCUGCAGGAGCCUUUUUUUUUUUUUUCCGUUUAUUGACCAUAAAUGCAGUAAUAUAUACAUUUCAAUAUGUUGACACACUCUGGCCAGAGAAUUCUAUGAUCAAGUGCCGAAAACCCAUCAAGAGAUGUGUUGUACAAAUUCUAUAUUGUUAAUCCAUAACUCCAAUACUCAUAAUUGCUCCCACCAAGAUACUGGGUAAUCUUGACCACAAGAAUGUGUCGUGCCCAUUGGUAACUCAAAUGGAAUAACAAUUACAAUCAUGAAAUCAUAAUUAACACAAGAUUAAGAUUACAGUAAAAUCAAUGCCUAUGAGAUUUAAUAAGUUUGACAGUCAUUUCAAUGUUAAUUAAAUCUCAUAUGUGAUCCUGUUCAAUGUAGUCGUACUUCAUUAAUAAAUUCAUACAUGAUUAAGACAAAUCAUUCAAUGAAUUCAUUACAGUCUAUACCUAAAUAAAGUGCCCAACUUUAUUUAUCAACUGCGAACUAAAUUUAGUUAAUCAUAAGAUAACUUAUAUUUAUGUCUUUUGUGAAUCCACAUGGUGAUCACAUAAAUGCAUAUAAUAUGAUUAAAUGGACUUUGAUCAAAAUAUUAAUGUAAUUAAGAUAUUUGAAUAAAAUACCUCAUUAAUUUUAUUAAUCAGAAAAAAUGUUUAUUAUAAUUAAAUAAACACAUAUGCUUUUAAAGAGCAUAUUUUCCCAACAUUCUAUCUGUCAAUUUCAUCUAGAAGUCCCUCUGAAAACAUCUCCCAAAACAGUUAGUCAUCUUUUAUGCUCUGUUUUCUAGAAACAGAGUCCUAACUAAAUUGAUUGACUGUACAGUGCAUUUCAACAUAGCAUAUUUAACCGUUUUAACUGUUAUUUGAACCGUCUUCAGAGUUAACAUCAACAAACUCAUUCAUAUUGGUCCAAUCUUACGGACGAUAUCAUAUGCUUAAUAAUGAACGAAUAGUCUUGGAUCAGUGUUUUGCAGCAAGAGCAACUCGACACAAUCUGGAUUCAACCUCCUCCUAUCUAACAAGGGAUUUCUAUUUGAGUUACUUUGUGCUCAAGCAAUUAAAUUCACAUCAUAUUUUGAUUCUUUAGAUAUGAAUUCAUCACAUUACAUAUAUCAGAUUAAGUGUAACAAAAUUUUUAAUUUACUGCGAAAAGAAUAUGCACUAAAAAAUGAUUUCAAGACUAUUUGACUACAAAAAGCAGCUGUCAGAGUGCACUAAAAAUUUCUGUAGGAUAUUUUGUAGCUGUUUAAUAUGUUAUGAUGGGCAUAUAAUUCUCAAAUUUUGAUGCCUCUCAGCGAAAAUAUAUCAAAGUUACGGAUGAUAUCACGUAAAACAUGCAUGGCUCAGGCUCAGGCUCAGGCUCAGGCUCAGGUAAGAAAGCCACAGAAAAGGAAAAUCUCAGUGUCACGACUCACGUCACGCAUCAUUCAAGUGAUGGAUUUAACAAGACUGCUGCUUAUGUUCUAUCAAAUUCCUCUGCCUCUCAGAAGAUAACUUUUCUGGGCCAAAUUUCUCAUCUAAAGUAUAUUAUGCCCCAAAGUCACAGAUAACAAAAUGGGGCACUACCGAUUAUGAAAGAGAACUAGUAGAUCUCAGAAGCCUAGGUCAAAUUCCAGUAGUAAGAAGAGGUCUUUCUUGAGUUUAGAUUAUGUGUUCGAGUUUUAAUAAAUGCCUAAGUUAUUAAUAAUAACAACAGUAAUAAUAAACUAAAAAGCAUAAUUACUAUUGAAUGGUAAAAAAAAAAAAAUGAAAAUGUGUGAACUCCAAUAACCACCCCAGUGGCGAAUUUUGGAGAGGGCUAGGCCGGGCUUCUUAGAAAUUAUUUUUAUUUAAUUACAAAAUCACCUUUAUUGAAACCUAUAUAAAAUUUUUUAUAUUAAUUAAUUAUGUUGCCUCUUCAAUUAUCAUUAAAUUCUUGUCCGUUCAUCAUUUGCUGGAUAAAUGUGUAUUUCAAUAAUUUCAAAUAAUGUCUAGAACAAAUAUUUUGAAUGAUAAAGCUCAUUAUGUCCUGCAUUACUAGAUGUAUCUAUAAUUUAUUAUUUACAAAUUAUAUUGUAUGAUAAAAAGUAUUGAAUUUUUUUUAAAAAAAAAGUUCGGCUCACUCAGAAAAAAAUGUUAUUAGCUUCGCCACUGCACAAAUCUAGAAUAAUAAUUAUUCCUUAUUAUAUUGACUGCACCAAGCAAUAAACUAAUAAGUUCUCAUCAGCGGUUUUUAAUCUUUUUAAUUCUUUUUACCGCACACCUGAUCAAGAAUUCUAUUUUGUUAACUAAUCAAUUGCAAAUCAUAUAUUAGUGUUGAGCGGUGAACAAAAUUGAAAAAAAAAAUUCUUAAAAAACGUGUGGACUCGGAUAGCCAGACCAGAAAUCUAUGACAAUAAUUAGCUUUGAUGCUGGGAAUCUUUUAGUUUCUGGCCGUAUUGACUCCACCAGUGAAGUUUUUAAAAUAACAAGUUCCCAUUCUCCAUUUUUUUUUUUUUUAAUGUGCUUAUAAUAAUUUUAGAAUAGUGACUUAUUUGUAGAAGAAUUUAUGAUUUCCCAUUAAUAUCAAUAUUGAAGUGGCGUGGGUCAAAUCUCAAUUGCUUGAAAAAUCUAUUUAUUAUUAUUAAUAUUGAAAUGGGGUGGGUAACGGACCAACGGUUCACUCAAUUAAUAUGUGGGGAAUUAAAUAUUACCAUCCAAGGUAGAAUUGUGGAAAAUUAAAGCAAAAUGAGAAAUAUGGAAAGGAAGGCUGAAAGUAAGGCAUUAUGAAAGGCUUUGAGAAGGCUGAAGACCACCAAAGAAGUCAACUGAAAGCUAGCUGGGGCCUGGUAUAUAUGUUAGAUGUGUUUGUUAUAAAUAACAUAGAGCCCUUUCGUUAGCUAUAGUUAUGGAGACAGAGAGAGUUUGUGUUUUUUAGUAGUUAAAGAUAUUGCUAGAAUGGGUGGUUCAAAAUCCAAAAUGGUGACAAUGUUUGUUCUGUUAUUAAUAAUAUUAGAAUGGGGUAGAGUGAGGGAUGUUUGGAGCUUCAGAGAUUUGCUCUUUUGCGGCUUAAGCAUUUCUUCAAUUCUCCUUACAGACUUUAAAACUGGGUAGAUGAGCAAAGAGAUUGUUGUCAGUGGGAAACCGUUGAGUGCAGCAAAGUGAAAUUAAUUUCUCCCUAUUCUUAGUCUUACCAGGAGUAUCGAUCUCGGAGAGUGGUAUCUGAAUGCUUCUCUAUUUACUCCCUUUCAACAACUUGGCAACAAAAUAGCCGGUUGGGUUAAGAACGAAGGUCCUUCAUUUAAUUUAAUUUACUUAAUUUCUCCCUCUUAAUUAAUGUCUAUAACCAUUAGGAGAAAUAAGGGAUUUUAUUAACUCAAAUAUAUCCAAUGGAGCUCAUUCUUUGGUUUUACUUGCAGGUCUAGAAGCAGGUGUCAUCUAACAGCUGCUUUGAUAAUUUCCCACACCUUCAUCUUUGAUGGAAAUAUGAAAUAAAAACAAAUUGGUGAAAAUCGUAUUGGUACCCGAGGCUCUGUAAUCUAUUUCAAAAACUACACCAUCAAAACGACUGCAUAAGAAUCUAACUUCUCCUCUUGAUUUUUUAUGGGCAUGUUGUGUAGUACAUGCAGACAAAAAUCAUAUUUUAGUUUACUCUUACUCAAUGCUUGGAUUAAAGUUUUUUUUUGGGGGGGGGGGGGGGGAUUGAAGCAGACUAAAAUGACACAAAAAAUAGUUGAACGAGUGCGGGUUUUGUCUUCAUUUUAGGAGAUCUUUAUAAAUUUUAGGAUUUUUUUUCUCGAGAAAAUUUAUGCCAACUCAUUCUUUGCUUCUUUUAUGAAGGGACAGAUGCAACUGAAAGUAUAUUCUUGAAUUCUAUAAGAGACAGCAGUUUAGAUUCUCGAGCCUUCAAAAAAAUAUCAAAUUCUAGAUUGCUGAAAUUUUAUAUAUCCAAGUAUGAUGGUGCUCCAAUUAUAAACUCCAGGGAGCAACUUCACCGCGGAUUAGAAUGUCUUCCUGCAGAAUUGAGAAAUCUCCAUUGGCAUAAAUAUUUUUUUGAAAAUACUGUCAUUAGAUAUUUUUAUUAUUCAUACUUCAUUGCACAAGGCACCACCUGGCUUCUAUUUCCAGCCCUAAUAAUGAUCCGCUGCUGGAAAAGAAUUUGUGCAGCAUGUACGCUCCUUGACCACAACAGCAAAGUUUAUUGAUGUUAUUUCAUAUUCUGCUGUGACUCAAAUAAAAAUUUACUAUGCCCUUUCGGCAUGGCUUGCCUUUCAGCAAAAAAAGAAAAAAAAAAUCUUUCAAAUUGUGGAAGCAUGCUUACAUUAAUCAGCUCAGUAUGUUAUGUUUCAUGGGAUGCAAAAUUCGUUUUGUUUCUCAUGGAAGAAUUGACUUGUCUGGAUGUAUUAAUCUCAUAGAUUUUCCACAGAUUCGUGGGAAUAUAACAAAGCUAGACUUAAGUGAGAUCCCAAUAGAAGAAGUUCCGUCAUCAAUAAAAUGCCUAGCUGAUCUUAAAACGUUGCGUUUGAGUAAGUGCACGAGGCUGAAGAGGCUUUCCAUCAAGCAUUUGUAAAUUGAAAUCUCUUCUUGAGCUUUAUCUCUAUAACUGCUCAAACCUUGAAAGUUUUCCAGAAAUCAUGGAGAAAAUGGAACGUUUAAAGAUAUAAAUUUAGCAAGGACGGCCAAUUACAGAGCUGCAAUCUUGAUAGCCUUCGGGAUAACAUUAGCAAUUUAAAAUCUUUGAGGUACAUCUCUACUAAUGGAUCAGCCAUUAGUCCUCUGUCGCAGGUUCGGUUGUACUUAAAUAUCUAUCAUUUUCUCAAUGCAGAGGUUUGGUAUCAUUGCCUCCAAUAUUAUUGUCAGGUUAGGUUUAGGUUUAUAGAAUUUGUUACAGCUAAAUUUAAGAGAGACUGCUAUAAUGGAAAUUCCCCAAAAUAUUGUUCGUCAAUCCUCAUUGAAAAUUUUAAAUCUAAAGGCUUGUUUGUUAACUACUUGAAGUAUGUAGUUAAUGCUUUUUUUUUUUUUUUUGUAAUUUAUGUUUGAUUUGAGAUAUUUACAUUUGAAUAAAAAAAUUAUACUUUUGUUACAUUUAUCUAAAAAAAAAAAAAGGUUGAAUGAGAAGUAAAUAAUUCCCUUUUUCGUUUUAACUUACAAAAACAUAAAUGUUAACUAUGUUUAAGAAAUUUUUUAUUUAUAAAAAGAAACCCAAUACUACUUAUAUUUGUAUAUCAAAAAAUGAAAAACAAACAUGUUAUUCAUACGUUCGCAUACAAACUCACUCAGACCUCAGCUAAAUACAAAUCCAUUUAGAUUUCAAAAAAAUAAAUAAAUACUUCCUAAGCGGGAAUAACUUUGAGAGUUGACUUGCAAGGCUAGAAUAUCUUGACUUGAACGGUUGCAACGAUUUCUCAUCAUUGAGAGUUUAUCAUUGUGCUUCAUCAUCAUUAUUAAUAAAAAGGUAAGCAAUUAAGAGUCAAAUUAAACCAGAAAAUCACUCAUCCACGCUUUUGGGACAUCAUUCUGCUCAUUAUUUUUAUUCCGUAUCUUCAUUGUUUUAUUUGGUAAUUAUUACCAUUAGGAAAUAAAGGGAUUAGUUGAUUAUUAUGAACUAACUAAAUGGAGCUCACCCUUAAAUGUCGGCUUGUAUCAGGGAGGUGCCUUAGGGUUAAUAAAUCAACUAAUCCCAUAAUUUGUUGAUGUAGGUGAUGGUUGUUAAAGCCAACAAAAAUAAAUACAUACUCUAAAUAAAUUGUGUAUAGUGAUUGAGCAGGGUCGUGUCCACAGAUAUCAGUAAUUAUUUAAAUCCUUUUAAAAUGUAAAACAUAAAAUGAGGGUUUUGUUGACAAUAAUAAAAAUUAAAUUAAAAUAACAAGAAUGCAAAUUAAAGUUGUAAUUCAAAUUUGGAGAAAGCUCUAGUUGAAGGAAUUAAUUGAGCUUGAUUCGACUACUGAUCAUUGAUUCAAAUAUAAAUUAUUACUACUUAUGAAUAGACCGGUUAUAGCUACUGAGACCUUCUAAUAGCCAAUCUCUCUUUAACUAGUCGAUAACCAAGGUACGACCAUUGAUUAUUUCCCUAAUCAAUAGACAACCCUAGAUACGAUCAUAGGAUUUAAUCAAUUGACAGCCUGAAAAUCUAGAGAGACCCAAAUCCUAAUCAACAAACACAUACGAUGGUUCAUUUAAAUUAGAUUGUUUAUUCUCAUAACACAACUCUCUGCUAUGUUAUUUGUCACAAACAUUAAAAUCUUCAUACGAUGAAUCCUUUAAUUGACAAUAGAUUAAGUUGAUAAUUAAAUAGUGGCCAAUUACCUAAUUAACAAACAUAAUCAUGAAAAUAAUUCAGAGAAUAAACAAAUACCCAAAAAGUAAUAAAACAAUUAAAGCAUAAGAAAGAUCUCGCAGUAGUGAUGAAUCAAAGCUUCAUUAACCUUCAACCAGAAAAAUAGGUUUAUUUCUUCAUAGAGAGAAGAGAAAAGUUUAGAUCUAGGGUUUCUUUCUUUUUCUCCAAUCCCCCCUUUUUCACUAUAGAUUCCUCCCUUAAAUACUCUCUCUCUCUUCUCCUCUAGAGUUCUAUUUAAAAUAAAAUACUAAUAUAUGAAAUAUUAAAUUCGUAAUUACAAAAAUAGCCAAAAAUACAAAACACGUUAAACUAAAAACUGCAGGUCCGCAGUUGACAGCACGUGCCCACGCCUUAUCAAUAAAGUUCUUCUAACGCUCUAAAUUUCUCCAAGAGAACAAUCAUCUUUAAACAUCAUCUUAUAGCUCAAUUUUAUCACAAAUCAAUAGAAUUGCACCUACAAAAGUAAAACACAAGUAAAUCAUUAUUAUUAAGUGCAAAACAUCGAUAUUAAGGGAAGUAAACAAUGCAAAACUAGUGCAUAAAUUUCACUCUAACAAUAGGGUAGCAAAUUAUUGCCAUAGAUCAGCACACAGCUCGAAAACAUAUUUGAUCCACACAGUGAAGAUGAUUCAAUAUUAAGCAUGUCAUAUAAUCUGGAGUUGGAUAUUGGAUCAAUUUGAUGAUAAUGAGUUUCUUUCAAUCUCAAUAUGUAUCUUCUUCGCAACAUGACUAGCCAUUGCAAACUCAAACUCUGACAAUGAUUUCUCAAUCGCUUUCUAAGACGAUGAGCAUGUAUGUAUAUAUAUGUGUGUGCACGGGCGCGUGUGUGUUUGUGUAUGUAUAUAGAGAGAGAGAGAUAUCACACAUGUGUGCUUUCCUUUUGUCAAUAAGAUAUGUAGAGAGCUUAAUAAUCAUAGAUUAGCUUAUAUCCUUCAAACCAUGUGUUAUGAAGUAAUUUCACAAACACUUGUUGAACGUUAUUGAAUCAGUAGUUCACAGUUCAAUACAAUGUAGGUUUCCUAUUUGAAGUAAAUGAUUAUGGUGUGUGCAUUUUUCAUAAAGCUAACUACUGAAUUUACCAUUGAAACUUGCAAAAUGUAACAAAGAGAUGCAGAUAGCAGCCACGAAACACUAAGAUUGAAAAUCAGGACUAUUGAAUUCUAUUACAAGCCCUUAAAAUAGACAACAAUCAUCCUCAAAUGUAUGUACUGAAAGUAAGAAAUAUUAAUCGUAAAGUUAUGCAUUAACAAAACUAUUGAAUACUUAUCUUUAGCUAUAUAUUUUUAAUUGUAGCUCCCUACUUUGUUCUAAGAACUAGGCAAAAGUAGCAUAUCUUCAAUCCAAUCAGCAUAUAUACCGCUCAUCUUCUCCAGUUCUUUCCACUUUGAUUUGCAUUUCAUACCCUGCACUUGCUGCUUAGAAAUAGUCAUAGUUUGCACAUUGACAGUAGAAAAAGUACUUGAAACAAUCAUUGGCAUAGCAUGGGAUUCCAUUGAGUCGCGGUCUCCAAGCUUUCAUGGUUCUGUAAAGAAAAUGACAAAAACAUCAUGCUAUUGGCAUUCUACUUUUAGCAAUUUUCCACAAGCUGAGCUAUUUCAUAUCUCUCUAUAAAUUAUGCUGGUUCAACCUUCAGAUAAGUUUGUGAUAAAGGCAUCUAUGAUUACAAUGGGAAAAUUACAUGAACUUAUGUUAUCAAUCAUUGUUUUGCCUUCUCGUGAUAGAAUUCUGUGCAACAUAAAACAUGACAUAUUUGUUGCUUACCAUGCCAUGUCGUGAACCUAGAAGCAAUGCAAAUUGCAAGGAACAUAUUAAGCUAUCUACUGUAUAUAACAAAUUCUUAUUAGCCCACAAUCUUGCGCCCCAACAUUGAUCAAGUAACACUAUUAUUUCAUUUCCAAAAUGGCAUAUAUAAUCUAAUGUUGAACAAACCAAAUUGGGAAUCAUCAUUCCUUACAUUGAGCUGACAUUCGUACCUGCUAGUCCAUGAGCAAAGUUGCUUAUAUUUCCACACAGGCAGUUCCCCUUAUCUCUCGGUUCCGACAGAGCUUUGUUUUCCCAUCACCAGCUUUGGAUUCAUUCGAUCACUGAUGCUCCGAGUUAGCAAGCCCCUUGUUGUGUUCCCAUUUAACAGACCCACUUCUGUUAUCCACAGAAGAUCCACCACUCAAAAUGCUUAUCACCGAACUAUUCCUAAACUGAGUAGAAACUUCCGCACAUCUCUCGGCAUUUACAUGAAGAAAUCGACACCCACCCUCAUAUUUGUAAGUUUUCUGAUAAUAGAACGGUCUACAAAGCUGCAUUUCGUUAGGCAAUCUAGUCUCUCCAUUCCUAGCUCAGUGACAUUGAUUCCCGUAUUUGUAAUUGCCUAAUUGGGGUUUUGGCAAUAGCCUGGUCUUAAAAUUACCACCCAUUACUUUGUUCAAUGCCACUGGCAUCCUCUGAUUAGGAACAUUUUCACAAUUUUUAGCCCUGUUAGUCGAAUCACAUUCAAGGGGAUAGUGAGACAGUAUUUCACUAAAAGAUUCAAUUUGACUACACAUAUAAGAAUUUGAAAUCACUUUUUCUUGGAAUAUUUAAUGACCCACCCAGGGUGAAAGUUUUUGAAUGGAAAUUAUUUAAUUUGAUUUGUUUUCCAACAAAUUCAAGAAACCCCAGAUAGUAACAUAAAAAAAAAAUCAACCAAUAAUACGCAAUGGGUUUCUUUCUUUUUGCUUUUGGAGGGCCAUGGAGAUCUGGAGUGGGCUGUAAGUAAUAGCCUUUAUCACUGGAGUGACAAAUUUGCAGAAGAUGAUACAUGGGGAAGGAUUGGACGAGCAUAAAAAUGGUUUUACACUCCUUGGAUUAGCGCCUCAUUAUAAAAAUGGUUUUAUAAUCCCUGUUAUGCUUAAGGCUUCACUUAGUAUAGCAUAGAGCUUUUCUAGUGUAGCAUUUUACAAGUAGAAUUUUUUUAAAUUAUUAUUUAUUUGGUUGUUUUUUUCAGGAGAGCUUUUAAAGGUCCAAAAUCUUUGAUAGUCAGGUUUUUUUUUUUUUGGUAAGUAAAACCUUUAACAAAAAUUUAUUAUUCACUUGAUCGUUUACAAGAGUUUUAAUUAGAGGUUAUAUAAAGUUCUUUAAUUUUUUUUAUCAGUGAUCUUGUUAUAAGUACAAUUUUUAUUUUUUAACAAAAAUUAAUUUAAUAAUAUUAAGAAUCUCAAUAUUUGAGUUCUAAUAUCAUAUGUCACUUAUUUAUUGGAUGAAAAAUUUCAUAACUUAUAAAAUUAUUUAACUAACAUCCAAUAAGCUAAUGUCACUAUAGUGAAGACUCAAGUUGAAAUUUAGAUGUUGGGUUGAGUAAUAUUGCUCUUAUUUAGUUGUUUAUGAGAACUUUCUUGUACAAAUUUAUUUUUAUACAAAUUGGUAUAGUCUACAUUCAUUAAUUAAAUAAAAAUAUAAAAUAAUAAAAAUAAAUCAUGUGCGCUAAAAGUUAUUUAAUCUAUUUAAUUGAAUUAUCCUGCGUUUGUUUGCACUAAAUAAAUUUAUAUACAAAUUAAUUCUACGUUUAGAUGUGCAACUAAACUUUUAGUCUUUUAUUCUUCGUAAAAUUCAAAUUCCAGUGGCUCAUCAAAUAAAAUUAAAACUAUUGGUUAAUCAAAUAAAAUUAUUUGAAACCAUUGCGUAUGAUAGCUGGAGCUCUUGAAAGUUGAAACCAUCGAAGCCAUGAAAUUUACCAGCGAAAAGAGUUUUAAAUGUCUAUUUUAUAAAUUUUUUAUUUACCAUUUUACCAUCCAUAGUAAAAGUGUCGCACGACGUUGAACAGUUCAACAUAUCAGUCAGUCCUCAUUCAGUCAUUUGGCUUGGACUCUGUGUAUGGUUAAGGCGUUACCAUUAUCAUCUUCUCCACUCGUACUGACACCAAACCUUAACCGUUCAGAUCCCCUUUCUCGACUGUCAUACCCUACGCCCCGUCUCCGUGUCUCCGAUAAACAGUGCUCAAUUAAGGCCAUCAGAUUAUCCCGGACCCACAUUGAUCCAACGGCUCACAAUGACCGACGACCUCUCCAUCUCCAUUACAAGCUCCCUCUUCAACUGGCUUCUGCCUCCAUCGUACUCUUUCUCGGAUUCGGAGCCCGUAUAUGCUCGGCUGGUCCUACGGAGCUACCUCUCACUCCAGCUGUCAACCAACAAGACCAAUUGCUUAAUCCAGACACAGAACAACAAGAGGGUGAGAAAUUGAAUCAAGAAUUUGAGAAUUGGAAAUCGAAAACGUACGCAUUGACCGUGCCUUUGAGAGUCGUUUCUCUUCAGAAUUCAGUGCCUCAAUCUUGGGUUAAGGAUUUUAUGCGAAGUCAAGGAAAGAGAUUGAAGUUUCCGAUGAAUUUGUGUGCUAGCACUGAUGGGAUCGUUAAAAGUUUAUCUAUGCCCUCUAACAAAGUUAAGGCUAACUCAGCUUCGUAUAUGGAUGCUGAUUUGGUUAGUGUUGGUGAUUCAUGGCUCAGUUUUGCGAUUAAAAAGAGAUUGAUUGAGCCAAUAGCUGAAGCUGAAGAUCAAGAUUGGUUCAAAUGCUUAAGUCACAAAUGGAAGGUAACAUCUUUGUCUUUGACCGGAUGAUUUUUAUUGUCUUACAUUGAAAUUUGGUAAUGUAAUUUGUUCUCUAUCUGUGUUACCUUUGUAGUGAUUUUUUUUUUUUAUUUCCUUUUAUUUGCAGUAACAAAGUCUUAGGUAUAUCUACGCAGGAAUGAUGCAGGAGAAAUUGAUCCUUGAGGUAAAAUAUGGGCGGCACCAUACAGGUGGGGCACAAUGGUGAUAGCCUACAAGAAAAGUAAAUUUCAAAAGCAUAAUUUGGCUCCGAUUGAGGUAAUAAUUGUCUUUAAACUCAUUUAGUUUUAUAUGAAACAAAAUCAAGACUGCCUUUCUCUUCAAUAUUUUGAUGAUAAUAUCUUUAGAAGUAUCUCAUUGACGGGUAAUAAUGGUAUCCCUGAAAGAGUCUAUAAACUCAAUGAUAUUAUCUUCUACAAAUGGUUCAUUAAACUUCUUCGUUGCAGUCAAAUGUACACUAAGAACAAUGAGAAGCUAUGCCACUGUAGCAUGUAGUGAUGGCACUUAAUAAGUGAGUUGCUAGGAUGUGAACUAGAAAAAUUAAAUAUUGUCUACUUAGAUAUGCUAGCUCGUAAGUCAGGGUUAAUAUUAGAAUUUAAGAAACUAUAACCAUGAGAAGCUAUUGACUGCCAAUUAAAAUAUCCAUAAAAAUGUCUAGGGAGUUAUGAAGGUGGAGGUAUCUUCCGAUUUCUAAGGCCACGUAGUAGACAUCAUCCAGGAUCCUAGGAAAGUGCAGUUAACCUCCUGCUCGAUGCAAUUAAUAAAUUUGGUCAAUGCCACUGAAACCUGCUAACUGAUGUCACAAUGUGACAUGAGCACUUUAAAAUGGGAUAGAUGGUCAGUAGCACUAAAUUUUUCUUGCCUAAGAUUGGGCAAUUGGUCUAACUACUAACCCCUAUUGUAGGUUGAUCAUUCUUUUUUCAAUUAUGUUCAGUUUGACCAAAAAGUUACAGAAUCUGGAUCUGAAUAUUGUCACUGAACACUGUCAGUGUUGUUUAGCGUAGCCAACUAACUUGAGUUUGGUAAAACAAACACACAGUGUGCCUUAUGUCUCACAAUUCAAAUUAUCAUCUGUAAUGAUGGAGGAUUUUUCUAAUGUAUGAAGUAUGCUUUGAUAAGUGGGUUAGCUUGGAGAAGAUAUCUCAAAAUAGAGAAUAUGGGGAACGAAUGGGAAGAAAACAGUUCAGUAGUUUAUUAUUCUGUAGUCAAGUUUUGUCUCAAAAAUGGUCAAAAUUUAAAUGAAUAAGGACAGCGGAUCUUCAUUCUUUUUUCCCUUUUUUAUACCAAGAUAUCUCUCAACCUUUAUAUAAUCCCCACUGGAUAUCUGCUUCUAACAAUUAAAAUAAAAAUUUCACCCACACAAAUAAAUACUGACCAAGCUCUAACAAUAAAAAGUAACAUCUUUAGUCAGGUAACAUCUUUACAGUUCCUCAUCAUCCUAGUGUGAGACUAUCAAUACGUUCCAAAAACAUAAUAAAACUGGUUUGAUCCUGUUUAUUGAUGUUUAAAUGUUGUUCAUUGUGACAUGUAGAAAUGAUGAGGCGAAGUUUCUUUGGUCAUCAAUUGGUACGAUCUUGUUUGAAGUUGUUUUCUGAAAUGAACUGCCAAACGGUAGUUUUUUUGGGGCAUAUGAUGGCUCUUUUUUCCUCAUUUUAAACAUGUGCAUGCUUGGAACGGGAAGGAUUAGGCUGCAGAGUUGUUAUAUAUUUUGACAUGCUCUGGUCAUUGCACAAUUUGUUCACACUGGAAAAUAUAAUGAGAAAUUUGUUGCAUUCUAUGCACAAUAACAUGAUUAAUGAAAAUGGAUUGUAGGACUGGAAAGAUCUGUGGCGGCCUGAGCUCGCAGGAAGAACUUCAAUGGUUAAUUCUCCCCGAGAGGUUAUUGGUUCAGUUUUGAAGUAUAUGGGAGCAUCAUACAAUUCAAACAAUAUUGAUUCGCAAGUUGCUGGUGGGAAGAUUGCUGUUCAGCAGAAUCUGGCAUUAUUGGCAAACCAGGUACUCUUAAAGAAAUGAUAUCUGGUCACUGCAUGUUAUUGCCUGACAACUGAUUUUGUUUGUAAAGUCUGCUUCUCCAUACAUAUGAAUGCAUAUGUUAGUGUUUUCCUCUCCUUUUCAGACAUAUGAAUGCAUAUGUUAGUGUUUUCCUCUCCUUUUCAUACAUAUGAAUGCAUUUGUUAGUGUUGUCUUUUCCUUUUCAUACAUAUGAAUGCAUUUGUUAGUGUUGUCUUUUCCUUUUCAUACAUAUUAAAACAUAUGUUGCUGUUCUCCCCUGAGAUGGAUGCAAUAAAGGCUUUUGCUUCUAAAUUUAGCUGAAGAAAUGGCAAGGGAUGUGAGAUUCUGUCUCAUUAAAUUAACAAAAACCCAAAACAAUGAAAACCCAUAAUAAUGUGGUGUGGGUUAAUUGGCGCCAUUUGGUUUGUUUCCUUAAUGUGAAUACGCGAGCAAUUGAGACUAACAAAAUGAAGUGACAACAAGAAGUCAGUUGCCUUUGAUGGAUGCAUUUUUAGGCAGAAAUAGGUUUGUAAUUGACCAAAUUGCUGGCAUGCCAAUUUCAAAAAAAUUAAAUCAUGUGAUUAUUAGCUGUAAUGAAGGGGGAUAGUAGGUGCAAUCAGGUGGAUCCACGAAAGUUCAACAAAGUUCUGGUAUGGCGUAGUGAAAUUGGUUUGUGCAACUCAAGAGUCUUUCAGGUGAACGAUGAUGGGUUUUGAUUUGUAAAUGUUAUAAAUCUACUGUGAAUAGUAUUCUAGUAGAAUCAUCUAUAAGUUCUAGUUAUUGGAAUUAUCUAGUUUGUCCAGUUUGAGUUAAGGGCAAAUGUAAUAUGAAAAAUAGUUGUCGCAUCUUUUAGGUUACCUAACAUUUAAUCAAUCCUAUUGUGAGGGCUUCAAGAUGUCUAACAAUAUGUAGAAUGCCCAUGCUCCUACCCAUUGUUUGUCUCAUACAAAAAUUUUUUUUAGAUGCUAAUAUCUUUGUCGAUACGAGUAUCAAUAUUACAAUAUCUGCGUUUAUUGGGUUUUACAUAGGUUCGACUGUUUGACAGUACACACUAUCUGAAGGCAUUUGGAAUUGGAGAUGUAUGGGUUGCUGUUGGGUGGAGUAGUGAUGUUCUUCCUGCUGUCAAACGAAUGUCUAAUGUUGCAGUUGUUGUUCCCAAGUCUGGUGCUAGCUUAUGGGCCGAUCUUUGGGUAUACCCAUGCCUGCCAUUCUACUUUGAUAUUCACAUUGUUAUUUCCUUCAUAUUAGUGAUCAGUAAACAUGAUAAUGUUACUAAUGAGUUCGUAUUCUCUUUAUAGGCAAUCCCUGCUGCCUCAAGACUUGAAACAAAACAAAUUGGAGGGCGAGUCAGAGGUCCAUCUCCAUUGAUCCAUCAGUGGAUAGAACUCUGCUUGCAAACAGCGAGAGCAUUGCCUUUCAAGCAAGAGGUUAUCCCGGGCGCAUCUCCCUAUGCCCUUGAAACUACUCUGGUUAACACUACAACAAAAAUGAGUUUUUACGGUGGAGUUCUAAUGGCAUAUUAUAAUUACAUGCUGUUAAAAAUAUGUAAAGACGGAAGGUAUUAAAAUAUUCACCGUUAAAAGAUUCCACUAUAUAAUAAGACAGCAUAUUUUUAAAAAAUUGUCGUUGAUUGCUUGGAUAAUAAAUUUUUAAUAGCAUAAAAAUAUCAAUCCCCGUAAAAAUAGUUUUCAAUAGCGCGUGAUAUUUGCUGUUAAUUAAUAAUAAAAGAUGGCCUUUGACUUAUCCUAUUAAAUUAGAAUCUUACUACAAACAAAAUAGGAACACUUUACUAAUUUCUCUCUAGUUUGCAAAUUUCCCACCUCUUCUAAAACACUCCCGUGUUAAUUCUCUAUGGAGAUUCGGCUGUUAUCAAAUUCUUCCAAAAAAUUUCGAUUUUUUCCAAUUUUAUCUCAUAUUUUUAGAAUACCCAUACUUCUAAAUGCCCUAGUUUUUCAGAUUUUCCCUCUCUUAUUUGGAAUCGUAUACCCUUUUAACCUUAGUAUUUCAUCCUCUCUGCAAUUUUAUUUCAUCCUCUCUGCAAUUUCACAAAGGUUUGGCCUCAAUCUUCUUUUUAAUUCCUAUUAUCGCCGUUUGUACCAUCAGCGACAAGGAAAGGUAAGAACUUUUAUUUAAUAUGUAAUUUUCUUUUCAUUUGAUUUGGAAAUCGUUAUGUUGGGACAUAAGUUUGAAUGGUUGUGUUACUGUUAUUGUGUUAUCUAGUUAAUCUAAUUUAUCUUUCAAUUAAUUAAAUUAUAAUUUUAUUAAAAGAUUUGAAAAAAAGCAAAAUUUUUGUUUCAAAAUUUCUGGUUCCACGUGCAACAGGAGAGAAAUCAAAUCCAGGAUGCUGGUCUGAGCUUUCGGCUUCAGUUUUCAGACUUCGUGGUGAGAAUUAUUUCAGGUAUGCCCUAUACUUGAUCUUUUUCCCACAUAGCAUAUUGUGAAUAUGUUUGGCAUUAAAAUUUUGGUUUUUUUUUCAUUUGUUCUUUUAUGCUUAAUACUAAAUGAUUUUAUUUUUUAGCAUGCAAAUAACUUGUUUGAUUAUCUUUAUCUUUUAAAAACCUUAGUUGUAUAAUAUAUGUAUAUAUGCUUGUUUAUGAGCUAGUACUUUUGCCAAAUAAUGUCAUCUAGUCGUGAUGUCUUAUUUGCAAGUUUGGGUUGAAAAAGAAUUUUGAUUAUUUUUAUUUGUAACUGUCGUCAACAUUUGUGGUAGCAACUGAUAUAACUUUACUUGUUGAGCGGUGCAUCACUUUAGCAUGAACAAAUUUCUUAGAAAAGAAAACAUUAAAUAAAAAUGGCCGCAUGUACAUAUCUGUCCUCUGCUUCCAUGAUUUCCUGUUAGGUCUCUUAUCAAGUUCACCCCGAGACCUCCGCGUCCAAGCAGCUUGAAUAAAAGAAUCCUAAAAAUAUUCGGAAAUAAAGGAUCAGUUGCCUUUCUUUUUAAAUCAAGAGAUGCUAGUAUUGAUUUAUAACUUAUCACUGUUAAUAAAUGCCAACUAACUAGCUAGUCCAAUCUCUUGGCAUCUUGCUAUUUCUUUUCUAUUAACGCUACAAAAGAGAAACAACAGUAAAGCAGAGGUCCACAAGGGAAUAAAAAACAGCUAGGGUAAAAUCUAUUGGCAUCAGUACCAAAGACCUGAAAUCAAAUAUUGCCAUCACCAAGGAUUGGAAGGUCUAUGAUUGGAGAAUCCCAAGCCAUGGUGGUUUUCCAUGUCUACAAACUCAAUAAUACAUUUUAAUUGUUUCUGGAGAAUUUCAAAGCAAAUUAUAUCUUGAACAAAUCUAUCUGAAAUCAGGACAACUGAAAUUUGUAGUUGGCAAAAGUUUGAGCACUAAUGCAAAUUGCAAUCACAUAUAAGUUCUUUUGCCAAUAAUGCAAAUAACUUGUUUGAUUAUCUUUAUCUUUUAAAAACCUUAGUUGUAUAAUAUAUGUAUAUAUGCUUGUUUAUGAGCUAGUACUUUUGCCAAAUAAUGCCAUCUAGUCGUGAUGUCUUAUUUGCAAGUUUGGGUUGAAAAAGAAUUUUGAUUAUUUUUAUUCGUAACUGUUUGUUAAAAAAAAGAGUAAGAAAAAGAAUUGGUUAUGUAUAGCAGAUUGAGCAAUCUGAUUCUUUGCUAGACAAAUAAUUAAAAAAAUAUGUUUUAUAUUUAAACAACAGAUCAAAGAGGUUACAAGCAAGCACUUGAUGUCAUGUUGAUGGAUAAAAAAUGGGUGAAGCUUAAUAGGUUAGUAUUUGAAUAACUGCAGUAUUUAAAUAUUUUAUGCUAAUGGAUUUAAAGUUUUAUUUUUUUUUAACUUUUUUUAUAUGUAGAUAUACUAAAGAAUUUCAAGAUGGAGCCCAAAAAUUUGUCAACUUGGCUAGAAAAAAUGCUGGAAAUUCUGAUAGGAUUAUAUGUCCAUGCAUAAAAUGUGCCUGUUAUUGUCGUCAACAUGUAGACACGGUAUAUGAACAUUUAGUGAUAAGUGGGAUGGAUCCCACUUAUGAUAAUUGGGUUUUUCAUGGAGAAGCUCCAAAUACUUCUAGGCAAGAUAAAGAUGUGAAGAUGACAGACGCUUAAGAAAUGUAUAAUGAUGCUUAUCUUCAAAACUAUGGUGUCAUAGAUAACCCAAAUGACUACAUUGAUGAUACCACACCUAGGUUAGAAGAAAAUGAGUUUACUGAAAAGGUGAAAGCUGCUGAGACUUCUUUAUACCUAGGAUGUUCAAAAUAUACAAAAAUGUCAGCAACUGUUGCCUUAUAUAAACACAAGAUUGCACAUGGAUUAUCUGAUAAUGGUUUUAAUGAACUUCUUUAGAUUAUUUGUGAUAUGUUACCUGAAGAUAAUGUUUUACCUGGUUCUCUACACUUAGUGAAGAAACUGCUUAAGGAUUUUGACAGUGGUUACAAAAAAAUCCAUGCUUGUGUUAAUGAUUGUUGUCUCUUCACCAAGGAGAAAGAAAAUUUAGAUACAUGUCCUAAGUGUAACACCUCUAGAUGGCAAGUAAAUUCUCGAACUAAGAAGAUUAGGACAGGAGUACCAGCAAAAGUGCUGCGUUAUUUCCCUAUAAUACCUAGACUUAGAAAGAUGUUUAUGUCAUGUGAAAAAGUAGAACAAUUGAAAUGGCACUCAAUUAACAAAAGUUCAGAUGGAAAAAUGAGACACCCAGUUGAUUCAGUGGCAUGGGAUAACAUCAAUAAGAAAUGGUCUAAUUUUGCAUCUGAUCCAAGAAAUAUCAGGUUUGGGCUUGCUGCUGAUGGGUUUAACCCUUUUAGUAAUUUUAGCUCUGUAUACAGUUGUUGGCCUAUUUUCCUAGUAACAUAUAACCUCCCUCCAAGGGUAUGUAUGUUUGAGGAGAACAUAAUGUUGACAUUGUUAAUACCAGGGCCAAAACAACCAGGGAAUGACAUUGAUGUAUUCUUGGAGCCAUUAAUAGAUGAUUUGAUUGAAUUGUGGAACAAUGGUGUUCAAGUUUAUGAUUCUUUGAAUAAAUCUGCUUUUAAACUAAAAGCUAUUUUAAUGUGGACAAUUAAUGAUUUUCCGGCUUAUGGUAAUUUAGCUGGAUGUACUACAAAAGGAGAGUUAGCAUGUCCUAUAUGUGGUCCAAACGUAUGUUCUGAAUGGUUAGCAAAUAGUAAAAAGAUGGUAUAUAGAGGUCAUAGACGAUUUUUACAUCCGAGACAUGAAUGACGUAUUGAGAAAAAAGAUUGGUUUGAUGGAAAGGAAGAAACAAGACGGCCUCCUAAACCUUUGACGGGUGAAGACAUUGUACUUGCCUUAAGCAAUAUUCAAAACAAUUGGGGUAAAUAUAAGAAAAAGAGAAGCAGGAGGCAAAAUGAACCAAAAAGUAUGUGGAAGAAGAAGUCAAUUUUUUUUAACUUACCUUAUUGGAAGGUAAUCUCUUAUCAUUGUUUAAUACUUCAUUUCUUUUAUUUGUCUAAGAGUUGUUUUUAGUCAUUUUUAAAUUGGUUUUUUGUUUAUAUGUAUUUGAAGCAAUUUGCUAAUGAUAGACAUUUUUAAAGAUAAUUGAAAAAUGGAUACUAAAUAGUAUUUUAGUUUCUUUUAAUUUUUUCUUGAGCUAAAUUAUGAAUUAAAAAACUUUAUUGUGUGCAGGAGUUAGACUUGCGUCACAACUUGGAUGUGAUGCAUAUUGAGAAGAAUGUUUGUGAUAGUAUCAUUGGAACAUUACUGAACAUAAAAGGAAAAACAAAAGACGGAAUUGAAUCUCGUAGAGAUUUAGUGACAAUGGGCAUUAGACAAGACUUGCAGCCUAAUUUAAAAGAAAAUAAACUUACAUUGCCAGCAGCAUCAUUCACAUUGUCAAAAGAGGAGAAAGUAAUAUUUUGUAAGCGUCUUUCUGAGCUAAAAGUACCUGAUGGUUAUAGCUCUAAUAUUGCUAAUUGUGUUUCAGUAGAAGAGUGUAAAAUAACAGGUCUAAAGUCACAUGAUUGUCAUGUGUUAAUGCAGCAAUUACUACCAGUAGCAUUGAGAAAUCUUUUACCUAGUGGACCUAGGACAGCAAUAUUUCGAAUAUGUGCAUUUUUCAAUCAAUUAUGUCAAAGAGUAAUAGAUAGAAAUGCAUUGGAAAAAUUAGAGUCAGAUAUGUAUGAGACUGUGUGCAUGUUGGAGAUGUACUACCUACCAGCAUUUUUCGAUAUUAUGAUUCACUUGACAAUUCAUUUAGGGCGAGAGGUUCGAUUAUGUGGGCCAGCUCACUAUCGUUGGAUGUUCCCAUUUGAGAGGUAAUAAUUAUCUCUUUUCUUAUCUUUUUUCUUUUUAAAUUCACUCUUUAAAUAGUUAAUAUUUCUUUUACUUUUAUAUAGAUGUAUGAAAACACUUAAGGGAUACAUUAGAAAUCGUGCAAGGCCUGAAGGGUGUAUAGCAGAGUGUUGUCUAGCUGAGGAGUGUGUAAGAUUUUGUAGCGGAUAUAUGAAAAAAGCAAAAAAUAUAGGUGCACUUCCUAUGCGUAACGAGGAAAGUAGUGACGAGAUAAUUAUAGCAGGGCGGCCAAUCUUAAAAGGUCGACCAUUGAAAAUGUCUGAAGCUAUGUUAAAAAUCGCACAUCGUUAUGUAUUAUUAAAUACAAUAGAAGCGGAGCGAUUUCGAGAGUGAGUAUUUAUCGAUCAUGUAUAUUAUUUAAUUUAUGUAUUUAGUCUUGUAAUUAACUUAGUUUGAUCUUAGAACGCAUAUGGAGGAAUUGCAGAGAUCAUUUAGAAGACGUAGGUGUGAUAUUCAAGAGCUACACAAAAUGCACACUGAAACUUUUUCCCAAUGGUUAGCAGAAAAGGUAAGCUAAUCAUUUAGUCCAUCUAAGUUAACAUUAAAAAAAAUCAAAUGAAAUAAACUUUUCAAUGUAUAUGCUGACCUAUUGUUUGGUUUAUUGGUGAAUAGAUAAAGAUCCAAGAAAGUAUGGCUAAUGUAUCUGACACAUUAAAGUCACUAGCAAAAGGGCCUAGGAUGCAUGCAAUGUCUUUUGUUGGUUUCAUUGUUAAUGGUCAAAGAUUUCAUACAAGGGAAGUAGAAAGGUCAACUCAAGAUAGUGGUGUCUUUAUUGAAGCAGAAACUGUAUGUAGAUCUAGUGCGAAGGAUAAUGCUGCAGUUGUUGGAAAUGUAUCCUACUAUGGGGUUAUAAAAGAUAUCAUUUUGCUUGACUAUCGUACAUUUCAAAUGCCCAUAUUUCAUUGUGAUUGGGUUAACACUAUAAAUGGAGUCAAGCAAGAUGAUGGUUUCACAUUGGUGAAUCUCCAUCAAGGACAAAAUCAAUGGCAAAUAGAUCCUUUCAUAUCGGCGUCGCAAGUGAAACAAGUUUUUUACUCUCGAGAAAGUGAUACAUCGAAUUGGUAUGUUGUACUUAAAGCAACACCAAGGGGCUAUCACAACCUUAAUAUGUAUGAUGAGAAUGUAAAUUCAACUAAUAUGCCUAUCGAUGGUUCUAGGCUGGAGCCUAAUGAUGUGGAUGGUAAUGAUCCUCAUGUAAGGAAGGAUUCUCAGGAAAUUGAAAUUGAAAUUUACAAUAUUAUUAUUCAUUUUGAAUUUGGAAUUCAUUGUUUAUUAUUUUUUAUAGUGUGAAUGCAUAUUUGAUUUACUGUAGUAUGAAUAAUGAACAUAUGCUAAUAAUGUUGUUAUAUUUGUAGUAACAGCUGCAUUUUAUCUUUUUCUUUUCCUAAUGAUAUAUCAUGUUCACUUACUCUUAACAUGUUGUAGCUAGCAUAAAGAUUCAUUUUUAUCAUGAACACUUAAUUAGAGAAAAUGACUAUGGGCAACGGUGGAAAGGUAAGUUUUAGAAGUGUUUUGAUAUAAUUCAUUGAUUAGAACAUUAAGAAAUACUUUUUGUUGAACUUAUAAAUGUUUCCAACUUCCUAAAGGAUAAGAGCAAAGGAAAAAGACCAUUCCUAGCAUCAAAUACUGUUGCAAGAGAGAAGCAUGAGAUAAGACGAAGAUUAGAUAGUCAGUCCAACCCACAAAGUUUCAGUGAACCAUCUGAGCCAACAAAACCAGGUCUUUAUUUUAUUUAGUCAUGAAAUAUUUAUUUAAUUAUAUGUUUUUCUCAUGAUUCUCUUUUUGUCUCUUUAACAUAAUAAUAUUUUAUUUAUUGUAUAUUUUUUAAUUUGGUUGUUUUGUAAUAAAUAGUAAUGUUGGAAGUUUGAAAAUUUUAAAACGUUAACAGAGAAGAAGAAAAGAGGCCCAUCAAGGAUGAUUGUGGUGGCAACUAAAAAAAUGAGCGCCUAGUGGUAGAGUUUAAUGAAUAUGACCAACCAAUCAGACCAGCCUCCGUAAUGUUGAGUUCGGCCAUGGGAGUAUUUGUUCGAGAGACGGUAUCAAUACUUCCAGAUUAUUGGACCACUGUUGAUUCAGAAACUAAAGAAGUACUUUGGACAAUUGUUAAGGUAUGAUAGCCUUUUUAUUAAUUUCAUUUAUAAAUAAUAAUACUUUAAAGCAACUAACAAUGUUGUUUAUUUUAAUAUCAUUGCAGCAAAAGUUUAUCAUUGAUGACCAUCAAAAAGAAAACAUACUUGCUCGAAUGAGAAAGUUAUGGACAGAUUACAAAUCCAGAUUGUCAAUUAGUAUAAGGGAAGCAUUUCAAAUGCCUGAUGCAACUAGGAAACUGAAGUUGCUAAAACCUGAAGAUGUGACUGAUGAAGAAUGGAAGAAAUUUGUUGCCCACAGAUUAAGCAAAGAUUGGAAAGUAUGUAUGUCAAUAUAUUAUUUAUAUUUCAUGUUACUACAUUCAAUAUAUCCUAUGUCUUAUAGGAGAGAAGUGAAAAAUUCCAACAAUUGAGAGCAACACAAACAGAGCCUCACACAACGAGUCAAAAAGGCAUGGCACGGACACGGGAUGAAAUGGUUUUAUCUACUUCAAACUUGAUUGUGGAAUAUGUGCUAUCUUUUUAGAUGAGGUUUUUUUCUUAUUAUCUUCUGUUUUAUUGGUAGAUAAAAAAGGAUCCAUCUUCAGGUACUAGAGUAAACGUUUGGCUUAAAUCACGUACACAAAAAAAUGGACAACCAAUUAAUGCGGCUGCUGCUGAAUCAAUGGUACUAAUAAAUACAAUUGCUUGGUUUAUAUAACAAUAAUAUGAUAUGAAAUUCCAUUAAUAUAGUCUUAGUAUCUUGUAAUAUAUGUUCAUUUAGAAAAAGCUUGAAGAAAUUUCUGCAAUGUCAACUGAAGAGGAUCAAACCUCCUUAAAGAAUGAUGGAAUUGCAAAACUAAAAGGUGAUGAGCGUCCUGGCUGUGUCAAAGGUAUGGGAUUUGGUGUAACACCUUCAAAAGUAGCUGCACAGGUCCAAGGCAACCGCAAAGUAAAGAAGCUUGAGAAUGAUUUGAAAGAACUAAGUGAUCGAUUUACUGAAUUUCAAAAUUUUUUCAUGUCUAGGAGAAGAUUUAGUAAGGUAAGUUAUUUAAAUUAAUAAUUAAUUGUACCAUCAUAUUUACUUUUUUCAUAUAAUAUUAUUUUGAUUUUUAUAUAUUAACAGGACCAUGUUAACAUUGAUGACAACUUGGACAAUAAUCUUGCACCAACUCCCCAGGUUUUAUUGGUUUCAUAUGCUUUAUAUAUAAAUUUAUGAUUUUCCAAAAACAAAUUUUUACUUUGUUUUGAUAUAUAAUUUUUUGUUUUCUGACAGUCCUUUGAAGAUAGCACAGCUAUUCCAAAUACUCCAACUAAUGGUGAUAUUUGUAAACUCUUAAAUUGGUUGGGUACUGGGGAAGUGGUUGCAAAAGGAAUGAUAGCUGCAACAAAUCCUGAGGCAUUGGUCCACCAUGUUCAACUUGGACCAGAUUACUACAAAGUAUGGGUUGAUGAAGUGAAUAAGCCAUCAUUAUCUCUGGUUCGACCAACUCAAGAGUUCUUUAACUUAGGUGAUGCAAAAGGGAGCACAAUUGCAUGGCCUAUAAAGUACAUCACCUUGGAUUAACUCAAGUAAAGGUAAUGCUAUAAUUUAAAUUAUAUUUUACCUAUAGAAUGUCAUAUGUAUAUAUAUGUAAAAAAUAAAAGUUGGGAGUUUAUAAACUAGAAUAUAAUAUUUUAAUUCUCAUUGUUGCAGGAAUUUGAAGUUCUUGGGUAAGGAUUAUUUCGCAAUAAUGAAUGUUUUCAUCAUAGAGGACUUGAUCAAGUUGCUUAAUUUAAGUUCAUGUUAAGGAUACUAUUUUUGGUACUCAGUAGUUUCUUUUCAAACAAUGGCUAUAUUUUCCAUCUUUUCUUGACAAUGAGUUCUUUAUAUCAGAUUGUUCAUUACAGAUUUUUUUUUGUUCAUUACAGAUUUUUUUUUCUUUUUUUAAUACAAUUUUGUUUGGACACCAUGUGUACACAAAUUUGAAUACAAUUUUGUUUGGACAAUCGUGUGUAUGUUUACUUUAUUUAUUUAGAAAAUUUGAAUGUAUUAUUUAUAUAAAUGAAAUUAGAAAUCUAUCGAGGAAUUAAAUAGUAAGUUAAUUUAAAUUGCAACAGGUUAAUUAUUGAAUACAAUUUUGUUUGGACAAUCGUGUGUAUGUUUACUUUAUUUAUUUAGAAAAUUUGAAUGUAUUAUUUAUAUAAAUGAAAUUAGGAAUCUAUCGAGGAAUUAAAUAGUAAGUUAAUUUAAAUUGCAACAGGUUAAUUAUAUGGUAAAAUUGAUUUUUUCAAUAGUAAUGACUGUUAUAUAAAUAUUCCACAGCAAAAUUUUAUUAUCACUGUUAAAACUUGUUACAACGGCAUGUACUAACCAUGCUAUCACAUUUUAUCACAGCAGUUUCUUUUUCUCGUUAAAUGUUGAACUAUGUUUAGCGCCAAAAAAAAAAGACGGGGAGUAGUAUUGGUCGUUGAUGAAACAAUCCACAGCUGGUUAUUAUUACUGUGGAUGGUUAAAACAAGAUUGGCGCCAAAGAUAUAACAGGGAGUAAUGAUGGCUAUUGAUGAAAUUAUCAACGGUGGAUACCCUUCACCGUGUAAUACCUUCUAUAGCAUAGUUAAUAGCAUUGAAUGUUGGCCGUUAAAACCCAUAGCUUUCCACGGCUCAUGGAUCAACGGCAUGCAUGUUUUUGCCGUCAUAUCCCAUUGACAGCAUAUUUCCCAUGCCAUGAAAAGCCUAUUCUGUUGUAGUGUAAGUUGCCUGAAGAAAUUCUGAGGGGUAAACCAAGUCUGGAUACUAACUUAACUGCUGGAGUACCCCCGGCUGAAAUUCUGGCCAGAUGUGAGUUUUUGGAGCCAUUAUCUGAAGCUACUUUGUCAGAUUAUGAGUGGCUGGUUGCUAAUCUGCAAAAACCUGCUCCUGUCUUCAUGAAAAGGGUGCAACAUUACUUGUCAUCGUUAAUCCAAGGCUUUCUAGCAAAAGCUACAUUGAAAAGUUAAUGGCACUGCAUGCCAGUGAUUAUAAUGCUGUCAGGGCAAUUGGGUCAGGGCAAUUAGGUCAGAGCAUAACUUCAUUAGGAAACGGGGCUUCAGCUACGUUAAAUAUUACAGGAUGUACUGAGAUGGCUGAAGUUCUUGAGGUUUUACGAGAAACGAAAGAUGAGUGUUUCUUUGAACAAAGUUGUUGCCAAUAUUGCAGAGUUCGAGAAGAAAGAUCACGGAGCGAAUGCCGCCAAUUUCUUCAUCAUUGUAGCCUCCAUAGUUGAAGUUUCCUCAUUUGAAGCUGUUUAUGCAUAAGCUUUUUCCCUGCUCAAGUACAGGAAACUGAAGAAUUAACCAGACAUGCUAUGCUGAAAGAGGGAAGUUUUCUUCCUUGAAUGUGGCCUUGUGAUUUGUAGUGAAGUAAUAGGAUGAUCACUAGCAAGAACCCUAUCAAGGUAGAUUUUAUGAUGUCAACAUAUUAUUAAGCAUUUGUUACUUUAGCACUUCCGCAAUGAUACAUUCAUAGCAUGAAAUUAAUUAUAUGAUCCUGAUUAAUCAAUUAAUUUUCAUGAGUUUUAACCUAGUUAAAACUAAGUACAAUCAUCGUUAACAAAUACUGAAAUUGGGUAAAUAUGAUCUCGACAUUGAAGAAUUUGAAAACCCAACCCACAUAGGAAAUUACCUACUGCAUGGAGAUGGAGAUGGUUAAUUGCGAUUUCAAUGCGCAAGGUGUGCCCCGAAACAAGGGAAAAGAUUAACGUAUCCUCCAAUGAAUGAAAACGGCUGGACUAAUUCUGAUAAUAGUUUAUUAAAUGACAAAUCAUUGUUGUUGGGUGUUGGUUAUAUACGUCAUUACCACUUCAAGUAGAAGAUGAAGGUUGUGCAGGUGAUUUCAGAAAUAAAAUACAUUCUGAGAGAUGAUGGUCUACUAUUGCAUGCCCCCCAGAUUUAAGAAUCUUUUGAUUGGAGCAUUUGGCAACGAUUCGACAAAUUCUAGAUUCAACCUCCUCCACCAAGGGAUUCCAACUGAGUUAUCAAUUAUCGUAGCAGUUCUAUUAACUAAAAUUAGCACAUAUAAUACAAGAAAAAGAACAACAAAUACACAGUGAAGUUGAAUUGAAAAUGAAGUUGAAAGUUGCCGCCCAUAGCUGCUGACUAAUAAUAAAACGAGACAAAUUAAUUAUCCUCAGACCUCAAUGUAUAUGUUAUCAUAACUUUACUUUCCCUAGCCUGUUAUAUUCACUUAACACUUGAUGCCUAAACCAUUAAAACCAAAUGACCAUAGGGGUAUUUAUAGUAUGUAAAAACAAACAAAAACACGUUAAAAAUUUUAAAAAAUUAAUAAUCUCAUUCUAAAUUUACCACUCAACUCUAAAUAAUAGCAAUACUCUAAAACAAUUUACAACCUUUGACGGGAGUAGCUAUAAGGAAAAUCCUUUUCUCAGUAGAUUGGCAUUGCCCGAGAGUUGCAAGGAAAACAGAUGCCUGCAACUGUGCCGGAAGAUUCAACUAGCACUGAAAAAGAUCAUAAUUUAAUUGAUAUGGACAAAUCAUCUUAUGUAAUUGUGAUGUCGGGAAGCAUUAGUGAUCUAUAUGUGAAGUAUUAUUGGUGACAUUGGUGGUUUUAUCUUGUUAAAAUGGGGAUGACUUACGGUUACUAUUUUAUUGUAAACAAUCUUAUUUAAUUAACAUAUAAUUUAAAACCAUUAUAUAAAUCAAUCUAUUAAUUUUCAUGAUAUUUAAUUGUGUUAAAACUAAGUGCAAUCAAUAAAUCUCGUUUCCUUUAAAAAACAGCUACGCUUUGAUUUUAGUGCUUAAUAUUUAUUAAACUUUGAUGCAGGGAAUUUGAAAUCAAACUACAAAUUAUCUAAUUGCGAGUUGCUGUCCAUAACUACUGAUUUGUAGUGAUUAUCUAAGUGACUGAGGUGACAACAAUUUUUUUUUUUAAAUUUUCAAUAGCACAACGUGGAAUUCAAUAAUUAAAUUCUCCUAUUUAAAUUGUUUCCAGUUAAAUUAUUAAUUACUUAAACUCUGUUUUAAGUCUUUAAUUUUAUGUGUUUAUGCAGAAUUGGAUUCUUGAGCAUGUUGGACACGACCAACAAUGAAAUUGACAGUAAACAAAUAAAACGUGUGGACUCCGGUAGCUGCCCUACAAAUUAGGGGUGUGCAGAAUCCAAUCCGAUCCGCUCAAUCUGUCUGAUCCGUGAAAUCCGAUCCAUGGAUUAGUGGAUUGGAUAUAGAUUGAAAAUUUAAAAAUCCACAGUCGAUGGAUUGGAUAUGGAUUUACUUCUGUAAAUCCGUAAAAAAAAAAUUUAUUUAUUUAUUUAGUUAAAAAUAUUAUAAAUUUAAUUAAAAAAUAUUAUAAAUGGGACAUUACAUAGUUACAUAAGCACUAUAACAUAUCUUAGUCAUUACCCAAUAAAAAUAUAAAAAAAUAAUAAUUAAAUAAUCAAAUAUACAAAUAUAACUUGUAAAAAUUGUUAAACAAAAUAAAAGCAAAGUCUCAUGCACUAGCAAAAGCAACCUAACAUAACAUCAAAUUACAACAAUUUGCAAGUCACCAACAAUCUGCAAACAAAAAACCCUAAACUUCCCCGCCAUCACACGCACUAGCAACACUCAAUAUUGGUUCGAUACACUCUCAACAUCGAUUUGAAGGACAUCGGCCGCGUGAUUCCGGCUAGAGCAAGCCAUCUUCUUCCCCAAGUCCAUCGAGCCACUUCACAAUCACUGGUUCCAGCCGAACAAUUGCACUAUCACAACUUUCAAUAUCGCCACCUGUACGGCUUCUCCUGGUUCCCAUCGUUGACGACUCCGUAAUCAUCACUUUUCGACAAGCCCAACAGCCCCGGUGAAGGAUCAGACUGUGUUUGGUUUCAGAAACUUCGCCAUUUCAAUUAAUUGUGUCUUUAUUUGAACAAUUAAUUUCAAUGUUAUAUUAAUGUAUUAUUGUUACUUUAUUUGAACAAUUAAUCUUAGUGUGUUAUAUUUUGAAACUUUGAACAUAUUAUUGUAGUUUUAUUUGAACAAUUAAUCUUGAUGUGUUAUAUUUUAAAACUAUGAAUAUAUUAUUUUAUCUUUAUUUAAACAAUUAAUUUAUUUAAAUUUUAUUCAAUUUUAAAUUUAAUCAGUAGUAAAAUUAUUUUUAUUUCAUUAGUUCAUGGUAGGGAUGUAAAUUUUUUCCGAUGGGAUGGGAUCCCGCAUUUGGGAUAAGAUUGAGACAUAUUUUUGUCCUAUAAAAAAAUUUAGGAACGGGAGUGUGACCUUUUUUUAUCCCACUUGCAUACACGGGACGAGAGUGAGAUUGGCAAAUUCCGUCCCAUCCGUCUCAUUGCCGACUAAGAAUGAGAAUAUUUUCCAUUAGGAUGGGAUCCUGCACUUUUGGGACGCGAUCGGGACAUAUUUUUGUCCCAAAAAUGGUAAAGAUUUUUAGAAUGUGUGGAAAUUGAUCCAUAUUUUACCGAAACAACUUGUCUCGAACAUUAAGAUGACUGAUAUUUUUUUUGAAUAAUAUCAACUUUCAUAUCUUUCUACCCCCAGAACAUGCUCACAUUCAAGUCUAUCUUGCGAAUUUGAAAAAGAAAAUUAAAUCAAAUCAACACCAAAGCAAUGAAAAGUAAAGCUUUUGAAUUUUAACUCCAGCUGGCAAACGUAUUUAGCGUUUUCAAAUUCUUCCCAUUGCAUAUCUUCUUCCUCCAUCAAUGCAAUAUUUGAACAAUUAGGAAAGAGUUUAAGAAUAUAAAAAAUCUCCUAGGUUUAUACGGUGCAACAAAUUUAAAUUCUCAAUUAUAAUAGAUAAUAAUUACACUAAUAAUUAUUUAUUUACUUAUUUUAGUAAUUUCACCUAAGAAUAAUAUUGUCAUUAGAAAAAAAUCUAAUAAGUGGAGUGGUUUUAUACAAAAUCAACUACAUACAGUAAUAAGUGAGUACACACCUUUGAUUAUCGGGACUCUUCAAUGAAUUUCUAGCCCUGUUGACUCCAUCGGCUACGGCUAAAGGUCUUUAAAACAAGCAAAUAGAAUUUUCAAAAAAUGCAAAACUUGUCGAAUUUAAUUUUUGACCAUGUAGAUCAAAAUGUAAAUUAAAGAAAAAGACAAAACAAAAAAGAGGUAAAAUUUGCAAAAUGUGUGAAAGAUGACUCAUGAUUUAUUAGAAUGACCUGCCUCGGAUAUCAAGACGAUUAAUCUUUUUUUAAUUUUUUUUGAAAUAAUAUCAACCCCCAUAUUUUUUCACUCGCGGAACAUGUUCGCAUUCAAGUCUAACUUGCUAAUCUGAAAAAGGAAAUCAAAUCAAAUCAAUACCAAAGCAAUGAAAAGUAAAACUUUUGGAUUCUAACUCCAGCUAGCAAACGUUUGAAUUCUAUAAUUAAAUUCUCCUGUUGAAUUUGUUUUAAGUUAAAUUACUAAUCACUUAAAUUCUGUUUUAAGUUAAAUUACUAAUCACUUAAACUCUGUUUUAAGUCUUUAAUUUUAUGUGUUGACGUGUAUGCGGAAUUGGAUUCUUGAGUGACUUAGACAUGACCACAAUGAAAUUGAUGGUAAACAAACAUUAAAACGUGUGGACUCCGGCAGCUGCGCUGCAACUCAACAAUAAUAAUUGAGUAUGCACCAUUCUCGGGACCCCUUCAAUGAAUUUUCAGCCCCGUUGACUCCACUGGCUAAGGCUAAAAUUUUUAGCCUUGUGGAACAAAAUGUAAAUUAAAAAGACAAAAAAGAAAAGGGGCAAGAUUUAUAAAACGUGUAGAAGGCGGUCCAUGAUUUAUUGGAAUAACCUGCCUCGAAUAUCAUGAUGACUGAUUUAUUUAUUUAUUUUUUUAAAUAAUAUCAAUUCCCAUAUCUUUCCACUCCCGGAAAAUGCUCACAUCAAGUCAAAUUAAAUCAACACCAAAACAAUGAAAAUUGAAAAGUAAAACUUUUGAAUUCUAACUCUAGCUAGCAAACGUAUUCAGUAUUUUUAAUUUCUUCGAAUCGCUUAUCUUCUUCCUCCAUCAAUGCAAUAUCAAGUAUUUUUUUUUUUCGUAAUCUUUUCUUUGCAUUUCUUUUUGCUCCAUCAAUGUAAUUUAACUUCUUUUUUUAUUAGAACGGCUCGGAAAGAGUUGAAGAACAUAAAAAAGCUCUUGGUUUUAUACGGUAAAACAAAUUUAACUUAUAAUUAUUCAACUAACAAUUAUUUAUUUACCUAUUUUAGUAAUUUCACCGAAGAAUAAUAAUGUAAUUACAAAAAAUCUAGUCAGUUUGGUGGUUUUAUACAAAAUCAACUACAUACCCAUAUACAGAUGCAGAUGCAAAUAAUAUUUUUAAAUAAGAAAAUUGUAUAUUGAGAUGAAUAAGAUGUUUCUAUGAUUCUAUCUUAGGAAAGCUUGGUGGUGGUAACGACAUGAAGUUGCGAGUUGCUGCACACAGUUGCUAGUAAUAUAAUAAAACAAGAUAAAUUAAUUAAACUCAGGCCUUUACGUAUAUGUUAUCUUAACUUUACUUACCCUUGUUUGAUGAUUUUCAUUCUUGGAGCUAAGGGCGCAUGUAAUAUUUGUAAUUGUAUUAAGUAUAUAUAAAUGUGAUUUUCAAAAUCAGGUUUUAAAAAGUUACUUCUUCCCUAUUUUUCAAAAUCUGUAGGAUAGGCUGAUUUUUUCAAAAGUAAUUUUUAAAAUUUUUUACCAAACACUAAAACCAACUUUUAACUUUUCAAAAUCACUUUCGAACUUUCAAAAAGCAAUCUCAAACGAAUCAUUACUCUUGUUGUCUUGCUAAUAGUUUCAAUCUAAUUUUAGUUCUACUGUUACCACUACUCAAGGUAAGCGAAAGUUCUAGAUGUGGCAAAAUCAAUAAUUAAAUUCAUAAAACGUAAACUAAUUUUCCUGACCAAAUAGAGUUGCGCAAUUUCAUCAAUUUGGAAGAAUUGACAUUGAUGGACUAGCCUUUCUCUCCAUAUAACUAUAAUCCUUUUAGAAAUCUAUUUUUUUAUUAAUUAUUUUCUUUUAAGUUAAUUUCAAUUUCGAAAAGAGAUAUUUUAAGUUGUAUAUACUCUACCGGGAGUUUCUUCAGAACAAUUUCCUUAUUCCAAGAAUAACGAAAAUGUGGUAAAUUAGAAUUAAUAUAGUAUACAGGUGCUGAUUAUAUAUCAUGAUUGGAUGGAUUAUGCGAAAAAACCGGAGAAUUUUAAUUUAUUUUUUGUUGAAUGUUAAUUUUUCAGGUUAUCUUGAUUUCAAUUUGGAAUAGUAAUUUGGUCAUAGAUUUCAGGCACAGGCUAUCAUAGUCUAGACUUAAUGAGUUAAUGGUACCAUUAUUCUUGAUGAAGGCAAUGACUCCCAAUCCUCUUAUAAAAAAUAUUUUCAACUAUUUUGACGACAAACCUCUCUUACAGUAAUACAGUUAAUAGUCUCUAAAAAUAGAUAGAUUUAUUGUUGUCAUGACAAAAUUAUUUAUCGUAAUGAAAUAUAAUUAAUGCGUCAAAAUUAUCAGGUAUAUAUUCUAUUUUACUUUUUCAAUACAGCACUUUUUUUUUUAUAUAUAAAAUAAUCGGCUAUGCCCCUGAGGCAUUUUCUAGGAAUAGCUUCUGGCUUCAGCUUACCUCUGUUUCUCUUGUAAUUUUCUUUUUCAAUUUUUUUAACGAAGUUAAUUAAUAAAAGAAGAAGGGCAGGUUUUUCCAAGUCACGCAUUAUUUGACCACCGUCAAUCAAGAAACCAACCAAGUUAAUUUCUCUCCAUGAUUUCCAAAAGCUAGAAAAUUUUGUUAUUUUUAUUUUAUUUUAUUUUUAUCACAAGGAAGUUGUAUUCAAUUUAGACAAUACAAUAGUACAGCAGCAAAACAUCCAAGAUCUUAUUACAGCUUCGAAGUAAAAUAUUGCAGUACACAACAGACAAUCCUGAUGAUAUUCAUAGUAAAUUCACGAAGUGAACAGGCCACUGAUAUCUUAAGCAGCAGCCACAGCUUCGGUAGGCUUCGAAUCUGCUGGUUUUUCCUCUUCCCAGAAGGCAGUCUUCUUCCCGGCCUUAGAAACAGUCUGGAGGACAGCGUCGGGCUGUACGUUGUCCUUCACAGUCACCUUUUGCUCCUUCAAAUCAAUGUCAAAUGUUUCCACACCAUCCAUUUUCCCCAACACUCUCUUCACUGCUCCAUAGCAGCCCUCGCAUGACAUGUCAACCUUAAGGACAACGGUCUGAGACAUAGCAGGACUUCAAAUAAAAAAAAAGAACGACAAAAAUUGAUUUUUUUUUUUUUUGGGCUUUUGUUUUCGUUUUUGUUUUUGAUGCUAUUAUCGGUAACGAUUUUGCUUUAUAUAGAGGAAAAAAUGGGCGACGGGCUCUAACGAUAAAUCAAUUUUGUUUGUGGAAAUAUAAAUCAAUUUCACCUGCUUUUUAAAGUACAAAUACAGAAAUGGAAUUUUCACAAAAUACCAAACAUGUAGAAUUUAAGUUUUGGCCGUGUAGACCAAAAUGCAAAUGAAAGAAAAAAGGAAAAAAGGACUUAAAAGACUUCUAAAACAUGUGGAAGUUUUUAGACUUUUUUUUAAUGGUGGGUUUUCCAAAGGGAAAAAAACAUAACAACACUUCUAAGACUUAUUUUGAUGAUCACAUGUAUACUCUUUAAUUUUAUAAAUGGAUAUAUAAACACUUUUUUUUACAAAUAUCAAAGAUUUCAAAACUUUCCAGUUAAGUCCAAAUUACUCAAAACCACAAGGUACUUUAUCUUAUAAAAAUAAAACUUCUUUGUUUAUAAAAAAGUAAUUAAUAAAAUUAAUCUUUUGAGCUUCUCAAAUGCUAAAUCAUGCAUCAAUUAAAUCAUACCGGCUUUACAAGAAUUUUUCGCAAUAAUUUAUCUGUUGAGUUCUAAGCUUUAUUCUUGAUUUUGCCAUUGUCCGUUGAGUGUCUUCAACUUGAUUUCACUUGAUUUACUUGCAUAAAUAUUAUCCUUCAAAAACUAGUGAAAAUUGUGAAAUACAAUAUUUAAAUCGCUUAAUACACAUGUUUGUUAUCAUCAAAAUUACAUUAUAUGUAGCCCUUUAGGCUAACAGAUAGCAUACGUAUGAUGACUUCUGGUGUAGUAUGAGCCUCAUGUUGCAUCAAAGCAAUGACUCGAGCCUGAGUACGAGGUCAACCAGGUUGUCCUAUUUGACCUGGAGCAGUGGCCUGGCUCCCAGAUGUAGAACCCCAUGUCUGCAUACCCCUCUGACCCUGAGUUGGUCUAGAGUGAAAUUGAUAUUGUGGGGUUGUCCCUCGAGCAUAACUAUCACCUUGAGAAUAAGUGGGGCAGAAUCUCCUAAUAUGUCUAGGUUGUCCACAUAAAUAACACACCUUGUCUCCAACACAGCACUGACCCUGAUGGUUCCUGCCACACGAAGGGCAAAACGUCCGUUGUAUACUCCUAGAACGAUCACCAUGGUGUCCUCCUCUAUUCCUGUCCUACUACCCCUGAGCCCUAACAUUACUCCCCACUGAUGGCUGUACCGAACUGUGACUAACAACCUGUCUUUGAUCUCUCCUGAAACCUGCACUCUGACUCUUUUGGACGCUAGCGGAGUAAUUUGUAUGGGAGCCUCUCUUCGACGGCCUAUUACUCGAGCCACACUCUGUACAACUCUGGCUACGUUUUUGUUUCAGUGAAUGAACUCUAUGUCCCUCUGAAAUACUAUGUUCUACUCUCCAGGCUGCCUCAACUACCUCUCAAAACUCAGUAUGUCGUGAUGCAUCCACGGUAGUGCGAAUCUCAUAUCGGAGACCCUCCUCAAACCGUCUGCAUCUCUCUCUCUCUUCACCAACUACAUAUGUAGCAAAUCUAGAGAGGUCUAAAAAUUUCCUCUCAUACUCCUCAACUGUCAUGGAUCCUUGAACCAACCGAAGGAAUUCACUUCACUUAAAAUCCUGAUACACAAUUGGAAAAUAAUGAUCGUAGAAUUCCUUACGAAAAAUAGCCCAUGUAAGUGUGGCAUGUCCUUGAUAUUUACGUUCCACUGUCUACCACCAAUGAUAAGCCCUAUCCUCGAGUAGAAAAGUGGCAAAGGAAAGUCUAUCCUCUUCUGAGCAUCUCAUCACAUCAAAAAUACGUUCUAACUUUACAAGCCACGAUUCUGCCAUAGGUGGACCUUCAGAACCAUUAAAACUCUUUGCCCCUAAGCUUCGUACAUGCUCAAUAGUGUUUACAUGACCGGUAUGCGGAUGAGUCUAAUUCUGUACCACUGUAGUUACAAUCUGAGCUAGUCUAUCAAUUGACUGCUCAAUGUUUGAACCAUUUCUUGGUGCCUGUUGUGCAACCUCGUGCGUUGAAACUCAACUAUUCCCUCAUUACGGGAUCAUUUCCCCCCGCAAGUACAUCUCCUGAAGUCAACCCAGCUACUAGCCUAGUACACUGCUACGACAAAUCAUGAUGGUGCCUAUAAAAUAUCAAUUCCGACUUUAAUAAUAAUAAAACUUAUUAUAAUUAUGACAGUAUAGUCUAUAGAAUCUAAAACCAUGCUCUGAUACCAACUUGGAACGACCCGCCUCGAAUCUUUAGGACAAGUCUAUCUAAUCUCGUCUAAACAAAUUAAUAACAAUUUUAAUGUCUAAGAAUUCUACCACAAUUGCACCAGAGUCUCCCAUAUAAUUAUGAAAUUCCCAAACCUGCAAUUUAUAAAAUUAACACUCCAAAAAAUGAUAUAAUAUUCAAUCAACCACCACAACCAACUUCCUUAAUCAAAUACCAGUAUCCUUCAAACAUAUCAUGUCAAGCAUACAAUAAUUUACCCUUAAUCACAAAAGUAAAAAUUUAAACAAUUCAAAAUAUCCCAACAAAACAUCUAUGAUUUCUAACAACAUCACGUGUCCAUAAUUUCAAAUCUAACUAUCGUUACUGGGUCGAUUGAUGUACCUGCAAAUCUCCUAUGAGAGGGGAGAGGAAUAUAAUAAAAAUAGAGUGAGUAUAAAACUCAGUGAGCUCAGUGAGUGGAUAGUAGUUUUUGAAAAACAUAUAUUUAUUUAAAAUGAUUUAAUCUUUCCCAAAUCAAUUUCAUCAAAAUAUCAUAAGAACUUACAUAAACUUAUUUAAUUCACAUCAUACACUGAAAUAACAAUAUCACAUAAAUCUGCAUAAAAUCAAUGAAAUCAUAACACGUGUAAUAUCAAAUACUGAAUACCAAAAACUAUCACCUAAUAAAUACCCAAGGGAAUAAUCUCAUCAUAUCCGGACCUCGACAGACGGGCAAUUAGGGAACUAUUAUGCCUCGGAGCUACAACGAAUAGAUGGGAAAAUGUCAUCUCAUAUCUCAUAUAUCUCAUCAUAUCUAUGCAUCCAUAAUCUGGUCCCCAAAGGAUAAGGCGCCCAAGCACACGGCCCAAAGCCUCUGUGUGCACUCAGACGGGCCGAUGAUUUUGCAAACAACCUUUUAUACACAUGUUCGUAAACAUAUAAUUACAUUUGAAAUCUCCUUUCCUUUUUAUUUAACAUAUCUCAAAUCCACUCAAUUCUAUUAUCAUACAUUUACUCAAAAACGAUAACAAAAUCAUUAAUCAAACUCAUUCUUAAUAAUAAUAAAUAUCAGCACGUAAAUGAAAAUCCAUUUUAUAGAAAAUUAUUAAAUCGAAGCAUCAAAUACUUAUUAUCAAAACAUGUUGUACUGUAUCGUAAAAUCAGAAUAUACUAUGAAAAUAUGUUUUGUAUAUUCCACUCACAGUGACAAUAUCCAGCUCGGUAUCAACAACGUCCGCGGGUUGAUUCUCGUUCGCAGGUCCUCCUAAUCAAGUAAACGACAAAAUCAUUUUCCGUAAACAUGAAAUACAACUAAUUUCAGACAAUAAAUCUCGAAACAAAUAUCUAUCCGCAUAAAUUAUUCUCGUAUGCAUAAAAUUACUAAAAUACCCCUACAUGCCAAAAUUACCAAAAUGCCCCCGACGUCAAUAUUUACUAAAUUCUCCACAAAAUCCUAAAUUACCAAGCUACCCUUAAUUCGGAUCACAAGAAUAACCACAAUGUCAAAAAAAUACAAAAUUACCCUUGAAGUGUAAAAUUACCAAAAUACCCUUAACAAUGUAAAUUACUGAAUUACCCCAAAAUCUCAAAUUGCCUAACUGUCCUAUUCGGAAAUUACAAAAUUAUCCACCAAUUUUAGAAAUUACAAACUUAUCCUGAAGUUUGUGAAAUUAUCGAAUUGCCCUUGCCGGUCAAUUUGAUAGUUUUGACCACCCUAAGUCCAAUGGUGGUGGCCGUGAGUUCUCACGCAUGAUGACGGCGGUGGAUCGAGCUUCCCAAUAUGUGAGCUUUCCAAUGGUCGAUCGGUGGAAUUCUGACUGUUUCAGGAGGCGAGGUUGGUCGGAAAAUGAUAAGGGUGAGCUGAGGAUUAAGGUCAGGCGGUGGCAUCACCCAAAACCGGCGGAGUUAACAACGACGAAAAUGGGUUGAGCAGCAAGUUUGCUGAGCUUGAUCGCCGGUGUUCUCACCAUUUUCUAACAGCGAGGAAGGUAGGGGUAUGACCGGCAUCUCACGAGCUUUCUAUUGGUACCUUGCUCGGCUGGUGAGGUAGUCGGAAAUGGAAGUUAUGACCUGGUCAAGGUCGCGGGUUGCGGGUUGGAUUCGAGUCAAAACCGGGUCUAUCUCUCUCUCUCUCGCGCCCCCUCCUCUCUUUCCUUUUUUGGAAACCGGCUCCCUUAUUUUCAUUUAUAGAAACUAGCUUCUUUUUUUUUUCUUUUUUUUAACUUACUUCCAAUUAAGCCAAUGUCGGACCCGUGUUGAAAUAAAAUCCGACCACACAGCCAUUGAAUCGUGUUUGAAAUGUCUCAAUUUUAUGUCGUGCAAAUAUAAAAUAAUCCAAACACGAUUUAUUUAAUAAAUGCGUAACAUUUAACAGUUUCCACUCAAUGUCGGAUAAUCAUAUUGUAUCAACUUCACCGUAAUAAUUUGGAACAAAUCCAACAAAUUUAAAAUUAAUGUCGAAGGGGGAAAAAUUAAAUAAUACACUUAAUUAGGAAAAUUGAAGUGGAUAUGUUACAAAAUGUACUACAAAUAUCGAAAAAAUAUAAAAUUUUACAAAUUAGAUUAUUUGCCAUUUGGUUUAUUAUUUUGCAGAUUUGAGUAGGUUGAAGUCUCUUGGUUUAAGUGGUAUCAAGGUCAAUCAUAGCAGCUUGUUUUCUCUUUCUGCAUUAAGAGAAUUAGAUCUAAGUGAUACGAGAUUCAAAGGAAAGAGUUGCAGAAGAUAACCAAAUAAGUCAACUAUAAGCUAACUGGGUGUAUAUAUAGUUAGAUGUGCUAUAAAUAAAUAGCAUAGAGCCCUCUAGUUGGUUACAGAGACAGAAAGGGUGUGUGUAUGUUUUUUAAUUAGAAUGGGUGGUUCAAAAUAAAAAAUGGUGAUAAUGUUUGUUAUGUUAUUAAUAAUAUUUGAAAGUGGGUGGAGUAAGGGAUGUUUGGAUCAUGAGAGAUUUGCUCUUUUGCGACUUUGACAUUUCUUUAAUGAUCCUUAUAGCCUUCACGAUUGGGUAGAUGAUGAGGGAGCUACUGAUUGUUGUCAGUAGGAAAGGGUUCUGUGCAGCAACACCACAAGCCGAGUGAGACAAACUUGACCUUUCUUUUAUUAAGUAUUCAAGAGAGUAUUGGUAUCUGAAUGCUUCUUUGUUUACUCAUUUUAACAUCUUGAGGCACUUGAUUUAAGUGCCAACAACAUGGCCGGCUUUGUUAAUAAUGAAGGUGCUUUGUUUAAUUUAUUUUACUUUCUCCUUUCUAAUUUAAGUCGAAUCUCAAGACUAAGCAACUAUAUGCAUAUCCAUCCAGUUGACAAUUUUGACAUUUUUUUUAAAUGAUUAAUUUUGAGAUUACACCAACAUAAAUGAUAAGUUUUGAUUUUAAUUGCAAGACCAAAGAGGCUAUCAAGAUUGAACAACUGAAGGUUCUUGAUUUAAGUGGAAACUUGUUCAACAAUAGCAUCUUGUCAUCUCAAGCCAGUCUUUCAUCAUUAAGAUCUUCACUGUUAUAUGAGAAUAGACUGGAAGGAAGUAUUGAUGUUAAAGGUACAUAAUUAAAACUUCAUCUCUUCUCCCAACUCUUUCAUGAACUUGCUAAAAUAAGAUUCAACGAAAUUUUAUAUUUUAAUUGUUCUGAAGGAAUCAGAUACUAAUUGGCAGCUCGAAUAAACAUACUUUUAUUUACUCCGUCAAUCAAUUAAUUAAAUACCAUUUGUUUUUAGUCUUAAGUUUUGGCAUGUUUGCAGAAUUUGAUUCCUUGAGCAACUUAGAGGAGUUGGACAUGAGCUAUAAUGAAAUAGACAAUUUCGAGGUUCCUCAAGGUAAACAAUUAAAAUAUCAUUCAAUUGCAUUAAUUUAAUUUGUUUGAUUAGGGAAGGCCCAAAAGGUACAAAAAAAAAAAAAAUAAAUAAAGAAACAGAGAAUUUAUAUUAUUUAAAAAAAAACGUAAUACUAUUAUUUCAAAAAUAGAAUGAAAUAAAGAUUCGACUCUAGUUCUUUAAUCUUUAGAGCAAGCAAAAAACGAUGUUGCUCUUUUCCUAAAGCACAAAAUAUGAAAUGACUCCUAAUUGAAUUAAUGAUUUAUUUCAUUUAGCUCUAAAUUUAGACAAUAAAUUUUUUUUUUUUUUCAAUCCUAUCCUUAUUAUUAUUAUUGACCGGAUUGCAGUGGUUUGAGGAAGUUGAAUUAUCUUCAUCUAUUGAGAGUUGGAAUUUGAGAUGGAAAUAAGUUGUUACAGUCAAUGGGAUCAUUCCCAUCCCUCAACACUCUUGACCUUUAGUAUAAUAAUUUUACGGAAACAGUGACAACUACUACUCAAGGUAAGUAAAAGGUACAGAUGUGGCCAAAUUUAUAAUUAAUUAAUUAAUUUUUUUUAUUAAUAAAGAGAAAUUCGUUGCUCCUUCCUUCUAAACAGAGUUGCACAAUUUCACCAACUUAUAAUAUUUGAGAUUAGAAUAUUUCUUUCUCUAUAUAAGCCUUCUGCAAAGCAUUGCAUCAUUCACUUUGUUAAAAAAUUUGUCGAUGUAUUAUUGUGAAGUCAAUGGUGUCAUACGCGGUCCAAGUAAAAGAAAAGCGUUGAUUGUGAACUCAAUGUCGUCCUACGCAUUCAACAUUUUUAUUUAUAUAUUUUAUUGUUUAAUGUUUCUACUAGUUUUUCCCUAUUUCAAGAGUUUGAAAGAGUUGUACAUAGAUGACGCAUGCAUUGCACUCAACACCAGCUUUCUUCAAAUCAUCGGUGAAUUGAUGUCUUCUCUUUAGUACUUAUCACUGUCAAAUUCUAGUAUUAGCAAUAACAACAGGACUCUUGAUCAAGGUUAAUGAGAUGCUCCCACCCUCCCCUCUUAAUGUAUAAUAUUAAUUUCUAAUUAAAUAUAUAAUUACACAAACUAAUCUCUUAUAAAAGAACAAUAUUCAUUUAUUAACUUCUAUAUUGUACUGAUGGAUGAAUUAAUAAAUUUUCAGGCCUUUGCCCAUUGGUGCAUCUCUAAGAGUUGCACAUGGCUAAUAAUGAUUUAAGAGAUAGCUUGCCUUGGUGCUUGGCAAAUAUGACAUCCCUCCGAAUAUCAGAUGUUUCUUCCAAUCAACUUACUGGAAGCAUCUCCUCAUCUCCUCUCGUUCAUUUGACAUCCAUUGAAGAUCUAAUACUUUCAGACAAUCACUUCUAGAUCCCAAUUUCACUUGAAACACUUUUCAAUCACUCAAGACUCAAGAUUUUCGAAGCUGAAAACAAUGAAAUAAAUGUAGAAAUAACUGAGUCAAAUUCUUUGACGAUCCCAAACUUCCAAUUACAAUCUCUUUUAUUGUCUUCUGGUUAUAGAGAUGGUAUCACAUUCCCUAAAUUCCUUUACAAUCAAUAUGACCUAGAGUAUGUUCGUCUCUAACACAUAAAGAUGAAUGGAGAAUUUCCAACUUGGUUGUUGGAAAACAACACAAAAUUGAGACAACUUUCUCUUGUCAAUGAUUCUCUGGCACGACCUUUCCGAUUGCCAAUUCAUUCACACAGGCAGUUAAGACUGUUGGAUGUCUCCAAGAACAACUUCUAAGGCCACAUUCCACUAGAAAUUAGAGAUAUUUUAUCAAGGUUAACAGUCUUCAACAUUUCCAUGAAUGCUUUGGACAGUAGCAUUCCCUUUUCAUUUGGUAAUAUGAACUUCCUCCAAAUUCUGGACUUAUCCAACAAUUAAUUGACUGGUGAAAUCCCCGAGCACUUGGCCAUGGGUUGCGUUAGCUUGUAUUCUCUUGCGUUGUCAAACAACAACCUAUAAGGUCAUAUGUUCUCUAGAAAUUUUAACUUGACGAACUUGAGAUGUUUACAAUUGGAGGGCAAUCACUUCGUAGGAGAGAUCCCACAAAGUUUGUCCAAAUGCUCCUUAUUAGAAGGAUCGUUUCUUAGUAAUAACAGUCUCUCAGGUAAGAUUCCAUGAUGGUUGGGUAAUCUCAUGGUGUUACGUCAUAUUAUAAUGCCCAAAAACCAUCUUGAAGGUCCUAUUCCAUUAGAGUUUUGUUAGCUUCAUUUCCUUCAAAUUUUGGAUAUUUCAGACAACAACAUAUCUGGGAAUUUCCUUCAAAUUUUAGAUAUUUCAGACAACAACAUAUCUGGGAGUUUACCAUUUUACUGCCAUUUUAUCUGCAUCGAACAAGUUCACUUGUUGAAGAAUAUGUUACACGGAUAAUUAAAGGAAGGUACAUUCUUUAAUUGCCCUUCCCUUAUGAUAUUAGAUCUUAGCUAUAACCGCUUGGAUGACAACAUUCCUGAUAAGGUUGAUGGGCUUUCUCAGUUAAGCCACCUCAUCUUGGCUCACAAUAAUCUUGAAGGUGAAGUGCCAGUUUAAUUGUGCAAAUUGAACCAACUACAAUUAUUAGAUAUUUCUGAUAAUAAUCUUCACGGUCCUAUUCCCUCUUGGUUUGAUAACACAACACUUCAUGAAAGGUACAACAAUGGUUCUAGUCUUCAGCCAUUUGAAACAUCUUUUGUCGUAUUCGGAGGCAUUGACGUAUAUCCAAAAAAACCAAUCCUUGAAAAUUUUGACUUCACAACAAAGAACAUUACCUGCACUUACCAAGGAAGAGUGUUUGGCCUCCUAUCAGAACUUGAUCUUUCUUGUAAUAAGCUAAUCGGUCAUAUUCCUCCUCAAAUUGGAAAUUUGACCAAGAUUCAAACAUUUAAUCUAUCACACAACAACUUGACAGGACCAAUCCCAUCAACUUUUUCAAACUUGAGGAAUAACGAAAGUUUGGAUCUUUCCUAUAAAAAAUGAAGUUGGAAAAUCCCUUAUCAACUUGUGGCGUUAAAUUCAUUGGCUGCACAAUUUGCAACCUUCAAUGAGAGUAGCUGUGAGGGAAAUCCAUUUCUUUGUGGACUGCCAUUGCUCAUUUGCAUAUCACCAGCAACUAUGCCAGAGGCUUCAGCUAGCAAUGAAAGAGAUAAUAAUUUAAUUGACAUGGACAAUUUGUUUGUCACUUUUACAACAUCAUACAUAAUUGUGAUAUUCAGAAUUGUUGUUGUUCUAUAUGUGAAUCCUCGUUGGCGACAUAGAUAGUUUUAUCUUGUUGAAAUGUGGACAACUUGUUACUGUUUUGUUAUAGACAAUCUUAUUCCAGCAAGAUUUUGUCAUUGAAAUUAAUAAGAAGUUUAACUAAGAUUCUUUUAAGUACUAAUCAGGUUUGCUUAAGAAAUAUUUUUUUUUUUGAAAUUAUAGUAGAGUUGAGCAUUAUAUAGCUUCCAACUCCCAAGCACUUCGUAUUUGUCUCUACACUUAGAAAGCUAAGCAAUAUGUUUUGUAUAUAGCUUUCCUAUGUUGUGCAACAUACUUAAAUGAGAGCACCAUCUCCAAUGUUAAAAGUAGCCAUUUUAUAACAUUCAAUUAGAAAAUAUAUUCAAAAUAGUUUUAUAAUCAUGCAUAAGAAGCCCAGAUGCACUUGCUAGCUUAUUUUGUUGGAAAAUUUUUCAAAAUAAAUGGUGUCUUUUUGUAAAGACAUGUCUAAACAAAUGGUGUCUUAUUGUAAAGAGAUGUCCAAUUAAUUGUAUCUUAUAAAAAAAGUAUCCUUUCACUUAAGGAUAUAAAAUUUCAUGGUGACAUUUCAUUUGAAAUGAUGAUGGUUUAAUUUGGACUAUUGAUUAAAAUUAAAUCUUAAUCCAAUGGCCAUGAAUGAAAGGGUAUCAUGAAAAAUGACAACCCAAAUGGAAGGGCACAAGUAUGUCUAUAAAUAGAGGCCAUGUUUAGGCCAUUUAGACAUGCAAAUAAUAAUCCUACACCACUCUUUUCUUAGCUCCUUUCCAAAAAUGAACUUCAUCAUAUAACACCUAUUUUUUGUGCAUUAAAUAUCCAAUAUAUAUUGUUUUCUGCAGGAACAAUAUAUUGUUUUUUGGCAAGCUUGCAACAUUUAAGAGUAUUCUAGUUUGCUUUCAUCAAUGCACAGCGCAAACAAACAAAUAACUACUUCAUUGUUUCCUGGAGACGUAUUUGCUUAAUCCAUGUGCAUCACUUAAUUGGUGGGGGCAAAUAACGUAUGAAGGAAAGCGACAUUUGUAAUGUGCCUGGAAGUACACAUUAAUUUUCUGCAAUUUACCUAUAACUAUUAUUUUCUUUCUACAUACAGAGUUGUAAACACAUUACUUUACACAAUAAAGUUCCACAAUUAUUACUAUGAUUCUCAAUAUUUGUCAUUCUCCACCAACAUAUUUUACUCUGAACAAGAACAAUUAUGGCAUUAUCAUCAUCUUCUUCACUUGCAGCAUUAACACCAAAUUCAAGAUAGACUCAGACAUUUCAUCAAGAAAGGCAUACGUCUAAUGAAGUUGAAGCUUGAUAAAAAAUUCAAUGGAAGGUCAAUGCCUCGCCACAACAAAGGACCUAACAAUAUCCUUCUAGCAAAGAUGAAGCAAUAUUCCUAAAGCUAAAGCUCUCAAAUUCACCACACCAGAAUUUCAUAUCUCUUCAUCAAUUUUAAAAACUAAAGAUAAUUAGGAUUUAACAUUAGGUUGUUAUAUAUUAGUUUCACAAUUUACAAGUCAACAAAGAUAUAGAUUAUGCCAAUGAAUUCAAAUCAUGCUGGAUGUUACUAAAAAUUUACAAAAAUUUACAAGUCAAUCCCACAUAUUUCAUAAUUUUAUGAUUGGAAAGUUUCAUUAGUUUAAAUUUUUAUUACCUUCAAGUGGAAGAUAAAGAUGCACUUUAUGCAAGUGAUUCAGAUUAUAUCAUACACUCUCUAAAUGCAACUAGAAAUUAACAAGUUGAUGCCCAUAGAUUUCAUAACUUUAUGAUUGGAAAGUUUCAAAAAGUUUGAAACUUGAGAAAUUCUGAAUUUAACCUCCACGAAGCUAUUUUGAUUAAUUUGACUUACUUUGUGAUCAAACUAGAAAUACAACAUACAAUUAAAGGUAGAAGUAAACUAAAACUAGGAAGAAAUACUGGUAAAAAUUUGUUGUUAAACAUAAUAUGUCGUGUAGUUUUGUCCUGAGGCAAUUCAGAAACAGAAUUGUUACUACAUAUAUUCUCCUCAACUUUGAGAGAAAUACAUAUAUUAAAAUGCAUACGAUCACACAUAUUACUUGGAACUUAGCAGGAUUUCAUUAAGAGAAUCAAUCAAGCCACUUAUCUUAUCAAUUGCGAAAGCUGUUUUGUUAACUAAGAUGGCAAUAUAAUACAAUAAAAAGAACAUAUAGGUACUUGGCAAGAGUUUAUUGAGAAGUUAUCACAUUCAGAUGAUGAGUUUGCUUUCGAUAUCUUACUAGCUGGAGCUUUCUCCUGUCUUUCUACAUAAGCUAAGGGAAACCAACCAGCUUCACCCUUGCAUUCACCUUUCAACCAUCCGGCAGGAGCCAACUUGAGAAGUUAUAGCUGAAAGGGUAAAUUCAAAGGAAGUGGACCAUUCAAAGACUUAAGGUGAAAUGAUUGAAGCAAAACAUGCUAAUUCUUUUAUUUGGAAGGAGUGAAUUAGUUUUUGAUUACUGAAAUAAUUUCAUUAACCUUGGAAGCAUAACAAUACAUGAAUUCACAUGAAAUUUUAAAAGGAAAAUAUAAGAUUACAGCUCCCUCUGUUUGCUUUUAAGAUCAGCGAGAGAGUAUUUUGUAGGUAAAAGUAGUUUGCAUAAGCCAUAAAUUUGAUUUUUAGCAUUUCAGAAAGAGUUAAAUCCUUCAUAAUCAUCAAAAUAUCCAAAUUCAUUUUGCCCUUUUAAACAGAGGAUAUAACAAUUUCACUAGGAUUUAUUAUCAAAGCAGGCAAAGCACAACAAAGCUUUUUUAAAAAUAAAUAUCCCCUAUAAACAGUACAAGCAUAUAAAGUAUCCACAAAAUUACUUCAUUCUACAAAGAAUUAUAAAUUGAAAUCACAACAAAGCUAAAAGCCUAUAAAAAGUACACGCAUAUAAAGUAUCCAUAAAAUUACUUCAUUCUACAAAGGAUUAUAAAUUAUUCUCUCACUUGUACUCCCUCUCAAUUCCAUGAGGAAUCUGUUUAUCUUAUAGAAAUUGGUUUAGUCAGCAACAAGCACUAUAAUCCUUGAAAUAGUUUUUUUAAUGCAAUUUUCAAUCAUUUUCGAAAAUACAAUUAAAUUGGAGCCAAGAUUAGGUUUAGCUUUCACAUAAAAUAACCAAGCAAACAUAAAAAAUUCACAGUUCAAUUUAUAUAUUUUUUUAAAAAUUAUAGUGGUUUAUUUUAGUGUCAAAUGUAAAUUGACCUUGUUUUAGAUUUUUAGAUACGAUUUAGUAAUAUAAAGUAUUUUUUCUAUUUUAAAACACCGAUAAGGAAAAUUUUUAAAUAAUCCAGUCUUAAAAACAUUUUACUAUGAUUUGUUUAUUAUUUUGUAAUUUUUGAAAUUGAUUUUGAUUGUGAACCAAAUCCUGCCUUAACAUUGGCUUGUGGGCCCCGGCUCUAAGAAGAAGAAAACGCAGUGAGGUGAGGGCGCACGAAGACGAAAAGGAGAGAGGAAAAGAUGGAGGUUUUGAAACUACCAAUCCCAGCAGCGCAGAGAGGGAAACUAAUAUCAGCAGGUUACAUUUCGGUCUCUUCUUCUGAUAUUUCUCGCAGUAAUUUUUUUUUUUAUAAUUUCGUUUUCAAUUAUAUGGUACUAUAACGAAUUUCACAUACCAAGUGUUUGUUGCAAUUGCUACACGAAUUACAUUCAUAUAACAUAUAUAUAAUUCACUUGCUGCUUCGCUUAAAUCAGAUUUAAAAAUUUCGGAGACCGAAGCUGUUGAAAUUCUAAAGGUUGCAUCAAAGAGCUGGUGUCAAUCUAUUCUGACUUGUAAACCAUUUUCUCUUUAAUUCUCCUUUUUCUUUUUACCAAUAACGCCGUCUUUAAAUGACACUAAUUUGUAUCUGGAUGAAUAUUCCAGCAUAUUAGUUAAUAGCUAUGAGAUUUUUUGUCGUUUGUGGCAUACAGGUACCAGACUGCCUGGGACAUGCUUCAGGAGGAACAAGAGUCAUCAAGAACAGAGUACGGCUUGUGAGUAGAAAAUUUUUUGGUUUUGGCCUGGAACAAAAAGAAAUUAAAUUGAUGGAGAAUCUACUACUUUCUCAUUAAGAAAGGCAUACGGAGCAUACCAUGGCACCACACAACACAAGAAGUCUCCGUUCUUUGCUUUUCAAACUCUGAAGGGGGCAAUAUUCCCUAAUUUUCCCUUGAAAAUUCCGAUUACGGCAUUAUUCAUCGCUUGAUUCAAUCAAAGUAGUGACAAAGCUUGGAAAAAUAUGAGUCCUAAGUAAUUACCAAGCAAGGUCCCUGAGGGCAACAUUGUCCUAGGCAUUAUAGACAUACAUCGUGUGGCACAUGGAGCACACUGAAUUCCACACUAUAACACAAACCCUGAAAGAUAAGGAAUAACUCAAAUGAUACAAAGACAAGAAGAAGAUAAAAUGAUACAGAACAAAGAAUUUCAAAGACACAGCAACAUACCAUACACAGAAGCCACUUCAUCUACUCGUUGAUUGCAGCCUUAAACUUGCAAAUAGUUACUGUACGCUAGCACUCUGAGAAAUUAAAAUGAUGCAAAAUCCUGAUUCCCUUUUGUCUUCCAUUUACCGUCAAACAAUCUAUUAAUAUAAUAAAAAAAUGUUUAGAUAUCCUGCUAUUAAUAUAAAAAAAAUGUCUUAAUAUGUCUUAAUAAAGUCACAAAUAACCAUUCAUAUUGAUCUACAGUGUCACACAGCCUGCUUUAUGCAUACAACAGCUGUAUGUAUACCAACUCCUAACCUUAUCAAAACAUUUGGCAAAAACUUAAAAGUAUUUCUCCAUCUCUUUUUCGAAAUUCCACAAUAAACCAGCACAUUGUAAAAGUUAUGUUCUAACCUUAUGAUAAAUGCUCUAGACUUCAAAUGGAUUUUAUAUAUGAGGGUUUGUUGCAGCAGAUAUAUUGACUUAUCAAAUAUGAAUCAUUGUCUGGAUGAACUAUCUUUGGAUAAAAGAAUAUUAGAACCACCCUAGAAUAUCUUUACCCUGAUGUUUCUAACAAAAAUCUGCAUGUGGCAGCAAUUACUAGAUCUACAAUUUCCCAAAUAAUAUUUUGUGUUUCUUAAAAAAUUUGAAAUGCAUAGUUGCACUAGCACACCGUGAGACAGUGCUACAAUCUACUGAGAUCUAAAUUAUAUGAGACUUUAAGCUACUAAUGUUUGCAUAUUUCUACACGUCAAAUUAACAUUACCAUCUAUAAUCCAAAAUGACAGAUGAUAAACUGCUUUUGGCCACUUAUUACUAGCAUCCACAAUUAAUUUUUGUUCAGCAAUCAGCUUAUUUUAUAGAAAUUGAUUUAGUCAGCAGAAAACACUAUAAUUCUUGAAAUUAAUUUUUGUUCUUCGUAAUUUUCUAUGGUUUUUCAUAAAUCAAUUAAUCUGCAGUGCCAAGAUGAGGUUUAGUUUUUCAAACUAAAUAAUCAAGUAAGCAAAAAUACAAAUUCAGAGAUUGGCGGGGUAAACUAGCUGGGUGGUUUAGAACUGGGCUAGCUACCUCACUGUAUUCCAAUUUAUACAGUGGAUUAAUUGAACAUGAGAAAACAAUGUGGUCAUAGCUCAAUAUGAGAUGACUUCGGAGAGGCAUAUUGUUUUCAAUUAUCUAUUAAGAGAUGAAGUGGAUUGAAGUGGAAAGUUUAAAUAACAAAUCCUUGUUCUUGAGUUUUCAAGUGGCAGAUUAUGCAAGUGAAUUAAAAAACACAAUGCAUCAAUCACGGGGAUGCUACAUCAAAAAGACGGGAUCAUAGUCUAUGGAUUGAACAGUUACAAUUGCUGCUACCAAUUAACUCGGCAAAGAUCAAGAAGACAGAACACGAAGUUAAUGCCAUCAAUUUCGUCCUCAUUAUAGCUGCUGGGAAUGAAGGUGUAGUUUCCUCAUUUGAAGCUGUCUACAUAUAGGCUUUUCCCCUGCUUAAGUUGAAGGCUUCAUUAUUGACCCCAGAAAGGAUUACUAAUUGAAGAAGACUAUACAGAGUUGAUCUCACACUUUCAUUCUCUCAAUUUCUUUCAGAAGUCCCUCUGAAAAUAGCUUCCAAAACAGUUAGUCAGCUUUUAUACUCUGUUUUCUGGAAGUACAGUCCUAAUAUACCAUAUUUAAUGGCUUUAACAGUAUUUUUGAGUUGUCUUUGCUGUGAUCAUCAACAAGCUCAUCAUAAGAUUUUUGAAGCACCCAAGGACUAUCACUGGGUUUAUCUUUUGGUUUGUUAAUUAAUUAAUCAAAGAACGGUUGGAUCCCCAAGCACAAUUACUAGAUUCUAAAAUGACUAGUUCACUAUUCUUUUACAGUCCUUUCACCAGUAAAAUUAUUCGACUUCUGGAACUGGGAAUGAAGUGCAAUGAUGAAGCAGCAUUUACAAUGUCUCCGGUUUCUCCUGAAUAUUGGAUUUUUGCAGUGAGAACAUAUAAAAAAAAGGCCUCCAUCAACGUAGGUAAAAUCCGGGAUACGUAUUGGAUCGAGUUUUUGUUUGAUAUUGAAGAACCUCUUUACUAUCGCGAUAUAGAAAAUGCGCAAGGAGUUGUCUACUGUUCUUUGCCUUGUGCUAUGAUCGGUGCUUUUGACGUUGCCCUGAAACAGUGGAAAAUACUUCAGCUUCCUCCGUUUGAUGAUGCAAAGAACUGGUUAAUCUGCGAUUACCUAAUUGAUUCAUGAUCAAGUAACAACAACAAUUUAUUAAUAGUAAUAUCACAAACUAAGAAGAUUUCGGAGAGGGAGAUGUAUUCGUAUACCGUUUACAGGUUUGAUCCGUUGGGGAUGAAGUAGUCUGAAGUCGAAAGUGAUUUAUUAAAUAACAAUUCAUUGUUCUUGGGUUAUACCUCAUUAUGUCUUCAAGUGGAAGAUGAAGAUCGAGUUUUGCUUUGAUAUUGAAGAAUUUGAACAGAAAGCCCAUAGAAAGUACCUAAAUAAGCAUAUUCUUGAGGUAAAAUAUGGAGGAGUUGUUUACUGUGUGCUGCGUAGUUAUGCUAUGAUCGGUGCUUUCGGCAUUGCGCAAACAGUGGAAAAUACUUCAUAUCCUCGACAAGAUGAUGAAAAGAAAUUGGUUGCCGAUUACCUAAUUGACUCAGACACAACAAUCUAUUAAUAGCACAAUUUGAAGUGAUGCCGUUUAGGUAUAUGGUCUACAGGUGUGAUUCAUCAGCGAUGAUGUGGACUCAAAUUAAAAGUUUAAAUAAUAAGUCGUUCUUCUUGGGCAUAUCGUCAUUAUUACGUUAAGUGAUCAAAGAUGAAGAUGAAGAUGAAAAUUCUUCAAGUGGGUUCAAGAAUACCAUACAUCGUUACUUGGGAUACUUCCUCAAACUUGGAUGGGGUUAUAAUUUACUCCCACGAAUUUCAACCCAAUUUUAUGAUUGGAGUGUCUCACCAUGACUCAGAAAAAAUUCUGAUUCAACCUCCUCCACCAACGGAUUUUGAUAAGUUACUUUGUAAUCAAGCAAUUUAAUUAAUUAAACUCACAGCUUGAUUUUGUUGGUACCACAAUUUGUUAAAAUGUGGCCAUGUGAGGAGAGCGGAACAUAGUGUCACUUCCUCAUCAAGCACUUCAAAGAGGGAUUUUAGAAGAAGAUAUAACUGCAAUUGUCUUCGUGUGUGUGUGUGUGUGUGUGUAUAACUACUGAACUUUCAGUUCAUAAAAGAAAUUUUUGCUAACCAUGAUAUGUGGUAGUGUUUUUUAGGCAAUUUACGAACAGAGUUGUUCAACUUACAGCAGAUAUUCUCCUCAAGUUCGACGUAAUUAAUAUUAUGAUGACACAUAUAACUUGCUUCAAAAUUAGACAUUACGAAUUUCCGAUUCACAAUGCAUAUAACUUGGAAGAAUUGAUGCUAAAGGAACAAUAACACGCAUAAUUUGGAGAGCAAUUGCGACAGCAGCCGAGUAUAUGAUAACUAACUAAAAUGGCCAUUGAGCAAUUAAGAGGAGCCAUCAAACAUCUUACGAGUACCGGCAGCCGUUUAUGAACUAAAAUAGCAAUAUGAUGCGAGAAAAAGGAACAUACGUAGCCAUACUUGGCAUUGGCAAGAGUUCAUGAGAAGUGGCAUCACAUUCAGGUAAUGACUUGACUGCUGUUAUCGUGCAAGGUAAUACUUAAUUUCUCCCUUUCUUUUUUUUCACUUUAACAAAGUUGAAGUCGAUGAAAUUAUGAUUCGACAGAAAAAAAAAAAGUCAGUGAAAGGCCAAUACCCUACUACAACAACAGGUACAAAUUAAAAGUUUCAUUCUAGAAAAGAUGACGCAUUAUUCUUUAUCCCUAAAGCUUAAGCCCACCACAGUGGAAUUUCAUCGAUGACUCGAGCGAUUCUUGAUUCAAACUCCUCCAUCAAGCUGGGAUUUCGAUUGAGUGAGUUACAAUGUUGAAUGCAAGGAUCCAGCCUCUAUAAAAAUAUUAUCGAGAUUAAUUUCAGUCUUCCCUCGAUUAUCAAAUAAUUGAGUGAAGCCAGUCUAAUUAUAAUAUCUGAUGUAAUAUCAGUAACAAUCCUUUAUAACAUCUGAUUAAAAAAUAAUUAUGUAAAAUUCAUUUGGCUUGAACUAAAGAUGGCCAAUGGGUGAGGCGGCGCGCGGCACGGCACAUGUCCGUACAGCACGGCACGACACGAGCACGUUUUGGUAGGACACGCAGCACGGCACGACACACACAUAGGUCGUGCCAGGCCUAGAAUUUUAGGCACACGGGUCUUAAAAGCAUAGCACAAUUAGAGAUUGACUAAAACACGGCACGCGAAAGAGCAUCUAAUAAGUACACUUCAUUAGUGGGCUAACAUGCGGCCCAUGGGCCAUCAAUAGCACGUGGGCCAAAGUAUAUCAAAAUAAAAGUUUUUAAUGAAAAAUAAAUAUAAAAUGCUAUGAUUUUACAAAUAUUUUGAAAUUAAAAAUUUUAAUAUAUUUUUUUAGCACAAGCUUUUAAAAAUUAAUUUAAGUCCUAGUUUAAAUAAAUAUUCUAAUUUUUUUAUGUUUAUAAUUUAUUAAAUGAAUAAAUAAAUACCAUGAUUUUAUUAAUGAUAAAUUAAAAAUUUUAUGAUAUUAAUAUUUCAUUUAUGAAGUCAUAAAUUAGUUAAUAGUUAAUGGAGAUAUGUUUCAUUUGUGAAUGAAAUAUUUUUCAUAUUUAUACACAAAAAAAAAAUUAUGAACGAAAUAUUUUUAUGAUAAAUUAAAAAUUAUAAUAUUAGAUGUUCAAAUAAAAUUAUGUGUAAUUGUUAUUCUAUAAUUGUAAUUUUAUUUUUCAUUAAUUAUUACUAUAAUCUAUGAAAUUAUUAUUAUUAUUAUUAGUCUGAUGAGCUUAAAAAAGUACAAUAAGCACGUGGGCUUGAAUAAAACCUGCCAGACACAGAGAUAUUUUUAAGACAUGCUUGAUAUGUGGAUUUAAAGGAAAAAAAAAUUUGAGGGUUUUUUUGGGGCACGGCACGAGCACAACACGAGCAGACCUGUGCCAGGCCUUUAAAAAAAUGGUGGGAACGGCACGCCCCCAACAAAAUGAUGGGCCGUGCCGUGCGGGCCCACGAGCCCGCGUGGGCCAACAUUUGAUGGGCCUGCCGGCCCAUUGGCAAUCAUUAGCUUGAACUUGGUCGCCUCUGUUCUCUCAUGGCGUUAUCAUCAUCAUCUUCUUCAGUUGUACUAACAUGAAAUUCUUCUUAUUCCCUUUCUCAACUGUCAUACCCUAUCCCUAUUCCCUGUGUCCCCACUAAACCACGCUCAAUUCAGGCCAUCAGAUUCUCUCGGAACCACAUUAAUCCAACGGCUCACAAUGACCGACAGCCUCUGCAUUUCCAUUUCAAGCUCCCUCUUCAACUGGCCUCUGCUUCCGUUGUACUCUUUCUCGGAUUCUCGGUGGUCCCACACAGCUCCAUCUCACUCCAAUUGUCACCCAACAAGACCAAUUGCUUAAUCAAGUCACAGAACAAAAAGAGGAUGAGAAAUUGGAACAAGAAUUUGAGAAUUGGAAAUCGAAAAUGUACAAAUUGACCGUGCCUUUGAGAGUUCUUUCUCUUCAGAAUUCAAUACCUCAAUCUUGGAUUAAGGAUUUUAUGCGAAGUCAAGGAAAGAGAUUGAAUUUUCAGAUGAAUUUGUGUGCUAGCAUCGAUGGGAUCUUAACAAUUUAUCUGUGCCUUUUAACAAAGUUAAGGCUAAGUCAGCUCUUAUAUGGCUGCUGAUUUGGUUAGUGUUGGUGAUUCAUGUCACAGUUUUGCGAUUAAAAAGAGAUUGAUUGAACCAAUAGUUGGAGCUGAAGAUCAAGAUUGGUUCAAAUGCUUAAGUCACAAAUGGAAGGUAACAUCUUUAUCAUUGUCCAGAUAUUUUUUAAUCAUUGUCCCAAUAUGUUUUAUUGUCUUACAUUGAAGUUUGGUAAUGUAAUUUGUUCUCUAUCUGUGUUCCCUUUGUAGUCAUUUUAUUUAUUUUUUUGUUUGCAUUUAUUUGCACUGACGAAGUCUCAGGUAUAUCUAUGCAGGAAUGAUGCAGGAGAAAUUGAUCCUUGAGGUAAAAUAUGCGCAGCACCAUAUCAGUGGGGCACAGUGGUGAUAGCUUACAAGAAAAGUAAAUUUCGAAAGCAUAAUUUGGCUCCGAUUGAGGUAAUAAUUGUCUUUAAGCUCAUUUAGUUUUAUAUCAAACAAAAUCAAGACUGCCUUUCUCUUCAAUAUUUUUUAUGAUAAUAUCUAGAAGCAGCUAAUUGACGGGUAAUCAAUGUAUUCCUUAAAGGGUCUACAAACUCAAUGAUAUUAUCUUCUGCAAAUGGUUCAUUAGACCUCUUAGUUGUAGUCAAAUGUACACUAAGGACAGCAAGAAGCUAUGCCACUGUAGCAUGGUAAUGAUGGCCCUCAAUAAGUGAGUUGGUAGGAUGUGAACCAGAAAAAUUAAAUAAUGUCUCCCUGGCUAUGCCAGCUCAUAAGUUAGGGUUAAUAUUAGAGCUUGAGUAACUAUAACCUUGAGAAGCUAUUGACUGCAAAUUAAAAUAUCCAUUAAAAUGUUUAGGGAGUUAUGAAGGUGGAAGUAUCUUCCAAUUUCUAUGGCCAUAUUGUAGACAUCAUCCAGGAUCCUAUUAAAGUGCAGUUAGCCUCCUGCUUGAUGCUAAUGUCAAACAAUUAAUAAAUUUGGUCAAUGUAACUGAAACUUGCUAACUGACAUCAGAUUGCAACUUAAAAUGGGAUAGAUGAUUAGUAGCACUGAAUUCUUCUUGCCUAAGAUUGAGCAAUUGUUCUAACUACUAUCUCCUAUUUUAGGUUGAUUAUUAUGUUCUAAUUAGGUCCAUUUUGACCCAAAAAAUUACAUAAUCUUGAUCUGCAUAUUGUCACUGAACAGUGUCAAUAUCGUUCACCAACUAACUUGAGUUUGAUAUAACAAACACACGGUAAGCUUCGAUAUGUGGAUUAGCUUGGAGAAGAUAUCUCAAAAUGAAGAAUAUGGGAGUUAAUGGGAAGAAACAGUUCAUUAGUUGAUAAUUCUGUCAUCGAGCUGUAUCUCGAACAUGGUCAAAUUUUAUGUGAAUAAGGACAGGGAAUCUUCAUUCCUCUUUUCCUUUCUAUACCCAGAUAUCUCUCAACCUUUAUAUGUUGCCCACUGGAGAUCUGCUUCUAAUAACUAAAAUAAAAAAUUCAUCCACUCAAUAAAUGCUCACCAAGCUUUCACAAGAAAAAGUAACAUCUUUAGUGAAGUAAUUUACAGUUCCUUAUCAUCUUCGUGUGAGUCUAUCAGUAUGAUCCAAAAACAUAAUACAUCUUGUUAGAUCUUGUUUAUUGAUGUUUAAAUGUUGUUCAUUGUGAAAUGUAGAAAUGAUGACGUGAAGUUUCUUUGGUCAUCAGUUAGUGAGAUCUUGUCUGAAGUUGUUUUCUGAAAUGAACUGCCAAAUACGAGGUUAUUGGUACAGUUUUGAAGUAUAUGGGAUCAUCAUACAAUUGAAACGACAUUGAUUAGCAAGUUGCUGCUGGGAGGAUUGCUGUUCAGCAGAAUCUGGCAUUACUGGGAAACCAGGUACUCUUAAAGAAACGAUAUCUGGUCAAUGCAUAUUAUUGCCUGACAGCUGAUUUUGUUUGUAAAGUCUGCCUUUUCAUACAUAUGAAUGCAUAUGUUAGUGUUUUCUUCUCCUUUUAAUACACAUGAAUGCAUAUGUUAGUGUUGUCUUCUCCUUUCCAUAAAUACGAAUGCAUAUGUUGGUGUUCUUUUCUGAGAUGGAUGCAAAUAAAGGCUUUUUCUUCUAAAUUUAGCUGAAGAAAUGGCAAGGAAUGUGAGAUUCUAUCUCAUUAAAUUAUCAAAAACCCAAAACAAUGAAAACUCAUAUUAAUGUGAUGUGGAUAAAUUGGCGACAUUUGGCUUGUUUCCUCAACGCGAAUUAGCAAGCAAUAGAGACUAAAAAAAUGGAGUGAUAAUAACAAGUCAUUGUCGUUUGAUGAAUGCAUUUUUAAGCAAAAAUAGGAUUGUAACUGAACAAAUUUUUCUGGCAUGCCAAUUUCAAAAAAUUAAAUUAUGUGGAUAUUAGCUGUAAUGAAGGGGAAUUGUAGGUGCAAUCAGGUCGAUCCAGUAAAGUUCAACAAAGUUCUGGUUUGGUGUAGUGAAAUUGGUUUAUGCAACUUGAGUCUUUCAGAUGAACAAUGACGAGUUUUCAUUUAAAAAUGUCAUAAAUCUGCUGUGCAUAGUAUUCUAGUGGAAUCAUCUAUAAAUUCAAGUUAUUGAAAUUGUCUAUUUUGUCUGGUCUGAGUUAAGGAGGCAUUUAAUUUAUGAAAAAUAGUUGUCGAAUAUUGUAGGUUACCUAACAUUUGAUGAAUCCUGUAGUGAGGGCUUUAAGAUGUCUAACAGCAUGUAGAAUGCCCCUGCUCCCCUCACAUUGUUUAUCUUAUACAAUAAUCCAUUAUAGAUGCUAAUAUCUUUGUCAAUACCUAAAACAGUAUUACAAAAUCUGAGUUUAUUGGGUUUUAUAUAGGUUCAACUGUUUGACAGUACACACUAUCUGAAGGCAUUUGGAAAUGGAGAUGUAUGGGUUGCUGUUGGGUGGAGUAGCGAUGUUCUUCCUGCUGUCAAACGUAUGUCUAAUGUUGCAGUUGUUGUUCCCAAGUCUGGUGCUAGCUUAUGGGCUGAUCUUUGGGUAUGCCCAUGCCUACCAUUCUACUUUGAUAUUCACUUUGUUAUCUCCAUCAUAGUAAUGAUCAGUAAAUACGAGAAUGUGUGACUGAUAAGUUUGUAUUCUCUUUGUAGGCAAUCCCUGCUGCGUCAAGACUUGAAACAAACCAAAUUGGAGGGUGAGUUAGAGGUCCAUCUCCAUUAAUCCAUCAAUGGAUAGAGUUCGGCUUGCAAACAGCAAGAGCAUUGCCUUUCAAACAAGAGGUUAUCCCUGGCGUACUGAGAUGGCUAAAGUUCUUGAAGUUUUGUUAGAAAUGAAAGAUGAGUGGUUGUUUGAAUAAUGUUGUGGCCAAUCUCACAAAGGUUAAAAAGAAACAUCACGGAGCUAAUGCCACCGAUUUCUUCGUCAUUGUAGCCUCUAUAGUUGAAGUUUCCUCAUUUGAAGCUCUUUAUGCAUUAUCCCUGCUCAAGUACAAUUGAAGAACUAACCAGAUGUGAUAUGCUGAAAGAGGGAAGUUUUCUUCCUUGAAUGUGGCCUUGUGAUUUGUCAGGGAAUAGGAUGAUCACUAGCAAGAACCCUGUCAAGGUAGAUUUUAUGAUAUUAACAUAUUAUUAAGCAUUUGCCACUUUAGCAACGAUACAUUCAUAGCGUGAAAGUGUUCAAAUUUAACCUAAUGAUCCUGAUUAAUCAAUUAAUUUUCAUGAGUUGUAACCGGAGUUAAAGCUAAGUACAAUCAUCGUUAACAAAGACUGAAAUUUUGGGUAAAUAUGAUCUUAUAUUGAAUCAUUUGAUGACACAACUCACAUUGGAAAUUACCUAUUGCGUGGGGAUGGCGAUGUUUACUGUUGUAUUGCGAUAUAAAAUAUGUGCAAGGUAUUGUCGACUGCUUUUUGGGUUAUGGUGUGAUAGCUGCUGAUUAGUGAUAAAACAAGACAAAUUAAUUAAACUCAGGCCUACAUGCUAAAUGUGUAUGUUAUCCUAACUUUCACUACAAGAAAAUGUCCUUAACGUGACCGUGUUAGAUGAUUGUAAGUAGCAGUGUUCGUACAAGUUUUUUUUCCUUCAUGGUAUUUACAAUUUCUUAGGAACAUCUAAAAUCUGAAAAAUCUCAUUUACUAAAAAUUAAGUUAUCAUUUGCUGGCUGGCAACUUAAAGAUAAGAAUAAAUUCAAGAGCUCAUCAACCAAGUAGAGUUUUCUCAAUAGACGCCGUAGUUAAUUUCUCUCUUCAAUCGUGAUUAUGAAUGGUUGUUUUAUUGCUUUUUAAAGCGCUUUUAAAGUUUUAUUUUGCUCAUGUCUGAUAUUUAAUUACCUGAAGAAGCCUGAUGAUUUCUUGAUAUGAUUGCUCUGCCAAGCUAUCUAAGAAAUAGCUAUAGAAAUCCCUUCAUUACAUUAGAUAAUCUUCAUUAUCUGUGCAAUUUGGUGUUUUUUCUUUGAAGCCAGCCGUUUGCUUUUGAUAGAUUCCAUCUUGUAUUUAUUCCUUUUCUAUAGAUUUUGCAGGAUUGAAGCUAUAUUUCUUCCCUGUAUAUGUGAUUGAUAUUAAGAGUAUGUUUUUGUGUUGUCUCUGUUUUUUCUAUUUGAUCUAGAUUUAAUACCUGAAAGGUUACUAACAAAUUAUCUUAGGUCAAAUUCUCUUUUACGAGACUUUUUUUGCUAAAUUCUUGGAAUUAUAUAAUUAACUAAAUCUUUAGUACAAGGAGGAGUUUGCCCCUAACUUUGCUUUCUUUCUUUAAUCGCAUUAAUAAUCAAUCCCCUGCACGUUGGUCGCAUUAAUAACCAAAUGUGCCUUUGACAUGCAACUAUACAAUCACAAACCAUCAUAGACCAAGAUUGGUUCAAAUGCUUAAGUCACAAAUGGAAGGUAACAUCUUUGUCUUUGACCCGAUAAUUUUUAUUGUCUUACAUUGAAAUUUGGUAAUGUAAUUUGUUCUCUAUCUGUAUUACCCUUUGUAGUCGUUUUAUUUAUUUGUUUAUUUAUUUGCUUAACGAAGUCUCAGGUAUAUCUACACUGGAAUGAUGCGGGAGAAAUUGAUCCUCGAGGCGAAAUAUGGGCGGCACCAUACAGGUGGGGCACAAUGGUGAUAGCCUACAAGAGAAGUAAAUUUCAAAAGCAUAAUUUGGCUCCAAUUGAGGUAAUAAUUGUCUUUAAACUCAUUUAGUUUUAGUCAAAUGUACACUGCUCUUUGGGGAUGGAGAUGGUUACUGCAGGGAUAUAGAAUAUGUGCAAGGUGUUGUCCACUGCUCUUUGGGUUAUGGUGUGACUUGCGAUUUCAAGGUUGCCCUGAAACAAUGGAAAAGAUUAACAUAUCCUCCAAUGAAUAAAAACGGCUGCACUAAUUCAAAUUACGCAGGAUCAGGUGGCAAUAAUAACAGUCCGUUUACUUUUCGAGGAUCAGAUGUUGAUAAUAAUAGUUUAUUAAAUGACAAAUCAUUGUUCUUGGGGGUUAGUUGUAUACGUCAUUACUACUUCAAGUAGAAGAAAAAGGUUGUGCAGGUGAUUUCAGAAAUAAAAUACAUUCCUUAUAAAAAAAAAAAAGAAAUAAAAUACAUUCUGAGAGAUGAUGGUCCGCUGUUGCAUGCCCCCAGAUUUAAGAAUCCUCACUUUUACUUUAAAAAACUGCUACGCUUUGAUUUUAGUGCUGAAUAUUUAUUGAAAUCUGAUAGAAGGAGUUUGAAGUCAAACUCGUAAUUACAGGUUAUCUAAUUGCGAGUUGUUGUUCAUAGCUGUUGAUUUGUAGUGAUUAUUUAAUUGACUGAGGUAACAAUAAUUUUUUUUUCUAAUUUUCAGUAGCACACUGUCGAAUUCAAUAAUUAAAUUCUCCUAUUUAAUUUAUUUCAAGUUAAAUUAUUAAUUACUUAAACUAUGUUUUAAGUCUUUAAUUUUAUGUCUUGGCGUAUAUGUAGAAUUGGAUUCUUGAGCGUGUUGGACACGACCAACAAUGAAAUUGACAGUAAACAAACAUUACAACGUGUGGACUCCGGUAGCUGCCCUACAAGUCUACAACUUCACAAAUAAUAAUUGAGUAAGCACCUUUGAUUCUUGUGACCCUUCAAUGAAUUUCUAGCCCCGUUGACUCCACUGACAAAAGUUUUGUAAAAUAAAAAAAAAAAUACAUAGAAUUCCACCAAAUGCAAAACGCGUGGAAUUUAAUUUUUGGCCUUGUGGACCAAAACAUAAUUUAACAAAAAAAGAAAAAAAUGAUAAGAUUUCUAAAAUGUGUGGAAGGUGAUUCAUAUUUUAUUGAAACGACUUGUUAAAUUUUUCAAGGAUUUAGAAUAUUUAGUCAUAAAUUAGGCGCAUGUUAAUUUUUCCGCCAUUGACCAUCAUAUUCUAAAUUUAAUGGUACCUUUCUUAAUUAAGGGUACUUAGUCUCUCUUCUCCGCUUAUAAAAAUUAUAUUAAUUGAUUUCUUAUUAUAGUUAAUAGUCUUUAAGAACGGAUAGCUUUAUUGUUUUCAUGACCAAAUUAUGCCUGCCUAAGAUUGCGACUAUUAAUAAAAUUAAUAUUCAAUGUUUAUGUUAAAAGAUAUAAGAUUAAUUUAUGCGUUCAUUAAUUGUUAUUAGCUAAAGGAUGAAUUAUUUUUUCAACCCAAUCAGUUGAUGCAUUGCAAGGGUUUUUUCUUUUAUUGACCAUAAUUAUAUUCCGGGUACAAUAAAUUGUCUUUGGUGCUUGGAAAAUAUGACUUCUUACUUCAAGUUUUUGAUAUGUCUCUCUCCAUAAGCUUACUGGAAAUAUAUCCUCAUCUACUGUCAUUUAUCUAAUAUCAAUUGAAGAUCUCACUUUUUCAAAGUUCAAACUAUCACUUCCAAGUCUCAUUGUCACUUGGCCAUUCUUGGACCAUUCAAAACCAAUCAAGUGUUGAAAUAAUCAAAUAUAUGCAAAAUUAGAGUCACGAUUUUUGGUCCCCCAAAUUCUAAUUAUAUAACUUCUAUGUAUCUCAUUGUCAGGUCACGAACUUGUUGGCACAUUUUCCAAAUUCCUCUUCCAUCAGCUCUCACAUGUUAACUUGAGUGUAAAGUUUCCAAGUUGAUUGCUAGAAAGCAACGCAAAAUCAGACACACUUGACCCGUCCCAUAAUUAUCUUUUCUACGUUGAAAAAGAAAAAAAAAGAAAAAAGAAAAUAUAUCUAUGUAAAAAUAAAUAAUAAAUUGAGUAAAAGUAUAUUUGUUUAAUUAACAUCUGAUCGGGGCAUUUUUGGUGUAAUUUAGUGCUGUGUAACCCACAACUAAAAUCAAACAGCCCCUUAGCAUACUUCUUCCAUUUUAUCUGCUACUUUUGUGGAUCUUAUAGGGUGGGCAUGUGGACAGAAUUUAAAAGUUUUAAUAGUCUCAAAGAAGAAGAUGUGUUAAAUCUAAAGUUGUUGCACCUUCUGAUUAAAUAAAGUUGCACAAUUUCAUCAACUUGAAAGAAUUGACAUUAAUAAACUGGUCGUCUCUCCAUGUAUGAAGCCUUCUUAAAAGUUAAUUUUUAUUUCAGAAAAAAAAAAGUUUAAGUUACAUAUAUUACAGUAAGAUUUUUUGAGACCAAUUCCCUUCUUGAAAUAAUAAUGGAAAAGUAUUAAUUUAAAAAUAAAAUGAAUAUGUAUUGAUUAUAUCCUGAUUUUCAUCGAUUAUAGUUAGAGUUUCACCAAAUCAAUUCCCUUAUUCAAAUAAUACAGAAAAAAUAGUAAUUUAAUAGUAAAAUAAACAGGUGUUGAUUAUAUAUCCUAAGUUUCAUCGAUUAUGUGAUCAAAGUGGCAUUGUUGAUUUAUUUUUUGUUCAAUGUUAAUUUUUAAGUUAUAUAAAUUUCAAGGAUUUAAAAUCUUUGGUCAUGAAUUACACGCUUGUUAAUUUUUUUGCCAUUGACUGUCAUAUUCUAGACUUAAUGAUACCUUUCUUGAUCAAGGGUAAUUACUCUCUCUUCUCUUAUAAAUUCCUCUUCCAUUAACAUCACUAGGAGUAUGUUGAUCUCUCAAACAUUAACUUGAGUGGAGAGUUUCCAAAUUGAUUGUUACAAAACAACACAAAAACUAGACACACUUGAUCUGUCUAAUAAUUCUCUUUCGGUAAAAUUAAAUAAUUUUAGGGGAAUAUUCGGCCAACCUCUAUAAUUUCAGAGUGAUCAUUAAUUAAUUAAUCGAUACAAAUAUCUAAAGUGAUUAGAUGUGACUUGAAAUUUGAUCUCUAUCGAUUGGUUUACAAAUGGACGUACUUGUGCCUUUGUGGCGAUAAUCGAACAAGUUCCCAUGAUUAUUAUUUUUUCCAAAAACUUUUUUACAACAAAUUCAUCUCGCCAAAAAUUCUAUGUUGCUAACUAACAAUAAUUGAGCACUUGGCCGCAUUGACUCCACGUCUCCACCUCUUUCUAAAUUCUAAGUAAAAACAUGGAAAUGUAAUUUCCACAAAAUGCCAAACGUGUGGAAUUUAAUUUUUUGCCUUGUGGAUCAAAAUACAAAUGAAAGAAACAGGAAAAAAAAAAGGCCCAAAGACUUCUAAAAGAUGAAGAAGUCUUUGGGCCUUUUUAUAAUGGUGGAUUUUUUAAAAGAAAAAAAUAACAACACUUUUAUGGUUUGUUUUGAUAAUCAUAUUUACAUAUACUCUCUAAUUUUCAAAAUGGACACAUAAAUCUUUUUUUUUUUACAAAUAUAUAUUAUUCAUUUUUUUUAUUAUUCAUAUUUUUUUAUUAUUCAUAUCUUUUUAUUAUCAUAUUUUUAUUUAUUAUAAAUAUUUAGAGUAAAUUUUUAGGUUGAAAUAUAAUAAAAGGGUAUAAUCGUGCUCUUAUUAAACACACAUACUUUUAUUAGUUUCUAUCCAUUUGUCAUCUCAAUUAUUCUUUAUUGCUAGCUCAAAACGCGUUGCUGUUGCAAAUUAUAGCAAAAUGACAAAUACAGAAAAAAAAGGGAAGAAAAUUAAUGCAUGAAAGACUUGGAGAAAACAACAAAAUAAGCCAACUAUGAGCUAGUUGGGUGUAUAAAUUGUUAGAUGUGUUAUAUACAAAUAGCGUAGAGCCCUCUAGUUGGUUCCAGAGACAGAAAGAGCGUGUGUGUUUUUUCACAGUUAGAGAUAUAGUUAGAAUGGGUGGUUCAAAAUCAAAAAUGAUGAUAAUGUUUAUUAUGUUAUUAAUAAUAUUUAAAAGUGGGUGGAGUGAGGGAUGUUUGGAUCAUGAGAGAUUUGCUCUUUUGCGACUCAAACAUUUCUUCGAUGAUACUAGUAGUUAUCUUUACUACUGGGGAGAUGGUGAGGGAGCUACUGAUUGUUGUCAGUGGGAAAUGGUUGAGUGCAGCAACACCACAGGCCGAGUGAUAGCGCUAGACCUUUCUUUUAUUAAGUAUUCGGGAGAGUACAGCUGGUAUCUGAAUGCUUCUUUGUUUACUCCCUUUCAACAACUUGAGUCACUUGAUUUAAGUUGGAACAAUAUAGCCGGUUGUGUUGAGAAUGAAGGUGCUUCGUUUAAUUUAAUUAAUUUACUUCUUCUCUCCUAAUUUAAGUGGAAUAUCAAGACUGAGCAACUAUAUGCAUAUUCAUUCAGUUGACAAUUUUGACAUAUUUUUUUAAGUGAUUAAUUAAUUUUGAAAUUACACCAGUAUCUAUGAUCUUUUUUUUUUUAAUUUUGCUUGCAGGUCUAGAUAGGCUAUCAAGAUUGAACAACUUGAAGAUGCUUAAUUUAAGUUAUAACUCGUUCAACAAUAGCAUUUUAUCAUCUCUAAGUCGUCUUUCAUCAUUAAGAUCAUUAAAAUUAUUUUACAACAGAUUGGAAGAAAGUAUUGACGUUAAAGGUACAUGAUUAAAACUCCAUCUCUUCUCCAAGCUCUUUCAUUAACUUGCUAAAAUAAGACUCAAGGCUUUGAAUUCAAUUUUUUUUAUGAUUAGUAUUAAAAAAAAAACAGUUUUAAGCAAUUUAUAAAAUACAAGUUUUAAUGUUUCUCGUAAUUCCAUCUUGUGCUUUCAUAUGUCUCGAAUUUAAGAUUAAAAAAAAACACUAACAGCGAACCAAACACCUCCACAACUUAUUAUUAUUAUUAUUAUUUUUUAAUUUGUGGUGAGGUUUGAAACAUUCAACUCAAUUUGUACUUAUUACAGAAUUUGAUUCUUUGAGAGAUUUAGAGGAGCUAGACAUUGGCAGGAACAAGAUUGACAAAUUUGUGGUCUCAAAAGGUACUACAAAUACCAUAAUAAAAAAUGCUAACUUUUACAAAUUAGUUAGAUUUUUUGCCAUUUGGUUUAUUAUUUUACAGGUUUGAGUAAGUUGAAGUCUCUCGGUUUAAGUGGUAUCAAACUCAACCGUAGCAUCUUAUCUUCUCUGACUGUCUUUUCUUCGUUAAGAGAAUUACAUCUACGUGAUACCGGAUUCAAAGGAACAUUCGAUGUUCGAGGUAAGCCUAAGCCUUGCUUUCUCAUUUUAUAUAUGCCAACUAGAUUUGUGUAUCAUCGACAUAAUUUAAUAUUUAAUUUGAUUAGUCUGAAGGAAUUACAUGCUAAUUUAAACAUACCUUUAUUUACUUUGUCAAUAAAUUACUAUUUGGCUUGGUUUGGACGAAAUUCUCACGAUGUUUUAAUUUCUUUAAAUUAAUUAAUUAAUUAACUCUGUUUUUAAGUCUUAAGUCUGGGCUUGUUUGCAGAACUUGAUUCCUUCAAUAACUUAGAAGUGUUGGACAUGAGCUACAAUGAAAUCGACAAUCUUGUGGUUCCUCAAGGUAAACAAUUAAAAUAUUAUUCAAUUACAUUAUUUUAAUUCAUUUGAUUAGGGAAGGCCAAAAAGGUCCAAAAUAAUAAUAAUAAUAAAGAAACAGAUAAUUUGUAUUAUUUAAAAAACAGAAUGUAAUAAAGAUUUGAUUCCAGUUCUUUAAUCUUUAAAGCGAUUGAAAAACAAUGUUGCUCUUUUCCCAAAGCAUCAAAUACGAAUUGAAUGCCAAUUAACUUAAUCAUUCAUUUCAUUUAGCUCUAAAUUUAGACAAUGAAUUUUUAUAUUAUUUCAAAAACAGGACGUAAUAGAAUUUUUUUAAAAAACAGAUUGUAAUAAAGAUUUGAUUCCAAUUCUUUAAUCUUUACUGCGAUUGAAAAACGAUACUACUUCCCAAAGCAUAAAAUACGAAUUGACUCCCAAUUAAAUUAAUCAUUUAUUUCGUUUAGGUCUAAAUUUAGAAAAAUGAAUUUUGAUUCUCUUCAAUCUUUUCUUAAUUAUUAUUAAUAAACAGGUUACAGAGGUUUGAGGAAGUUGAAAAGCCUCUAUCUAUCCAGAGUCGGAAUUAGAGAUGGAAGCAAGUUGUUACAGUCAAUGGGAUCAUUCCCAUCCCUCAACACUCUUUACCUUUGGGAUAAUAAUUUUACCGAUAUAGCGACCGCUACUCAAGGUAAGUAAAAGGUACAAAUGUGGCCAAAUUUAUAAAUAAAUUAUUAUUAAUUAAUUUUUCCGUAUUAUUAAUUAAGCUAAAUUUGUUGCUCCUUCCUUCUAAAUCUAAACAGAGUUGCACAAUUUCACCAACUUGGAAUAUUUGAGAUUGGACGAUUCCUCUCUCCAUAUAAGCCUUCUGCAAAGCAUUGCAUCAUUAUUCCCUUCAUUAAAAAAUCUGUCGAUGUAUGGUUGUGAAGUCAACGGUCUCGUACGUGGUCAAGGUAAAAGAAAAGCGUUGAUUGUGAACUCACUCAAUGGUGUCCUACGUGUUCAACAUUUUUAUUUAUUUAUUUAUUUAUUGUUUAAUGUUUCGCGCGCAUUGCACUCAACACCAGCUUUCUUCAAAUCAUCAGUGUAUCGAUGCCUUCUCUUAAGUACUUAUCACUGUCAUAUUAUACUCUCGUCAAUAACAGCAGCAUGAUUCUUGAUCAAGGUUAAUCAGAUGCUCCCACCCUCCCUUCUUAAUCUAUAAUAUUAAUUUUCAAUUAAAUAUUUAAUUACACAAACCAAUCACUUCUAUAUGAAAGAAUACUCUGCAUUUGUUAUUUUCAGGCCUCUGUUCGUUGGUGCAUCUGCAAGAGUUGCGCAUGGCUGAUAAUGAUUUAAGAGGUAGCUUGCCUUGGUGCAUGGCAAAUAUGACAUCCCUCAGAAUAUUAGAUGUUUCUUCUAAUCAACUUACUGGAAGCAUCUCCUCAUCUCCCCUCGUUCAUUUGACAUCCAUUGAAGUGUUGUAUCUUUCAAACAAUCACUUCCAGAUCCCAAUUUCACUUGAACCACUUUUCAAUCACUCAAGACUCAAGAUUUUCAAUGCUGCCAACAACGAACUAAAAGCUGAAAUAACUGAGUCACAUUCUUUGACCGCCCCAAACUUCCAAUUAUCACGUCUCUCAUUGUCUUCCAGUUACGGAGACAGUUUCAUAUUCCCCAAAUUUCUUUACCAUCAACAUGACCUGGAGUAUGUUGAUCUCUCACACAUAAAGAUGAAUGGAGAAUUUCCAAAUUGGUUGUUGGAAAACAACACAAAAUUAGAAACUCUUUCUCUCGUCAAUGAUUCUCUUGGAGGACCUUUUCGGUUGCCAAUUCAUUCACACAAGCGGUUAGGAAUGUUGGAUAUAUCCAACAACAACUUCCGAGGCCACAUUCCAGUAGAAAUUGCAGAUGUUUUACCAAGUUUAUACGCUUUCAACAAUUCCAUGAAUGCUUUAGACGGUAGCAUUCCCUCUUCAUUUGGUAAUAUGAAAUUCCUCCAAUUUCUGGACUUAUCCAACAAUCACUUGACUGGUGAAAUCCCCGAGUACUUGGCCGUCGGUUGCGUCAACUUGAAGUCUCUUGCAUUAUCAAAUAACAACCUACAAGGUCACAUGUUCUCUAGAAAUUUUAACUUGACAAACUUGAAAUGGUUACAAUUGGAGGGCAAUCGCUUCGUAGGUGAGAUCCCACAAAGUUUGUCUAAAUGCUCCUCACUAGAAGGAUUGUAUCUUAACAAUAAUAGUCUUUCGGGUAAGAUUCCACGAUGGUUGGGUAAUCUCACAUGGUUACAAUAUAUUAUAAUGCCCAAUAAUCAUCUUGAAGGCCCUAUUCCAGUGGAGUUUUGUCAGCUUGAUUUGCUUCAGAUUUUGGACAUUUCAGACAACAACAUAUCUGGAAGUCUACCAUCUUGUUUCCAUCCUCUCAAUAUUAAACAAGUUCAUCUUUCAAAAAAUAUGUUACAUGGACAGCUAAAAAGAGGUACAUUCUUUAAUUGCUCUUCCCUUGUGACAUUAGAUCUUAGUUAUAAUCGCUUGAAUGGCAGCAUUCCGGAUUGGGUUGAUGGGCUUUCUCGGUUAAGCCACCUUAUCUUAGGUCACAAUAAUCUUGAAGGUGAAGUGCCAGUUCAAUUGUGCGAAUUGAACCAACUACAAUUGUUAGAUCUUUCUAAUAAUAAUCUUCACAGUCCUAUUCCUCCUUGCUUUGAUAACACCACACUUCAUGAAAGUUACAGCAAUAGUUCUAGUCCUGAUGAGCAAUUUGAAAUAUCUUUUUCCAUCGAAGGCCCUCUAGGAGGUGUAGAAAAGAAAAUCCAUGAAAUUUUUGAGUUCACAACAAAGAACAUUGCGUACAUUUACCAAGGAAAAGUGCUUAGCCUCCUAUCAGGACUUGAUCUUUCUUGCAACAAUCUAAUCGGUCAUAUUCCUCCUCAAAUUGGAAAUUUGACAAGGAUUCAAACAUUGAAUCUAUCGCACAACAACUUGACAGGAUCGAUCCCAUCAACAUUUUCAAACUUGAAGCAUGUCGAAAGUUUGGAUCUUUCCAACAACAAAUUGAAUGGAAAAAUCCCUCAUCAACUAGUGGAGUUAAAGACAUUGGAGGUUUUCAGUGUGGCAUACAAUAACUUAUCAGGCGAAAUUCCAGAAUGGAAAGCACAAUUUGCAACCUUCAACGAGAGUAGCUAUGAGGGAAAUACUUUUCUUUGUGGAUUGCCAUUGCCCAUUUGCAGAUCACCAGCAACUACGCCGGAGGCUUCAAUUGGCAAUGAACGAGAUGAUAAUUUAAUUGACAUGAACAGUUUCUUUAUCACAUUUACAACAUCGUACGUAAUUGUGAUAUUCGGAAUUGUUAUUGUUUUAUAUGUAAAUCCUUAUUGGCGACGUAGAUGGUUUUACUUUGUUGAAAUGUGGAUAACUUCAUGUUACUAUUUUGUUGUAAACAAUCUUAUUGCAACAAGAUAUUGUCAUUGAAAUUAAUUAGCAGUUUAAUUACGAUUUUUUAAGUUCUAAUCAAAUUUGCUUAGGAAAUAUUUUUUUAUUAGAAUUGUAGUAGUAUUUAGCUUUAUAUAGCUUCCAACUUCCAACCACUUCACAUUUGUCUCUACACUUAAAAAACUGAGUGAUCAUGUUUUGCAGAUCUGGAUUUGGAGCAGGAUGGAUCCAAACCCAUAUCUGUCCACCAUAACUUAUAGCUUCCCUAUACUGUGCAGCAUACUUAAAUAAGAGAACCAUCUCCAAUGUUAAAAGCAUUCACUCUAUAACAUUCAUUUAGAAACUAUAUUCAGAAUAAUUUUAUAAUUAAACACAAGAAAUGAAACACACAGAUACACUUGAUCGCCUAUUUUACUCUAAAAAAGAACGAUUAUUGUGCUAUCAUCAUCUUCUUCACUAGCAACAUUAACACCAAAUCGAUGGACCCAUACAUUUCAUCAAGAAAGGUAUAUAUCCAAUAAAGUUGAAGCCUAACAAAAAAUUCAAGAAGAUUAAUGCCUCGCCACAACAAGGGGCACAACAACAUCAAAGUAGAGAUUAAGCAGUAUUCUCAAAGCUAAAACUCUCAAAUCCACCCACCAGAAUUUCAUAUCUCCUCAACAAUUUUAAGAACUAAAGAUAAUUAGGAUUUAACAUUAGUUUUUUAUAUAUUAGUUUCAUAAUUUACAAAUCAAUGAAGAUGAAGAUUAUGCUAAUAAAUUCAAAUUAUACCAUACAUUCUCUAGAUGUUACCAAAAAUUUCUAAGUCAAUCCCACAUAUUUCAUAAUUUUAAGACUAGAAAAUUUCACUAGUUAGAAGUUUCAUUACCUUCAAGUGGAAGAUGAAGAACAUUAUACAAGUGAUUCAGAUUAUAUCAUACAUACUCCAAAUGCAACUAGAAAUUAACAAGUUCAUGCGCACAUAUUUCAUAACAGUAAAAAUUUGUUGCUCAACAUGAUGUGUAUUUUUUUUCAAGGCAAUUUGGAAACACAAUUGUUACUACAGAUAUUCUUCUCAACUUGGAGAUAAAUACAAAUAUUAAAAUGCAUAUGAUCGCACAUAUUACUUCGAGUUUAGUAAGAUUUCAUUAAAAGAAGCAAUCAAACCACUUAUCAAUUGUCGCAGUCGUUCUAUAAACUAAAAUAGCAAUAUAAUACAAGAAAAAGAACAUAUAGAUACUUGGCAAGAGUUCAUUAAGAAGUCGCAUCACAUUCGGGUGAGGAGUUUGCUUCUGAUAUCUUGCUAGCUGGGGCUUUUUCUUGUCUUUCUAUGUAUGCCGAGGGAAACCAACCAGCUUGGCCCUUGCAUUCACCUUCCGACCAUCCAAUAGGAGCCACCUUGAGAAGUUAUAACUAAAACGGUGAAUUAAACAAAAGUUGACCGUUCAAAGACCUAAGGGGAAAACUAAUUCUUUUCACGUAGAAGGAGUGAACUAGUUGUGAUCACUGAAAUAACAACAUAACUAUGGAAGCAUAACAAGAUAUAAAUUCACAUGGCUAUAAGGGUAAACUGAGUGGUUUAGAACUGAGCUAGCAACCCUACUAUAUUCUGAUUUGCACUUCAAUGUAAAAGGGAAUAUAUGGUAGGAAGAAAGAAAACCAACCAGCAUUUGUUAACUCAUUGCUUUUCAAUCAAAAUUUUAAGAACAAAAUGCCAUGUGCUUUGAACAUCAAAUAAGUAUAAGCAUUAGUUCUAAAUUCCACAUAUCAUAAGUUGUUAGAAGGAUAAGUUAAUAGCAGAGUAGAAAAAUCUAUGUGUUGGUAUUUAGAGGGGAAAGUACCUGGCGAACCACAACAUAAUCAUCAAUUGAAAGACUUAGCUUUCCAUUUGCUUGAGCAUCAAAUGGAUGUAUAACCUGCAAGAUAAUGGGAUAAAUAGAACUUAAAAAAAGCAUAACAAAAGCAGCAACAGUAGCAGCAACGUUCAUUGUAACCACUAUGAUCAUGGCCAACAAAGAUAUAUUAGAAACAAAAUUCCAUUUUUACUACGACAUUAAUAUGUACUAUACGAUAUCAUGACGAUUGGGUUACUAAGAGCUAUCAAAGUCUAAUAAGUUCUGUAUAACUUUAUGUAGUUAUUUAAAUUAUGGAUCAGAUUUUAAAUUUGAAAUUUUGACUGCUCUCCACAAAACAUGGCCUAUGCACAAGAAAGUCAUAGAUAAUGAGGAUUACAAGUGUCCGACAUCUUUUGAGUGAUGGAUUUAACAUGAGAGCUUAUGGUCAGUCAAUUUCCUCUGCCUAGCAAUAUAAGCUUUCUCGGCCAGAUUUAUCAUCAAAUACAUAGAUUGCCCCCAAGUCACAUCCAUAUAAACAUAGUUUUUCUAGGUAAACCAAGUAAGGAGUAUCAUAAUUAAGACAUAAUCAUAAAAAGGCUCAUCUAACUUAAGAGAAAAUCUCAAAAAGAGGGAUGCUGAGCUAUCAGUCUUGUAUCUAUAAGCAAUAUCAAGACUUUACAUCACCUGCUACAUCGUGAGUGGCUACACAACUUUCAGUGGUUUGUCUUUCUUUGGCAUGCCUAACUCAGCUUUGAUGUUGCUGAGAUAUUGAUAGUAGAGACACUCAGACACAUGAUACUUCUAGCUCAUGCAUUCUAUCUAACUCAUCCAACAACUAUCUCUUUUUUAAUUCAUUAGUGUUUGCUAAACCUCAUGCUUAAAAGUCCUGUUCUCCUAAACAAAGUUUCCUAAGAAUGACUUCCUUAGCACCACAGUUGGACACUUUUAGAGCAAUUUUAUUUGGGGGGAAAGAAUUUUCAAGGUGUUAACCAAUAAAUUUUAAAAAAUAAUUACAAUUUGUCCUACGAUCAUAUGACAAUUUAUCUGGGAUGAAAGGAUACAGAUAGACAUCUUCCACUUUCAAGACUAAUCACUACUUCCGUAGAUGUUGUCCAAUAAUACAAAUACUUGACCAGAUGGUAGUGAUGGUAGAAAAAAAUUUUAUUGCUCCAAAAUUAAAAUAAGAAUGCAAUAUGUUAAGCAAAAUGCUGUUCAACAUCAAAUUAAUUGAUAAGUUUGUAAUUCAGUAAAUUAACAACUUUCAUGGUAAAAUACAACAAAUUUCUUUUGAAAAAAAUAAAUAAAAUAAAUCUUAAAAGACAGCAUUCAAUUUUGUGCACAUCUUAUUUCUUAAGAUUUUUCAGGAGGAGGGCAAUAGAGGGACUUUCACCUAUGCAAGAGAGCAGAAGCCUUACUUUCCCUAUAAAGUAGACGUCAUUCUGAUUAAUAUGCGUUUGCAAAUCAGCUCCGUUUGAAUCAGUAUUCUGAUAGACACACGAGGCAUUUACAUCCAUUUCCAAAGUCACAUGUUGCGAGGAGGACUCAUUUGAUUGCUCCUAUACGAUCAUCUAAUUCAAGUAGCAAGGGUUGGAAGAGAAUAAAAAGUCACAAUUAUUCUUUUGCAUAAGUGAGACAAAAAUGAUAAAUGCAAUAUUAUCAGCAGUAAACAAGAAGAGAACGCUCCAAGAAAUAGAUAGAUGCAGACAAGCAAGUUAAAAUGCAUAGUCCCAAACCUCCGCAUACAACUUCUCUAAAAUAGCAAUAACGUGUUGAUGCUAUGUUUUCUCAGCAUCUACCUGCAAAGGCCCGAGACCAGGAAAACAACAAUAAAACCACUAGCUGAAGGAGAAAGCAAAGAAAGAAAUACGCUUGACAUAAAUCUUGACAAGAAGCACAAUUUAAGACAUAACAAACCCCAAUCAUAUUGUUUAGAACUACCAUUCGUUAUUUCGUUAUUGUAACAUUUCGAACAAGUGUUGACUUAAUUCAACAUUGUUGGAAAGAUAGGCUUUUAGAAGCAGAAGAAAGCCUCUCAAACCAAAGUGCUUGUCCUUGUAUUGAUCAAGGGAUGUAAACAUAUUACAUUUGCAGGAUGAGAUUUAAUCACUCCCCUGAUUUAUUUGGGUUGCAAUAAAACUAAGCGAGCAACUGUUUGACUUUCAAGCAACAGCUAAAUCAGCUAUUAAAAUUCAAAUAAAAUCAUAAUAGAAUAAUAACAGGCCAUCUUGCAUCAAAAAUUAAGUUUAAUUUGUGAAUUUUUUUCUAUAGACAUGUCAGUUUCUGCUAUUGAAAUGUUAAAAGCAUUGAAAAAUUAUUCAAUAAAUUAUGCAAGCAUUAAAAUAGAGGACAAAUUAAAAAGUUUCUAAUUACAAUGUUAAUAUUUCCUAUAUUUUAGCAUUUGCAUAUUUUAAUUUAUUUAAAAGCUACGUCGAUCAACUUUGGGCAUGAAGAUUUUAGCUUCUACGAGACUUGAUUGGAAUAUGCAUAAGAGUGUUAAAAUAUGAUGCAUCCAACGAAAGACAAACCACGUGUAGUCUUUUAAUUAAGCCAAAGUAGCAGCUCAAACAAAUGACACUUGGACCAACAUGCAAUCAUGAAGUGGCCGGAAAAAGGACAAAUGCUACUUUGGCUUAAAUAAAAAAUAACAUGUGACUUGACUUUUGCUGGACAUGCAUCAUGUUAUUACAAGACAACAGAAAUCAGUAUGAUAGUAAUAAAAGUUGACAAUAACAUGAAGAUAAGAGGCAGAAUGUCAACACAUGCAUAGGCACACACAAGAAAGUAUUAACAUAUAUACCAUAGCAAAAACUCUUUGAUAUGUCAUCUGUUGCUGCUGUGAUUCAACUGACAGCAUGGCAGCUGUCGCUUCUCUACCAAGAGCCAUUAUUGUAGAUUUAAGCUCGGUCAAUCUUGCUUCUGCAUUUCGAAGCUUCACAGCACUCUCUGCUGAUAUAUCAGAUUCCCUAAUCUUUGAUCGGUGCCUAAAUACUUCAGCUGCCUGGUGAAAAUAUUCAAUAUAAAUCUAAUAUAAUUCUCAUCUUGCCUUAUACAUGCAUAUGUUACGUCAAAGCUUACCUGGGCUUCAACUUCAUGUCGAAUACAUCAGCAAUGAUGCUUUCAUAGCAUGAAAGUGUCUAAAUUUAACUGAAUGAUCUUGAUUAAUCAAUUAUGAGUUUUAAUCGAGUAAAAACUAAAUACAAUAAUCGUUAACAAAUAUUGAAAUUGGGUAAAUAUGAUCUUGAUAUUGAUGAAUUUGAAAUCACAACCCACACAGGAAAUUCCCCUUCGCGUGGGGAUGGAGAUGUUUACUGCAGCGAUAUUGAAUAUGUCCACUGCUCUUUGGGUUAUGGUGCGACUUGCCCUGAAACAAUGGAAAAGAUUAACAUACCCUCCAAUGAAUGAAAACGGGUGGACUAAUUCGGAUUACCUAAUUGACUCAGGAUCGGCUGGCAAUAAUAACAGUUUAUUAACAAUGCACAGUCCGAGUACUUUUCCAGGAUCAGAUGCGACGUGGUCUAAUGUUGAUAAUAAUAGAUUAUCAAAUGACAAAUCGUUGUUCUUGGGUGGUGAUUUCAGAAAUAAAAUACAUUCUGAGAGAUGCUGGUGUACUAUUGCAAGCCCCCAGAUUUAAGAAUCUUUUGAUGAUAAUUUAUCACCUGCAGCUGUGCCGGAAGAUUCAAGUAGCACUGAAAAAGAUGAUAAUGUAAUUGAUAUGGACAGUUUCCAUAUCACUUUUAAAUCAUCUUAUGUAAUUGUAAUGUUAGGAAGCAUUAGUGAUCUAAAAGUGAACUAUUAUUGGUGUCAUUGGUGGUUUUAUCUUGUUAAAAUAUGGAUGACUUCCUGUUACUAUUUUAUUGUAGACAAUCUUAUUUAAUUAACAUAUGGUUUAAAACCAUUAUGUUUUAUGUAAAUCAAUCUAUUAAUUUUCGUAAUAUUUAACUGAGUUAAAACCAAGUGCACUCAAUAAAUGUCUUUUCCUUCAAAAAACUGCUACGCUUUGAUUUUAGUGCUUAAUAUUUCGUAACUACAGAUUAUCUAAUUGCGAGUUGCUGUCCAUAGCUGCUAAUUUAUAGUGAUUAUCUAAUUGACGGAGGUGACAAUAAUUCUUUUAUUUUCAAUAGCACAACGUGGAAUUCAAUAAUUAAAUUCUCCUGUUUAAUUUGUUUUAAGUUAAAUUAUUAAUUACUUAAACUCUGUUUUAAGUCUUUAAUUUUCUGUGUUUAUGCAGAAUUGGAUUCUUGAGCGUGUUGGACAUGACCAACAAUGAAAUUGACUGUAAACAAACAUUACAACGUGUGGACUCCGGUAGCUACCCCGCAAGUCUACAACUUCACAAAUAAUAAUUGAGUAAGCACCUUUGAUUUUUUAGCCCCGUUGACUCCACCGACUAAAGUUUUGUAAAAUAAAAAAAAAUACAUAGAAUUCCACCAAAUGCAAAACGCGUGGAAUUUAAUUUUCGGCCGUGUAGAUCAAAACAUAAUUUAACGAAAAAGGAAAAAAAUGAUAAGAUUUUUAAAAUGUGUGGAAGAUGAUCCAUAUUUUACUGAAACAACUUGUUAAAUUUUUCAAGGAUUUAAAAUAUUUGGUCAUAAAUUACGUGCAUGUUAAUUUUUCCGCCAUUGACUAUCAUAUUGUAGACUUAAUGGUACCUUUCUUGAUGAAGGGUGCUUAAUCUCUCUUCUCCUCUUAUAAAAAUUAUAUUAAUUGAUUUCUUGUUAUAGUUAAUAGUCUUCAAGAACGGAUAGAUUUAUUGUUUUCAUGACCAAAUUAUGCAUGCCUAACGUUGCAACUAUUAAUAAAAUUAAUAUUUAAUGUUUGUGUUAAAAUAUAUAAGAUUUUAUGCAUUCAUUAAUUGUUAUUAGCUAAAGGAUGAAUUAUUUUUUCCCAAUCAGUUGAUGCAUCUGCAAGAGUUUUUUUUUUUCUUUUAUUGACCAUAAUUAUAUUCCGGGUACAAUAAAUUGUCUUUGGUGCUUGGAAGAUAUGACAUCUCUCUGUCAACUUACUGGAAAUAUCUCCUCAUCUACUCUCAUUUAUCUAAUAUCAAUUGAAGAUCUCAUAUUUCCAAACUAUGACUUCCAAAUCUCAUUAUCAUUUGAGCAUUCAAAACUAAUCAAGUGUGGAAAUAAUCAAAUAUAUGCAAAAAUCGAGUCACAAUCUUUGGCCCCUCAAAAUUCUAAUUAUAUAACUUCAUAUCUCAUACAUUUUCCAAAUUCCUCUUCCAUCAACAUCACUAGGAGUAUGUUCAUCUCUCACACAUUAACUUGAGUGGAGAGUUUCCAAAUUGAUUGUCAGAAAACAAUACAAAAGCUAGACAAACUUGAUCUGUCUACUAAUUAUCUUUCGGUAAAAUUAAUUAAUUUUAGGGUAAUAUUCAGCCAACCUCUGUAAUUUUAGAGUGAUCAUUAAUUAAUUAAACGAUACAAUAUCUAAAGUGAUUAGAUGUUUGCGGACAAUACAAGUUCAUGGCUUGAAAUUUGAUCUCUAUCGAUUGGUUUACAGAUGGACGUACUUGUGCCUUUGUGGUGAUAAUUGAACCAGAGAUGUGAAGCUGAUAGUAAAUUGUUAUAAAGGCAUAAAGACAAGUUCCCAUGAUUAUUAUUUUUUCCAAAAACUAUUUUACAACAAAUUCAUCUCGCCAAAAAUUCUAUUUUGCUAACUAACAAUAAUUGAGCACUUGACCGCAUUGACUCCACGUCUCCAGCUACUUUCUAAGUAAAAACAUGGAAAUGUAAUCUCCACAAAAUGCCAAACGUGUGGAAUUUAAUUUUUGGCCUUGUGGACCAAAAUGCAAAUGAAAGAAAAAGAAGGAAAAAAACAAGGCCCAAAGACUUCUAAAAGAUGUAAAAGUCUUUGGGUUUUUUUAUAAUGGUGGAUUUUUUAAAAGAAAAAAAUAACAACACUUCUAUGGUUUGUUUUGAUAAUCACAUUUACAUAUACUCUCUAAUUUUCAAAAUGGACACAUAAAUCUUUUUUUUCUACAAAUGUAUAUUAUUCGUAUUGUUUAUUAUUUUUAAUAUCAUAUUGUUAUUUAUUAUAAAUGUUUAAAGUAAUUUUUAGGUUGAAAUAUAAUAAAAAGGUAUAAUCGUUCUCUUAUUAAACACCCAUACUUUUAGUUUCUAUCCAUUUGUCAUCUCAAUCUCUCUCAAUUAUUCUUUAUUGCUAGCUCAAAACGCGUUGCUGUUGCAAAUUAUAGCAAAAAGACAAAUAUGGAAAAGAAAAAAGGGUAGAAAAUUAAUGCAUGAAAGACUUGGAGAAAACAACGAAGUAAGUCAACUAUAAUCUAGCUGGGUGUAUAAAUUGUUUGAUGCUUUAUAAGCAAAUAACAUACAGAGACAGACAAUGUGUGUUCGUUUUUUCAUAGUUAAAGAUAUAGUUAGAAUGGGUGGUUCAAAAUCAAAAAUGGUGAUAAUGUUUGUUAUGUUAUUAAUAAUAUUUAAAAGUGGGUGGAGUGAGGGAUGUUGGGAUCACGAGAGAUUUGCUCUUUUGCGACUCAAACAUUUCUUCGAUGAUACUGGUAGUUAUCUUUACGACUGGGUAGAUGAUGAGGGAGCUACUGAUUGUUGUCAAUGGGAAAGGGUUGAGUGCAGCAACACCACAGGCCGAGUGAUAGCGCUAGACCUUUUUGAAAUGUAUUCGGGAGAGUACAGCUGGUAUCUGAAUGCUUCUUUGUUUACUCCCUUCCAACAACUUGAGUCACUUGAUUUAACUGACAACAAUAUAGCUGGUUGUGUUGAGAAUGAAGGUGCUUCGUUUAAUUUAAUUAAUUUACUUUCUCCCCCCUAAUUUAAGUUGAAUAUCAAGACCGAGCAACUAUACGCAUAUUCAUUUAGUCGACAAUUUUGACUUUUUUUUUAAGUGAUUAAUUAAUUUUAAAAUUACACCAAUAUCUAUGAUCUUUUUUUUUUUUUAAUUUUGCUUGCAGGUCUAGAGAGGCUAUCAAGAUUGAACAACUUGAAGAUGCUUAAUUUAUGUGAUAACUCGUUCAACAAUAGCAUUUUAUCAUCACUAACUCAUCUUUCAUCAUUAAGAUCAUUAAAUUUAUACGGGAAUAGAUUGGAAGGAAGUAUUGACGUUAAAGGUACAUAAUUAAAACUUCAUCCCUUAUCCAAGCUCUUUCAUUAACUUGCUAAAAUAAGAUUCAAGGCUUUGAAUUCAAUUUUUUUUUUAUGAUUAGUAUUAAAAAAACAGUUUCAAGCAAUUUAUAAAUACAAGUUUUAAUGUUUCUCAUAAUUUCAUCUUGUACUUUGAUAUGUCUCGAAUUUAAGAUUAAAAAAAAAAAACUCUAAUAGCGAACCAAACACCUCCACAACUUAUUAUUAUUAUUAUUAUUUGUGGUGAGGUUUGAAACAUUCAACUCAAUUUGUACUUAUUACAGAAUUUGAUUCUUUGAGAGAUUUAGAGGAGCUAGACAUUGGUGAGAACAAGAUUGACAAAUUUGUGGUCUCAAAAGGUACUACAAAUACCAUAAAAAAAAUGCUAACUUAUUCAAAUUAGUUGGAUUCUUUGCCAUUUGGUUUAUUAUUUUGCAGGUUUGAGUAAGCUGAAGUCUCUCGAUUUAAGUGGUAUGAAACUCAAUCGUAGCAUCUUAUCUUCUCUUUCUUCGUUAAGAGAAUUAUAUAUAAGUCGUACGGGAUUCAAAGGAACAUUUGAUGUUCGAGGUAAGUCUAAGCCUUGCUUUCUCAUUUUAUAUAUGCCAACUAGAUUUGUGUAUCAUCGCCAUAAUUUAAUAUUUAAUUUGAUAAGUCUGAAGGAAUUACAUGCUAAUUUAAACAUACUUUUAUUUACUUUGUCCAUUAAUUAAUUAAUUACUAUUUGGCUUGGUUUGGAUGAAAUUCUCAUGAUGUUUUAAUUUCUUUAAAUUAAUUAAUUAAUUAACUCUGUUUUUAAGUCUUAAGUCUGGGCAUGUUUGCAGAAUUUGAUUCCUUCAAUAACUUAGAAGUGUUGGACAUGAGUGGCAAUGAAAUCGACAAUCUUGUGGUUCCUCAAGGUAAACAAUUAAAAUAUUAUUCAAUUACAUUAUUUUAAUUCAUUUGAUUAGAGAAGGCCAAAAAGGUCCCAAAAAAAAAUAAUAAUAAAGAAACAGAUAAUUUGUAUUAUUUAAAAAACAUAGUGUAAUAAAGAUUUGAUUCUAGUUAUUUAAUCUUUAAAGCGAUUGAAAAACAAUGUUACUCUUUUCCCAAAGCAUAAAAUACGAAUUGAAUGCCAAUUAACUUAAUCAUUCAUUUCGUUUAGCUCUAAAUUUAGACAAUGAAUUUUUAUAUUAUUUCAAAAACAAGACGUAAUAGAAUUUUUUUAAAAAACAGAUUGUAAUAAAGAUUUGAUUCCAAUUCUUUAACCUUUACAGUGAUUGAAAAACGAUACUGCUUCCCAAAGCAUAAAAUGCAAAUUGACUCCCAAUUAAAUUAAUCAUUUAUUUCAUUUAGGUCUAAAUUUUAGAAAAAUGAAUUUUGAUUCUCUUCAAUCUUUUCUUAAUUAUUAUUAAAAAACAGGUUACAGAGGUUUGAGGAAGCUGAAAAGCCUUGAUCUAUCGGGAGUUGGAAUUAGAGAUGGAAGCAAGUUGUUACAGUCAAUGGGAUCAUUCCCAUCCCUCAACACUCUUUACCUGAGGGAUAAUAAUUUUACCGAUAUAGCGACAACUACUACUCAAGGUAAGUAAAAGGUACAAAUGUGGCCAAAUUUAUAAAUAAACUGUUAAUUAAUUAAUUUUUCCGUAUUAUUAAUUAAGCUAAAUCCGUUGCUCCUUCCUUCUAAAUCUAAACAGAGUUGCACAAUUUCACCAACUUGGAAUAUUUGAAAUUGGACGAAUCCUGUCUCCAUAUAAGCCUUCUGCAAAGCAUUGCAUCAUUAUUCCCUUCGUUAAAAAAUCUGUCGAUGUCUUAUUGUGAAGUCAAUGGUGUCGUACGCGGUCAAGGUAAAAGAAAAGCGUUGAUUGUGAACUCACUCAAUGGUGUCCUACGUGUUCAACAUUUUUAUUUAUUUAUUUAUUGUUUAAUGUUUCUGCUAGGUUUUCCUCAUUUCAAGAGUUUGGAACAUUUUCACAUGCAUUUCACGCGCAUUGCACUCAACACCAACUUUCUUCAAAUCAUCGGAGAAUCAAUGCCUUCUCUUAAGUACUUAUCACUGUCAAAUUCUACUCGUGGCACUAACAGCAGCAGGAUUCUUGAUCAAGGUUAAUCAGAUGCUCCCACCCUCCCUUCUUAAUCUAUAAUAUUAAUUUUCAAUUCAAUAUUUAAUUACACAAACAAUACGCAUUCAUUAAUUUUUAUAUUGUAUUAAUUGAUGAAUUUAAUAAAUUUUCAGGCCUCUGUUCGCUGGUGCAUCUGCAAGAAUUGCGCAUGGCUGAUAAUGAUUUAAGAGGUAGCUUGCCUUGGUGCUUGGCAAAUAUGACAUCCCUCCGAAUAUUAGAUGUUUCUAUCAAUCAACUUACUGGAAGCAUCUUCUCAUCUCCCCUCGUUCAUUUGACAUCCAUUGAAGAGUUGUAUCUUUCAAACAACCACUUCCAGAUCCCAAUUUCACUUGAACCACUUUUCAAUCAUUCAAGACUCAAGAUUUUUUAUGCUGACAACAACGAACUAAAUGCAGAAAUAACUGAGUCACAUUCUUUGACCGCCCCAAACUUCCAAUUAAAUAGACUCUUGUUGUCUUCCAGUUACGGAGACAGUUUCAUAUUCCCCAAAUUUCUUUACCAUCAACAUGACCUGGAGCUUGUUGAUCUCUCACACAUAAAGAUGAAUGGAGAAUUUCCAACUUGGUUGUUGGAAAACAACACAAAAUUAGAAACUCUUUCUCUCGUCAAUGAUUCUCUUGGAGGAACUUUUCGGUUGCCAAUUCAUUCACACAAGCGGUUAGGAAUAUUGGAUAUAUCCAACAACAACUUCCGAGGCCACAUUCCAUUAGAAAUUGGGGAUAUUUUACCAAGUUUAUACGUUUUCAACAAUUCCAUGAAUGCUUUAGAUGGUAGCAUUCCCUCUUCAUUUGGUAAUAUGAAAUUCCUCCAAUUUCUGGACUUAUCCAACAAUCACUUGACUGGUGAAAUCCCCGAGCACUUGGCCGUCGGUUGCGUCAACUUGGAGUCUCUUGCAUUAUCAAAUAACAACCUACAAGGUCACAUGUUCUCUAGAAAUUUUAACUUGACAAACUUGAAAUGGUUACAAUUGGAGGGCAAUCGCUUCGUAGGUGAGAUCCCACGAAGUUUGUCUAAAUGCUCCUCAUUAGAAGGAUUGUAUCUUAACAAUAAUAGUCUUUCGGGUAAGAUUCCACGAUGGUUGGGUAAUCUCACAAGGUUACAAUAUAUUAUAAUGCCCAAUAAUCAUCUUGAAGGCCCUAUUCCAGUGGAGUUUUGUCAGCUGGAUUUGCUUCAGAUUUUGGACAUUUCAGGCAACAACAUAUCUGGAAGUCUACCAUCUUGUUUCCAUCCUCUCAAUAUCAAACAAGUUCAUCUUUCAAAAAAUAUGUUACAUGGACAGCUAAAAAGAGGUACAUUCUUUAAUUGCGCUUCCCUUGUGACAUUAGAUCUUAGCUAUAACCGCUUGAAUGGCAGCAUUCCGGAUUGGGUUGAUGGGCUUUCUCAGUUAAGUCACCUUAUCUUAGGUCACAAUAAUCUUGAAGGUGAAGUGCCAGUUCAAUUGUGCGAAUUGAACCAACUACAAUUGUUAGAUCUUUCUAAUAAUAAUCUUCACGGUCCUAUUCCUCCUUGCUUUGAUAACACCACACUUCAUGAAAGUUACAGCAAUAGUUCUAGUCCUGAUGAGCAAUUUGAAAUAUUUUUUUCCAUCGAAGGCCAUCAGGGAUUUUUAGAAAAGCAAAACCAUGAAAUUUUUGAGUUCACAACAAAGAACAUUGCGUACAUUUACCAAGGAAAAGUGCUUAGCCUCCUAUCAGGACUUGAUCUUUCUUGCAACAAGCUAAUUGGUCAUAUUCCUCCUCAAAUUGGAAAUUUGACAAGGAUUCAAACAUUGAAUCUAUCACACAACAACUUGACAGGAUUGAUCCCAUCAACAUUUUCAAACUUGAAGCAUGUCGAAAGUUUGGAUCUUUCCAACAACAAAUUGAAUGGGAAAAUCCCUCAUCAACUAGUGGAGUUAAAGACAUUGGAGGUUUUCAGUGUGGCAUACAAUAACUUAUCAGGAGAAAUUCCAGAAUGGACUGCACAAUUUGCAACCUUCAAUGAGAGUAGCUAUAAGGGAAAUACUUUUCUUUGUGGAUUGCCAUUGCCCAUUUGCAGAUCACCAGCAACUAUGUCGGAGGCAUCAAUUGGCAAUGAACGAGAUGAUAAUUUAAUUGACAUGGACAGUUUCUUUAUCACAUUUACAACAUCGUACGUAAUUGUGAUAUUCGCAAUUGUUAUUAUUUUACAUGUAAAUUCUUAUUGGCGACGUAGAUGGUUUUACUUUGUUGAAAUGUGGAUAACUUCAUCUUACUAUUUUGUUGUAGACAAUCUUAUUCCAACAAGAUUUUGUCAUUGAAAUUAAUUAGUAGCUUAAUUACGAUUCUUUAAGUACUAAUCAAGUUUGCUUAGGAAAUAUUUUUUUAUUAAAAUUGUAGUAGUAUUUAGCAUUAUAUAGCUUCCAACUUCCAAGCACUUCACAUUUGUCUCUACACUUAAAAAACUGAGUGAUCAUGUUUUGCAGAUCUGGAUUUGGAGCAGGAUGGAUCCAAACCCAUAUCUGUCCACCACAACUUAUAGCUUCCCUAUACUGUGCAGCAUACUUAAAUAAGAGAACCAUCUCCAAUGUUAAAAGCAUUCACUCUAUAACAUUCAUUUAGAAACUAUACUCAGAAUAAUUUUAUAAUUAAACACAAGAAAUGAAACACACAGAUACACUUGAUCGCCUAUUUUACUCUAAAAAAGAACGAUUAUUGUGCUAUCAUCAUCUUCUUCACUAGCAACAUUAACACCAAAUCGAUGGACCCAUACAUUUCAUCAAGAAAGGUAUAUAUCCAAUAAAGUUGAAGCCUAACAAAAAAUUCAAGAAGAUUAAUGCCUCGCCACAACAAGGGGCACAACAACAUCAAAGUAGAGAUUAAGCAGUAUUCUCAAAACUAAAACUCUCAAAUCCACCCACCAGAAUUUCAUAUCUCCUCAACAAUUUUAAGAACUAAAGAUAAUUAGGAUUUAACAUUAGUUUUUUAUAUAUUAGUUUCAUAAUUUACAAAUCAAUGAAGAUGAAGAUUAUGCUAAUAAAUUCAAAUUAUACCAUACAUUCUCUAGAUGUUACAAAAAAUUUCUAAGUCAAUCCCACAUAUUUCAUAAUUUUAAGACUAGAAAAUUUCACUAGUUAGAAGUUUCAUUACCUUCAAGUGGAAGAUAAAGAACAUUAUACAAGUGAUUCAGAUUAUAUCAUACAUACUCCAAAUGCAACUAGAAAUUAACAAGUUCAUGCGCACAUAUUUCAUAACAUUAUGAUUGAAAAGUUUCACAAAGAGAAAUUCUAAAUUCAAUAUCUUGCAUGAAGGCAGUUUGAUUGAUUUGAGUUACUUUCUUAUCAAGCUACUAAUAUAACAUUCAAGUCAGGGAGAAAAUAAAUUAAAGCAGGGAAGAAAUAACAGUAAAAAUUUGUUGCUCAACAUGAUGUGUAUUUUUUUUCAAGGCAAUUUGGAAACACAAUUGUUACUACAGAUAUUCUUCUCAACUUGGAGAUAAAUACAAAUAUUAAAAUGCAUAUGAUCGCACAUAUUACUUCGAGUUUAGUAAGAUUUCAUUAAAAGAAGCAAUCAAACCACUUAUCAAUUGUCGCAGUCGUUCUAUAAACUAAAAUAGCAAUAUAAUACAAGAAAAAGAACAUAUAGAUACUUGGCAAGAGUUCAUUAAGAAGUCGCAUCACAUUCGGGUGAGGAGUUUGCUUAUGAUAUCUUGCUAGCUGGGGCUUUUUCCUGUCUUUCUACGUAUGCCGAGGGAAACCAACCAGCUUGGCCCUUGCAUUCACCUUCCGACCAUCCAAUAGGAGCCACCUUGAGAAGUUAUAACUAAAACGGUGAAUUAAACAAAAGUUGACCGUUCAAAGACCUAAGGGGAAAACUAAUUCUUUUACGUAGGAGGAGUGAAUUAGUUGUGAUCACUGAAAUAACAGCAUAACUAUGGAAGCAUAACAAGAUAUAAAUUCACACGUCUAUAAGGGUAAACUGGGUGGUUUAGAACUGAGCUAGCAACCCUACUAUAUUCUGAUUUGCACUUCAAUGUAAAAGGGAAUAUAUGGUAGGAAGAAAGAAAACCAACCAUCAUUUGUUAACUCAUUGCUUUUCAAUCACAAUUUUAAGAAAAAAAUGCCAUGUGCUUUGAACAUCAAAUAAGUAUAAGCAUUAGUUCUAAAUUCCACAUAUCAUAAGUUGUUAGAAGGAUAAGUUAAUAGCAGAGUAGAAAAAUCUAUGUGUUGGUAUUUAGAGGGGAAAGUACCACAACAUAAUCAUCAAUUGAAAGACUUAGCUCUCCAUUUGCUUGAGCAUCAAAUGGAUGUAUAACCUGCAAGAUAAUCGGAUAAAUAGAACUUAAUCUUAAAAAAAGCAUAACAAAAGCAGCAACAGUAGCAGCAACGUUCAUUGUAACCACUAUGAUCAUGGCCAACAAAGAUAUAUUAGAAACAAAAUUCCAUUUUUACUACGACAUUAAUAUGUACUAUACGAUAUCAUGACGAUUGGGUUACUAAGAGCUAUCAAAGUCUAAUAAGUUCUGUAUAACUUUAUGUAGUUAUUUAAAUUAUGGAUCAGAUUUUAAAUUUGAAAUUUUGACUGCUCUCCACAAAACAUGGCCUAUGCACAAGAAAGUCAUAGAUAAUGAGGAUUACAAGUGUCCGACAUCUUUUGAGUGAUGGAUUUAACAUGAGAGCUUAUGGUCAGUCAAUUUCCUCUGCCUAGCAAUAUAAGCUUUCUCGGCCAGAUUUAUCAUCAAAUACAUAGAUUUCCCCCAAGUCACAUCCAUAUAAACAUAGUUUUUCUAGGUAAACCAAGUAAGGAGUAUCAUAAUUCAGACAUAAUCAUAAAAAGGCCCAUCUAACUUAAGAGAAAAUCUCAAAAAGAGGGAUGCUGAGCUAUCAGUCUUGUAUCUAUAAGCAAUAUCAAGACUUUACAUCACCUGCUACAUCGUGAGUGGCUACACAACUUUCAGUGGUUUGUCUUUCUUUGGCAUGCCUAACUCAGCUUUGAUGUUGCUGAGAUAUUGAUAGUAGAGACACUCAGACACAUGAUACUUCUAGCUCAUGCAUUCUAUCUAACUCAUCCAACAACUAUCUCUUUUUUAAUUCAUUAGUGUUUGCUAAACCUCAUGCUUAAAAGUCCUGUUCUCCUAAACAAAGUUUCCUAAGAAUGACUUCCUUAGCACCACAGUUGGACACUUUUAGAGCAAUUUUAUUUGGGGGGAAAGAAUUUUCAAGGUGUUAACCAAUAAAUUUUAAAAAAUAAUUACAAUUUGUCCUACGAUCAUAUGACAAUUUAUCUGGGAUGAAAGGAUACAGAUAGACAUCUUCCACUUUCAAGACUAAUCACUACUUCCGUAGAUGUUGUCCAAUAAUACAAAUACUUGACCAGAUGGUAGUGAUGGUAGAAAAAAAUUUUAUUGCUCCAAAAUUAAAAUAAGAAUGCAAUAUGUUAAGCAAAAUGCUGUUCAACAUCAAAUUAAUUGAUAAGUUUGUAAUUCAGUAAAUUAACAACUUUCAUGGUAAAAUACAACAAAUUUCUUUUGAAAAAAAUAAAAAAAAUAAAUCUUAAAAGACAGCAUUCAAUUUUGUGCGCAUCUUAUUUCUUAAGAUUUUUCAGGAGGAGGGCAAUAGAGGGACUUUCACCUAUGCAAGAGAGCAGAAGCCUUACUUUCGCUAUAAAGUAGACGUCAUUCUGAUUAAUAUGCGUUUGCAAAUCAGCUACGUUUGAAUCAGUAUUCUGAUAGACACACGAGGCAUUUACAUCCAUUUCCAAAGUCACAUGUUGCGAGGAGGACUCAUUUGAUUGCUCCUAUACGAUCAUCUAAUUCAAGUAGCAAGGGUUGGAAGAGAAUAAAAAGUCACAAUUAUUCUUUUGCAUAAGUGAGACGAAAAUGAUAAAUGCAAUAUUAUCAGCAGUAAACAAGAAGAGAACGCUCCAAGAAAUAGAUAGAUGCAGACAAGCAAGUUAAAAUGCAUAGUCCCAAACCUCCGCAUACAACUUCUCUAAAGUAGCAAUAACGUGUUGAUGCUAUGUUUUCUCAGCAUCUACCUGCAAAGGCCCGAGACCAGGAAAACAACAAUAAAACCACUAGCUGAAGGAGAAAGCAAAGAAAGAAAUACACUUGACAUAAAUCUUGACAAGAAGCACAAUUUAAGACAUAACAAACCCCAAUCAUAUUGUUUAGAACUACCAUUCGUUAUUUCGUUAUUGUAACAUUUCGAACAAGUGUUGACUUAAUUCAACAUUGUUGGAAAGAUAGGCUUUUAGAAGCAGAAGAAAGCCUCUCAAACCAAAGUGCUUGUCCUUGUAUUGAUCAAGGGAUGUAAACAUAUUACAUUUGCAGGAUGAGAUUUAAUCACUCCCCUGAUUUAUUUGGGUUGCAGUAAAACUAAGCGACCAACUGUUUGACUUUCAAGCAACAGCUAAAUCAGCUAUUAAAAUUCAAAUAAAAUCAUAAUAGAAUAAUAACAGGCCAUCUUGCAUAAAAUAUUAAGUUUAAUUUGUGAAUUUUUUUCUAUAGACAUGUCAGUUUCUGCUAUUGAAAUGUUAAAAGCUUUGAAAAAUUAUUCAAUAAAUUAUGCAAGCAUUAAAAUAGAGGACAUAUUAAAAAGUUUCUAAUUACAAUGUUAAUAUUUCCUAUAUUUUAGCAUUUGCAUAUUUUAAUUUAUUUAAAAGCUACGUCGAUCAACUUUGGGCAUGAAGAUUUUAGCUUCUACGAGACUUGAUUGGAAUAUGCAUAAGAGUGUUAAAAUAUGAUGCAUCCAACGAAAGACAAACCACGUGUAGUCUUUUAAUUAAUCCAAAGUAGCAGCUCAAACAAAUGACACUUGGACCAACAUGCAAUCAUGAAGUAGCCGGAAAAAGGACAAAUGCUACUUUGGCUUAAAUAAAAAAUAACAUGUGACUUGACUUUUGCUGGACAUGCAUCAUGUUAUUACAAGACAACAGAAAUCAGUAUGAUAGUAAUAAAAGUUGACAAUAACAUGAAGAUAAGAGGCAGAAUGUCAACACAUGCAUAGGCACACACAAGAAAGUAUUAACAUAUAUACCAUGGCAAAAACUCUUUUAUAUGUCAUCUGUUGCUGCUGUGAUUCAACUGACAGCAUGGCAGCUGUCGCUUUUCUACCAAGAGCCAUUAUUGUAGAUUUAAGCUCGGUCAAUCUUGCUUCUGCAUUUCGAAGCUUCACAGCACUCUCUGCUGAUAUAUCAGAUUCCCUAAUCUUUGAUCGGUGCCUAAAUACUUCAGCUGCCUGGUGAAAAUAUUCAAUAUAAAUCUAAUAUAAUUCUCAUCUUGCCUUAUACAUGCAUAUGUUACGUCAAAGCUUACCUGGGCUUCAACUUCAUGUCGAAGUUUGUCAUAACAAUGAGUCAGGUGUCGAGCAUCUUCCAAAGGUGCUCCGUUGAUUAACGCCCGUAGUGGCUCAGAUACCUACAUGUCCAAAAACCUGUAACAUAGUUAGAAAAAUGAAAAGAAAGAGCGAAACCUCAAUUAAAAAGUUCAUCCAACAUAAUCAUGGAAUUUGGGCCUACUUUAAGAAUAUAUAUAAGGAUAAUUUAUGCAAUUUUGGGUCUUAGGAUGAUUGGCAUUAGGUUAGUGUUCUUCUCUUCUGUAUUUAAGGUUAAAAUAGAAAUAAACCUAUGCAAGUAUCUAAAUUAGGCCUGUAAGACAUCCACAUGCAUCCUUCAGUCUCAUGGAUUUGAUUUUACUAUAGAUGCAAGUGUCUUUAUUGAAAAUGCUUGGAGUCAAUUGAGAGAACUCAUGGCCAAUAACUUGUCACACGCUAGUCUUUGCUAGUGAUGUAAGAAGUCACAAGGUCUCUUCAACAUUUGAACCAAUAAAAUUAUUAAGUCAUGGAUGUCACUAGCAAUGAUUUUAAUAUAAAACAUUAAGUGCCUGUUUGGUAUGGCUUAUUUAAGAGGCAUAAGUGCUUAUUUAAUCGUAUAAGCACUUUUUAAAAAUUUUUAUGGUGUUUGGUUAUUUUUUUAGUAGAGCUUUUUUAGCUUAAAUAAGCUAAUUUACCUCUACUAGCAAAAGCCCAAAAUUUGAGCUUUUGGGAGUAGAGGUUAUAGAGCUUUUCUAAAAAUAUAUAAUAUAAAAAAUAUUACAUAGUUUAAUGGUUCAAAAGUACUUUUUUUAUUGCAACCAAACACCCAAUGACUUUUUGUCUAAAAGCUCUAUUGGUAUAAGCUCUACUACUAUAAGCUCUAUUGUUAUAAGCUCUAUUUAAUAAGCUGUACCAAACGGAGCCUAAAUAUUUCAGAGUUGUAACUUUAAAAUGGAUUCUUUUAUUCAAUAUCAUAGAACUAAGUUUCCUUAUGAGAAGAUAAUAGUUUCGAUAAUAAUUUUACAUAUAAUUUUCUAUAUUUGAAUUAUUUUCUAGUUCGUGAUGAACUAACCUGAUCACGAAGAAUCCCGAGCAAAGUUUCCCUCUCAUUUUCCAUCAAAUCAUGUGAAGUGCCAAAUUGAAGAGCAGCUCUUGCAACGCAAGAAUUGUCACUUUGAUUCUAUGCUCCAUACUUGCAACAAUCUUCAGCCAACUUUCUCGCUACAAUAUUUGAAUACAAAAAUAUUGUACACAAGAACUAUAAAAAAAACUAAUGAAAAAUGCCAAGAUGGAGCAGAUGCUUCAAUACUGCCUGUACAAACCAUAAAAAACUAAUGAAAAAUAAAUAAAAUCGAGAAAUUUUACUAAUUAAAAGUCUAAAUAUAAUUUUGAAAAAAGAAAAGAAACGGACUUGCUGCUGCUUGGCGACUUGUUCUCGGAGCUUGAUUGCCUGUUUCUUGAUAGCUUCCAUACUGUUUCUUUCAAAAAGCGACGACGGCUCUGCUCAUGGAAGUGGAAAAAAAAAGUGUGAUCGAGAAAAAUGUAAAGGCGUGAAUAAUUUUGGCAAAAAGCGAAAAUCAAGGAAAGCCGGCUAUUUCCAGAAAAUAAAAAAAAAAGAAAAUCAUAAGUUUGAAAGGAGAAGAUGAUAGUGGAAGUAUGCAGUGUGGCUGCCAGGUACUUGGAUUGUAUUGUCGGGUAAGAUAAAAGUGGAGAAUUAUAAGUUUGAACAGAGCAUGUUGGACUUUUGUUGACCAAACUCAAAAGCCCAAUGGGACGGCCCAGAAGCUUUUGAAUAGAAAAACUUGCAAGAAAGCAUCAGUUUAAAUCACUACUUAAACGCUUGCUUUAACUGCACCGCUUUGUACUGUUUUAUGUAUGUAGCGGUUGUGCGGUUGUAAUUCACGGCUGACGCUACGUGUUUGUUUGUACUGUUCUAUUCGGUGACAGAGUAUUAUUAGUUAGGCCAAAACUAUGUUGCAACAGUGAUACAGUAACACUGUUGCUUUUAGUCAUUAGAUCUAUAGUUAUACAGUUGCAUUAACAAGAUUUAAUGGCUGAAAGCAACAGUGGUACCGAACUACUGUUGCAACAUAGCUGGAGCCUAUUAGUUAUUUCAAAGGGAUAAAUAAGAUUGGUUACAACAAACCUACUAAUUUUAUAAAAUUCAAGUAACAUAGAAUAAAAUAAAAAAAUAAAUACAAAAUUGACUUUUAUUUUUUAUGGUUGACUAUAUUUUGUGUUCUCUUCGGGCACUGCUACAAUUGCUACAAUUGUUCCCUAUAUAUCAAUUACACCACAUACUAUCGACACAAGAAAUGAAAUCUAAUAUCACCUAUUUAGUUAAAAAAUCACUCAUGAAAAAAUUUUACCAUUUUGAUUUGAGGAUCCAUAUUUUGAACUACAAGCUAAUGUUCAUCAAGAAUCACUGAUAGCCGUUGAGUAGAAAAAUUAUUUUUGGACAAAUUAUUUUUGUUGAUAGAAGAAUUUCUUUAGGGACUACUAAAUUAUUAAUAAAAAUGUCGAACACACCCAAAUAUCAUCGACACAAUUGAUUUUGAGGAUCCAUGGUUUGAACUGCCGGCUAAUGUUCAUCAAGAAUAGAGUAUGGCUUGUGAGUAGAAAAUUUUCUUAUUUUGGCCCGAAAUAAAAAGAAAUUAAAUUGGAUGAGAAUCUGCCACUUUCUCAUGAAGAAAGGCAUACGGAGCAUACCAUGGUACCAUAAAAUAUAAGGAGCCUCCGUUCUUUGGUUUUUCAAACUCUGAAGGGGCCAAUAUUGCCAAAUUCCCCCUUGAAAAUUCUGAUUACGAAAUUAUUCAUCGCUUGAUGCAAUCAAAGUAGUGACAAAGUAAUUGCUAGGCAAGGUUGCUGAGAGCAAAAUUGUCCUAAGCAUUAUAUGCAUACAUGGUGCGGUACAUAGAGCACGUUGAAUUCCCCACUAUAACACAAAUCUAGAAAGACAAGUAAUAACUCAACUGAUAUAAAGACAAAAAGAAGAUAAAAUGAUAUAGAAAAAAGAAUUUCAAAGAGAGAGCAACAUACGAUAGACUGAAGCCACUUGAUCUGCUCAUUGAUUGCAGCCUUAAACUUGCAAAUAGUUACUGUACGCUAGUGCUCUAAGAAGUGAAAAUGAUGCAAGCCCUGAUUCCCUUUUGACUUCCAUUUACUGUCAAACAUUCUAGUAAUACAAAAAAUUAUUUAGAUAUCUUGCUAUAAAUAUAGCCGUUUGACUGUCAUAAUAAAGUCACAAAUAACCAUUCAUAUUGAUCUACUAUCACACAGCAUGCUUUAUGCAUACAACAGCUGUAUGUAUACCAACUCCUAACCUUAUCAAUACAUUUGGCAAAAACUUAAGAAGAAAACUAUUUCUCCAUCUCUUUUUUGAAAUUUCACAAUAACCAGCACAAUGUGAAAGCUAUGUUCUAACCUUAUGAUAAAUGCUCUAGACUCCAAAAGGAUUUUAUAUAUGAGACUUUGUUGCAGCAGAUAUAUUGACUUAUCAAGUAUGAAUCAUUGUCUGGAUGAACUAUCUUUAGAUAAAAGAAUAUUAGAACCACUGUAGAAUAUCUUUACGCUGCUGGUUCUAACAGGAAUCUGCAUGUGGCAACAAUUGCUAGAUCCACAAUUCCCCAACUUGAAAUACAUAGUUGCACACCAUGAGAUAGUGCUACAAUCUACUGAGAUCUAACUUAUAUGGUACUUUAAGCUACUAAUGUUUGCAUAUUUCUACAUGUUAAAUUAACACUAUCAUCUAUAAUCACUCCAAAACAACAAAUGAUAAGCAGCUUUUGGCCACUUAUUACUAGCAUCCACAAUUAUAAAUAAGAGAUCAUGGGUUUACUUGUUGCACCUACUUAAUUAUCUGCAGUUGACAUCCUGACGCAAGGUUUAAAUAGUGACUGCUUAGAACCCUUGUAGUUGGAUCUUGACCUCUCCCAUUGUAGCCAAGAUUGGUUACUCUGGUAAUGAAUCAACACUCUCCUGCUCAGGGCCAUGAAGAUCUGAAAGCUCAGCUCUAGUGGAGAACUUCAUCAAUCUCUUCUUCUCAGCAUACUUGAGACAAGGUUGCCUUACGAGACCAAUCACCACAGCACCAACGCUUAAAACUGCAACUUUUAAAGAAGAAAGAGCCAACACAACACAACACAAAUCAAUAUGGUUGGAGGAAUACACAUGAUAAUGGCUCCAACAGUGACAGUGGGUAUCUUGUAGGGACGAGAUGCAGCAGGAUAUUGCAUCCUUAACCAUACAAAUGCUAUGAACUCCAUAAUCAUUCCAAAACAGUACAGGAAGUUCUCUGCAGCUACAAUAUCUCAAAAGCUCAGCCAUGAUAGCAAAACCACACCAGAUGCUGAGAAUAUGAUUCCAAUCAAAGGAGUCCCAUAUCAAGACCUCUUAGCAAAAAACUCAGGUAGCAUUCCACGCUCAGCCAUCCCCAAAAGUUGGAAGAGUCGCUGCUCAUCUCAGCCACAAACAUGCCCAUAUUGGACAUUGCUGCAGCCCCCUGGAUGCACCAUCUCAACCAAACUCCUCCAAGCACUUUAGCGAUAUCUGAAAAGUAACCAUCGGUCCACAAGUCGCGAUCUAAUGGAAUAGCUCCAGUUCCAACUAGAAGGGGAAAGAAAUAUCCAAAAACGACCAAGAUCAAAGCAUAAAACAAAGCCUUUGGAAGAGUCUUCUUUGGGUUAUCCACCUCUCCAGCUAGUGUACUUAUUGAGUCCCAGUAGUUGGAGAUUCCAAAACAGGGUGUUCAAAUACAAAUUCCAGUCCACUUCACCUAAAUUUACUACAAGCCAUCUUGAAGGCUCUAACUUGGGAAGGGACACAAGUCCCAUAACCGCAAAAGGAAGGAAUGAGAAAAUCCCUAAAAGAACAGCAGCCCAUCCCACAAUGGUUAGACCCCUAUAGUUCAUGAAAGUGAGAACAAAAGUCAAAGCUAACGCCGCAAAGGCUCUAGGUAACCCAUCGCCCAAAGCAGGGAUACCAGACUUCAAGUAGUCAAGAAACAGAACUGGGUAUAAAGCAUUAUCAAUAACCCCACUAAGCCAUUUCAUCCAAACUUGCUGAAAACCCCAAUAUGGGCCUAAGGCAGAUGAAACCCAAACCACAUAACCACAAUUUUCAGGAAACACGGUACCCAUCUCGGCAGUAAUUAAAGCUUCAGGGACACUCCAUAUAAUCGGAAACACCAAGAAACCAAGAAGUGCUAAAAGAGGACCAGCUGCCUUUACACUAUCCUCAACACCAAACGGCCCCCCAGAAACCUCAUAGAAUAUAAGGAAAAUAAGUGGCAAGAUUGAUACUUUUUUAGCGCCAUGGACUCUAGGAGAAGAUGGUUGGUCAUUGAUAUUAACAUAUUCAACAGCAUCAGACUGCCCCAUUUCUACUGAAAGUUGCCUAUUCACAGUGUUCCUCAAUUUCUGCAUCAAGUUUAAGCAUAACUAUCAAAAGGGUAUCGGCAUCUAAAUUAUGAAACAAAAUGAGCAUUUACUUAUUAAAAAAAAUCAAAAAAACAGAAAUGGAUUUCACAGAACACAUGAAUUUAAGUUCAACAUUAAACAGGCGCUUAAGAAAACAAAAGGGUCUGGUCGUAAAGCCAUCAGAUUGCAAGAUUGAACAACAUUAACGGAAUCAAUAGAAUCGAUGUAAAGAGAUCUGAAAAGAAAAUAAAAUAAAAGAUGAAGAGAGAUAAAACGACCCAUCAAAUAAGUGCAUGCAGAGCAGAGAGGCAGAUACUAGAGAAGCUCCGUCAUGUUAGAGAGAGCCUAAAUCAAUCAGAGCUCACUGAGUUUCUUUUCAACUGACCGGCAAAUUUGGAGUAGCAUGACAUAAUAUUUUUGCUUUUAAUUUUCGGAACACUUUUGAAUGGAAUUUUUUGUUUUUCAAAACUAACGAAAUCGUAAAAAUAAAUAAACACGUGUUUGGUUUUGGGCUUCUUCUUUUGUUCAUUUAAUAUCAUUUGGUUCCCUGAUUUUUGACUAAUUAUCAACGGUAUCCUGUUAGUUUCCAAAUUGAAAUAAUAUUAGGUCAUGAGAUUAUUUACUCCAUUUAGCACUGUAGACUUAAUAGUAUAUUGAAAAAGCUUUGUCAAAUAGUAGUAAUAGGGGCAUAAGAAAUAAGUUCUUCAGAAUUUAGAUAAUAUACUUGGCUCUAGGAAGAUUCCCCUCUUAUCGCUCAAGUUAGGCUUUUACCUUAGAGUUGAGUAAAUCAUUAAAAUAAAUUAUAGCUAUCACAAAUUCGUCAGGGGACUUUCAAUUUUUUUCCAUCAAAUGGAAAUGAGGCAAAAUUACCUCAGCUUAUAUUGCAAAACUAAUACUUCAAAUUCUGACAAUAAAUUUGAUGACAGUCGAUUUUAUGUAUAGUAAUUUUGACUCUUUUGUUUGGUCUAAAAGUAGUUAUUUAAAAUGGCAAUGAUGACUUAUUUAGAAGAAAUGAUAAACUUAUAGUUCGUAAUAUUAUUUACGCAACUAAUAAAGACUAAUUUGAUAAUAAUCUUUCAAAUAAUAAUGAAGUGUUAAUUACUAUUUAAUAUUUUUUAUUAAUUUCUAAAUUUAAAACAAAUAUGAAAGUUGAUUGCUUCGAAGGUUGGAUCGUGACAAAUUGACAAAUGAAAAGAGAAGUAGAGAAUAUAUAUUCUGAUGAAAGGGACAAGAUUAAGCAAGGGGACAAUAUUCUCUAUUGGACCGACAAAUGGGGGAAAAGAAUAUAUAUAUAUAUAAUUUCUUAUUUGUGGAUUGGCCAACACGUGUAACAAAUAUGAAAAGAUAAAAUUUGGCGUGGUUUUAACCGAUAUAAGACAAGAAGAACAAAGCAAAGCCCAUGAAAAUUCACCUUUCAUGUGGGUUGGAUCGGAUAAAAUCAAUAUCUUGAAUCAAACAAAAUGUUUGGUACAUAAAGUUUUUUUUUUUUUUUUUACAUGAUAUUCGAUUUUUAUCCCUCGAAUUUUUACAUGAUAUUAGAUUUUUAACCCUCACUAAUAAUCGAGAGAUGUCUACUCCUCAUUUUUGGGUAAGGGAGAAAACUACAUUCACUUAAUUAUAAUUGAGGAAGGAAAUACCCCCCAUUACACUUGUGGGGGUUCAAACUGUUGCCCUCCAACUUGGAGUGCAGCAGCACUGACCACUCGGCCAAAGUCUGAGUGGCUGGUACAUGAAGGUUUUGAGUGUGUGUAAUGAGCAAGAAUUUACAUAACGAUAUUUUAGUAAAUAUAAGAAAAAAAGGCUCAGGGAAUGGCCUAUAGAUAGAAGCACGCAGCCCAUGAGUGAUGAGAAUACAAUUUAACUGUUCAAACUAAUUAGAAGCAAAUUCUUUCAUAUCUUUCUUUAAUUUUUCCGCUUAGUUCCUUAGCAUCCAAUCAAGUUCAAGUUAAAACACUGUUGAGACAACAAUAUGCAGGCAUCAAUAAGCAUAGUAGUUUUUUAUAUGUAUUCUAUACGAUAUUUGAGGGAUGUCAAUUGUAGAACAUUUUGCAGCAACUUUUUUACAUUAACUAAUGUUUGAAGAACUUGUUAAAAAAAAUGGUAAUUUUAUAAUUUUGAAAAAAAAAGAGUGAAAGUGACGUUACCUCAUUGUCAUUAGAGACUUGUUGCAAUGAUAGCUCAAAAUUAAAAUUUUUGAAGAAUUAGUAGACAACGAUGACGUAAUAUUUAUACAGUCACCAACAUGUUGAUUUUUGUUUAAUGUUUGAUCGAUAGAAAUGUUUGUCGUCGUUGCUGUUGUUGAAUUCAUACUUAGAACACAGAAGAGAAGAAGGGAAGAAAGGGAAGAGAAGAAGAGAGAAGUGGCAUAUAGCAAAUAUGAUAUGCUAGCUACAUACCAGCCUUAGAGAGAUUUUUUUUAAUAUUUAUUAUAUUUUUGUUUUUGUUAUUGGUUUGUCAUAUGCUUCCAGGGAAGCAAUACGUUACAUCAUAAAUUGCACCUUUUAGGGGAGGUGGUAAAAAACGUGAGAGCACUACGCUCCAGCGCAUACAUAUAGAAAGAGUUUCCGAAUUUUAAAAAGUUUCUUUAUUUCUUCCAUGUUUUUGUGCUUAAAAUAAAAUUUAAUUGUAUUUUGCAUUAACUUAGAAAAGAAAAGCCAAUUCUAUAUAUAAACUCAUGCAUUAAUUAGAAGAGUUGAACUAUUGGCACCCCUCUAUUAUCUUUAUAAAAUUCCUCUCCUAUUGUAAUUACAUUAAAGGACAAAAUAAAUCUAAUUAUAUCAUUAUAUUUCUCUUUUCAACUCUUUACACCCGUGCAACUACACCAAAGUCUUUUACAAUUUUUGUUUCCUCACAAACAUUAUUUAAAAGGUAGAAAGAUGGUUAGUGCACAAUCAAAUUUUAAGCCGCUACCUCCUCGGCCCAAAAUUCAAACUUAGAUGAUAAGCCAAAUAAAAUUAUUUGAAAAUCAUUCAAUCAGGUUCCCGGGGCAAAAAUACAAGAUCCUUAUUUGCAUGAUAUAUAUGAAUUAAUGUAAUUUAUUUGAAUUAUCCAAAUUCAUUAGAGAUAAAACUAUAAAAUAUACCAAAAAAGUUAGAAGGAAGGAUGUGUUGGGAUAUUUUACAAACUAUAGGAAUCUGGUGAGAUUUUGAGCCAAACUGUAGGGAGUUGAAGGCAUUUGCCCAAUAUGUUUAGACGUACACUAACCGUUAUUUGCUCUUGUUGUUGGUCCCGGAUGAGCUGUAGUCUUAUUUUAAUUUUAUUUAAACUCACCAUAAGAUUCGCGGAGCUCCUAACUAACUUAAAUGACUCUGCAGAGCAUGUCAACACAUAGCAUGUUUAACCGUUUUAUUUGUAGAAGAAUUUAUGAUUUCCCAUUAGCAUUAUUAUUAAAGAAGUGGGGCGGGUCAAAUCUCAAUUGCUUGAAAAUUUUAUUUAUUAUUAUUAGUCUUGAAGUGGGGUGGGUAACGGUUCGCUCAAUUUGAUUUGAGGGAAUCAAAUAUAUCAUCCAAGGUAGAAUUGUGGAAAAUUAAAGCAAAAUAAGAAAUAUGGAAAGAAAAGAAGAAAGUUAAUGCAUGAAAGACAUAUACAGUUGAAAUUGAUAAUCAUGUUUCUAUUUUGUUAACUAAUCAAAUGGAAAGCUGAACUGUAAACAAACAUUAAAACGUGUGGACCAAGCUAGCUGCCCUACAAGUUUACAAUAAUAAUUGAGUACUUUGAUUCAUCCUUCUAUGAAUUUCUACCCAUAUUGACUCCACCGAAAUUUCCACAAAAUAAAAAAAAAAAAAAACUGAAUUUCCACAAAAUGCAAAACCCGUAGAACUUAAUUUUUGGUCAUGUGAACUAAGAUGUAAAUUAAAGAAAAAGUAUAAAAUUAAAAAAGAUAAGAUUUCUAAAAUGUGUGGAAGGUGAUUCAUGAUUCACUGAAAUUACUUACCCCAGAUAUAAAUGUAAACCUAUCUAAUUUCAUUAAAAAUAGUUGGAAAAAAUUAACUAAUAGAAAGCUACGGAAAUUAACCCCCCACAAAAAUGACUUUUUAUAGAAGAAUUUAUGUUUUUUAAAAUAUGUUAUCAAAGUGUAUUUGAUCAAAUCUCAAUUGCUUAGUAUGGUUAGGAUUUUGUGAACAUCACUAAAAAGUGAAAACUAUGAAUGAUAGGGGUGAUGCUUGCAAUAUGAAUAAAUAAUGGACUGAUUCAAUUGAUGAUUACAUUUAUAUAUUAUUGAUUAUUUAUGAAUUUUCAGAUUUUCGAGUGAUCAACUUAAAUCUAUAUGAAUUUAUUGUCAAAGAUGGUGAUCAUGAUGGGCAUGUGAAUAUGUUAGAAAAAACUUGCACUUGUCGGGAAUUCCAACUUGAACAAUUACCAUGUGUACAUGUUGUGGCGGUGUGUAGGCAUCGAGAUUUUUCAAUCUAUGAUUACUGCUCCUAUUACUAUUCAAGUGAUGCAUGGGUGUUAGCAUAUUCUGAGACUAUUUAUCCUGUUGGUCCUCAAGAGGGGUGGGAUGUUUCUAGUGAUGUAUGUGCCCGCGAAGUACAUCCUCCUCUAGAAAAGCGGUCAAGUGGGCGUCCAAAAAAUAAUAGAAUACCAUCUAGGGGUAAGGAAAAGGUGCCUCGUAAAUGCAGUCGGUGUGGUGGUCGUGGACACAAUCGACUCAAAUGCAUGACGCCAAUGCCGUUACAUGAGUGAUACCUUGUUUUAAAUUUAUAUGCAAUGUAAGUGUCUCAAUUCUUGGUAUUCAUUUAUGUUUUAUUUAUUUCGUUAAUGCUGUUUAAAUAUGUACUAAAUUUAACACUAUGUGUACAAGGCUUGACGGAGGAUUUAGCUUGUAUGUUGUCUUUAAAUGGUGGCAUCGUAGAUUUUUGGGUUAUGGCUUGAGUUCUUGGAGCAAUUAAAGGACUAUGCUAAGUCAUUGUAUAAGGAUUUUCGUAUUGAAAUUGCAUAAGGAUGAAUUUACUAGUUGCUAUUUAAUGUUUCUUGGAUAAGGAUCAAUUUACUAGUUGCUAUUUACUAGUUGAAAUUAUAUAAGGAUGAAAUAGAAUUGUAUUUAAUGUUUCCUGGAUAAUUUAAAGUUGUUGCAUAAAAAAGUCGAGUGUUUCCUGUUAUUUACCCGACUGCACUGAAAAAAGUCGAGUAUUUCCCGUUAUUUACUCAACUUCGAUGAAAAUAAUCUACAUUUACCCAACUUCGAGGAGAUGAGAAUUUUUGUUCAAUAUUUUGCAAGGUCACAUCAAAGUCGAGUAUUCUCGACCUCAUACCCGACUUGGAUGAGUCGAGAAUUUUCAUUUAAUCUGACGCAAUGUUACAUUAAAGCCGAGUAUUCUCGACCUCAUACCCGACUUUGGUGAGAGGAGAAUUUUCGUUCAAUGUUAGAGAAGAUUGCAAUAUAAGUCGAGUUUUCUCAACUGUUUACCUGACUUCAAUGUGGAGAAAUUUUAUUUAAUGUUAGGCAAUAUUACAUUAAAAGUCGAGUUUUCUCGACUGUUUAAGUCGAGUUUUCUCGACUGUUUAAGUCGAGUUUUCUCGACUGUUUACCCGACUUCGAUGAGGAGAAAUUUUGUUCAGUGUUAGGCAAGAUUACAUUAAAAGUCGAGUAUUCCUGACUAUUUUCCUAACUUUGCUUAAGGAAGUCGAGAGUUAAGUCAAUCAGAGGAGAAUUUUUUAGGCAAGCGUACAUUGAAGUAUGGGAAUCAAAAUACCAGACUUUGAUGAAAUAAUAACAAAAACCAAAAUAUUUAACUUAUUCACACAUUUACAACAAUACAAGUCAGUUCAUAAGGUUUUGAUUAACAUUAUCCCAAAAGUUAAACUACAAACUAAUACGAAGUCGAGUAUUCUUGAUUAUCCAAAACAAUGAACUUCUUGUCAUCAUCAAUCGUACUCCUCUAUCAACUUCUUGUCAGAAAACAACCUUGUUGCCACUUGUUUUCGGUAUGAGUUAAUGCCUGCUUGUGUACGAACGUCAUAUGGAAUGUCUAGACCAUAUACAAGUGCCUCCAAAUAAAACAUAACAAAAACCCCACAAUCAUUGCUGCAAGAGAAAAAUAGAAAGUGAUAGUUAUUUGAUAUUACAUAACUCAAGGGAUAAUAUAAGAGAGGCAACACUAUUUCUUACUUGUUUUUUUGUUGUGGGAUGUCUGAAACUCGCACAGCCUUCCACUUACGAGUUAGAGAAUUAUCAUAAGAAUGUGAAGUAUACCAUGAUAUCCUAUCUAGAAUCAAUGGCAUCAUAACUACAAACGGCAACAAUUCCUUCUCAAAUGCACUGUCAUUCAUAUAAUCUAACAUGGAGUCAUACACAAAAAUUAUCUCCUUUUGAAGGUCAAACUGUGCUAGUGCCCAAUGAUCUUGCUUAGGAUGAAGCGGAAUAUAUACCUACAGAAAAAACCAUGUAAACCACUAAAUGGAGAAAAAAAAUUAUAGUCAACAUGUCAAAUAAAUAUAAGCAACUUACUUUGGAAACAUCUUUCCAAUGAACAACACAUUUAAGUUUUUCACCCUUGGCAUAAUCAACGACAUAAUUAGUAGCAUUAUUUGUCCAUACUUUUUCAGGGUUGAUCACGUAAACUGAAUACAGAUGCUCUAACUUUCGCUAUCAUUACAAAAAACAAAAGUGUAAGUGUCUUAUAUAUUUUAUAUUUUCCUAUAUGUUUUAUAAAUGUAAUAACAAACUUACUUGAUAUAUAGUGUCCAUUAUGGCACAUCGUUGCAUACUACAAGAUGGGGAGUUGACCAAGAUGUGUCGUACAACAUAAAAAAAAGAGUCCAAGUGUUGUAUAUAAUAAACAAUAGUUAUUAUAUGCAUUGUUUAACAUAUUCAUUAAAGUACCUAACAAAAAUUAUUACUAAACAAUAUGUUUAUAACAAAAUUCAAAACAAUAUAUAGAUUCUUACACUACAAUCCUUAAUUUCAUAAAUUUACAGAACAAUAUGUUUAUAACAAAAUUCAAAACAAUAAUCAAUAAAAGGCAAAUCCAAUGAACACAAUCAAAUAACCUUUAAAAUUGAAUCAUAAUGUUUCAAAACUAAACACAUCAUUUCUCCAACCGCAAAGCCAAAAUUGGGAAAACUAACCCACAUGAUUCUUUAAUCAACUUUUCUUUAACCACAUUGUUGCCAAAUCUUAAUUGUUGCACUCAAACAAAAAUAAGAAUACAAAAUCCAUAGAGGAAAUAAAAUAAAUUUGAAGUUCUUCAAAUAAAAAUAUGCUGUCUAACAUUUGUUUUUGUAUGUCUCUUCGUGAUAUAUUGUAUUACAUUGUUCAUGUUAUACUUCUAAUUCUUUUCAUUUUCAGUAAUCCCAUAAAUUAUACCCAAUUCACUAAAUCACUUACCAUUUUCAAGCAAAACCCUAAAAUUUUUCUUUGAAUAUUUGUAGGAGAAAGAAGAAAAUGAAAAUUACUUACCUAGUAACCAAUGACGGAGGCAAGACAAGGUGGUGGUGACACGGCUGAGGCAAUGGUGAUAGCUGAAGUGCAGAAUGGGCAGGGAGCCGCUUGUUCUUCAAGGAGUUUUCUCUCUUAUUUUGUUUACUCGACUUUGUGAUUUUGGGUGGGAAUCGAUUCUGUUUUGUUGGCUUUUAUUAAGGUUAUUUUUGUAUUUUCCAUGAUCUUUUUAAGUAUAUAUGUGUAAAGUUAGUAAUUUUAAUAUAUAGAGGUAUAUUUUAGGUAUUUUGAGGAAACCAGGUAUAUCCCACGCAAUUCGGGGUUUUUUUAUUUAAAUAUCCUCAAUUUACCCUUAAAUGCCAAAUUUAUACCCUAUUACAUACAUAUACCUUAUGAAGAUAGGAAAAGUCAAAAAUAACCUUAAAAAAACUAAGAAUUCACAUCUCUCUUCUCCCAUUGCUUCUCUUUUUCGGGCUUCUCUCACCAUUCUCUAUUUUUCUUAUAAGUGUAUUUCCUAAUGAUUUAUGAAUUUUAGUAGUACAUUAUUCAUUUUUUGUGCUUGCACACACACACACUAUUUCAAUGUAGGGAUUUAAGACUACAUUUAAGUUACGAGUGAUUGAAGAAUCAGUGCAGGAAGAAGUCGGGUACGAAGUCAGGUAAAUCGAGAAUUUAGUCGAGUAAGAAUUAGAGAUAAGUAAGUCGAGUAUAUGGUCGGGUAAGAAGUCGAGUAAGCAUAUUAAAUAAGUCGAGUAUAUGGUCGGGUAAGAAGUCGAGUAAGAAAAUUAAAUGAGUCGAGUAAGCAUAUUAAAGAAGUCGAGUAUAUGGUCGGGUAAGAAGUCGAGUAAGAAUAUUAAAUGAGUCGAGUAAGCAUAUUAAAUAAGUCGAGUAUAUGGUCGAGUAAGAAGUCGAGUAAGAAUAUUAAAUGAGUCGAGUAAGCAUAUUAAAUAAGUUGAGUAUAUGGUCGGGUUCAAGAAGUUGAGUAAGAAUAUUAAAUAAGUCGAGUAAGCAUAUUAAAUAAGUCGAGUAAGCAUAUUAACUAAGUCGAGUAUAUGGUCCGGUAAGAAGUCGAGUACGAAUAUUAAAUGAGUCGAGUAAGCAUAUUAAAUAAGUAGAAUAUAUGAUCGGGUAAGAAGUCGAGUAAAAAUAUUAAAUGAGUCGAGUAAGCAUAUUAAAUAAGUCGAGUAUAUGGUCGGGUAAGAAGUCGAGUAAGAAUAUUAAAUGAGUCGAGUAAGCAUAUUAAAUAAACCGAGUAUAUGGUCGGGUAAAAAGUCGAGUAAGAAUAUUAAAUAAGUCGAGUAAGCAUAUUAACUAAGUCGAGUAUAUGGUCCGGUAAGAAGUCGGGUAAGAAUAUUAAAUGAGUCGAGUAAGUAUAUUAAAUAAGUCGAGUAUUUUUAUUAAGGUUAUUUUUGUAUUUUCUCUGAUCUUUUUAAGUAUAUAUGUGUAAAGUUAGCAAUUUUAAUAUAUGGAGGUAUAUUUUGGGUAUUUUGAGGGAAAACAGGUAUAUCCCACGCAAUUCGCUCCGCAAUUCGCUCCCAUCUCAUCAUCUUCUUCAGUUGUACUAACAUUAAAUUCUUCUUAUUCCCUUUCUCAACUGUCAUACCCUAUCCCUAUUCCCUGUGUCCCCACUAAACCACGCUCAAUUCAGUCCAUCAGAUUCUCUCGGAACCACAUUAAUCCAACGGCUCACAAUGACCGACAGCCUCUGCAUCUCCAUUUCAAGCUCCCUCUUCAACUGGCCUCUGCUUCCGUUGUACUCUUUCUCGGAUUCUCGGUGGUCCCACACAGCUCCAUCUCGCUCCAAUUGUCACCCAACAAGACCAAUUGCUUAAUCAAGUCACAGAACAAAAAGAGGAUGAGAAAUUGGAACAAGAAUUUGAGAAUUGGAAAUCGAAAAUGUACAAAUUGACCGUGCCUUUGAGAGUUGUUUCUCUUCAGAAUUCAAUACCUCAAUCUUGGAUUAAGGAUUUUAUGCGAAGUCAAGGAAAGAUAUUGAAUUUUCAGAUGAAUUUGUGUGCUAGCAUUGAUGGGAUCUCAACAAUUUAUCUGUGCCUUUUAACAAAGUUAAGGCUAAAUCAGCUCUUAUAUGGGUGCUGAUUUGGUUAGUGUUGGUGAUUCAUGUCUCAGUUUUGCGAUUAAAAAGAGAUUGAUUGAACCAAUAGUUGGAGCUGAAGAUGAAGAUUGGUUCAAAUGCUUAAGUCACAAAUGGAAGGUAACAUCUUUAUCAUUGUCCAGAUAUUUUUUAAUCAUUGUCCCGAUAUGUUUUAUUGUCUUACAUUGAAGUUUGGUAAUGUAAUUUGUUCUCUAUCUGUGUUCCCUUUGUAGUCAUUUUAUUUAUUUUUUUGUUUGCAUUUAUUUGCACUUACGAAGUCUCAGGUAUAUCUAUGCAGGAAUGAUGCAGAAGAAAUUGAUCCUUGAGGUAAAAUAUGCGCAGCACCAUAUCAGUGGGGCACAGUGGUGAUAGCUUACAAGAAAAGUAAAUUUUGAAAGCAUAAUUUGGCUCCGAUUGAGGUAAUAAUUGUCUUUAAACUCAUUUAGUUUUAUAUCAAACAAAAUCAAGACUGCCCUUCUCUUCAAUAUUUUUUAUGAUAAUAUCUUUAGAAGCAGCUAAUUGACGGGUAAUCAAGGUAUUCCUUAAAGGGUCUACAAACUCAAUGAUAUUAUCUUCUGCAAAUGGUUCAUUAGACCUCUUAGUUGUAGUCAAAUGUCCACUAAGGACAGCAAGAAGCUAUGCCACUGUAGCAUGGUAAUGAUGGCCCUCAAUAAGUGAGUUGGUAGGAUGUGAAGCAGAAAAAUUAAUUAAUGUCUCCCUGGCUAUGCCAGCUCAUAAGUUAGGGUUAAUAUUAGAGCUUGAGUAACUAUAACCUUGAGAAGCUAUUGACUGCAAAUUAAAAUAUCCAUUAAAAUGUUUAGGGAGUUAUGAAGGUGGAAGUAUCUUCCAAUUUCUAAGGCCAUAUUGUAGACAUCAUCCAGGAUCCUAUUAAAGUGCAGUUAGCCUCCUGCUUGAUGCUAAUGUCAAACAAUUAAUAAAUUUGGUCAAUGUAACUGAAACUUGCUAACUGACAUCAGAUUGCAACUUAAAAUGGGAUAGAUGAUUAGUAGCACUGAAUUCUUCUUGCCUAAGAUUGAGCAAUUGUUCUAACUACUAUCUCCUAUUGUAGGUUGAUUAUUAUGUUCUAAUUAGGUCCAUUUUGACCCAAAAAAUUACAUAAUCUUGAUCUGCAUAUUGUCACUGAACAGUGUCAAUAUCGUUCACCAACUAACUUGAGUUUGAUAUAACAAACACACGGUGUGUCUCUCAUGUCUCACCAUGAUGGAGAAUUUUUCUAAUGCAUGAAGUAAGCUUCGAUAUGUGGGUUAGCUUGGAGAAGAUAUCUCAAAAUGAAGAAUAUGGGGAGUUAAUGGGAAGAAACAGUUCAUUAGUUGAUAAUUCUGUCAUCGAGCUGUAUCUCUAACAUGGUCAAAUUUUAUGUGAAUAAGGACAGGGAAUCUUCAUUCCUCUUUUCCUUUCUAUACCCAGAUAUCUCUCAACCUUUAUAUGUUGCCCACUGGAGAUCUGCUUCUAAUAACUAAAAUAAAAAUUUCAUCCACUCAAUAAAUGCUGACCAACCUUUCACAAGAAAAAGUAACAUCUUUAGUGAAGUAAUUUACAGUUCCUUAUCAUCUUCGUGUGAGUCUAUCAGUAUGAUCCAAAAACAUAAUACAUCUUGUUAGAUCUUGUUUAUUGAUGUUUAAAUGUUGUUCAUUGUGAAAUGUAGAAAUGAUGACGUGAAGUUUCUUUGGUCAUCAGUUAGUGAGAUCUUGUCUGAAGUUGUUUUCUGAAAUGAACUGCCAAAUGGUAGUUUUUUUUUUUGGGUGCAUUUGAUGGCUCUUUUCUCCUCAUUUUAAGUGGGUGCCUGCUUGGAAUGGGAAGGAAUAGGCUUCAGAGUUGUUAUAUAUGUUGACAUGCUCUAGUCUUUACACAAUAUGUUCAAAUUGGAAAUUAGAAUGAGAUAUUUGUCGAUGCUUUUUGAGAGAUCUGCAUUCUAAGCACCAUAACAUGAUUAAUGAAAACGGGUUUAAAGACUGGAAAGAUCUGUGGCGGCCCGAGCUUGCAGGAAGGAUUUCAAUGGUUAAUUCUCUCAGAGAGGUUAUUGGUACAGUUUUGAAGUAUAUGGGAGCAUCAUACAAUUGAAACGACAUUGAUUAGCAAGUUGCUGCUGGGAGGAUUGCUGUUCAGCAGAAUCUGGCAUUACUGGGAAACCAGGUACUCUUAACGAAACGAUAUCUGGUCAAUGCAUAUUAUUGCCUGACAGCUGAUUUUGUUUGUAAAGUCUGCCUUUUCAUACAUAUGAAUGCAUAUGUUAGUGUUUUACGAAUGCAUAUGUUGGUUUUAUUUUCUGAGAUGGAUGCAAAUAAAGGCUUUUUCUUCUAAAUUUAGCUGAAGAAAUGGCAAGGAAUGUGAGAUUAUAUCUCAUUAAAUUAUCAAAACCCAAAACAAUGAAAACUCAUAUUAAUGUGAUGUGGAUAAAUUGGCAACAUUUGGCUUGUUUCCUCCACGCGAAUUAGCAAGCAAUAGAGACUAAAAAAAUGGAGUGAUAAUAACAAGUCAUUGUCGUUUGAUGAAUGCAUUUUUAAGCAAAAAUAGGAUUGUAACUGAACAAAUUUUUCUGGCAUGCCAAUUUCAAAAAAUUAAAUUAUGUGGUUAUUAGUAAUGAAGGGGAAUUGUAGGUGCAAUCAGGUCAAUCCAGUAAAGUUCAACAAAGUUCUGGUUUGGUGUAGUGAAAUUGGUUUAUGCAACUUGAGUCUUUCAGAUGAACAAUGAUGAGUUUUCAUUUAAAAAUGUUAUAAAUCUGCUGUGCAUAGUAUUCUAGUGGAAUCAUCUAUAAAUUCAAGUUAUUGAAAUUGUCUAUUUUGUCUGGUCUGAGUUAAGGAGGCAUGUAAUUUAUGAAAAAUAGUUGUCGAAUAUUGUAGGUUACCUAACAUUUGAUCAAUCCUGUGGUGAGGGCUUUAAGAUGUCUAACAGCAUGUAGAAUGCCCCUGCUCCCCUCACAUUGUUUAUCUUAUACAAUAAUCCAUUAUAGAUGCUAAUAUCUUUGUCAAUACCUAAAACAGUAUUACAAAAUCUGAGUUUAUUGGGUUUUAUAUAGGUUCAACUGUUUGACAGUACACACUAUCUGAAGGCAUUUGGAAUUGGAGAUGUCUGGGUUGCUGUUGGGUGGAGUAGCGAUGUUCUUCCUGCUGUCAAACGUAUGUCUAAUGUUGCAGUUGUUGUUCCCAAGUCAGGUGCUAGCUUAUGGGCUGAUCUUUGGGUAUGCCCAUGCUUACCAUUCUACUUUGAUAUUCACUUUGUUAUCUCCAUCAUAGUAAUGAUCAGUAAAUACGAGAAUGUGUGACUGAUAAGUUUGUAUUCUCUUUUUAGGCAAUCCCUGCUGCGUCAAGACUUGAAACAAACCAAAUUGGAGGGUGAGUCAGAGGUCCAUCUCCAUUAAUCCAUCAAUGGAUAGUGUUCUGCUUGCAAACAGCAAGAGCAUUGCCUUUCAAACAAGAGGUUAUCCCUGGCGUACUGAGAUGGCUAAAGUUCUUGAAGUUUUGUUAGAAAUGAAAGAUGAGUGGUUGUUUGAAUAAAGUUGUGGCCAAUCUCGCAAAGGUUAAAAAGGAACAUCACGGAGCUAAUGCCACCGAUUUCUUCAUCAUUGUAGCCUCUAUAGUUGAAGUUUCCUCAUUUGAAGCUCUUUAUGCAUUAUCCCUGCUCAAGUACAAUUGAAGAACUAACCAGAUGUGAUAUGCUGAAAGAGGGAAGUUUUCUUCCUUGAAUGUGGCCUUGUGAUUUGUCAGGGAAUAGGAUGAUCACUAGCAAGAACCCUGUCAAGGUAGAUUUUAUGAUAUUAACAUAUUAUUAAGCAUUUGCCACUUUAGCAACGAUACAUUCAUAGCGUGAAAGUGUUCAAAUUUAACCUAAUGAUCCUGAUUAAUCAAUUAAUUUUCAUGAGUUGUAACCGGAGUUAAAGCUAAGUACAAUCAUCGUUAACAAAGACUGAAAUUUUGGGUAAAUAUGAUCUUAUAUUGAAUCAUUUGAUGACACAACUCACAUUGGAAAUUACUUAUUGCGUGGGGAUGGCGAUGUUUACUGUUGUAUUGCGAUAUAAAAUAUGUGCAAGGUAUUGUCGACUGCUUUUUGGGUUAUGGUGUGAUAGCUGCUGAUUAGUGAUAAAACAAGAAAAAUUAAUUAAACUCAGGCCUACAUGCUAAAUGUGUAUGUUAUCCUAACUUUCACUACAAGAAAAUGUCCUUAACCUGACCGUGUUAGAUGAUUGUAAGUAGCAGUGUUCGUACAAGUUUUUUUUCCUUCAUGGUAUUUACAAUUUCUUAGGAACAUCUAAAAUCUGAAAAUCCUCAUUUACUAAAAAUUAAGUUAUCAUUUACUGGCUGGCAACUUAAAGAUAAGAAUAAAUUCAAGAGCUCAUCAACCAAGUAGAGUUUUCUCAAUAGACGCCGUAGUUAAUUUCUCUCUUCAAUCUUGAUUAUGAAUGAUUGUUUUGUUGCUUUUUAAAGCGCUUUUAAAGUUUUAUUUUGCUCAUGUCUGAUAUUUAAUUACCUGAAGAAGCCUGAUGAUUUCUUGAUAUGAUUGCUCUGCCAAGCUAUCUAAGAAAUAGCUAUAGAAAUCCCUUCAUUACAUUAGAUAAUCUUCAUUAUCUGUGCAAUUUGGUGUUUUGUCUUUGAAGCCAGCCGUUUGCUUUUGAUAGAUUCCAUCUCGUAUUUAUUCCUUUUCUAUAGAUUUUGCAGGAUUGAAGCUAUAUUUCUUCUCUGUAUAUGUGAUUGAUAUUAAGAGUAUGUUUUUGUGUUGUCUCUGUUUUUUCUAUUUGAUCUAGAUUUAAUACCUGAAAGGUUACUAACAAAUUAUCUUAGGUCAAAUUCUCUUUUACGAGACUUUUUUUGCUAAAUUCUUGGAAUUAUAUAAUUAACUAAAUCUUUAGUACAAGGAGGAGUUUGCCCCUAACUUUGCUUUCUUUCUAUAAUCGCAUUAAUAAUCAAUCCCCUGCAUGUUGGUCGCAUUAAUAACCAAAUGUGCCUUUGACAUGCAACUAUACAAUCACAAACCAUCAUAGGCCAAGAUUGGUUCAAAUGCUUAAGUCACAAAUGGAAGGUAACAUCUUUGUCUUUGACCCGAUAAUUUUUAUUGUCUUACAUUGAAAUUUGGUAAUGUAAUUUGUUCUCUAUCUGUAUUACCCUUUGUAGUCGUUUUAUUUAUUUGUUUAUUUAUUUGCUUUUAUUUGCACUAACGAAGUCUCAGGUAUAUCUACGCUGGAAUGAUGCAGGAGAAAUUGAUCCUCGAGGUGCAAUAUGGGCGGCACCAUACAGGUGGGGCACAAUGGUGAUAGCCUACAAGAGAAGUAAAUUUCAAAAGCAUAAUUUGGCUCCGAUUGAGGUAAUAAUUGUCUUUAAACUCAUUUAGUUUUAGUCAAAUGUACACUAAGAACAAUUAGAAGCUAUGCCACUGUAGCAUGUAGUGAUGGCCCUUAAUAAGUGAGUUGCUAGGAUGUGAACUAGAAAAAUUAAAUAUUGUUUCCUUGGGUAUACUAGCUCGUAAGUCAGGGUAAAUAUUAGAACGUAAGAUACUAUAACCAUGGGAAGCUAUUGACAGCCAAUUAAAAUAUCCUUUAAAAUGUCUAGGAAGUUAUGAAGGUGGAGGUAUCGUCCGAUUUCUAAGGCCACAUGGUAGACAUCAUCUAGGAUCCUAGGAAAAUGCAGUUAAACUCCUGCUCAAUGCAAUUAAUAAAUUUGGUCAUUGCCACUGAAACCUGCUAACUAACGUUACAAUGCGACAUGAGCACUUCAAAAUGGGACAGACGGUCAGUAGCACUAAAUUUUUCUUGCCUAAGAUUGAGCAAUUGGCUAACUACUAACCCCUAUUGUAGAUUGAUCAUUAUUUUUUCAAUUUUGUUCAGUUUGACCCAAAAAGUUACAGAAUCUUGAUCUGAAUAUUGUCACUGAACACUGUCAAUGUCGUUUAGCAUAGCCAACUAACUUGAGUUUGGUAAAACAAACACACAGUGUGUCUCAUGUCUCACAAUUCAAAUUAUCAUCUGUAAUGAUGGGGAAUUUUUCCAAUGUAUAAAGUAUGCUUUGAUACGUGGGUUAACUUGGAGAAGAUAUCUCAAAAUAACGAAUAUGGGGAGAAAACAGUUCAGUAGUUUAUUAUUCUGUAGUCAAGUUUUGUCUCAAAAAUGGUCAAAAUUUAAAUGAAUAAGGACAGGGGAUCUUCAUUCUUUUUUCUCUUUUUAUACCAAGAUAUCUCUCAACCUUUAUAUAAUCCCCACUGGAUAUCUGCUUUUAAUAAUUAAAAUAAAAAUUUCACCCCCACAAAUAAAUACUGACCAAGCUCUAACAAUAAAAAGUAACGUCUUUAGUCAAGUAAUUUACAGUUCCUCAUCAUCUUAGUGUGAGACUAUCAGUACGUUCCAAAAACAUAAUAAAACUGGUUUGAUCCUGUUUAUUGAUUUUUAAAUGUUGUUCAUUGUGACAUGUAGAAAUGAUGAGGCGAAGUUUAUUUGGUCAUCAAUUAGUAAGAUCUUGCUUGAAGCUGUUUUACGAAAUGAACUUGCCAAGUGGUAGUUUUUUGGGGGCAUUUGAUGGCUCUUUUUUCCUCAUUUUAAACAUGUGCCUCCGUGGAACGGGAAGGAUUAGGCUGCAGAGUUGUUAGAUAUUUUGACAUGCUCUGGUCAUUGCACAAUUUGUUCACACUGGAAAUUAGAAUGAGAAAUUUGUUGAUGCUGUUCUGAGAGAUCUGCAUUCUAUGCACAAAAACAUGACUAAUGAAAAUGGAUUGUAGGACUGGAAAGAUCUGUGGCAGCUUGAGCUCGCAGGAAGAAUUUCAAUGGUUAAUUCUCCCCGAGAGGUUAUUGGUUUGGUUUUGAAGUAUAUGGGAGCAUCAUACAAUUCAAAUGAUAUUGAUUCGCAAGUUGCUGGUGGGAAGAUUGCUGUUCAGCAGAAUCUGGCAUUACUGGCAAGCCAGGUACUCUUAAAGAAGUGCUAUCUGGUCAUUGCAUGUUAUUGCCUGACAACUGAUUUUGUUUGUAAAAGUCUGCUUCUUCAUACAUAUGGAUGCAUAUGUUAGUGUUUUCUUCUCCUUUUCAUACAUAUGAAUGCAUAUGUUAGUGUUGUCUUUUCCUUUUCAUACAUAUUAAUACAUAUGUUGGUGUUCUCUCCUGAGAUGGACGCAAUAAAGGCUUUUGCUCCUAAAUUUAGGUGAAGAAAUGGUAAGGGAUGUGAGAUUCUGUCUCAUUAAAUUAACAAAACCCCAAAACAAUGAAAACCCAUAAUAAUGUGGUGUGGGUAAAUUGGCGCCAUUUGGUUCGUUUCCUUAAUGUGAAUACACGAGCAAUAGAGACUAACAAAUUGAAGUGACAAGAACAAGUCACUGUCCUUUGAUGGAUGCAGUUUUAGGCAGAAAUAGGUUUGUAAUUGACCAAAUUUGCCUGGCAUGCCAAUAUCAAAAAAAUUAAAUUAUGUGGUUAUUAGCUGUAAUGAAGGGGGAUAGUAGGUGCAAUCAGGUGGAUCCAGGAAAGUUCAACAAAGUUCUGGAAUUGCGUAGUGAAAUUGGUUUGUGCAACUCAAGAGUCUUUCAGGUGAACAAUGAUGGGUUUUGAUUUAUAAAUGUUAUAAAUCUACUGUGCAUAGUAUUCUAGUAGAAUCAUCUAUAAGUUCUAGUUAUUGAAGUUGUCUACUUUGUCCAGUUUGGUCAAUUACCUAACAUUUGAUCAAUCCUAUUAUGAGGGCUUCAAGAUGUCUAACAAUAUGUGGGAUGCCCAUGCUCCUCCCCAUUGUUUAUCUUAUACAAUAAUUUGUUUUCGAUGCUAGUAUCUCUUUCGAUACCGGUAACAAUAUUACAAUAUCUGUGUUUAUUGGGUUUUACAUAGGUUCGAAUGUUUGACAGUACACACUAUCUGAAGGCAUUUGGAAUUGGAGAUGUAUGGGUUGCUGUUGGGUGGAGUAGUGAUGUUCUUGCUGCUGUCAAACGAAUGUCUAAUGUUGCAGUUGUUGUUCCCAAGACUGGUGCUAGCUUAUGGGCCGAUCUUUGGGUAUACCCAUGCCUGCCAUUCUACUUCGAUAUUCACAUUGUUAUCUCCUUCAUAUUAGCGAUCAGUAAACACAAUAAUGUGAGAAAUAAGUUUGUAUUCUCUUUAUAGGCAAUCCCUGCUGCCUCAAGACUUGAAACAAAACAAAUUGGAGGGCGAGUCAGAGGUCCAUCUCCAUUAAUCCAUCAAUGGAUAGAGUUCUGCUUGCAAAUAGCGAGAGCAUUGCCUUUCAAGCAAGAGGUUAUCCCAGGCGCAUCUCCCUCUGCUCUUGAAAGUACUCUGGUUAAGUUGCCUGAAGAACUUCUGAAGGGUAAACCAAGUCUGGAUACUAACUUAAUUUCUGGAGUACCCCGGGCUGAAAUUCUGGCCAGAUGUGAGUUUUUGGAGCCAUUAUCUGAAGCUACUUUGUCAGAUUAUGAGUGGCUGGUUGGUAAUCUGCAAAAAACCUGCUCCUGUCUUGGUGAAAAGGGGGCAAAAUUACUUGUCAUCAUUAAUCCAAAGCUUUCUAGCAAAAGCUGCAUUGAAACGUUAAUGGCACUGCAUGCCAGUCAUUAUAAUGCAGUCAGGGCAAUUGGGUCAGGGCAAUUAGGUCAGGGCAUAACUUCAUCAGGAAAAGAGGCUUCAGCUACGUUAAAUAUUACAGUAUGUACUAAGAUGGCUGAAGUUCUUGAGGUUUUAGGAGAAACGAAAGAUGAGUCUUUGUUUGAACAAAGUUGUUGCCAAUCUUUCAGAGUUCGAGAAGAAAGAUCACGGAGCGAUGCCGCUGAUUUCUUCAUCAUUGUAGCCUCCAUAGUUGAAGUUUCCUCAUUUGAAGCUGUUUAUGCAUAUGCUUUUUCCCUGCUCAAGUACAGGAAAUUGGAGAAUUAACCAGCUGUGAUAUGCUGAAAAAGGGAAGUUUUCUUACGUGAAUGUGGCCUUGUGAUUUGUCUUGAAGGAAUAGGAUGAUCACUGGCAAGAACCCUAUGAAGGUAGAUUUUAUGAUGUUAACAUAUUAGUAAGCAUUUUGUUACAUCAGCGAUGAUGCUUUCAUUGCAUGAAAGUGUCUAAAUUUAACUGAAUGAUCUUGAUUAAUCAAUUAUGAGUUUUAAUCGAGUAAAAACUAAAUUCAAUCAUCGUUAACAAAUACUGAAAUUGGGUAAAUAUGAUCUUGAUAUUGAGGAAUUUGAAAUCACAACCCGCACAGGAAAUCACCCUUCGCGGGGGGAUGGAGAUGUUUACUGCAGCGAUAAUGAAUAUGUGCAAGGUGUUGUCCACUGCUCUUUGGGUUAUGGUGUGACUUGCGAUUUCAAGGUUGCCCUGAAACAAUGGAAAAUAUUAACAUAUCCUCCAAUGAAUAAAAACGGCUGGACUAAUUCAAAUUACUCAGCAUCAGGUGGCAAUAAUAACAGUCCAUUUACUUUUCCAGGAUCAGAUGUUGAUAAUAAUAGUUUAUUAAAUGACAAAUCAUUGUUCUUGGGGGUUAGUUGUAUACGUCCUUACUACUUCAAGGAGAAGAAAAAGGUUGUGCAGGUGAUUUCAGAAAUAAAAUACAUUCUGAGAGAUGAUGGUCCACUACUGCAUGCCCCCCAGAUUUAAGAAUCAUCACUUUUCCUUUAAAAAACUGCUACGCUUUGAUUUUAGUGCUGAAUAUUUAUUGAACUCUGAUAGAAGGAGUUUGAAGUCAAACUCGUAAUUACAGGUUAUCUAAUUGCUGAGUUGUUGUCCAUAGCUGCUGAUUUGUAGUGAUUAUCUAAUUGACUGAGGUAACAACAAUUUUUUUUUUUUAAUUUUCAAUAGCACAAUGUCGAAUUCAAUAAUUAAAUUCUCCUAUUUAAUUUGUUUCAAGUUAAAUUAUUAAUUACUUAAACUAUGUUUUAAGUCUUUAAUUUUAUGUCUUGGCGUAUAUGCAGAAUUGGAUUCUUGAGCGUGUUGGACACGACCAACAAUGAAAUUGACAGUAAACAAACAUUACAACGUGUGGACUCCGGUAGCUGCCCUACAAGUCUACAACUUCACAAAUAAUAAUUGAGUAAGCACCUUUGAUUCUCGUAACCCUUCAAUGAAUUUCUAGCCCCAUUGACUCCACUAACAAAAGUUUUGUAAAAUAAAAAAAAUACAUAAAAUUCCACCAAAUACAAAACGCGUGGAAUUUAAUUUUCGGCCGUGUGGACCAAAACAUAAUUUAACGAAAAAAGAAAAAAAUGAUAAGAUUUCUAAAAUGUGUGGAAGGUGAUUCAUAUUUUACUGAAACGACUUGUUAAAUUUUUCAAGGAUUUAGAAUAUUUGGUCGUAAAUUAGGUGCAUGUUAAUUUUUCCGCCAUUGACUAUCAUAUUCUAAACUUAAUGGUACCUUUCUUGAUGAAGGGUACUUAGUCUCCCUUCUCCUCUUAUAAAAAUUAUAUUAAUUGAUUUCUUAUUAUAGUUAAUAGUCUUUAAGAACGGAUAGCUUUAUUGUUUUCAUAACCAAAUUAUGCCUGCCUAAGAUUGCGACUAUUAAUAAAAUUAAUAUUCAAUGUUUAUGUUAAAAGAUAUAAGAUUAAUUUAUGCGUUCAUUAAUUGUUAUUAGCUAAAGGAUGAAUUAUUUUUUCAACCCAAUCAGUUGAUGCAUCUGCAAGAGUUUUUUCUUUUAGUGACCAUAAUUAUAUUCCGGGUACAAUAAAUUGUCUUUGGUGCUUGGAAAAUAUGACUUCUUACUUCAAGUUUUUGAUAUGUCUCUCUCCAUAAACUUACUGGAAAUAUAUCCUCAUCUACUGUCAUUUAUCUAAUAUCAAUUGAAAAUCUCACUUUUCCAAACUAUCACUUCCAAGUCUAAUUGUCACUUGCCAUUCUUGGACCAUUCAAAACCAAUCAAGUGUUGAAAUAAUCAAAUAUAUGCAAAAUUAGAGUCACGAUUUUUGGUCCCCCAAAUUCUAAUUAUAUAACUUCUAUGUAUCUCAUUGUCAGGUCACGAACUUGUUGGCACAUUUUCCAAAUUCCUCUUCCAUCAGCUCUCACAUGUUAACUUGAGUGUAAAGUUUCCAAGUUGAUUGCUAGAAAGCAACGCAAAAUCAGACACACUUGACCCGUCCCAUAAUUAUCUUUUCUACGUUGAAAAAGAAAAAAAAAAAGAAAAAAGAAAAUAUAUCUAUGUAAAAAUAAAUAAUAAAUUGAGUAAAAGCACAUUUGUUUAAUUAACAUCUGAUCGGGGCAUUUUUGGUGUAAUUUAGUGCUGUGUAACCCACAACUAAAAUCAAACAGCCCCUUAGCAUACUUCUUCCAUUUUAUCUGCUACUUUUGUGGAUCUGAUAGGGUGGGCAUGUGGACAGAAUUUAAAAGUUUUAAUAGUCUCAAAGAAUAAGAUAUGUUAAAGCUAAAGUUGUUGCACCUUCUUAUUAAAUAAAGUUGCACAAUUUCACCAACUUGGAAGAAUUGACAUCAAUGGACUGGUCCCUCUCCAUAUAUGAAGCCUUCUUAAAAGUAAUUUUUAUUUCAGAAAAAAAAGUUUAAGUUACAUAUAUUACAGUAAGAUUUUUUGAGACCAAAUCCCUUCAAAUAAUAAUGGAAAAGUAUUAAUUUAAAAACAAAAUGAAUAUGUAUUGAUUAUAUCCGGAUUUUCAUAGAUUAUAGUGAGAGUUUCUCCAAAUCAAUUCCCUUAUUCAAAUAAUACAGAAAAAAUAGUAAUUUAAUAGUAAAAUAAACAGGUGUUGAUUGUAUAUCCUUAGUUUCAUCGAUUAUGUGAUCAAAGUGGCAUUGAUGAUUUAUUUCUUGUUCAAUGUUAAUUUUUAGGUUAUCUAAAUUUUAAGGAUUUAAAAUCUUUGGUCAUGGAUUGCAUGCUUGUCAAUUUUUCUGUCAUUGACUGUCAUAUUCUAGACUUAAUGGUACCUUUCUUGAUCAAGGGUAAUUAUUCUCUCUCCUCCUCUUAUAAAUUCCUCUUCCAUUAACAUCACUAGGAGUUUGUUGAUCUCUAAGACGUUAACUUGAGUGGAGAGUUUCCAAAUUGAUCGUUACAAAACAGUACAAAAACUAGACACACUUGAUCUGUCUAAUAAUUCUCUUUUGGUAAAAUUAAUUAAUUUUAGGAGAAUAUUCGGCCAACCUCUAUAAUUUCAGAUUGAUCACUAAUUAAUUAAACGAUACAAAUUGCUAAAGUGAUUAGAUGUUUGCUGACAAUACAAGUUCAUGGUUUGAAAUUUGAUCUCUAUCGAUUGGUUUACAAUGGACGUACUUGUGCCUUUGUGGCGAUAAUUGAACCAGAGAUGUGAAGCUGUAAAGAUUUGGCAGUAGUAAAUUGUUAUAAAGACAUAAUGACAAGUUCCCAUGAUUAUUAUUUUUUCCAAAAACUUUUUUACAACAAAUUCAUCUCGCCCAAAAAUUCUAUUUUUCUAACCAACAAUAAUUGAGUACUUGGCCGUAUUGACUCCACGUCUCCACCUGCUUUCUAAGUAAAAACAUGGAAAUGUACUUUCCACAAAAUGCCAAAUGUGUGGAAUUUAAUUUUUGGUCUUGUGGACCAAAAUACAAAUGAAAGAAAGAAGAAAAAAAAGGCCCAAAGACUUCUAAAAGGUGUAGAAGUCUUUGGACCUUUUUACAAUAGUGGAUUUUUUAAAAGGAAAAAAUAACAACACUUUUAUGAUUUGUUUUGAUAAUCAUAUUUACAUAUACUCUCUAAUUUUCAAAAUGGACACAUAAUUUUUUUUUUUACAAAUAUACGUUAUUCGUAUUUUUUAUUAUUUUUAUUAUCGUAUUUUUAUUUAUUAUAAAUAUUUAAAGUAAAUUUUUAGGUUGAAAUAUAUUAAAAGGAUAUAAUCGUUCUCUUAUUAAACACACAUACUUUUAGUUUCUAUCCAUUUGUCAUCUCAAUCUCUCUCAAUUAUUGUUUAUUGCUAGCUCAAAGCGCGUUGCUGUGGAAAAUUGUAGCAAAAUGAAAAAUUGGAAAGAAAGGGAAGAAGAUUAAUGGGUGAAAGAAUUGGAGAAAACAACCAAAUAAGUCAACUGCUCUUUAGUGAGAACAUUUUACAAAAGGAUUGGAUCGAGUUUUUGUUUGAUAUUGAAGGACCUGCGUCCCUGUCGCGAUGUAGAAUAUGUGCAAGGAGUUGUCUACUGCUCUUUAGGCCAUAAUAAUGUGACUGGUGCAUUCCACGUUGCCCUCAAACAGUGGUCUGAAGUCAAAAGCAAUUAGUUACAUAACAAAUCAUUGUUCUUGGGUUAUACCUCGUCAUGUCUUCAAGUGCGAAGAUGAAGAUUAUGCAAGUGAAUUCAGGAAUACAAUACAUCAUUUCCAGCUCUUUGGGUUAUGGUGUGACUUGCGAUUCCCUCCAAUGAAUGAAAACGGGUGGACUAAUUCUGAUUACCUAAUUGACUCAGGAUCGGCUGGCAAUAAUAACAGUUUAUGAACAAUGCACAGUCCUAGUACUUUUCCAGGAUCUGAUACGACGUUGUCUAAUGUUGAUAAUAAUAGUUUAUUAAAUGACAAAUCAUUGAUCUUGGGUGUUGAUUUCAGAAAUAAAAUACAUUCUGAGAGAUGCUGGUCUACUGUUGCAAGCCCCCAGAUUUAAGAAUCUUCUGAUGAUAAUUUAUCACCUGCAACCGUGCCGGAAGAUUCAACUAGCACUGAAAAAGAUGAUAAUUUAAUUGAUAUGGACAGUUUCCAUAUCACUUUUAAAUCAUCCUAUGUAAUUGUGAUGUUAGGAAGCAUUAGUGAUCUAUAUGUGAACUAUUAUUGGUGCCAUUGGUGGUUUUAUCUUGUUAAAAUAUGGAUGACUUCCAGUUACUAUUUUGUAGUAUACAAUUUUAUUCAAUUAACAUAUAGCUUAAAACCAUUAUGUAUGUGCUUUAUUAAGAUUCUCAAGUACCAAUCACGUUUGCUUAAGAAAUAAAAUUUUACCAUUAAAAGCGUAGUAAUAUUUCCAAGCGCUUCGCAUUUAUCUCAACAUUUUGAAGGAAUUUUGAGAAAUACACGUGUCCAAAAGUCUAGUCAUCAUCCUUAUUUUUCUAUCGUUCUUUUGGGUUUGCAGUUGGUGGUGCUUUCAAUGUUUCCCUGAAACAUAGCAAAAGAAGGUACAUAUUCUUGGUAUGAGUUAGAUUUUUAGUGAUUAUCUAAUUGACUGGGGUGACAACAGUAGCACAACGUAGAAUUCAAUAAUAAAAUUCUCCUGUUUAAUUUGUUUUAAGUUAAAUAAUUAAUUACUUAAAACUCUGUUUUAAGUCUUUAAUUUUAUGUCUUGGCGUUUAUGCAGAGUUGGAUUCUUGAGUGAGUUGGACAUGACCUACAAUGAGAAUGACAGUAAACAAACAUUAAAACGUGUGGACUCCGGUGGCUGCCCUGCAAGUCUACAACUCUACAAGAAUAAUUUCUAGUCCCGUUGACUCCACUAACUAAAGUUUUUUAAAAUUUAAAAAGGUACAUAGAAUUCCAUGACAAGCAAAACGUGUGGAAUUUAAUUUUUUGCCGUGUGGAAAAAAAUACAAUUUAGCAAAAAAGGACAAGAAAAAUGGUAAGAUUUCUAAAAUGAGUGGAAGGUGAUCCAUAUUUUACUGAAACGACUUGUUCCGAACAUCACGACGUGAUUUUUUUUAUUUUUUAUUUUUGAAUAACAUCAACUUCCAUAUCUGUCUAACCCCCAGAAUAUGCUCACGUUCAAGUCUAUCUUGCUAAUUUAAAAAAAGAAAAUCAAAUCAACAUCUUCAGGAAGAUUUUCCUCAAUUUGCUCCAGAAGAGUUGGAGCUGUGGUUCUGAUAAACCAAAGAAUUAGUAGCAAUAUUAAUAUUGCCCACCCAAGAAAUAUGAGUGAAUUAAAGUAUUGACAAGACUUCGCUCAGAGGAGCAUUUAAACCACUUCCUUAUCAGUUGCGGCAGCCGUCUAUUAACUAAAACGCCAAUCUAAUACAAGAAGAAAGAACAUUUACAGACUUGGCAAUUGAGUUUAUUAAGAAGUAGCAUCGCAUUCGGGUGAUGAGUUUCCUUUUGUUAAUAAUUUUAGUCUAAUUUCAAUUGUACUGUGAUGGCUUCUCAAGGUAAGUGAAAGUUACAGAUGUGGCAAAAUAAAUAAUUAAAUUAACAAAAUGCUAACUGAUUUUCCUAAACACCUAGGGUUGUACAAUUUCACCAACCUGGAAGAAUUGACAUUAAUGGACUGGUCUCCUCCCCAUAUAAUUAUAAUCCUUCUAGAAAGCUAAUUUUUAUAAUUUCAAUUAAAAAAUGUUUUAAGUUAUAUAUACUCUAAUGAGAUUCUGAAUUCCUUUAUUCCAAUAAUAAUGAAAACGUAUUAAAUUAGAAAUGAAAAAAUGGGUGUUGAUGAUUCAUCCUGAUUUGGAUAGAUUACGUGAAUAAAAUUGAAAUUUUAAUAAAAAAACAAGGAAAGGUUUUUCCGAGUCAUCCAUUAUUUGAUUACCGUCAAUCAAGAAAACGACCAAAUUAAUUUCUCUCCAAAAUUUCCAAAAGCUAGAAAAUUUUGUUAUUUGAAAAUAACAUCAUUAAUUAUAGAGUGGAUCAAACCGCGUUAUUGUCUUUCAUAAAAUUGAUGUCUUUUUAAGAGUCAAUACUUUUUAUUUACGCAAACCAGUCGACAUCAACUUAAACUUCCAUAUUUUUAUUAUUAUGUUAUUGAUUUUAAUCCCUGAUUAUUUGAUUAGCCACUAUAUAUAUCAAGAAAGCGACAAAAUUUAUUUCUCAUGACUUUCAAAAACUAGAAAACAACAUCAUUUAUUAUUUUUUUGCAACCCUAAUUGACAUCAACUUUAACUUUAUUAUGUUAUUAUUUCAAUCCCCCAUUAUGACCUUUCUAAUCCUCCAUUAUGCAUCUUUUAUAGUGCAAAUUUAAUUGCACAUCUAAAUAAAUUGAUUAUUGUCACUCCACCACCAAUAUUUCAAAUAGUCACUAUACCAUUUCUGCCUUUAAUUUUCCCUUAAGUUUAACUAUUGACUGUUUUUAGCAUCUUAAAAUAUACAUUUAUUCCUUGAUUAUGUGAUAAAAUUAUGAAAAUAUCCAUUUUAGCUUAAAUUAAUUGGAAUAACCAUAAACAUAACUUAAAUUUAUAGAACAAAAUUAUCAAGUGUAUGUUCUAUCUUACUUUUUGAAGAAUUUAACAUAUAUAAUGCUAUACUAUUAAUAAAUUUAUCAUUUAAUAUAUAUUUUCAAAUAUUUUAUAUAUUUAUUAAUUGUUAUAUAGUCAAAGGAUGAAUGAUUUUUCUGGUCUACAUGAGUUGGUGCAUCUGCAAGACUCAAUUUUGACAACAAUGAUCUAAGGGGUAAUUUACCUUGGUGUUUGACAAAUUUAACCUCUCUUCAAGAUUUACUUCCAAUCUACUUACUGUAAAUAUAUCCUCAUCUCCUCUCAUUUAUAUGAUAACCCUUGAAGAUCUCACAUGUUCAAACAAUCAUAUUAGGAUUUUUAUUAUUAGCAUCAUUGUGUCAAUAAUAUAUGUUGCAGUAAGAUUUUUUCAGACCAAUUCCCUUCUUCAAAUAAUAAUGGAAAAGUAUUAAUUUAAAAAUAAAAUGAAUAUGCAUUGAUUAUAUCCUGAUUUUCAUCGAUUAUAGCGAGAGUUUCUCCAAAUCAACGCCCUUAUUCAAAUAAUACAGAAAAAAUAGUAAUUUAAUAGUAAAAUUAACAAGUGUUGAUUAUAUAUCCUAAGUUUCAUCGAUUAUGUGAUCAAAGUGGCAUUGUUGAUUUAUUUCUUGUUCAAUGUUAAUUUUUAGGUUAUCUAAAUUUCAAGGAUUUAAAAUCUUUGUUCAUGGAUUACAAGCUUAUUAAUUUUUUUGCCAUUGACUGUCAUAUUCUAGACUUACUGGUACCUUCCUUGAUCAAGGAUAAUUACUCUCUGUUCUCCUCUUAUAAAUUCCUCUUCCAUUAACAUCACUAGGAGUAUGUUGAUCUCUCAGACGUAAACUUCAGUGGAGAGUUUCCAAAUUGAUUGUUACAAAACAACACAAAAACUAGACACACUUGAUCUGUCUAAUAAUUCUCUUUCGGUAAAAUUAAUUAAUUUUAGGGGAAUAUUCGACAAAUCUAUAUAAUUUUAGAUUGAUCAUUAAUUAAUUAGACGAAAAACGUACUUGUGCUUUGUGCCGACAAUUGAACCAGAGAAGUGAAGCUGUAAAGAUUUGGCAGUAGUAAACUGUUAGAAAGACAUAAAGACAAGUUCCCAUUUUAUAAUUUUUUCAAAAAACGUUUUUACAACACAUGCACCUGGCCAAAAAUUUUAUUUUGCUAACUAACAAUAACUGAGUAGCUGACCGUACUGACUCCGCCUACUUGCUAAAGUAAAAAAAUAGAAAUAGAAUUUCCACAAAAUGUCAAACAUGUAAAAUCUAAUAUUUGGCCGUGUGGAACAAAAUACAAAUGAAAAAAAAAUAGAAAAAAGGCCUAAAGACUUUUAAAAUGUGUGGAAGUCUUUCGGCCCUUUUAUAAUGGUGUGUUUUUCAAAGGAACAAAUAAUAAUAAUGACACUUCUACGGUUUGUUUUGAUAAUCACACAUAUACUCUUUAAUUUGAUAAAUGGUUACACAAAUUUUGUUUACAAAAAUAUAUUAUUCAUGUUCUGUAUUAUUUUUUAACAUCAUAUUUUUAUUUAUUAUAAUUGUUUAAAGUUAAUUGUUAGGUUGAUAUAUAAUAAAAACGUAUAAUCCUUCUCUUACUAAACACACAUACUCGUAGUUUCUGUUCAUUUGUCAUCUCAAUCUCUCUCAUUUAUCCUUUAUUGAUAGCUCAAAAUGCGUCACUGUGGAAAAUUAUAGCAAAACGACAAAUAUGGAAAGAAUGGGAAGAAAAUUAAUGCAUGAAAGAGUUGCAGAAGACAACCAAAUAAGUCAACUAUACGCUAGCUGGGUGUAUAAAUUGUUAGAUGUGUUAUAAACAAAUAGCAUAGAGCCCUUUGGUUGGUUACAGAGAUAGAAAGAGUGUGUGUGUUUUUUAGAACUUAAAGAUACAGUUAGAAUGGGUGGUUCAAAAUCAAAAAUGGUGAUAAUGUUUGUUCUGUUAUUAAUAAUAUUAGAAGGUGGGGGGAGUGAGGGAUGUUUAGAUCAUGAGAGAUUUGCUCUUUUACGACUCAAACUUUUCUUUGAUGAUACUUAUAAUUAUCUUCACGAUUGGAUAGAUGAUGAGGGAGUUACUGAUUGUUGUCAGUGGGAAAGGGUUGAGUGCAGCAACACCACAGGCCGAGUGAUAGCGCUAGACCUUUCUGACACGUAUUCGGGAGAGUACAACUGGUAUAUGAAUGCUUCUUUUUUUACUCCCUUCCAACAACUUGAGUCACUUGAUUUACAUGGCAACAACAUAGCUGGUUGUGUUGAGAAUGAAGGUGCUUCGUCUAAUUCAAUUAAAUUACAUUUCGCUCUCCUAAUUUAAGUCGAAUAUCAAGACUGAGUAGCUAUAUGCAUAUUCAUUCAAUUGACAAUUUUUACAUAUUUUUUAAAAUGUUUAAUUUUGAAAUUACACCAAACAUCAUAUGUGAUCUUUGUUUUGAUUUUACUUGCAGGUCUAGAAAGAUUGAGCAACUUGAAGAGGCUUGAUUUAAGUUUUAACUUGUUCAACAAUAGCAUCUUAUCAUCUGUGGCUCAUCUUUCAUCACUAACAUCAUUAGAUUUAUCUGAAAAUAGAUUGGAAGGAAGUAUUAAUGUUAAAGGUACGUAAUUAAAACGUCAUCGCUUCUCCCAACUCUUGCAUUAACAUGCUAAAAUAAGAUUCAAGGCUUUGAAUUCAUUUUUUUUAUGAGUAAAUAUUAGAAAAAUAGUUUUAAGCAAUUCAUAAAUACAAUUUUCAAUGUUUCUCAUAAUUUCAUCUUGUACUUUUGUAUGUCUUGACUUUAAGAUUAAAAAAAAAAAUUACUCUAACUGUGAAGCAAAUACCCCAUGACUAAUUUAUCAUUUUGUCCAGUUAAAAAUGAUAAAAUUUAUCAUUUGUUUAUAUUGAUUAAUUAACUCUAUUUUAAGUCUUAAGUCUUGGCGUCUUGGCAUGUUUGCAGAAUUUGAUUCCUUGAGCAACUUAGAGGAGUUGGACAUGAGCGACAAUGAAAUAGACAAUUUAGAGGUUCCUCAAGGUAAACAAUUAAAAUAUUAUUCAAUUACAUUAAUUUAAUUCGUUUGAUUAGGGAAGACCCAAAAGGUACAAAAUAUAAUAAUAAUAAUAAUAAUAAUAAAAGAAACAGAGAAUCUAUAUUAUUUCAAAAAAUAAAACGUAAUACUAUUAUUUCAAAAAUAGAUUGUAAUAAAGAUUUGAUUCCGGUUCUUUAAUCUUUACAGCAAUUGAAAAACGAUGUUGCUCUUUUCCUAAAGCAUAAAAUAUGAAAUGACUCCCAAUAGAAUUAAUCAUUUAUUUCGUUUACUCUAAAUUUAAACAAUGAAUCUUGAUUUUCUUCAAUCAUAUCCUUAUUAUUAUUGUUAAACAGGUUACAGAGGUUUGAGGAAGUUGAAAAGCCUCUAUCUAUCGAAAGCUAAAAUUAGAGAUGGAAGCAAGUUGUUACAGUCAAUGGGAUCAUUCCCAUCCCUCAACACUCUUUACCUGAAGGAUAAUAAUUUUACCGAUAUAGCGACAACUACUACUCAAGGUAAGUAAAAGGUACAGAUGUGGCCAAAUUUACAAAUAAAUUGUUAAUUAAUUAAUUUUUCCGUAUUAUUAAUAAAGCUAAAUUCGUCGCUCCUUCCUUCUAAUUCUAAACAGAGUUGGCAAUUUCACCAACUUGGAGUAUUUGACAUUGGACUUGUCCUCGCUCCAUUUAAGCCUUCUACAAUUGCUUGAAGAAAGAAUUUAUUUAUUUAUUUAUUAUUGUUGUUGUUGUUGUUGUUGUUGAAGUGAGGUGGGCAAAGCGUUCACUCAAUUAAUAUGUGGGGAAUUAAUAAUUACAAUCCAAGGUAGAAUUGUGGAAAAUUAAAGCAAAAUGAGAAAUAUGGAAAGAAAGGAAGAAAAUUAAGGGCAUGAAAGACUGGGAGAAGACUAAAGACCACCAAAUAAGUCAACUGAAAACUAGCUGAGAGACAGAGAGUGUGCAUUUUGUUAAUUAAAUAUAUAUAUAUAAAAUGGGUGGUUCAAAAUCCAAAAAUGGUGAUAAUGUUAGUUUUGUUAGUAUUAAUAAUAUUAGAAGGGAGGUGGCGUGAGGGAUGUUUGGUGCAUGAGAGAUUUGGUCUUUCGAGACUUAAAACAUUUCUUCAAUUCUCCUUAUAAUUUUUGUCACGACUGACCGUUGUCAAUGGGAUGGGGCUGGGUGCAGGGUUGAUUUACGUUAGAAUAAUAUAGCCGGUAGUGUUGAGAAUGAAGGUGUUUCAUUUAAUUUAAUUAAUUUAUUUUCUCCCUCCUAAUUUAAGUGGAAUAUCAAGAUUGAACAAUUAUAUGCAUCUUCGUUCAGUUGACAAUUUUGACAUAUUUUUUAAGUGAUUAAUUUUGAAAUUACACCAAACAUUAUUUGUGAUCUCUGUUUUGACUUUACUUGCAGGUCUAGAAAGAUUGAGCAACUUGAAGAGGCUUGAUUUAAGUUAUAACUUGUUCAAUAAUAGCAUCUUGUCAUUUGUUGCUCGUCUUUCAUCAUUAACAUCAUUAGACUUAUCUUACAAUGGAUUGGAAGGAAGUAUUAAUAUUAAAGGUACGUAAUUAAAACGUCAUCGCUUCUCCCAACUCUUGCAUUAACAUGCUAAAAUAAGAUUCAAGGUUUGAAUUCAAUUUUUUUUAUGAGUAAUAUUAGAAAAAUAGUUUUAAGCAAUUCAUAAAUACACUUUUCAAUGUUUCUCAUAAUUUCAUCUUGUACUUUUGUAUGUCUUGACUUUAAGAUUAAAAAAAAAUUACUCUAACUGUGAAGCAACUACCCCAUGACUAAUUUACAAUUUUGUCCAGUUAAAAAUGAUAAAAUUUAUCAUUUGUUUAUAUUGAUUUAUUAACUCUAUUUUAAGUCUUAAGUCUUGGCGUCUUGGCAUGUUUGCAGAAUUUGAUUCCUUGAGCAACUUAGAGGAGUUGGACAUGAGCGGCAAUGAAAUAGACAAUUUCGAGGUUCCUCAAGGUACACAAUUAAAAUAUUAUUUAAUUACAUUAAUUUAAUUCGUUUGAUUAGGGAAGGCCCAAAAUGUACAAAAACAUAAUUAGAAAAAAUAAAGAAACAGAGAAUUCAUAUUAUUUCAAAUAACAAAAGGUAAUACUAUUAUUUCAAAAACAGAUUGUAAUAAAGAUUUGAUUCCAAUUCUUUAAUCUUUACAGUGAUUGAAAAACGAUACUACUUCCCAAAGCAUAAAAUACGAAUUGACUCUCAAUUAAAUUAAUCAUUUAUUUCGUUUAGGUCUAAAUUUAGAAAAAUGAAUUUUGAUUCUCUUGAAUCAUUUCCUAAUUAUUAUUAUUCAACAGGUUACAGAGGUUUGAGGAAGCUGAAAAGCCUGCAUCUAUCGGGAGUUGGAAUUAGAGAUGGAAGCAAGUUGUUACAGUCAAUGGGAUCAUUUCCAUCCCUCAACGCUCUUUACCUGAGCUAUAAUAAUUUUACCGGUACAACGUCAACUACUCAAGGUAAGUAAAAGGUACAGAUGUGGCCAAAUUUAUAAAUAAACUGUUAAUUAAUUAAUUUUCUGUAUUAUUAAUAAAGCUAAAUUUUUUGCUCAUUCCUUCUAAUUCUAAACAGAGUUGCACAAUUUCACCAACUUGGAAUAUUUGACAUUGGACGAUUCCUCUCUCCAUAUAAGCCUUCUGCAAAGCAUUGCAUCAAUAUUCCCUUCGUUGAAAAAACUGUCGAUGUCUUAUUGUGAAGUCAAUGGUGUCGUACAUGGUCAAGGUAAAAGAAAAGUGUUGGUUGUGCACUCACUCAGUGGUGUCCUACGUGUUCAAUAUUUUUAUUUAUUUAUUUUAUUGUUUAAUGAGAUGCUUCCACCCUCCCCUUUAAAUCUAUAAUAUUAAUUUUCGAUAAAUAUAUAAUUAUAGAAACCAAUCACUUAUAAAAGAAUGCUAUGCAUUUGCCAAUUUUUUUAUAUUUUACUGAUUGAUGAAUUAAUAAAUUUUCAGGCCUCUGUUCGUUGGUGCAUCUACAAGAGUUGUACAUUGCAACUCUUGUAGUAAUUAAUUAAUUAAGUAUUAGUUAAUUAAUUAAUUAAUUAAUUUUCUGUAUUAUUAAUAAAGCUAAUUUUUUUGCUCAUUCCUUCUAAUUCUGAACAGAGUUGCACAAUUUCACCAACUUGGAAUAUUUGGCAUUGGACUCUUCCUCUCUCCAUAUAAGCCUUCUGCAAAGCAUUGCAUCAUUAUUCCCUUCAUUAAAAAAUCUGUCGAUGUCUAGUUGUGAAGUCAAUGGUGUCGUACGCAGUCAAGGUAAAAGAAAAGGGUUGAAUGUGAACUCACUCAAUGGUGUCCUACGUGUUCAACAUUUUUAUUUAUUUAUUUUAUUGUUUAAUCUUUCUGCUAGGUUUUCCUCAUUUCAAGAGUUUGGAACAUUUUGACAUGGAUUUCACGCGCAUUGCACUCAACACUAGCUUUAUUGCACUCAACACUAGCUUUCUUCAAAUCAGCAGUGAAUCGAUGCCUUCUCUUAAGUACUUAUCACUAUCAUAUUAUACUCUUGGAACUAAUAGCAGCGGGACUCUUGAUCAAGGUUAACGAGAUGCUCCCACCCUCCCCUCCUAAUCUAUAAUAUUAAUUUUUUAUUUAAUAUAAUGACACAAACGAAUCACUUAUAAAAGAAUGAUAUGCAUUUGUUAAUUUUUUUAUUGUACUGAUGGAUGAAUUAAUAAAUUUUCAGGCCUCUGUUCGUUGGUGCAUCUACAAGAGUUGUACAUUGCAAGCAAUGAUUUAAGAGGUAGCUUGCCUUGGUGCAUGGCAAAUAUGACAUCCCUCAGAAUAUUAGAUGUUUCUUCUAAUCAACUUACUGGAAGCAUCUCCUCAUCUCCCCUCGUUCAUUUGACAUCCAUUGAAGAGCUGAUGCUUUCAAACAAUUACUUCCAGAUCCCAAUUUCACUUGAACCACUUUUCAAUUACUCAAGACUCAAGAUUUUCAAUGCUGAGAACAACGAAAUAAAAGCUGAAAUAACUGAGUCACAUUCUUUGAUCGCCCCAAAAUUCCAAUUAAAUACUCUCUCAUUGUCUUCCAAUUACGGAGACGGUUUCAUAUUCCCCAAAUUCCUUUACCAUCAACAUGACCUGGAGUAUGUUGAUCUCUCACACAUAAAGAUGAAUGGAGAAUUUCCAAAUUGGUUGUUGGAAAACAACACAAAAUUAGAAACUCUUUUUCUGGUUAAUGAUUCUCUUGCAGGACCUUUUCGGUUGCCAAUUCAUUCACACAAGCGGUUAAGACAGUUGGAUGUCUCCAACAACAACAUUCGAGGCCACAUUCCAGUAAAAAUUGGAGAUGUUUUACCAAGUUUAUACGUUUUCAACAAUUCCAUGAAUGCUUUAGACGGUAGCAUUCCCUCUUCAUUUGGUAAUAUGAAAUUCCUCCAAAUUCUGGACUUAUCCAACAAUCACUUGACUGGUGAAAUCCCCGAGCACUUGGCCGUGGGUUGCGUCAACUUGCAGUUUCUUGCAUUAUCAAAUAACAACCUACAAGGUCAUUUGUUCUCUAGAAAUUUUAACUUGACAAACUUGCAAUGGUUACAAUUGGAGGGCAAUCGCUUCGUAGGUGAGAUCCCACAAAGUUUGUCUAAAUGCUCCUCACUAGAAGGAUUGUACCUUAACAAUAAUAGUCUUUUAGGUAAGAUUCCACGAUGGUUGGGUAAUCUGACACGGUUACAAUAUAUUAUAAUGCCCAAUAAUCAUCUUGAAGGCCCUAUUCCAGUGGAGUUUUGCCAGCUUGAUUCGCUUCAGAUUUUGGACAUUUCAGACAACAACAUAUCUGGAAGUUUACCAUCUUGUUUCCAUCCUCUCUCUAUCAAACAAGUUCAUCUUUCAAAAAAUAUGUUACAUGGACAGCUAAAAAGAGGUACAUUCUUUAAUUGCUCUUCCCUUGUGACAUUAGAUCUUAGCUAUAACCGCUUGAAUGGCAGCAUUCCGGAUUGGGUUGAUGGGCUUUCUCAGUUAAGCCACCUUAUCUUAGGUCACAAUAAUCUUGAAGGUGAAGUGUCAGUUCAAUUGUGCGAAUUGAACCAACUACAAUUGUUAGAUCUUUCUAAUAAUAAUCUUCACGGUCCUAUUCCUCCUUGCUUUGAUAACACCACACUUCAUGAAAGUUACAGCAAUAGUUCUAGUCCUGAUGAGCAAUUUGAAAUAUUUUUUUCCAUCGAAGGCCAUCAGGGAUUUUUAGAAAAGCAAAACCAUGAAAUUUUUGAGUUCACAACAAAGAACAUUGCGUACAUUUACCAAGGAAAAGUGCUUAGCCUCCUAUCAGGACUUGAUCUUUCUUGCAACAAGCUAAUUGGUCAUAUUCCUCCUCAAAUUGGAAAUUUGACAAGGAUUCAAACAUUGAAUCUAUCACACAACAACUUGACAGGAUUGAUCCCAUCAACAUUUUCAAACUUGAAGCAUGUCGAAAGUUUGGAUCUUUCCAACAACAAAUUGAAUGGGAAAAUCCCUCAUCAACUAGUGGAGUUAAAGACAUUGGAGGUUUUCAGUGUGGCAUACAAUAACUUAUCAGGCGAAAUUCCAGAAUGGAAAGCACAAUUUGCAACCUUCAACGAGAGUAGCUAUGAGGGAAAUACUUUUCUUUGUGGACUGCCAUUGCCCAUUUGCAGAUCACCAGCAACUAUGCCGGAGGCUUCAAUUGGCAAUGAACAAGAUGAUAAUUUAAUUGAUAUGGACAGUUUCUUUAUCACAUUUACAACAUCGUACGUAAUUGUGAUAUUCGGAAUUGUUAUUGUUUUAUAUGUAAAUUCUUAUUGGCGACGUAGAUGGUUUUACUUUGUUGAAAUGUGGAUAACUUAAUGUUACUAUUUUGUUGUAAACAAUCUUAUUGCAACAAGAUAUUGUCAUUGAAAUUAAUUAGCAGUUUAAUUACGAUUCUUUAAGUUCUAAUCAAGUUUGCUUAGGAAAUAAUUUUUUUUUAUUUUUUUAUUAAAAUUGUAGUAGUAUUUAGCGCUAUAUAGCUUCCAACUUGGUAGAAAGCUCCAUUUUUUGUUGGCUACAGUAAAAGCAUGUUGUUUUAUUCUUCUUAUACUUUACGCCUGCAUCAGCUUAAAUCACUUCUUAAACGCUUGCUUUAACUGCACCGCUUCGUACUGCUCUAUAUAUGUAACGGUUAUGCGGUUGUAGCUCACGGCUCAAGCUACGCGUUUGUUUGACGUGGUAGUUACGUUACGAUGUUUCGAGUCUGUUAAACAUUCGGUGAUAAGAUUAGUUACAACAAACCUACUAGUUUUAUAAAAUUCAAGUGAGAUGGAAUAAAAUAAAAAAUAAAUAUAAAAUUGGCUUUUAUUUUUUAGGUUAACCAUAUUUUGUGUUCUCUUCGGGCACUACUACAAUUGUUCCCUAUACAUCAGUUACACUCACGUAUCAUCGACACGAAAAAUGAAAUCUAAUAUCACCUGUUUAGUUAAAGAAUCACUCAUGAAAAAAAAUUACCAUUUUGAUUUGAAGAUCCAUAUUUUGAACUACCAAUUAAUGUUCAUCAAGAACAGAGUGUGGCCGUUAAGUAGAAAAACUAUUUUUGGACAAAUUAUUAAAUUCCAAUAUUGUAUCCAUAUGCAAACGAUGCCUGAAGCAGAGCCUCCAAACAAUGACCAGGGCACAAAACAAGAGUGUAGUAAUCAAGUGUAUUGUCUCAUAAUCAAUUAAAAGCAGAUAUACAGGAUACCAUAUUCAAUUCCAAAAUAACAAAAGCAUAAUGAGGAUGAGAAGAACAAUGAUCACUCAAAUAUUUCUUCACUUUGGUUGUCAAUUAUCUAUUCAAAUUAAUCAGUGUCAUUAUGGACUUAUUUAUUUAGAAGAGCGGGUGAUAAAUAUAUUCAAUAAUGUGAACAAGAAGUUGAUUAACUUUUAUGAUCAUUUGGAAGGUCGGCGUGUCAUCACUCGUCAAACACAUUGCAUCGAUCCACCAGCAUGAACCGACCGGAUUAUGCCCAAAAGUUGAAAUAUCAAUAAAAAAAACAAUUAAUUAAAGGUCGAAGAUGGGUCCUUUACAUAUGUUUUUGUUUUCGUAUUAGGUAGGAGGUUAUUAUAUUAUAUCAUGUAAUUAAUUUAUUAUUACUCAACACUAAGUAAUAACUUAACUAUAUAAAGACAACAAGAAGAUAAAAUGAUAUAUAAAAAAAAAAAGAAUUUCAAAGAGAUAGCAACAUACAAUAGACUGAAGCCAUUUGAUCUGCUCAUUGAUUUCAGCCUUAAACUUGUAAAUAGUUACUGUCAAAUAUUCUAUUCAUACGAAAAAAAUGUUUAGAUAUCUUACUAUAAAUAUAGCCGUUUGACUGUCUUAAUAAAGUCACACACAACCAUUCUUAUUAAAUUAGCAAGAUCAAACACUGCCCUGGAUCUUGAACAGAUCAACACAAGAUGCACAACUUAUGAUUGAACCCAGAAACAAUCAAAUCUUUAGCAAGAACAAUUAAUCAGAGUCAAGAAACAAGUUUAAUGAAUAUAAACCUAUAAUUGAAACAAACAUAGCCAAGAAAAAAAUACAGAUUUUACACGGUUCAGUUGUACCUAGGAUGGCACAACCUACACCACGAGAGAAGCUUUCUGGUGAGAUUUUAUUGAUGAUCAAAGAAGAAUCUUUUGACAAAGCUAAUAAUAGAGAUUUCAGAGAAUAAGCUGUAACCCUCUCUCCCUCUUCAAUCUCUCUCUAUUUUGUUCCCAUUGAUGACCCCAAUCUGCUUAGUUAUCCAGCUUUAUAUCUGCAUCAGUAACAAACCAGCAAACCCAGAUUGAGCAGAUUGACGACACGUGGAUAACGGCUUUAACGAACCUGGUUAAGAACUGCUCACAUGUUCGUCACGCGUGCUGCUUAAAUGAUGGCCAAAACGACUUCAAACAAAUGUCGUUUUGAGGCUUAUGAAUUACAAGUGAUAACACGAGCUUGUCUCAUGACUUUUAAAUGCAACAGCGUGCCCAAAACGCCGUCGUUUUACUCUGUUGAGUUUGAUUCAUUACUAAGCUUUACGACUGGCACUGGAGAAGAUGAUAAUUUAAUUUACAUGGACAGUUUUUAUAUCACUUUUACAACAUCCUAUGCAAUUGUAAUAUUGGGAAUUAUUGAUGUUUUAUUCUGUGAAUCCUCAUUGGCAAAAACUAGUGGUUUUAUCUUUGUUGAAAUGUAAAUGACCUCUCGUUACUAUUUUAUUAUAAACAUAUAGUUUCGUAAGUGAAACUACAUGUUUAUAAUAAAAUUAACAUAUAGUUUCGUUACAUUUCUGCCUCAUUAAGAUUCUCAAAUACCAGUCAGGUUUGCUUAAGAAAUAAAAUUUUUCCAUUAAAAUUGCAGUAGUAUUUCCAAGCAUAUCGCAUUUUCUAUGAUUUUUCAUAAAUUAAUUAAUCUGCGGUGCCAAUAUCAGAUUUAGUUUUUCAAACUAAAUAAUCAAGAAAGCAAACAUACAAAUAUACAGUUUAGAGGGGUAAACUAGGUAGGUGGUUUAGAUUUUAGAACUAAGCCAGCUACCUCACUAAAUUCCGAUUCGUACAGUGAACUGCAAGAAAUUGAGAAAACAAUGAAUUUAUAAUUUAAUAGAAUCAUAAGAAAACAAUGUAGUCAUUGCUCCAUAUAAGAUGAUGAUUUCGGAGAGGCACAUUGUUUUCAAGUUAAUUUGAUCCGUUUAUAAGAGAUGAAGUGGAAUCAAGUUGAAAGUUUAAAUAACAAAUCCUUGUUCUUGAGUUUUACGACGUCGUUACUCCUUCAAGUGGCAGAUUAUGCAAGUGAAUGCAGAAACACAAUGCAUCAUCCGCGGGGAUGAUACAUCAAAAGGCGGGAUUUGUUUAUGCCUGCAGAUUAGCAAUUUCACUCAUAUAGAAAAUUAAUUUUUUAUAUAUACUAAUCAACACUAAAUUGAUUAUGUGUUGUAUGUUUAUAUGCUAAUCAACACGAAAUUAUAUUGAAUUAUUAACAUUCAUAUUCCUAAUAAAAAUUAUUUUCCAUCAGUAUUCAAAAUUUUCACUUAUGGAAAAUGCGUUUUAUGUGAAUACUAGUUAUUGUGUAAAUUUGAAUGAUAGCGAAAAAUAAACCUAUUUGAAAACUGUAAGGGUGUGUUGGGAUAUUUUACAACUGUCGGAAUCUGGUAGGAUAUUGCACCAUUUGCCCAAUAUUUUUAGACGUACUCUAACCGGUAUUCAAGAUAAGUAAAAGUUACAAGCGUGGCAAAAUAAAAAAAUAAAAUUUGUAAUUUGUAAACGAAUUUUCCUGACAUGUAUAGUAGAUGAAGUUGUUGAUCCUUUCUUUGGAUUAUUUCAGCUCUGGUUGUUGGUCACCGAUGAGCCGAAGUCUUAUUUUAAUUUUAUUUAAACUCAUCAUAAGAUUCGUGGAGCACCUAACUAACUUAACUGACUGUGCAGAGCAUCUCAACAUGGCAUAUUUAACCAUCAUUCAAGUGAUGGGUUUAAUAAGACUGCUUUUGUUCUAUCAACUAUCAAGUUCCUCUGCCUCUAAGCAGAAUUACUAUUGAAGGGCCAAAAGGAAAAUGAAAACGUGUGAGCUCCAACAACCACCCCACAAAUUCAAUGACGAUGCUCGGAGAGGGUUAGGUUGGGCCUCUGAGAAAAAAAAAAUUAUUUAGUUAAAAAGUUACCCUUAUUGAAACCUGUAUAAAAAUUUUAUAUUAAUUAGUUAUGUUGCCUCUUCAACUAUGAUCAAAUUUUUAUCCGAGCUCAUCAUUUAAUGAGUAAACAUGUAUUUUAAUGAUCUCAAUUAAUAUUUAGAACAAAUAUUUUAAGAAGUAAAGCUCAUUAUAUCUUCCAUUAUUAUGUAUUUCUUUAAUUUCUUAUUUACAUAAUUAUAUUGUACAUUAAAAAUGUAUUGAAUUUGAAGAAAAAAAAAUUCAACUCACUCAAAAAAAAAAAAAAAUGCUGGUAGCUUCGUAAUAAUUACUGUAUUGACUGCACCAGAUAAAGUUUUGUAAAAUAAUAAGUUCUCAUUAGUGGUUUUUAAUUUUUUUAAUUUUUUUUUCCGGCACACCUGAUCAAGAAUUCUAUUUUGUUAACUAAUCAAUUGCAAAGCAUAAGUGUUGAACGGCAAAAAAAUUUAAAAAAACACUUAAAACGUGGGGAAAUGAGAAAUAUAGAAAGAAAGGAAGAAAGUUGAGACAUGAAACUGAUCUGCAGUGAAAUUGAUAAUCAUGUUUCUAUUUCGUUAACUAAUCAAACGGAAAACUGAAACUGUAAACAAACAUUAACACGUGUGGACUCUGCUAGCUGCCCUACAAGUCUACAAUAGUAAUUGAGUACCUUUGAUUCAUCCUUCUAUGAAUUUCUAGCUGUAUUGACCCCAACUGCUAAAGUUUUGUAAAAAAUAAAAAUAAAAAUAAAAAAACUGGAAUUUCAACAAAAUUCAAAACGUGUGAAAUUCAAAAAUGGACUUUGGCCAUGUGGAACAAAAUGUAAAUUAAGGAAAAAGUAUAAAUCUCAAUUGCUUAGUAUGGUUAGGAUUUUGUGAGCAUCACUAAAAAGUGAAAACUAUGAAUGAUAGAGGUGAUGUUUGCAACAUGAAUAAAUGAUGAACUGAAUCAAUUGAUGAUCGUAAUUACAUAAUGAACAAAAUUUACAAAAUCAACAAAAGUUAAUAAAAAUUUAUUCAAAUAAUAAAAAAUCAAUAAAAACUUAUUAUUUAACGGCGCUCAAACCAUGGAGUACCAUAAUCAUAAUCUUCUUUUAAGAAAAUUAUAACUUAUUAUUUUACAGGUUUGAUCCAUUUGGAAUGAAGUGGUCUCAAGUUGAAAGUAAUUAAUUUAUUGAAUAACUUUCGACUUAUUAAUAGUUAUAUCAACGGGUGUUUUACCUCAUCAUGUCUUCAAGUGGAAGAUGAAGACUAUGCAAGUGAAUUCAGGAAUAUUGCAUGCCUGUUGUCUAAAGCAUUACCUCACAAGGUUUCAUGAGAAACGAAAGAUGUGUUUGCUUUGAACAAUUAAAGUUACUGCUACGAACCUCCCCAAAGGUCAAGAAGACAGAACAGGAAGCUAAUGCCAUCAAUGUCUUGUUCAUUAUAGCUGCUGGGUAGUUAGGUGUAGUUUCCUCAUUUGAAGCUGUCUAUACAUAGGCAUUUCCCCUGCUUAUGUACAAAUAAAUGAACAACCUUGAAGCUUUAUUAUUCGCAACAAAAAGGGAUUACUAAUUGGAGAAGACUAUACAGAGUUUUCUCUCACACUUGCUCUCUGUCAAUUUCAUCCAGAAGUCCCUCUGAAAGCUUCUCCCAAAACAGUUAGUCAUCUUUUAUGCUCUGUUUUCUGAAAACAGAGUCCUAACUAAAUUAAUUGACUGUACAGUGCAUUUCAACAUAGCAUAUUUAACCGUUUUAACAGUUAUUUGGACCGUCUUCAGAGGUAACAUCAACAAACUCAUUCAUAUGCUUAAUAAUGAACGAAUAGUCUUGGAUUGAUGUUUUGCAGCAAGAGCAACACGACACAAUCUGGAUUCAACCUCCUCCUUUCUAACAGGGGAUUUCGAUUUGAGUUACUUUGUGCUCAAGCAAAUUCACAUCAUAGUUUUGAUUCUUUAGAUAUGAAUUCAUCUCAUUACAUAUAUCAGAUUAAGUGUAACAAAAUUUGUAAUUUACUGCGAAAAGAAUAUGCACUAAAAAAUGAUUUCAAGACUAUUUGACUACAAAAAGCAGCUGUCAGAGUGCACUAAAAAUUUCUGUAGGAUAUUUUGUAGCUGUUUAAUAUGUUAUGAUGGGCAUAUAAUUCUCAAAUUUUGAUGCCUCUCAGCGAAAAAUAUAUCAAAGUUACGGAUGAUAUCACGUAAAACAUGCAUGGCUCAGGCUCAGGCUCAGGUAAGAAAGCCACAGAAAUGGAAAAUCUCACUGUCACGACUCACGUCACGCAUCAUUCAAGUGAUGGAUUUAACAAGACUGCUUAUGUUCUAUCAAAUUCCUCUGCCUCUCAGAAGAUAACUUUUCUGGGCCAAAUUUCUCAUCUAAAGCAUAUUAUGCCCCAAAGUCACAGAUAACAAAAUGGGGCACUACCGAUUAUGAAAGAGAACUAGUAGUUGUCAGAAGCCUAAGCCAAAUUCCGGUAGUAAGAAGAGGCCUUUCUUGAGUUUAGAUUAUGUGUUCGAGUUUUAAUAAAUGCCUAAGUUAAUAAUAAUAACAACAGUAAUAAUAAACUAAAAAGCAUAAUUACUAUUGAAUGGUAAAAAAAAAAAUGAAAAUGUGUGAACUCCAAUAACCACCCCAGUGGCGAAUUUUGGAGAGGGCUAGGCCGGGCUUCUUAGAAAUUAUUUUUAUUUAAUUACAAAAUCACCUUUACUGAAACCUAUAUAAAAUUUUUUAUAUUAAUUAAUUAUGUUGCCUCUUCAAUUAUCAUUAAAUUCUUGUCCGUUCAUAAUUUGAUGGAUAAAUGUGUAUUUCAAUAAUUUCAAAUAAUGUCUAGAACAAAUAUUUUGAAUUAUAAAACUCAUUAUGUCCUGCAUUACUAGAUGUAUCUAUAAUUUAUUAUUUACAAAUUAUAUUGUAUGAUAAAAAUGUAUUGAAUUUUUGUUUAAAAAAAAGUUCGGCUCACUCAGAAAAAAAUGUUAUUAGCUUCGCCACUGCACAAAUCUAGAAUAAUAAUUAUUCCUUAUUAUAUUGACUGCACCAAGCAAUAAACUAAUAAGUUCUCAUCAGUGGUUUUUAAUCUUUUUAAUUCUUUUUACCGCACACCUGAUCAAGAAUUUUAUUUUGUUAACUAAUCAAUUGCAAAGCAUAUAUAAGUGUUGAACGGUACACAAGAUUGGAAAAAAAAAAUCUUAAAAAACGUGCGGAUUCGGGUGGCCACACCAGAAAUCUAUUACAAUAAUUAGCUUUGAUGCUGGGAAUCUUUUAAUUUCUGGCCGUAUUGAAGUUUUUAAAAUAAUAAGUUCCCCUUCUCGUUUUUUUUUUUUUUUAAAUAUAUAUGCUUAUAACAAUUUUAGAAUAAUGAUUCAUUUGUAGAAGAACUUAUGAUUUCCCAUUAAUAUUAAUAUUGAAGUGGGGUGGGUCAAAUCUCAAUUGCUUGAAGAAUUUAUGUAUUAUUAAAUAUUACCAUCCAAGGUAGAAUUGUGGAAAAUUAAAGCAAAAUGACAAGUAUGGAAAGGAAGGCUGAAAGUAAGGCAUGACGAAAGGCUUUGAGAAGGCUGAAGACUACCAAAGAAGUCAACUGAAAACUAGCUGGGGCCUGAGUGUAUAAAUUGUUAGAUGCGUUUGUUAUAAAUAACAUAGAGCCCUUUUGUUAUUUAUAGUUAUAGAGAAAGAGAGAAUGUGUGUUUUUUAAUAGUUAGAGAUAUAGCUAGAAUGGGUUGCUCAAAAUCCAAAAUAGUGACAAUGUUAGUUCUCGUAUUGAUAAUAUUGGGGGGGGGGGGGGGGGGGGGGGGGGGGGGGGGGGGGGGGGGGGGGGGGGGGUGUUGGGAGGUCGAGUGAGGGAUGUUUGGAGCAUGAGCAAUUUGAUCUUUUGCGGCUUAAACAUUUCUUCAAUUAAUAUCGAUCUGGGAGAGUGGUAUCUGAAUGCUUCUCUAUUUACUUCCUUUCAACAACUUGGUAACAAAAUAGCCGGCUGCAUGCGUUGAGAAUGAAGGUGCUUCAUUUAAUUUAAUUUACUUAAUUUCUCCCUCCUAAUUAAUGUCUAUAAUCAUUAGGAGGAACAAGGGAUUUUAUUAACUCAAAUAUAUCUAAUGGAUCUCAUUCUUUGGUUUUACUUGCAGGGCUAGAAGCAGGUGUCAUCUAACAGCUGCUUUGAUAAUUUCCCUCCCCUUCAUCUUUGAUGGAAAGAUGAAAUAAAAACAAAUUGGUGAAAAUGGUAUUGGUACCUGAGGCUAUGUAAUCUAAUUCAAAAACUGCACCAUCAAAACGAUUACAUAAGUCUCAGAAGAAUCAAAUAUCAGUUUGCAAAAUAUCAAUUGCUGGAGGUUUGAUUCUAACUUCCGCUCUUCAUUUUAUGGGCAUAUUGUGUUGUACUUGCAUCCGAAAAUCAUAUUUUAGUUUACUUGCACUCAAUGCUUGGAUUAAAGUUUUUUGGGGGGGGGGGGGGGGGGAUUGAAGAAGACUAAAAUUACACCAAAAAAGAGUUGAGCGAGAGCGGGUUUUGUCUUCAUUUAAGGAGCUCUUUAUAAAUUUUGGGAUUUUUUUUCCUGAGAAAAUUUAUGCCAACUCAUUCUUUGCUUCUUUUCUGAAGGACACAUGCAACCGAAAGUAUAUUCUUGAAUUCUCCAGGAUAAGAGACAUACGUUUAGAUUCUGGAGCAUUUAAAACAAUGUCAAAUUUUAGAUUGCUGAAAUUUUAUAUAUCCGAGUAUGAUGGUGUUCCAAUUAUAAGCUCCAGGGUGCAACUUCACUGAGGUUUAGAAUGCCUUCCUAUAGAAUUGAGAAAUCUCCAUUGGCAUAAAUAUCUUUUGAAAAUACUGACAUCAGAUUUUGAAUUGGAGAACCUGAUUGGACUCAGCUUGCCCUGUAGUAAGGUUAAGCAAAUUUGGAAAAGAGAAAAGGUAUAAUGUAUUACUAUUACCAAAGUAUCUAUUUUUCUUUCUUUAAGUAUUUUAUAAUGAAUAACUUUGAAAUUCAAUGAUGCUCAUUUAGUAUAGUUAUGUAUCUUUGGUUAUAGGAAGCUGUCAAGUUAAAAUCUAUAGACCUUCACCACCCCUUUAUCUCAAUAGGAUCCCAGAAAUACUAAAUCUUAAAAAAAUAAAUCUUUCAAAUUGUGAAAGCAUGCUUACGUUACCCCCGUAUAUCCACAAUUUCAACUAGCUGAGUAUGUUGUGUUUCAGGGAUGCAAAAUUCAUUUUGUUUCUCAUGAAAGGAUUGACUUGUCCGGAUGUAUUAGGGUUAGUAACCAACUAAUCCCAUAAUUUGUUGAUGUAGGGUCCUAACAAAUUAUCUGCAGUAGAUUGUAGAUCACGUACACUAUUCGAAAACGUAUUUGAUCCACACAGUGAAGUGGAUAUUGGACCAAUUUGAUGAUAAUGAAUUUCUUUCAAUCUCAAUCUUUUUUCUUUUUAGCAACAUGACUAGUCAUUGUGCAAAUUCAAAACUCUGACAAUAAUUUCUCAAUCGGUUUCUAAGAUGAUGACCAUGCAUGUAUAUGUAUAUGCGUGUGUAUAUGUGUGUGUGUGUAGAGAGAGAGAGAGAGAUCACACGUGUGUGAUUUCCUUUUUGCCAAUAGGAUAUGCAGAGAGCUUGAUCUUACCCAAUAGCGAAACAAACUUCCUAAUAAGUGAAGGUAUAGUAUAAAUACUUAUACUUUCAUGUUAUUUUGUUCAUCAGUAGCUUGAUUAUUUUAUAUGCGUCUUCGAUUUUAAUUUUCUUUCCCUAUAAUCGCUAUUAUCUUUGAACUGGUCAUAAUUUGCCCAUAAGAUUUCUCAUGUUGUUUUGAGGUGCAACGGAUUUUGAAUUUAGUGACAAGCAGUGGAAGCCAGAAGGCAAAUUAUGAAAAUGGAUAAAGAUCUAUAAUUAGCUGUUAUGGGAUGUCACAUAUCAUAUUGAUGGUAACGUUAUAUAUAUGUACAUAUAAUUAAUGGGGUUGGCUCACGAGCCCAUUAAUAAUGGUAUAUUAGCUUAUAUACUUCAAACAAUGUACUAUGAAGCAAUUUCACAAAUACUUGUUAGCUUAUGUUGAGCUUUAUUGAAUCAGUAGUUCACAGUUCAAUAAAAUGCAGGUUUGCUAUUUGAAGUACAUGGUUAUGGUGCGUACAUUCUUCAUAAGGCUAACUACUAAUUUAUCAUUGAAACUUGAAAAAUGUGAUAGAGAGAUGUAGAUAACAGCCGCAAAACACUGAGAUUGAAAAUCAGGGCUACUAAAUUCUAUUAAAAGUCCUUAAAAUAGACAGCGAUCACCCUGAAAUGUAUAUACUGAAACUAAGAAAUAUUAAUCGCAAAGUUAUGCAUUAAUAGAACUAUUGACUACUUAUCUUUAGCAUAAAGUAUAUUUUUAACUACAGCUUUCUGCUUUGUUCUAAGAACUAGGCAAAAGUGGUGUAUCUUCAAUCCAAUCAACAUAUAUACCACUUAUCUUCCUCUUCACUUCUGUCUAUUUUGAUUUGCACUUCAUAUCCUGCACUUGCUGCUUAGAAAUAGUCUUUAUUCUGGACAUUGAAAGUAGAAAAAGUACUUGAAACAAUCAUUGGCACAGCCCGAGAUUCCAUUGAAUCGUGGACUCCAAGCUUUCAUAGUUCUAUAAAGAAGAUGACAAAACUUCAUACAACUGGCAUUCUGCUUUUAACAUUUGCACAACCUGAGCGAGUUAGCAAGCCCCUUGUUGCGUUCCCAUUGAAUAGACCUACUUCUGUUAUCCGCAGAAGAUCCACCACUCAAAAUGUUUAUCACCAGGCUAUUCUUAAACUGAGCCUAAACUGAGUAGAAACUUCCGCACAUCUCUCAGCAUUUACAUGAAGAAAUCGACAACUAUCCUCAUCUCUCAGCAUUCUACAAAGUUGCAUUUCACUAAGCAAUCUAUCCUCUCCAUUCCUAGCAAAGUGACAUUGAUUCCCGUAUUUGUAAUCGCCUAACUUGGGUUUUGGCAUAGCGUGGUCUUAAAAAUUACCACCCAAUACUUUGUUCAGUGCCACUGGCAUCCACAAGCUCUAGCCCUGUUAGUUGAAUCAUAUUCAAUGGGACAGUGAGGCAGCAUUUCACUAACAUAUUCAAUUUGACUACUUAUAUUGACGCAAAUAUUAGAAUUUGAAAUCACUUCUUUUAUUGGAAUAUUAUAUUAAUAUGACCCCAAAUGAAAGUUCUUGAAUGGAAAUGAUUUUUAUUUACUUUUCGAACAGAUUCAAGAAAACCCAGAGAACACAAAAUUUACACAGUAAUAUGAUUAAGAGCUGAGAACGUAUAUGUAGUAAAUGUCUAUCAAAAAACACCCAAGGGUUUCUUUAAAAUUAGUAACUAGUAAACAAAAGAAAGAAUCAUUUUACAUUUUUAGCAACUUUGGGGUGAGUGAGUGAGUGAGAAAUUGAAACCCUCAAGUGAUGACAACAGUAAGAUUCAGUAUGAAGUGAAACCCCAAUUUGAAAUGUAGGCAUGAGUUGCUGAGUCAGUAGAUGAAGCUAUAAAUAGGCAUUCGGUUUCCUUCUUUUCGGUUUGGAGGCCAUGGAAUAGUGUAUUGGAGUGGGCUCCAAGUAAUAGCCUCUAUCACUGGAACGACACAUCUAUAAAAUGUGAUACAUGGGGAAGGAUUGGGCAUUUUAUUCUUAGAUUAGCCCUUAUUUAGGGUGUAUAUUAAGCAGAUUAUAUAUUACAUGGAGAUGGAGUUUAAAUAGAUUAAAAAGAAAAGGAAAUUUUGGUGCCUAAAGUUUGCCACUUGGAAUAUUUCGGUGUCUAAAAAUUCACUCACCACUUAUUUCAUGUUUGAUUAUAUGUUGAAAAGAUAUUAAAAUAGUAUAAUGCUAUUAAGGCUUAACGUAUAUUUUUUAUUAGUAGAGUGUAGAAUUUUUAAGAAAUAAAUUAUUAAAUUAUUAUAACUAACAUAUUAUUUUAAAGUUGUGUUAUGAAAAAAAUGAAAUAAAAAUGUACAGUAAAUAAGAAUAUUUUAAAACUUUUAUCUUUUUAAAAUUAGUUUUUAACAUAAGGUGAACUAUUUUUUUUUUAAAAUCACAUAUUCUAGUUAAAAUCAAAUAUGUAUUUAUCGAAGCUUGUAAAUUUUUUUUUUUAGUACUGAUAUUUGAAUAUUAUCAAUAAAAAAAAGGGUAAUGUUCAUGCUGCAUUAUUUUUGUAGCACACAAAAGGACAACACCGUUUAUGUUAUAAUACUAUCGCUUCUGUUAUGAUAAUUUUUUUUGUGGCCAAAUAUCUUUUUUUUUUUUAAGUAAAAAAAGUGGACAAAAUGCAAAUCAGUUUUUAAUCCUCAAUCUCUCCCAAAAAUAUAUAUUUCGGUGUCUAAAAAUUCACUCACAAAACUAUAGCUGACAAAAAGUUACUAACAAAAAGUUAGGUCCAUGGGUUGUUAAAACUAUAGCUGACAAAAAGUUACUAACAAAAACAGAAUGUCCAUUUUAUAACUUUCUUAAAAAACUUUCCUUAACUUUUUUAAACAAAAAGUUAUUUCCAAUUUUUAUUUUGUUAUAAUGUUUAUAACAAAAUUCGUAGUUAACUAAACUCUUCUUAUACCCUUUCUCAACUGCCAUACCCUAACCCACUAAACCACGCUCAAUUAAGGCCAUCAGAUUCUCCGGGCCCACAUUAAUCCAACUGCUCACAGAGACCGACAGCCUCUCUAUCUCCAUUUCAAGCUCCCUCUUCAACUGGCUUCUGCUACCGUCCUACUCUUUCUCGGCUUCGGAGUCCGUAUUUGCUCGGCCUGUCCCACGAAGCUCCCUCUCACUCCAAUUGUCGCCCCACAAGACCAAUUGCUUAAUCAAGACACCGAACAAGAAAGGAUGAGAAGUUGAAACAAGAAUUUGAGAAUUGGAAAUAAAAACGUACGCAUUGACCGUGCCUUUGAGAGUCGUUUCUCUUCAGAACUCAGUGCCUCAAUCUUGGGUUAAGGAUUUUAUGCGAAGUCAGGGAAAGAGAUUGAAGUUUCAGAUGAAUUUGUGUGCUAGCAUUGAUGGGAUCUUUAACAAUUUAUCUGUGCCCUUUAACAAAGUUAAGGCUAAGUCAGCUUCUUAUAUGGCUGCUGAUUUGGUUAGUGUUGGUGAUUCAUGGCUUAGUUUUGCCAUUAAAAAGAGAUUGAUUGAGCCAAUGGCUGGAGCUGAAGACCAAGAUUGGUUCAAAUGCUUAAGUCACAAAUGGAAGGUAACAUCUUUGUCUUUGAUCCUCGAGGUAAAAUAUGGGCGGCACCGUACAGGUGGGGCACAACGGUGAUAGCCUACAAGAAAAGUAAAUUUCGAAAGCAUAAUUUGGCUCCGAUUGAGGUAAUAAUUUUCUUUAAACUCAUUUAGUUUUAUAUCAAACAAAAUCAAGACUGCCUUUCUCUUCAAUAUUUUUUAUGAUAAUAUCUUUAGAAGCAUCUCAUUGACGGGUAACAAUGGCAUCCUGGUUAAGGAUUUUAUGCGAAGUCAGGGAAAGAGAUUGAAGUUUCAGAUGAAUUUGUGUGCUAGCAUUGAUGGGAUCUUUAACAAUUUAUCUGUGCCCUUUAACAAAGUUAAGGCUAAGUCAGCUUCUUAUAUGGCUGCUGAUUUGGUUAGUGUUGGUGAUUCAUGGCUUAGUUUUGCCAUUAAAAAGAGAUUGAUUGAGCCAAUGGCUGGAGCUGAAGACCAAGAUUGGUUCAAAUGCUUAAGUCACAAAUGAAGGUAACAUCUUUGUCUUUGAUCCUCGAGGUAAAAUAUGGGCGGCACCGUACAGGUGGGGCACAACGGUGAUAGCCUACAAGAAAAGUAAAUUUCGAAAGCAUAAUUUGGCUCCGAUUGAGGUAAUAAUUUCUUUAAACUCAUUUAGUUUUAUAUCAAACAAAAUCAAGACUGCCUUUCUCUUCAAUAUUUUUUAUGAUAAUAUCUUUAGAAGCAUCUCAUUGACGGGUAACAAUGGCAUCCCUGAAAGAGUCUAUAAACUCAAUGAUAUUAUCUUCUACAAAUGGUUCAUUAAACUUUGUCGUUGUACUCAAAUGUACACUCAGAUCAAUGAGAAGCUAUGCUACGUUAGCAUGUAGUGAUGGCACUUAAUAAGUGAGUUGCUAGGAUGUGAACUAGAAAAAUUAAAUAUUGUCUCCUUGGGUAUGCUAGCUGGUAAGUCAGGGUUAAUAUCAGAGCUUAAGAUAGUAUAACCGUGAGAACCUAUUGACUGCCAAUUAAAAUAUCCAUUGAAAUGUCUAGGGAGUUAUGAAGGUGGAGGUAACUUCCAAUUUCUAAGGCCACAGAGUAGACAUCAUCCAGGAUCCUAGGAAAGUCCAGUUAACCUCCUGCUCGAUGCAAUUAAUAAAUUUGGUCAAUGCCACUGAAACCUGCUAACUGACGUCACAAUGCGACAUGAGCACUUCAAAAUGGGACAGACGGUCAGUAGCACUAAAUUUUUCUUGCCAAGAUUGAGCAAUUGGUCUAACUACUAAUCCCUAUUGUAGUUGAUCAUUAUUUUUUCAAUUAUGUUCAGUUUGACCCAAAAAGUUGCAGAAUCUUGAGCUAAAUAUUGUCACUGAACACUGUCAAUGUCAUUUAGCAUAGCCAACUAACUUGAUGUUAAAACAAACACACAGUGUGUCUCAUGUCUCACAAUUCAAAUUAUCAUCUGUAAUGUUGGAGAAUUUUUCCAAUGUAUGAAGUAUGCUUUGAUACGUGGGUUACCUUGGAGAAGAUAUCUCAAAAUAAAGAAUAUGGGGAGAAAACAGUUCAGUAGUUUAUUAUUCGUAGUCAAGUUUUGUCUCGAAAAUGGUCAAAAUUUAAAUGAAUAAGGACAGGGGAUCUUCAUUCUUUUUUCCCUUUUUAUACCAAGAUAUCUCUCAACCUUUAUAUAAUCCCCACUGGAUAUCUGCUUCUAAUAAUUAAAAUAAAAAUUUCACCGCUCUAACAAUAAAAAGUAACAUCUUUCCUCAAAUAAUUUACAGUUCCUCAUCAUCUUAGUGUGAGAAUAUCAGUACAUUCCAAACAUAAUAAAACUGGUUUGAUCCUGUUUAUUGAUGUUUAAAUGUUGUUCAUUGUGACAGGUAGAAAUGAUGAGGCGAAGUUUAUUUGGACAUCAAUUAGUAAGAUCUUGUUUGAAGUUGUUUUCUGAAAUGAACUGCCAAAUGGUAGUUUUUGGGGGCAUUUGAUGGCUCUUUUUUUUUCCUCAUUUUCAACAUGUGCCUGCUUGGAACAUGAAGGAUUAGGCUGCAGAGUUGUUAUAUAUUUUGAGAUGCUCUGGUCAUUGCACAAUUUGUUCACACUGGAAAUUAGAAUGAGAAAUUUGUUGAUGCUGUUUUGAGAGAUCUGCAUUCUAUGCACAAUAACAUGAUUAAUGAAAAUGCAUUGUAGGACUGGAAAGAUCUGUGGCAGCCUGAGCUCGCAGGAAGAAUUUCAAUGGUUAAUUCUCCCCGAGAGGUUAUUGGUUCAGUUUUGAAGUAUAGGGGAACAUCAUACAAUUCAAACUAUAUUGAUUCGCAAGUUGCUGGUGGAAGAUUGCUGUUCAGCAGAAUCUGGCAUUACUGGCAAACCAGGUACUCUUACAGAAAUCAUAUCUGGUCAUUGCAUGUUAUUGCCUGACAACUGAUUUUGUUUGUAAAAGUCUGCUUCUUCAUACAUAUGAAUGCAUAUGUUAGUGUUUUCUUCUCCUUUUCAUACAUAUAAAUGCAUAUGUUAGUGUUGUCUUUUCCUUUUCACACAUAUUAAUACAUAUGUUGGUGUUCUCUCCUGAGAUGGAUGCAAUAAAGGCUUUUGCUCCUAAAUUUAGCUGAAGAAAUGGCAAGGGAUGUGAGAUUCUGUCUCAUUAAAUUAACAAAAACCCAAAACAAUGAAAAUCCAUAAUAAUGUGGUGUGGGUAAAUUGGCUCCAUUUGGUUCGUUUCCUUAAUGUGAAUGCGAGCAAUAGAGACUAACAAAAUGAAGUGACAACAAGAAGUCAGUGUCCUUUGAUGGAUGCAUUUUUAGCAGAAAUAUGUUUGUAAUUGACCAAAUUUGUCUGGCAUGCCAAUUUCAAAAAAAUUAAAUUAUGUGGUUAUUAGCUGUAAUGAAGGGGAUAGUAGGUGCAAUCAGGUGUAUCCAGGAAAGUUCAACAAAGUUUUGGUAUGGCGUAGUGAAAUUGGUUUGUGCAACUCAGGAGUCUUUCAGGUGAACGAUGAUAGGUUUUGAUUUAUGAAUAUUAUAAAUCUACUGUGCAUAGUAUUCUAGUAGAAUCAUCUAUAAGUUCUAGUUAUUGUAUACUUUGCCUGGUUUGAGUUAAGGGCACAUGUAAUAUGAAAGAUAGUUGUCGCAUCUUUUAGGUUACCUAACAUUUGAUCAAUCCUAUUAUGGGGGCUUCAAGAUGUCUAACAAUAUGUAGAAUGCCCAUGCUCCUCCCCAUUGUUUAUCUUCUACAAUAAUUUGUUUUAGAUGCUAAUAUCUUUGUCGAUACCGGUAACAAUAUUACAAUAUCUGCGUUUAUUGGGUUUUACAUAGGUUCGACUGUUUGACAGUACACACUAUCUGAAGGCAUUUGCAAUUGGAGAUGUAUGGGUUGCUGUUGGGUGGAUUAGUGAUGUUCUUCCUGCUGUCAAACAUAUGUCUAAUGUUGCUGUUGUUGUUCCCAAGUCUGGUGCUAGCUUAUGGGCUGAUCUUUGGGUAUACCCAUGCCUGCCAUUCUACUUCAAUAUUCACAUUGUUAUCUCCUUCAUAUUAGUGAUCAGUAAACACGAUAAUGUGACUAAUAAGUUCGUAUUCUCUUUAUAGGCAAUCCCUGCUGCCUCAAGACUUGAAACAAAACAAAUUGGAGGGCGAGUCAGAGGUGCAUUUCCAUUAAUCCAUCAAUGGAUAGAAUUCUGCUUGCAAACAGCGAGAGCAUUGCCUUUCAAGCAAGAGGUUAUCCCGAGCGCAUCUCCCUCUGCCCUUGAGUACUCUGGUUAAGUUGCCUGAAGAACUUUUCAAGGGUAAACCAAGUCUGGAUACUAACUUAAUUGCUGGAGUACCCCCGACUGAAAUUCUGGCCAGAUGUGAGUUUUGGAGCCUUUAUUUGAAGCUACAUUGUCGGAUUAUGAGUGGCUGGUUACUAAUCUGCAAAAAUCCACUCCUGUACUGAUCAACAAGAUGCAACAUUACAUGUCAUCAUUGAUCUUUAGCUAAAGGUACAUUGAAAAGUUAAUGGCACUGCAUACCAGUCAUUAUAAUUGGGUCAGGGCAAUUAGGUCAGAGCAUAACUUCAUUAGGAAAAGAUGCUUCAGCUACGUUAAAUAUUACAGGAUGUACUGAGAUGGCUGAAGCUGUUGAGGUUUUACGAGAAUCGAAAGAUAGUGUUUGUUUGAACAAAGUUGUUGCCAAUCUUGCAGAGUUCGAGAAGAAAGAUCACGAAGUGAAUGCCACCGAUUUCUUCAUCAUUGUAGCCUCCAUAGUUGAAGUUUCCUCAUUUGAAGCUGUUUAUGCAUACGAUUUUCCCCUGCUCAAGUACAGGAAAUUGAAGAAUUAACCAGAUGUGAUAUGCUGAAAGAGGGAAGUUUUCUUCCUUGAAUGUGGUCUUUGUGAUUUGUCUUGAAGGAAUAGGGUGAUCACUGGCAAGAACCCUAUCAAGGUAGAUUUUAUGAUGUUAACAUAUCAUUAAGCAUUUUGUUACAUCAGCAAUGAUGCUUUCAUAGCAGCAUGAAAGUGUUUAAAUUUUAACUGAAUGAUCUUGAUUGAUCAAUUAUGAGUUUUAAUCGAGUAAAAACUAAAUACAAUAAUCGUUAACAAAUAUUGAAAUUGGGUAAAUAUGAUCUUGAUAUUGAAGAAUUUGAAAUCACAACCCACACAGGAAAUCACCCUUCGCGUGGGGAUGGAGAUGUUACUGCAGCGAUAUUGAAUAUGUCCACCGCUCUUUGGGUUAUGGUGCGACUUGCCCUGAAACAAUGGAAAAGAAUAAUUAUAAUUUAACGCCAAGACAUAAAAUUAAAACGUGUGGACUCCGGUAGCUGCCCUACAAGUCUACAACUCUACAAACAUUAACUCUACAAACAUUAAACGUGUGGACUCCGGUAGCUGCCCUACAAGUCUACAACUCUACAAGAAUAAUUUCUAGCCCUGUUGACUCCACUAACUAAAGAAAUUUCAAAAACGUACAUAGAAUUCCACAACAAGCAAAACGUAUGGAAUUUAAUUUUUUGCCGUGUGGAACAAAAUACAAUUUAACAAAAAAGGAUAGAAAAAUGGUAAGAUUUCUAAAAUGAGUGGAAGGUGAUUCAUAUUUUACUGAAAUGACUUGUCCUGAACAUUAAGACGAUUGAUUUUUUUUUUUUAAUAACAUCAACUUCCAUAUCUUUCUAACCCCUAGAAUAUGCUCACGUUCAAGUCUAUCUUGGUAAUUUGAAAAAGAAAAUCAAAUCAAAUCAACACCAAAACAAUGAAAAGUAAAACUUUUGAAUUUCAACUUUAAACUUUUGUUAACCCUAGAAUAUUCAGCGUUUUCAAAUUCUUCCGAUUGCAUAUCUUCUUCCUCCAUCAAUGCAAUAUUUGAACGAUUAUGAAAGAGUUUAAGAACAUAAAAAAUCUCCAAGGUUUAUACGGUAUAACAAAUUUAAAUUCUCAAUUACAAUAGAUAAUAAUUAAACUAAUAAUUUUUUAUGUACUUAUUUUAGUAAUUUCACCUAAGAAUAAUAUUGUAAUUAGAAAAAAAAAUCUAAUAAGUAGGGUGGUCUUAUACAAAAUCAACUGUACUGUGAUGAGUUUCCUUUUGUUAAUAAUUUUAGUCUAAUUUCAAUUGUACUGUGAUCGCUUCUCAAGGUAAGUGAAAGUUACAGAUGGCAAAAUAAAUAAUUAAGUUAACAAAAUGCUAACUAAUUUUCCUCAAUACCUAGGGUUGUACAAUUUCACCAACCUGGAAGAAUUGACAUUAAUGGACUGGUCUCCUCCCAUAUAAUUAUAAUCCUUCUAGAAAGCUAUUUUUAUUAAAUAUUUGCUUUUAAGUUAAUUUCAAUUAAAAAUGUUUUAAGUUAAUAUAUACUCUAAUGAGAUUCUGAAUUCCUUAUUCAAUAAUAAUGAAAACGUAUUAAAUUAGAAAUGAAAAAAUUGGUGUUGAUGAUUCAACCUAUUUGGAUAGAUUACGUGAAUAAAAUUUAAAAUUUUGAUUUAAUUUUGUUUAUUGUUAAUUCUCAGGCUAUCUUUAAUUUCAAGAAUUUAGAAUGUUAAUUUGGUCAUGGAUUUCAACCCGUGAGUGUCAUAUUCUAGACUUAAUGGUACCAUUCUUUGAUUGAGGGCAAUGACUCUCACUCCUCUUGUAAAAAAAUAUUUUCAACUAUUUUGAUGACUUAAAAAUUGAUAGAUUUAUUGUUGUCAUGACCAAAUUAUUCAUUUUAAUGAAAUAUAAUUAAUGCAUCAAAGUUACAGGUUAUGUCUAUCUUAAUGCGCUUUUUUUUUUUCAGUUAUAGCUUCUGCUUACGUCUGUUUCAUUUUUUUUAAAUAAAAAAACAAGGGAAGGUUUUCCGAGUCAUCCAUUAUUUGAUUUCCGUCAAUCAAGAAAACGACCAAAUUAAUUUCUCUCCAAAAUUUCCAAAAGCUAGAAAAUUUUGUUAUUUGAAAAUAACAUGAAUUAAUUAUAGAGUGGAUCAAACCGCGUUAUUGUCUUUCAUAAAAUUGAUGUCUUUUAAGAGUCAAUACUUUUUUAUUUACGCAAACCAGUCGACAUCAAUUUAAACUUCCAUAUUUUAUUAUUAUUAUGUUAUUUAUUUUAAUCGCCGAUUAUUUGAUUAGCCACUAUAUAUAUCAAGAAAGCGACAAAAUUUAUUUCUCAUGACUUCCAAAAACAGAAAAACAACAUCAUUUAUUAUUUUUUUGCAACCUAAUUGACAUCACUUUAACUUAUUAUGUUAUUAUUUCAAUCCCCCAUUAUGACCUUUCUAAUCCUUCCAUUAUGCAUCUUUUAUAGUGCAAAUUGUAAUUGCACAUCUAAAUAAAUUGAAUAUUGUUACUCCACACCCAAUAUUUCAAAUAGUCACUAGACCAUUUCUGCCUUUAAUUUCCCUUAACUAUUGACUGUUUUUAGCAUCUUAAAAUAUACAUUUAUUCUUGAUUAUGUGAUAAAAUUAUGAAAUAUUCCAUUUUAGCUUAAAUUAAUUGGAAUAACCAUAAGCGUAACAUAAAUUAAUAGAACAAAAUUAUCAAGUGUAUGUUCUAUCUUACUUUUUGAAGAAUUUAACAUAUAUAAUGCUAUACUAUUAAUAAAUUUUUCAUUUACUAUAUAUGUUCAAUAUUUUAUAUAUUUAUUAAUUGUUAUAUAGUCACAGGAUGAAUGAUUUUUUCAGGUCUACAUGAGUUGGUGCACAUGCAAGACUCAAUUUUGACAACAAUGAUCUAAGGGGUAAUUUACCUUGGUGUUUGACAAACAUAACCUUCUUCAUGAUUUACUUCCAAUCUACUUACUGUAAAUAUCUCCUCAUCUCCUCUCAUUUAUAUGAUAAGUGAUAACCCUUGAAGAUCUCACAUUUUCAAACGAUCAUAUUAGGGUUUUUAUUAUUAGCAUCAUUGUGUCAACAAAAUAUAUGUUGCAGUAAGAUUUUUUUCAGACCAAUUCCCUUCUUCAAAUAAUUAAUGGAAAAGUAUUAAUUUAAAAAUAAAAUGAAUAUGCAUUGAUUAUAUCCUGAUUUCCAUCGAUUAUAGCGAGAGGUUCUCCGAAUCAACUCCCUUAUUCAAAUAAUACAGAAAAAAUAGUAAUUUAAUAGUAAAAUUAGCAAGUGUUGAUUAUAUAUCCUAAGUUUCAUCGAUUAUGUGAUCAAAGUGGCAUUGUUGAUUUAUUUUCUUGUUCAAUGUUAUUUUUAGGUUAUCUAAAUUUCAAAAGGAUUUAAAAUCUUUGUUCAUGGAUUACAACGCUUAUUAAUUUUUCUGCCAUUGACUGUCAUAUUCUAGACUUAAGGUACCUUCCUUGAUCAAGGAUAAUUACUCUAUGUUCCCUCUUAUAAAUUCCUCUUCAUUAACAUCACUAAGGAGUAUGUUGAUCUCUCAGACGUUAACUUUAGUGGAGAGUUUCCAAAUUGAUUGUUACAAAACAACACAAAAACUAGACACACUUGAUCUGUCUAAUAAUUCUCUUUCGAUAAAAUUAAUUAAUUUUAGGGGAAUAUUCGACCAACCUCUAUAAUUUCAUAUUGAUCAUUAAUUAAUUAGACGAAAAAAGUACUUGUGCUUUUGUGGCGACAAUUGAACUAGAGAAGUGAAGCUGUAAAGAUUUGGCAGUAGUAAAUUGUAGAAGACAUAAAGACAAUUUCCCAUUUUAUAAUUUUUUCAAAAAACUUUUUUACAACACAUGCACCUGGCCAAAAUUUUAUUUUGCUAACUAACAAUAAUUGAGUAGCUGACCGUAUUGACUCCGCCUACUUGCUAAAGUAAAAAAAUAGAAAUAGAAUUUCCACAAAAUGUCAAACAUGUAAAAUCUAAUAUUUGGCCAUGUGGAACAAAUACAAAUGAAAAAAAAAAUAGAAAAAAGGCCUAAAGACUUUUAAAAUUGUGUGGAAAUCUUUCGGCCCUUUUAUAAUGGUGUGUUUUUCAAAGGAACAACUAAUAAUAAUGACACUUCUACGGUUUGUUUUGAUAAUUACACAUAUACUCUUUAAUUUGAUAAAUGGUUACACAAAUUUUGUUUACAAAAAUAUAUUAUUCAUGUUCUGUAUUAUUUUUUAACAUCAUAUUUUUAUUUAUUAUAAUUGUUUAAAGUUAAUUGUUAGGUUGAUAUAUAAUAAAACGUAUAAUCGUUCUCUUACUAAACACACAAUACUCGUAGUUUCUAUCCAUUUGUCAUCUCAAUCUCUCUCAUUUAUCCUUUCUUGAUAGCUCAAAACGCGUCACUGUGGAAAAUAAUAGCAAAACGACAAAUAUGGAAGAAUGGGAAGAAAAUUAAUGCAUGAAAGAGUUGCAGAAGACAACCAAAUAAGUCAACUAUACGCUAGUUGGGUGUAUAAAUUGUUAGAUGUGUUAUAAACAAAUAGCAUAGAGCCUUGGUUGGUUACAGAGAUAGAAAAACUGUGUGUGUUUUUUAGAACUUAAAGAUACAGUUAGAAUGGGUGGUUCAAAAUCAAAAUGGUGAUAAUGUUUGUUCUGUUAUUAAUAAUAUUAGAAGGUGGGUGGAGUGAAGGAUGUUUGGAUCAUGAGAGAUUUGCUCUUUUGCGACUCAAACAUUUCUUCGAUGAUACUGGUAGUUAUUUUUACUACUGGGCAGAUGGUGAGGGAGCUACUGAUUGUUGUCAGUGGGAAAGGGUUGAGUGCAGCAACACCACAGGCAAGUGAUAGUGCUAGACCUUUUUUGAAACGUAUUUGGGAGAGUACAGCUGGUAUCUGAAUGCUUCUUUGUUUACUCCCUUUCAACAACUUGAGUCACUUGAUUUAUAUGGCAACAAAAUAGUCGGUUUUGUUGAGAAUGAAGGUACUUCGUCUAAUUCAAUUAAUUUACAUUUCGCUCUCCUAAUUUAAGUCGAAUAUCAAGACUGAGCAGCUAUAUGCAUAUUCAUUCAAUUGACAAUUUUUACAUAUUUUUUAAAAUGUUUAAUUUUGAAAUUACACCAAACAUCAUAUGUGGUUUUGAUUUUACUUGCAGGUCUAGAAAGAUUGAACAACUUGAAGAGGCUUGAUUUAAGUUAUAACUUGUUCAACAAUAGCAUCUUAUCAUCUGUGGCUCAUCUUUCUUCACUAACAUCAUUAGAUUUAUCUGGAAAUAGAUUGGAAGGAAGUAUUAAUGUUAAAGGUACGUAAUUAAAACGUCAUCGCUUCUCUCAACUCUUUCAUUAACAUGCUAAAAUAAGAUUCAAGGCUUUGAAUUCAUUUUUUUUUAUGAGUAAAUAUUAGAAAAAUAGUUUUAAGCAAUUCAUAAAUACAAUUUUCAAUGUUUCUCAUAAUUUCAUCUUGUACUUUCGUAUGUCUUGACUUUAAGAUUAAAAAAAAAAAUUACUCUAACUGUGAAGCAAAUACCCCAUGACUAAUUUAUCAUUUCGUCCAGUUAAAAAUGAUAAAAUUUAUCAUUUGUUUAUAUUGAUUAAUUAACUCUAUUUUAAGUCUUAAGUCUUGGCGUCUUGGCAUAUUUGCAGAAUUUGAUUCCUUGAGCAACUUAGAGGAGUUGGACAUGAGCGACAAUGAAAUAGACAAUUUAGAGGUUCCUCAAGGUAAACAAUUAAAAUAUAUUCAAUUACAUUAAUUUAAUUCGUUUGAUUAGGGAAGACCCAAAAGGUACAAAAUAUAAUAAUAAUAAUAAAGAAACAGAGAAUCUAUAUUAUUUCAAAAAAUAAAACGUAAUACUAUUAUUUCAAAAAUAGAUUGUAAUAAAGAUUUGAUUCCGGUUCUUUAAUCUUUACAGCAAUUGAAAAACGAUGUUGCUCUUUUCCUGAAGCAUAAAAUAUGAAAUGACUCCAAUACAAUUAAUCAUUUAUUUCGUUUACUCUAAAAUUAGACAAUGAAUCUUUAUUUUCUUCAGUCUUAUCCUAAUUAUUAUUAAUAAACAGGUUACAAAGGUUUGAGGAAGUUGAAUUAUCUUGAUCUAUCGAAUGUUGGAGUUAGAGAUGGAAGCAAGUUGUUACAGUCAAUGGGAUCAUUCCCAUCCCUCAACACUCUUUACCUGAAGGAUAAUAAUUUUACCGAUAUAGCGACAACUACUACUCAAGGUAAGUAAAAGAUACAGAUGUGGCCAAAUUUACAAAUAAAUUGUUAAUUAAUUAAUUUUUCCGUAUUAUUAAUAAAGCUAAAUUCGUCGCUCCUUCCUUCUAAUUCUAAACAGAGUUGGCAAUUUCACCAACUUGGAGUAUUUGACAUUGGACUUGUCCUCGCUCCAUUUAAGCCUUCUACAAUUACUUGAAGAAUGAAUUUAUUUAUUAUUAUUAUUGUUGUUGUUGUUGUUGUUGAAGUGAGGUGGGCAAGCGUUCACUCAAUUAAUAUGUGAGGAAUUAAUAAUUACAAUCCAAGGUAGAAUUGUGGAAAAUUAAAGCAAAAUGAGAAAUAUGGAAAGAAAGGAAGAAAGUUAAGGGCAUGAAAGACUAGGAGAAGACUAAAGACCACCAAAUAAGUCAACUGAAAACUAGCUGGGGCCUGGGUGUACAAAUUGUUAGAUGUGUUUGUUAUAAAUAACAUAGAGCCAUCUUGUUGGUUGCAGAGGCAGAGAGACACAGAGUGUGCAUUUUGUUAAUUAAAAAUAUAUAUAAAAUGGGUGGUUCAAAAUCCAAAAUGGUGAUAAUGUUAGUUUUGUUAGUAUUAAUAAUAUUAGAAGGGAGGUGGCGUGAGGGAUGUUUGGUGCAUGAGAGAUUUGGUCUUUCGAGACUUAAAACAUUUCUUCAAUUCUCCUUAUAAUUUUUGUCACGACUGACCGUUGUCAAUGGGAUGGGGCUGGGUGCAGGGUUGAUUUACGUUAGAACAAUAUAGCCGGUAGUGUUGAGAAUGAAGGUGUUUCAUUUAAUUUAAUUAAUUUACUUUCUCCCUCCUAAUUUAAGUGGAAUAUCAAGACUGAACAAUUAUAUGCAUCUUCGUUCAGUUGACAAUUUUGACAUUUUUUUUAAGUGAUUAAUUUUGAAAUUACACCAAACAUUAUUUGUGAUCUCUGUUUGACUUUACUUGCAGCGCUAGAGACGUUAUCAAGAUUGAGCAACUUGACGAUACUUGAUUUAAGUUAUAACUUGUUCAAUAAUAGCAUCUUGUCAUUUGUUGCCCGUCUUUCAUCAUUAACAUCAUUAGAUUUAUCUUACAAUGGAUUGGAAGGAAGUAUUAAUGUUAAAGGUACGUAAUUAAAACGUCAUCGCUUCUCCAACUCUUCCAUUAACAUGCUAAAAUAAGAUUCAAGGCUUUGAAUUCAAUUUUUUUUUAUGAGUAAUAUUAGAAAAAUAGUUUUAAGCAAUUCAUAAAUACAAUUUUCAAUGUUUCUCAUAAUUUCAUCUUGUACUUUUGUAUGUCUUGACUUUAAGAUUAAAAAAAAAUUACUCUAACUGUGAAGCAAAUACCCAUGACUAAUUUACAAUUUUGUCCAGUUAAAAAUGAUAAAAUUUAGGGAAAUUAUCAUUUGUAUACCCUUAGUUUACUCUAUUAUCAAAAAUACUACAACACUUUGAGGGUGUAUCAAUCGUCCACCCUAAGUUGACAAAAUGUAUUAGCCAACCACCAAACCGUUAGUUGCCGUUUAAAUAUGAUAACAUCAUAAGGGUAAUCUGGUCUUUUCAUAUGAUACAAGUGAUAAUUUAAGGGUAUACAAGUGAUAAAAAGAGAGUUUAAGGGGAUACAAGUGAUAAUUUUCAAGGUAAAAUCGUCAAUUUACUGUAAUUCCGUUAACUUUCAAACGGCAAUUAACAGUUUGGUGGUCGGUUGAUACAUUUCAUCAACUUAGGGUGGACGAUUGAUACACCCUUAAAGUGUUGUAGUAUUUUUGAUAAUAAAGCAAAUAUAGGGUAUACGAAUGAUAAUUUCCCUAAAAUUUAUCAUUUGUUUAUAUUGAUUUAUUAACUCUAUUUUAAGUCUUAAGUCUUAAGUCUUGGCAUGUUUGCAGAAUUUGAUUCCUUGAGCAACUUAGAGGAGUUGGACAUGAGCGGCAAUGAAAUAGACAAUUUCAAGGUUCCUCAAGGUACACAAUUAAAAUAUUAUUUAAUUACAUUAAUUUAAUUCGUUUGAUUAGGGAAGACCCAAAAUGUACAAAAACAUAAUUAAAAAAAAAUAAAGAAACAGAGAAUUCAUAUUAUUUCAAAAAACAAAAGGUAAUACUAUUAUUUCAAAAAAAGAAUGUAAUAAAGAUUUGAUUCCGGUUCUUUAAUCUUUAUAGCAAUUGAAAAACAAUGUUGCUCUUUUCCUAAAGCAUAAAAUAUGAAAUGAGUCAUAAUUGAAUUAGUCAUUUAUUUUGUUUAGAUCUAAAUUUAGACAAUAAAUUUUGAUUUUUUUUUCAAUUCUAUCCUUAUUAUUAUUGUUAAACAGGUUACAGAGGUUUGAGGAAGUUGAAAAGCCUCUAUCUAUCGAAUGUUGGAGUUAGAGAUGGAAGCAAGUUGUUACAGUCUAUGGGAUCAUUCCCAUCCCUCAACACUCUUUACCUGAAGGAUAAUAAUUUUACCGAUAUAGCGACAACUACUACUCAAGGUAAGUAAAAGGUACAGAUGUGGCCAAAUUUAUAAAUAAACUGUUAAUUAAUUAAUUUUCUGUAUUAUUAAUAAAGCUAAAUUUUUGCUCAUUCCCUCUAAUUCUAAACAGAGUUGCACAAUUUCACCAACUUGGAAUAUUUGACAUUGCACGGUUCCUCUCUCCAUAUAAGCCUUCUGCAAAGCAUUGCAUCAAUAUUCCCUUCGUUAAAAAAUCUGUCGAUAUCUUAUUGUGAAGUCAAUGGUGUCGUACAUGGUCAAGGUAAAAGAAAAGUGUUGGUUGUGCACUCACUGAGUGUUGUCCUACGUAUUCAAUAUUUUUAUUUAUUUAUUUUAUUGUUUAAUGUUUCUGCUAGGUUUUCCUCAUUUCAAGAGUUUGGAACAUUUGGGCAUGAUGUCCACGCGCAUUGCACUCAACACCAACUUUCUUCAAGUCAUCAGUGAAUCGAUGCCUUCUCUUAAGUACUUAUCACUGUCAUAUUCUACUCUUGGCACUAACAGCAGCAGGAUUCUUGAUCGAGGUUAAUCAGAUGCUCCCACCCUCCAUUCUUAAUCUAUAAUAUUAAUUUUCAGUUAAAUAUUUAAUUACACAAACCAAUCACUUAUUAUAAAAGAACAAUACGCAUUCAUUAAUUUUUAUAUUAUAUUAAUUGAUGAAUUUAAUAAAUUCCAGGCCUCUGUUCGCCGGUGCAUCUGCAAGAGUUAUACAUUGGUUCUAACGAUUUAAGAGGUAGCUUGCCUUGGUGCAUGACAAAUUUGACAUCCCUCCGAAUAUUAGAUGUUUCUUCCAAUCAACUUACUGGAAGCAUCUCCUCGUCUCCCCUCAUUCAUUUGACAUCCAUUGAAAAGCUGUAUCUUUCAAACAAUCACUUCCAGAUCCCAAUUUCACUUGAACCACUUUUCAAUCAUUCAAGACUCAAGACUUUUUAUGCUGACAACAACGAACUAAAUGCAGAAAUAACUCAGUCACAUUCUUUGACCGCCCCAAACUUCCAAUUAUCACGUCUCUCAUUGUCUUCCGGUUAUGAAGAUGGCGUCACAUUCCCCAAAUUCCUUUACCAUCAACAUGAUCUGGAGACUGUUGAGCUCUCACAUAUAAAGAUGAAUGGAGAAUUUCCAACUUGGUUGUUGGAAAACAACACAAAAUUGAGACAACUUUCUCUCGUCAAUGAUUCUCUUGGAGGACCUUUCCGGUUGCCAAUUCAUUCACACAAGCGGUUAGGAAUGUUGGAUAUAUCCAACAACAACUUCCGAGGCCACAUUCCAAUAGAAAUUGGAGAUGUUUUACCAAGUCUAUACCUUUUCAACAAUUCCAUGAAUGCUUUAGACGGUAGCAUUCCCUCUUCAUUUGGUAAUAUGAAAUUCCUCCAAAUUCUGGACUUAUCCAACAAUCACUUGACUGGUGAAAUCCCCGAGCACUUGGCCGUUGGUUGCGUCAACUUGCAGUCUCUUGCAUUAUCAAAUAACAACCUACAAGGUCACAUGUUCUCUAGAAAUUUUAACUUGAUAAACUUGAAAUGGUUACAAUUGGAGGGCAAUCGCUUCAUAGGUGAGAUCCCACAAAGUUUGUCUAAAUGCUCCUCACUAGAAGGAUUGUAUCUUAACAAUAAUAGUCUUUCGGGUAAGAUUCCACGAUGGUUGGGUAAUCUCACAUGGUUACAAUAUAUUAUAAUGCCCAAUAAUCAUCUUGAAGGCCCUAUUCCAGUGGAGUUUUGUCAGCUUGAUUUGCUUCAGAUUUUGGACAUUUCAGACAACAACAUAUCUGGAAGUUUACCAUCUUGUUUCCAUCCUCUCUCUAUCAAACAAGUUCAUCUUUCAAAAAAUAUGUUACAUGGACAGCUAAAAAGAGGUACAUUCUUUAAUUGCUCUUCCCUUGUGACAUUAGAUCUUAGCUAUAAUCGCUUGAAUGGCAGCAUUCCGGAUUGGGUUGAUGGGCUUUCUCAGUUAAGCCACCUUAUCUUAGGUCAUAAUAAUCUUGAAGGUGAAGUGCUAGUUCAAUUGUGCGAAUUGAACCAACUACAAUUGUUAGAUCUUUCUAAUAAUAAUCUUCACGGUCCUAUUCCUCCUUGCUUUGAUAACACCACACUUUAUGAAAGUUACAGCAAUAGUUCUAGUCUUGAUGAGCAAUUUGAAAUAUUUUUUUCCAUCGAAAGCCCUCAGGGAAAUGUAGAAAAGCAAAUCCAUGAAAUUUUUGAGUUCACAACAAAGAACAUUGUGUACAUUUACCAAGGAAAAGUGCUUAGCCUCCUAUCAGGACUUGAUCUUUCUUGCAACAAGCUAAUUGGUCCUAUUCCUCCUCAAAUUGGAAAUUUGACAAGGAUUCAAACAUUGAAUCUAUCACACAACGACUUGAUAGGAUUGAUCCCAUCAACAUUUUCAAACUUGAAGCAUGUCGAAAGUUUGGAUCUUUCCAACAACAAAUUGAAUGGGAAAAUCCCUCAUCAACUAGUGGAGUUAAAGACAUUGGAGGUUUUCAGUGUGGCAUACAAUAACUUAUCAGGCGAAAUUCCAGAAUGGACUGCACAAUUUGCAACCUUCAAUGAGAGUAGCUAUGAGGGAAAUACUUUUCUUUGUGGAUUGCCAUUGCCCAUUUGCAGAUCACCAGCAACUAUGUCGGAGGCUUCAAUUGGCAAUGAACGAGAUGAUAAUUUAAUUGACAUGGACAGUUUCUUUAUCACAUUUACAACAUCGUACGUAAUUGUGAUAUUUGCAAUUGUUAUUAUUUUAUAUGUAAAUUCUUAUUGGCGACGUAGAUGGUUUUACUUUGUUGAAAUGUGGAUAACUUCAUCUUACUAUUUUGUUGUAGACAAUCUUAUUCCAACAAGAUUUUAUCAUUGAAAUUAAUUAGUAGUUUAAUUACGAUUCUUUAAGUACUAAUCAAGUUUGUUUAGGAAAUAUUUUUUUAUUAAAAUUGUAGUAGUAUUUAGCAUUAUAUAGCUUCCAACUUCCAAGCACUUCACAUUUGUCUCUACACUUAAAAAACUGAGUGAUCAUGUUUUGCAGAUCUGGAUUUGGAGCAGGAUGGAUCCAAACCCAUAUCUGUCCACCGUAACUUAUAGCUUCCCUAUACUGUGCAGCAUACUUAAAUAAGAGAACCAUCUCCAAUGUUAAAAGCAUUCACUCUAUAACAUUCAUUUAGAAACUAUAUUCAGAAUAAUUUUAUAAUUAAACACAAGAAAUGAAACACACAGAUACACUUGAUCGCCUAUUUUACUCUAAAAAAGAACGAUUAUUGUGCUAUCAUCAUCUUCUUCACUAGCAACAUUAACACCAAAUCGAUGGACCCAUACAUUUCAUCAAGAAAGGUCUAUAUCCAAUAAAGUUGAAGCCUAACAAAAAAUUCAAGAAGAUUCAUGCCUCGCCACAACAAGGGGCACAACAACAUCAAAGUAGAGAUUAAGCAGUAUUCUCAAAGCUAAAACUCUCAAAUCCACCCACCAGAAUUUCAUAUCUCCUCAACAAUUUUAAGAACUAAAGAUAAUUAGGAUUUAACAUUAGUUUUUUAUAUAUUAGUUUCAUAAUUUACAAAUCAAUGAAGAUGAAGAUUAUGCUAAUAAAUUCAAAUUAUACCAUACAUUCUCUAGAUGUUACCAAAAAUUUCUAAGUCAAUCCCACAUAUUUCAUAAUUUUAAGACUAGAAAAUUUCACUAGUUAGAAGUUUCAUUACCUUCAAGUGGAAGAUGAAGAACAUUAUACAAGUGAUUCAGAUUAUAUCAUACAUACUCCAAAUGCAACUAGAAAUUAACAAGUUCAUGCACACAUAUUUCAUAACAUUAUGAUUGAAAAGUUUCACAGAGAAAUUCUAAAUUCAAUCUCUUGCAUGAAGGCAAUUUGAUUGAUUUGAGUUACUUUCUUAUCAAGCUACUAAUAUAACAUUCAAGUCAGGGAGAAAAUAAAUUAAAACUGGGAAGAAAUAACAGUAAAAAUUUGUUGCUCAACAUGAUGUGUAUUUUUUUUCAAGGCAAUUUGGAAACACAAUUGUUACCACAGAUAUUCUUCUCAACUUGGAGAUAAAUACAAAUAUUAAAAUGCAUAUGAUCGCACAUAUUACUUCGAGUUUAGUAAGAUUUCAUUAAAAGAAGCAAUCAAACCACUUAUCAAUUGUCGCAGUCGUUCUAUAAACUAAAAUAGCAAUAUAAUACAAGAAAAAGAACAUAUAGAUACUUGGCAAGAGUUCAUUAAGAAGUCACAUCACAUUCAGGUGAGGAGUUUGCUUCUGAUAUCUUGCUAGCUGGGGCUUUUUCUUGUCUUUCUACGUAUGCCGAGGGAAACCAACCAGCUUGGCCCUUGCAUUCACCUUCCGACCAUCCAAUAGGAGCCACCUUGAGAAGUUAUAACUAAAAUGGUGAAUUAAACAAAAGUUGACCGUUCAAAGACCUAAGGGGAAAACUAAUUCUUUUACGUAGGAGGAGUGAAUUAGUUGUGAUCACUGAAAUAACAGCAUAACUAUGGAAGCAUAACAAGAUAUAAAUUCACACGUCUAUAAGGGUAAACUGGGUGGUUGAGAACUGAGCUAGCAACCCUACUAUAUUCUGAUUUGCACUUCAAUGUAAAAGGGAAUAUAUGGUAGGAAGAAAGAAAACCAACCAUCAUUUGUUAACUCAUUGCUUUUCAAUCAAAAUUUUAAGAACAAAAUGCCAUGUGCUUUGAACAUCAAAUAAGUAUAAGCAUUAGUUCUAAAUUCCACAUAUCAUAAGUUGUUAGAAGGAUAAGUUAAUAGCAGAGUAGAAAAAUCUAUGUGUUGGUAUUUAGAGGGGAAAGUACCUGGCGAACCACAACAUAAUCAUCAAUUGAAAGACUUAGCUCUCCAUUUGCUUGAGCAUCAAAUGGAUGUAUAACCUGCAAGAUAAUGGGAUAAAUAGAACUUAAAAAAAGCAUAACAAAAGCGGCAACAGUAGCAGCAACGUUCAUUGUAACCACUAUGAUCAUGGCCAACAAAGAUAUAUUAGAAACAAAAUUCCAUUUUUACUACGACAUUAAUAUGUACUAUACGAUAUCAUGACGAUUGGGUUACUAAGAGCUAUCAAAGUCUAAUAAGUUCUGUAUAACUUUAUGUAGUUAUUUAAAUUAUGGAUCAGAUUUUAAAUUUGAAAUUUUGACUGCUCUCCACAAAACAUGGCCUAUGCACAAGAAAGUCAUAGAUAAUGAGGAUUACAAGUGUCCGACAUCUUUUGAGUGAUGGAUUUAACAUGAGAGCUUAUGGUCAGUCAAUUUCCUCUGCCUAGCAAUAUAAGCUUUCUCGGCCAGAUUUAUCAUCAAAUACAUAGAUUGCCCCCAAGUCACAUCCAUAUAAACAUAGUUUUUCUAGGUAAACCAAGUAAGGAGUAUCAUAAUUCAGACAUAAUCAUAAAAAGGCCCAUCUAACUUAAGAGAAAAUCUCAAAAAGAGGGAUGCUGAGCUAUCAGUCUUGUAUCUAUAAGCAAUAUCAAGACUUUACGUCACCUGCUACAUCGUGAGUGGCUACACAACUUUCAGUGGUUUGUCUUUCUUUGGCACGCCUAACUCAGCUUUCAUGUUGCUGAGAUAUUGAUAGUAGAGACACAUGAUACUUCUAGCUCAUGCAUUCUAUCUAACUCAUCCAACAACUAUCUCUUUUUUAAUUCAUUAGUGUUUGCUAAACCUCAUGCUUAAAAGUCCUGUUCUCCUAAACAAAGUUUCCUAAGAAUGACUUCCUUAGCACCACAGUUGGACACUUUUAGAGCAAUUUUAUUUGGGGGAAAAGAAUUUUCAAGGUGUUAACUAAUAAAUUUUAAAAAAUAAUUACAAUUUGUCCUACGAUCAUAUGACAAUUUAUCUGGGAUGAAAGGAUACAGAUAGACAUCUUCCACUUUCAAGACUAAUCACUACUUCCGUAGAUGUUGUGCAAUAAUACAAAUACUUGACCAGAUGGUAGUGAUGGUAGAAAAAAAUUUUAUUGCUCCAAAAUUAAAAUAAGAAUGCAAUAUGUUAAGCAAAAGGCUGUGCAACAUCAAAUUAAUUGAUAAGUUUGUAAUUCAGUAAAUUAACAACUUUCAUGGUAAAAUACAACAAAUUUCUUUUGAAAAAAAAUAAAUAAAUCUUAAAAGACAACAUUCAAUUUUGUGCACAUCUUAUUUCUUAAGAUUUUUCAGGAGGAGGGCAAUAGAGGGACUUUCACCUAUGCAAGAGAGCAGAAGCCUUACUUUCCCUAUAAAGUAGACGUCAUUCUGAUUAAUAUGCGUUUGCAAAUCAGCUCCGUUUGAAUCAGUAUUCUGAUAGACACACGAGGAAUUUACAUCCAUUUCCAAAGUCACAUGUUGCGAGGAGGACUCAUUUGAUUGCUCCUAUACGAUCAUCUAAUUCAAGUAGCAAGGGUUGGAAGAGAAUAAAAAGUCACAAUUAUUCUUUUGCAUAAGUGAGACGAAAAUGAUAAAUGCAAUAUUAUCAGCAGUAAACAAGAAGAGAACGCUCCAAGAAAUAGAUAGAUGCAGACAAGCAAGUUAAAAUGCAUAGUCCCAAACCUCCGCAUACAACUUCUCUAAAAUAGCAAUAACGUGUUGAUGCUAUGUUUUCUCAGCAUCUACCUGCAAAGGCCCGAGACCAGGAAAACAACAAUAAAACCACUAGCUGAAGGAGAAAGCAAAGAAAGAAAUACACUUGACAUAAAUCUUGACAAGAAGCACAAAUUAAGACAUAACAAACCCCAAUCAUAUUGUUUAGAACUACCAUUCGUUAUUUCGUUAUUGUAACAUUUCGAACAAGUGUUGACUUAAUUCAACAUUGUUGGAAAGAUAGGCUUUUAGAAGCAGAAGAAAGCCUCUCAAACCAAAGUGCUGGUCCUUGUAUUGAUCAAGGGAUGUAAACAUAUUACAUUUGCAGGAUGAGAUUUAAUCACUCCCCUGAUUUAUUCGGGUUGCAGUAAAACUAAGCGAGCAACUGUUUGACUUUCAAGCAACAGCUAAAUCAGCUAUUAAAAUUCAAAUAAAAUCAUAAUAGAAUAAUAACAGGCCAUCUUGCAUCAAAAAUUAAGUUUAAUUUGUGAAUUGUUUUCUAUAGACAUGUCAGUUUCUGCUAUUGAAAUGUUAAAAGCAUUGAAAAAUUAUUCAAUAAAUUAUGCAAGCAUUAAAAUAGAGGACAUAUUAAAAAGUUUCUAAUUACAAUGUUAAUAUUUCCUAUAUUUUAGCAUUUGCAUAUUUUAAUUUAUUUAAAAGCUACGUUGAUCAACUUUGGGCAUGAAGAUUUUAGCUUAUACGAGACUUGAUUGGAAUAUGCAUAAGAGUGUUAAAAUAUGAUGCAUCCAAUGAAAGACAAACCACGUGUAGUCUUUUAAUUAAGCCAAAGUAGCAGCUCAAACAAAUGACACUUGGACCAACAUGCAAUCAUGAAGUGGCCGGAAAAAGGACAAAUGCAACUUUGGCUUAAAUAAAAAAUAACAUGUGACUCGACUUUUGCUGGACAUGCAUCAUGUUAUCACAAGACAACAGAAAUCAGUAUGAUAGUACUAAAAGUUGACAAUAACAUGAAGAUAAGAGGCAGAAUGUCAACACAUGCAUAGGCACACACAAGAAAGUAUUAACUUAUAUACCAUAGCAAAAAGUCUUUGAUAUGUCAUCUGUUGCUGCUGUGAUUCAACUGACAGCAUGGCAGCUGUUGCUUCUCUACCAAGAGCCAUUAUUGUAGAUUUAAGCUCGGUCAAUCUUGCUUCUGCAUUUCGAAGCUUCACAGCACUCUCUGCUGAUAUAUCAGAUUCCCUAAUCUUUGAUCGGCGCCUAAAUACUUCAGCUGCCUGGUGAAAAUAUUCAAUAUAAAUCUAACAUAAUUCUCAUCUUGCCUUAUACAUGCAUAUGUUAACUCAAAGCUUACCUGGGCUUCAACUUCAUGUCGAAGUUUGUCAUAACGAUGAGUCAGGUGUCGAGCAUCUUCCAAAGGUGCUCCGUUGAUUAACGCCCGUAGUGGCUCAGAUACCUACAUGUCCAAAAACCUGUAACAUAGUUAGAAAAAUGAAAAGAAAGAGCGAAACCUCAAUUAAAAAGUUCCUCCAACAUAAUCAUGGAAUUUGGGCCUACUUCAAGGAUAUAUAUAAGGAUAAUUUCUGCAAUUUUGGGUCUUAGGAUGAUUGAUAUUAGGUUAUUGUUCUUCUCUUCUGUAUUUAAGGUUAAAAUAGAAAUAAACCUAUGCAAAUAUCUAAAUUAGGCCUGUAAGACAUCCACAUGCAUCCUUCAGCCUCAUGGAUUUGAUUUUACUAUAGAUGCAAGUGUCUUUAUCGAAAAUGCUUGGAGUCAAUUGAGAGAACUCAUGGCCAAUAACUUGUCACACGCUAGUGUUUGCUAGUGAUGUAAGAAGUCACAAGGUCUCUUCAACAUUUGAACCAAUAAAAUUAUUAAGUCAUGGAUGUCACUAGCAAUGAUUUUAAUAUAAAACAUUAAAUAUUUCAGAGUUGUAACUUUAAAAUGGAUUCUUUUAUUCAAUAUCAUAGAACUAAGUUUCCUUAUGAGAAGAUAAUAGUUUCGAUAAUAAUUUUACAUAUAAUUUUCUAUAUUUGAAUUAUUUUCUAGUUAGGGAUGAACUAACCUGAUCACGAAGAAUCCCGAGCAAAGUUUCCCUCUCAUUUUCCAUCAAAUCAUGUGAAGUGCCAAAUUGAAGAGCAGCUCUUGCAACGCAAGAAUUGUCACUUUGAUUCUCUGCUCCAUACUUGCAACAAUCUUCCGCCAACUUUCUCGCUACAAUAUUUGUACACAAGAACUAGUCAAGAAAAUAAAAAAAAAAAUCAAAUAUUAUAAAGAAAGCAAGAGCAAACAAACAACUUAUUUCCAUUUGGUUCAAGCUUACUGCAACAAACCCUUCAACGCCACGGACAAUAUUCCUCUGAAAAUGCUGUGCUACAGAGCAUAUAUUCCAAAUUAUUGUUCAGAUAAAACCAUAGAAACCAUCAUAAUUAUUCAACAUACAUUAAGCUCCGUUUGGUAAAUACUUGCAACUUCAGUCUAGAAAAUACAGUUAAUUUUUAUUUAAAAAACAUCAUAAUUAUCAACAUACAUAUUUGACAAAAUUAUUAUUUAAAAAUCAUAUCAAAUUAAUUACCAAAAGCCACAAUAAAUCAAUAUCAAACAGAGUCUUAUUAUUAGCUAAAGGAGGAUAGUACCUUAGCUGCCCUGGUGGAAUUGUAUAGAUUUUGAAGUUGUUGGUGACACUCAAUUUCAGCUUCAUCAACCACAACAUUUUCAAUACCAAGAUGGAGCAGAUGCUUCAAUACUGCCUGUACAAAUCAUAAAAAACGAAUAAAAAUAAAUAAAAUCGAGAUAUUUCACUAACUAAGAGUCUAAAUAUAAUUUUUUUAAAAAGAAAAGAAACGGACUUGCUGCUGCUUGGCGACUUGUUCUCGGAGCUUGAUUGCCUGUUUCUUGAUAGCUUCCAUACUGUUUCUUUCAAAAAGCGACGACGGCUCAGCUCAUGGAGGUGGAAAAAAAAAGUGUGAUCGGGAAAAAUAAAAAGGCAUGAAUAAUUUUUGAAAAAAAGCGAAAAUCAAGGAAAGCCAGCUCUUUCCAGAAAAUAAAAAAAGAAAAAAGAAAAAAGAAAAUUAUAAGGUUGAAAGGAGUAGAUGAUAGUGGAAGUGUGCGGUGUAGCUGCCAGCUACUUGGAUUGUAUUGUCGGGUAAGGUAAUAGUAGAGAAUUUUUUAAGAAGCUAGAACAGAGCAUGACAUUAGACUUUUGUUGACCAAAGGAUGUUGUUUUAUUCUUCUUAUACUUUACGCUUGCAUCAGCCUCAAUCACUUCUUAAUCGCUUGCUUUAACUGCAUCGCUCUCUCUGUGCUCUUCUAUAUAUGUGACGGUUAUGCGGUUGUAGUUCACGGCUGAGGCUACGCGUUGGUUUGACGUGUCAGUUACGUUACAAGGGGAUAAAUAAGAUUGGUUGCAACAAACCCACUAAUUUUAUAAAAUUCGAGUAAUAUAGAAUAAAAUAAAAAAAUAAAUACAAAAUUGGCUUUUAUUUUUUAUGGUUGACUGUAUUUUGUGUUCUCUUCCGGCACUACUACAAUUGUUCCCCAUAUAUCAGUCACACCUAUAUAUCAUUAACAUAAGAAAUGAAAUCUAAUGUCACCUAUUUAGUUAAAGAAUCACUCAUGAAAAUUUUUUACCAUUUUGCUUUGAGGAUCCAUAUUUUGAACUGCAAGCUAAUGUUCAUCAAGAAUCACUAAUGUUCAUAAAAAACAGAACAUGGCCGUUGAGUAGAAAAACUAUUUUUGGACAAAUUAUUUUUGUUGAUAGAAGAAUUUCUUAAGGGACUACUAAAAUUAUUAAUAAAAAUGUAGAACCACCCACAUAUCAUCUACACAAUUGACUUUGAGGAUCCAUGCUUUGAAUUGCCGCCUAAUGUUCAUCAAGAACAGAGUAUGCCUUGUGAGUAGAAAAUUUUAUGAUUUUGGCCCGAAAUAAAAGGAAAUUAAAUUAGAUGAGAAUCUGCCACUUUCUCAUGAAAAAAGGCAUACGGAGCAUACCAUGGUACCAUACGGAGAAUAUUAGAACCACCCUAGAAUAUCUUUACCCUGAUGUUUCUAACAAAAAUCUGCAUGUGGCAGCAAUUACUAGAUCUACAAUUUCCCAAAUAAUAUUUUGUGUUUCUUAAAAAAUUUGAAAUACAUAGUUGCACUUGCACACCGUGAGACAGUGCUACAAUCUACUGAGAUCUAAAUUAUAUGAGACUUUAAGCUACUAAUGUUUGCAUAUUUCUACAUGUCAAAUUAACAUUACCAUCUAUAAUCCGAAACGACAGAUGAUAAACGGCUUUUGGCCACUUAUUACUAGCAUCCACAAUUAAUUUUUGUUCAGCAAUCAGCUUAUUUUAUAGAAAUUGAUUUAGUCAGCAACAAACACUAUAAUUGCUACUAUGUACGAACUGGUCAUGAAUUAUCUAUAAGAUUUUUCAUGUUGCUUUUAGGUGCAUUGGAUUUUUUGAGUUUAGUGCAAGAGUAGAGGAAGGCAAAUUAAGAAAAAGGAUAAAGAUCUAUAAUUAGCUUCUCAUAACAUAUUGAUGGUAACAUUAUACAUAUGUAUAUCUAAAUAAUGGGGUUGGAUCAGGAGCCCAUUAAUAAUCAUAUAUUAGCUCAUAUAGUUAAAAAAAAAAAUGUACCAUAAAGCCAUUUCACCAGCACUUGUUAGCCUAUGUUGAGCUUUAUUAUCAAUACUUCAUAGUUCAUCGGUGCACUGCAGGUUUACUAUUUGAAGUAAAUGUUAUGGUGCGUGCAUUCUUCAUAAGGCCAACUAUUGAAUUUAGCAUUGAAACUUACAAAAUGUAAUAGAAAGAGGUAGAUAACAGCCAUAAAACACUAAGAUUGGAAAUCAGGGCUACUAUACUAUUACAAGCCCUUAGAAAAGACAGUGAUCAUCCUGAAAUGUAUCUACUGAAAGUAAGAAAUAUUAAUCGUAAAGUUAUGUGUCAACAGAACUAUUGACUACUUGUCUCUAGUAGAAAGUAAAUAUUUUUAACUCCAGCUCUCUACUUUGUUUUAAGAGCUAGGCAAAAGAAGAAAAUUUCGAUGUCUAAAGUUUGCCACUUGGAAUAUUUCACUGUCUAAACAUUCACUCACCACUUAUUUCAUCAACGAAUUUUGUCUAAUUAUAUGUUGAUAAAGAUAUUAGAGUAAUAUAAUGCGUUUAAGGCUUAACUUAUAUUUUUUAUUAGUAGAGUGUAGAACUUUUAAGAAAUAAAUUAUUAAAUUACUAUAACUAACAUAUUAUUUUAAAGUUAUGUUAAGGAAAAGAAUGAAACAAAAAUAAAUAAAUAAAUAAGGGUAUUCUAAAACUUUGAUCUUUUUAAAAGUAGAUUUUGACAUAGAUAAAAUAAUUUUUAUAUUUUUUAAAUCACAUACUCUAGUUAAAAUCAAAUUUGUAUUUAUAAAAUUUGUAAAUUUAUUUAUUUUUUUAGCACUGAUAUUUGAACACUAUCAAGAUAAGAAAUAGGGUACUGGUCAUGCUACAACAUUAUCAUAGCACGUAAAAAGACAAUACCAUUUAUUUUAUUGUACUAUCAUUGUUGUUAUAAUAGUAUUUUGUUAGUGGUCAAAUAUUUUUUUUUUAAGUAAAAAAAGUGAACAAUGUAAAUUAACUUUUAAUCUCUCCUAAAAUUCUAAUUCCUAGUUACGAAACAAAAUUGUUUGAAAAUCAUUAGGCUAACUGCAUGGGUUCUUAAAACCAUAGGUGAUAGAAGUUACUAACACAAGCAAAUUUGACGGUCCAUUUUAUAAAAUUUGUUAUUUACCAUUUUACCACCUAUAUAAGGAGUGCCGCAUCGACAUAUCAACUCAUUUGCAGAUUAUUUUAAUUUUGUAAAAUUCAUUUAACCUGCACUUGGUCGCCCCUAUUCUCUGAAUGGUUAUGGCGAUAUCAUCAUUAUCGUUACUUGUACCAACGCUAAACCCUUCUUAUUCCCUUUCUCGCCUGUCAUACCCUAACAUUAUAUCCCGUGUCCACACUAAAGACAAGUAGUCAAUUCAGGCCAUCAGAUUAUAGUGGACCCACAUCAAUCCAACUGCUCACAAUGACCGACAGCCUCUCCAUCUCCAUUUCAGGUUUCCUCUUCAACUGGCUUCUGCUUCCGCCGUAUUUGCUCCAUUUCUUGGAUUCGGAGUCCGUAUUUGGUCGGUCGGUCCCGCACAGCUCCCUCUCACUCCAAUUGUCACCCAACAAGACCAAUUGCUUAAUCAAGGCACAGAACAAGAAGAGGAUGGGAAAUUGAAACAAGAAUUUGAGAAUUGGAAAUCGAAAACGUCCGCAUUGACCGUGCCUUUGAGGGCAAUUACUUUUCUUGAGAAUUGAAGUUUGGUAAUGUAAUUUGUUCUCCAUCUGUGUUCCCUUUGUAGUCAUUUCAUUUAUUUGUUUGUUUGCUUUUAUUUGCAGGAGAAAUUGAUCCUCGAGAUAAAAGUAAAUUGUCUUUAAGCUCAUUUAGUUUUAUAUCAAACAAAAUCAAGACUGCCUUUUUCUUCAAUAGUUUUGAUGAUAAUAUCUUUAGAAGCAUCUCAUUGACAGGUAAUCGUGGUACCCCUUAAAGAGUCUAUAAACUCAAGGAUAUUAUCUUCUGCAAAUGGUUCAUUAAACUUCUUAGAUGUAGUUAAAUGUACACUGAGAACAACGAGAAGCUAUGCCACUGUAGCAUGUAGUGAUGGCACUUAAUGAGUGAGUUGCUAGGAUAUGAACUAGAAAAAUUAAACAUUGUCUCCCUGGGUAUGCUAGCUUGUAAGUCGGUUAAUAUUAGAGCUUGAGAUACUAUAACCAUGAGAAGCUAUUGACCGCCGAUUAAAAUAUCCAUUAAAAUGUCUAGGGAGUUAUGAAGGUGGAGGUGUCUCCCAAUUUCUAAGGCCAUAUAGUAGACAUCAUCCAGGAUCCUAUUAAAGUGCAGUUAGCCUCCUGCUUGAUGCUAAUGUCAAACAAUUAAUAAAUUUGGUCAAUGUAACUGAAACUUGCUAACUGACGUCAGAUUGCGACUUGAGCACCUUAAAAUGGGAUAGACGAUUAGUAGCACUGAAUUCUUCUUGCCUAAGAUUGAGCAAUUGUUCUAACUACUAUCUCCUAUUGUAGGUUGAUUAUUAUGUUCUAAUUAUGUCGAUUUUGACCCAAAAAAUUACAUAAUCUUGAUCUGCAUAAUGUCACUGAACAGUGUCAAUUUCGUUUACCAACUAACUUGAGUUUGAUAUAACAAACACACGGUGUGUCUCUCAUGUCUCACCAUGAUGGAGAAUUUUUCUAAUGCAUGAAGCAAGCUUCGAUAUGUGGGUUAGCUUGGAGAAGAUAUCUUAAAAUGAAGAAUAUGGGGAGUUAAUGGGAAGAAACAGUUCAGUAGUUUAUAAUUCUGUCGUCGAGCUGUAUCUCUAACAUGGUCAAAAUUUAUGUGAAUAAGGACAGGGAAUCUUCAUUCCUCUUUCCCUUUUUAUACCCACAUAUCUCUCAACCUUUAUAUGUUGCUCACUGGAGAUCUGCUUCUGAUAACUAAAAUAAAAAUUUCAUCCACUCAAAUAAAUUCUGACCAAGCUUUCACAAGAAAAAGUAACAUCUUUAGUGAAGUAAUUUACAAGUAAUUUAGAGUUCCUUAUCAUCUUCUUGUGAGUCUAUCAGUAUGAUCCAAAAACAUAAUAAAUCUUGUUAGAUCCUGUUUAUUGAUGUUUAAACGCUGCUCAUUGUGAAAUGUAGAAACAAUGACGUGAAGUUUCUUUGGUCAUCAAUUAGUGAGAUCUUGUUUGAAGUUGUUUUCUGAAAUGAACUGCCAAAUGAUAGUUUUUUUUUUUUUUUCUUUGGACGCAUUUGAUGGCUCUUUUCUCCUCAUUUUAAGCAUGUGCCUGCUUGGUAUGGGAAGGAAUAGGCUUCAGAGUUGUUAUAUAUGUUGACAUGCUCUGGUCAUUACACAAUAUGUUCAAAUUGGAAAUUAGAAUGAGAUAUUUGUCGAUGCUUUUUGAGAGAUCUGCAUUCUAUGCAGCAUAACAUGAUUAAUGAAAAUGGGUUUAAGGACUGGAAAGAUCUGUGGCAGCCCAAGCUUGCAGGAAGGAUUUCAAUGGUUAAUUCUCCCAGAGAGGUUAUUGGUACAGUUUUGAAGUAUAUGGGAGCAUCAUACAAUUCAAACGACAUUAAUUAGCAAGUUGCUGCUGGGAGGAUUGCUGUUCAGCAGAAUCUGGCAUUACUGGGAAACCAGGUACUCUUAAAGAAACGAUAGCUGGUCAAUGCAUAUUAUUGCCUGACGGCUGAUUUUGUUUGUAAAGUGUGCCUUUUCAUACAUAUGAAUGCAUAUGUUAGUGUUGUCUUCUUCUUUCCAUAAAUAUGAAUGCAUAUGUUGGUGUUCUUUUCUGAGAUGGAUGCAAUAAAGGCUUUUUCUUCUAAAUGACGAGUUUUCAUUUAAAAAUGUUAUAAAUCUGCCAUGCAUAGUAUUCUAGUAGAAUCAUCUAUAAAUUCAAGUUAUUGAAAUUGUCUAUUUGUCCAGUUUGAGUUAAGGACGCAUGUAAUAUGAAAAAUAGUUGUCGAAUAUUGUAGGUUAGCUAAUAUUUGAUCAAUCCUAUAGGGAGGGCUUUAAGAUGUCUAACAACAUGUAGAAUGCCCCUGCUUCCCCCACAAUUUUUAUCUUAUACAAUUUUUAUCUAUAAACAGUAUUUGCCAGACCUUAACUGUUCAGAUUCCCCUUCUCGACUAUCAUACCCUACGCCCCGUCUCCGUGUCUCCGAUAAACAGUGCUCAAUUAAGGCCAUCAGAUUAUCCCGGUCCCACAUUGAUCAACGGCUCACAAUGACCGACAACCUCUGUCUCCAUUACAAGCUCCCUCUUCAACUCGCUUCUGCUUCCAUCCUACUCUUUCUCAGAUUCGGAGCCCGUAUAUGCUCGGCUGGUCCCACGAAGCUCCCUCUCACUCCAGCUGUCAACCGACAAGACCAAUUGCCUUAUCAAGACAGAGAACAAAAAGAGGAUGAGAAAUUGAAACAAGAAUUUGAGAAUUGGAAAUCGAAAACGUACUCAUUGACCGUGCCUUUGAGAGUUGUUUCUCUUCAGAAUUCAGUGCCUCAAUCUUGGGUUAAGGAUUUUAUGCGAAGUCAAGGAAAGUGAUUGAAGUUUCAGAUGAAUUUGUGUGCUAGCAUUGGUGGGAUCUUUAACAAUUUAUCUGUGCCCUUUAACAAAGUCAAGGCUAAUUCAGCUUCUUAUAUGGCUGCUGAUUUGGUUAGUGUUGGUGAUUCAUGGCUUAGUUUUGCCAUUAAAGAGAGAUUGAUUGAGCCAAUGGCUGGAGCUGAAGACCAAGAUUGGUUCAAAUGCUUAAGUCACAAAUGGAAGGUAACAUCUUUAUCUUUGGCCCGAUAAUUUUUAUUGUCUUACAUUGAAAUUUGGUAAUGUAAUUUGUUCUCUAUCUGUAUUACCCUUUUUAGUCGUUUUAUUUAUUUGUUUAUUUGCUUUUAUUUGCACUAACGAAGUCUCAGGUAUAUCUAUGCAGAAUGAUGCAGGAGAAAUUGAUCCUCGAUGUGAAAUAUGGGCGGCACCAUACAGGUGGGGCACAAUGGUGAUAGCCUACAAGAAAAGUAAAUUUCGAAAGCAUAAUUUGGCUCCGAUUGAGGUAAUAAUUGUCUUUAAACUCAUUUAGUUUUAUAUCAAACAAAAUCAAGACUGCCUUUCUCUUCAAUAUUUUUGAUGAUAAUAUCUUUAGAAGCAUCUUAUUGAUGGGUAAUAAUUGUAUCCCUGAAACAGUCUAUAAACUCAAUGAUAUUAUCUUCUACAAAUGGCUCAUUAAACUUUGUCGUUGUAGUCAAAUGUACACUCAGAGCAAUGACAAGCUAUGCCACUGUAGCAUGUAGUGAUGGCACUUAAUAAGUGAGUUGCUAGGAUGUGAACUAGAAAAAUUAAAUAUUGUCUCCCUGGGCAUGCUAGCUCAUAAGUCAGGGUUAAUAUUAGAACUCAAGAUACUAUAACCAUGAGAAGCUAUUGACUGCCAAUUAAAAUAUCCUUUAAAAUGUCUAGGAAGUUAUGAAGGUGGAAGUAUCUUCCGAUUUCUGAGGCCACAUGGUAGAUAUCAUCCAGGAUCCUAGUACAGUGCAGUUAACCUCCUGCUUGAUGCAAUUAAUAAAUUUGGUCAAUGCCACUGAAACAUGCUAACUGACGUCGCAAUGCGACAUGAGCACUUCAAAAUGGGACAGACGGUCGGUAGCACUAAAUUUUUCUUGCCUAAGAUGAGCAAUUGGUCUAACUACUAACCCCUUUUGUAGUUGAUCAUUAUUUUUUCAAUUAUUUUCAGUUUGACCCAAAACGUUACAGAAUCUUGAUCUGAAUAUUGUCACUGAACAUUGUCACUGAACAUUGUCAAUGUCGUUUAGCGUAGCCAACUAACUUGAGUUUGGUAAAACAAACACACAGUGUGUCUCAUGUCUCACAAUUCAAAUUAUCAUUUGUAAUGAUGGAGAAUUUUUCCAAUGUAUGAAGUAUGCUUUGAUACGUGGGUUACCUUGGGGAAGGUAUCUCAAAAUAAAGAAUAUGGGGAGAAAACAGUUCAGUAGUUUAUUAUUCUGUAGUCAAGUUUUGUCUCAAAAAUGGUCCAAAUUUAAAUGAAUAAGGACGGGGGAUCUUCAUUCUUUUUUCCCUUUUUUAUACCUAGAUAUCUCUCAACCUUUAUAUAAUCCCCACUGGAUAUCUGCUUCUAAUAAUUAAAAUAAAAAUUUCACCCACACAAAUAAAUACUGACCAAGCUCUAACAAUAAAAAGUAACUUCUUUAGUCAAGUGAUUUACAGUUCCUCAUCACCUUAGUGAGACUAUCAGUGUGUUCCAAAAACAUAAUAAAAUUGGUUUGUUCCUGUUUAUUGAUGUUUAAAUGUUGUUCAUUGUGACAUGUAGAAAUGAUGAGGCGAAGUUUAUUUGGUCAUCAAUUUGUAAGAUCUUGUUUGAAGUUGCUUUCUGAAAUGAACUGCCAAAUGGUAGUUUCUUUGGGCAUUUGAUGGCUCUUUUUUCCUCAUUUUUAAACAUGUGCCUGCUUGGAACAGGAAGGAUUAGGCUGCAGAGUUGUUAUAUAUUUUGACAUGCUCUAGUCAUUGCACAAUUUGUUCACACUGGAAACUAGAAUGAGAAAUUUGUUGCAUUCUAUGCACAAUAACAUGAUUAAUGAAAAUGGAUUGUAGGACUGGAAAGAUCUGUGGCAGCCUGAGCUCGCAGGACGAAUUUCAAUGGUUAAUUCUCCCUGAGAGGUUAUUGGUUUAGUUUUGAAGUAUAUGGGAGCAUCAUACAAUUCAAACGAUAUUGAUUCGCAAGUUGCUGGUGGGAAGAUUGCUGCUCAGCAGAAUCUGGCAUUACUGGCAAACCAGGUACUCUCAAAGAAAUGAUAUCUGGUCAUUGCAUGUUAUUACCUGACAACUGAUUUUGUUUGUAAAAGUCUGCUUCUUCAUACAUAUGAAUGCAUAUGUUAGUGUUUUCUUCUCCUUUUCAUACAUAUGAAUGCAUAUGUUGCUUCUUUUCCUUUCCAUACAUAUUAAUACAUAUGUUGGUGUUCUCUCCUGAGAUGGAUGCAAUAAAGGUUUUUCUGAAGAAAUGGCAAGGGAUGUGAGAUUCUGUCUCAUAAAAUUAACAAAAACCCAAAACAAUGAAAACCCAUAAUAAUGUGGUGUGGGUAAAUUGACGCCAUUUGGUUCGUUUCCUUGAUGUGAAUACGCGGGCAAUAGAGACUAACAAAAUGAAGUGACAACAAGAAGUCAGUGUCCUUUGAUGGAUGCAUUUUUAGGCAGAAAUAGGUUUGUAAUUGACCAAAUUUGUCUGGCAUGCCAAUUUCAAAAAAAAUUAAAUUAUGUGGUUAUUAGCUGUAAUGAAGGGGGAUUGUAGGUCCAAUCAGGUGGAUCCAUGAAAGUUCAACAAAGUUCUGGUAUGGCGUAGAAAUUGGUUUGUGCAACUCAAGAGUCUUUCUGGUGAACGAUGAUGGGUUUUGAUUUAUAAAUGUUAUAAAUCUACUGUGCAUAGUAUUCUAGUAGAAUCAUCUAUAAGUUCUAGUUAUUGAAAUUGUCUACCUUGUUCAGUUUGAGUUAAGGGCACAUGUAAUAUGAAAAAUAGUUGUUGCAUCUUUUAGGUUACCUAACAUUUGAUCAAUCCUAUUAUGAGGGCUUCAAGAUGUCUAACAAUAUGUGGAAUGCCCAUGCUCCUCCCCAUUGUUUAUCUUAUAUAAUAAUUUGUUUUAGAUGCUAAUAUCUUUGUCGAUACCGGUAACAAUAUUACAAUAUCUGCGUUUAUUGGGUUUUACAUAGGUUCGACUGUUUGACAGUACACACUCUCUGAAGGCAUUUGGAAAUGGAGAUGUAUGGAUUGCUGUUGGGUGGAGUAGUGAUGUUCUUCCUGCUGUCAACGUAUGUCUAAUGUUGCAGUUGUUGUUCCCAAGUCUGGUGCUAGCUUAUGGGCUGAUCUUUGGGUAUACCCAUGCCUGCCAUUCUACUUCAAUAUUCACAUUGUUAUCUCCUUCAUAUUAGUGAUCAGUAAACACGAUAAUGUGACUAAUAAGUUCGUAUUCUCUUUAUAGGCAAUCCCUGCUGCCUCAAGACUUGAAACAAAACAAAUUGGAGGGCGAGUCAGAGGUGCAUUUCCAUUAAUCCAUCAAUGGAUAGAAUUCUGCUUGCAAACAGCGAGAGCAUUGCCUUUCAAGCAAGAGGUUAUCCCGAGCGCAUCUCCCUCUGCCCUUGAGAGUACUCUGGUUAAGUUGCCUGAAAACUUUGAAGGGUAAACCAAGUCUGGAUACUAACUUAAUUGCUGGAGUACCCCUGACGGAAAUUCUGGCAGAUGUGAGUUUUUGGAGCCAUUAUCUGAAGCUACAUUGUCGGAUUAUGAGUGGCUGGUUGCUAAUCUGCAAAAAUCCACUCUGUACUGAUCAACAAAGAUGCAACAUUACAUGUCAUCAUUGAUCUUUAGCUAAAGGUACAUUGAAAAGUUAAUGGCACUGCAUACCAGUCAUUAUAAUUGGGUCAGGGCAAUUGGGUCAGGGCAAUUGGGUCAGGGCAAUUAGGUCAGAGCAUAACUUCAUUAGGAAAAGAGGCUUCAGCUACGUUAAAUAUUACAGGAUGUACUGAGAUGGCUGAAGUUGUUGACGUUGUACGAGAAACGAAGAUGAGUGUUUGUUUGAACAAAGUUGUUGCCAAUCUUGCAGAGUUCGAGAAGAAAGAUCACGAAGCAAAUGCCACGAUUUCUUCAUCACUGUAGCCUCCAUAGUUGAAGUUUCCUCAUUUGAAGCUGUUUAUGCAUAUGCUUUUUUUCCCUUCUCAAGUACAGGAAAUUGAAGAAUUAACCAGAUGUGAAUAUGCUGAAAGAGGGAAGUUUUCUCCCUUGAAUGUGGCCUUGUGAUUUGUCUUGAAGGAAUAGGAUGAUCACUGGCAAGAACCCUAUCAAGGUAGAUUUUAUGAUGUUAACAUAUUAUUAAGCAUUUUUGUUACAUCAGCAAUGAUGCUUUCAUAGCAUGAAAGUGUUUAAAUUUAACUGAAUGAUCUUGAUUGAUCAAUUAUGAGUUUUAAUCGAGUAAAAACUAAAUACAUAAUCGUUAACAAUAUUGAAAUUGGGUAAAUAUGAUCUUGAUAUUGAUGAAUUUGAAAUCACAACCCACACAGGAAAUCACCCUCGCGUGGGGAUGGAAAUGUUUACUGCAGCGAUAUUGAAUAUGUCCACUGCUGGACUAAUUCUGAUUACCUAAUUGACUCAGGAUCGGCUGGCAAUAAUAACAGUUUAUUAACAAUGCACAGUCCGAGUACUUUUCCAGGAUCAGAUACGACGUGGUCUAAUGUUGAUAAUAAUAGAUUAUCAAAUGACAAAUCGUUGUUCUACUAUUGCAAGCCCCCAGAUUUAAGAAUCUUUUUCAGAAAUUAAAUACAUUCUGAGAGAUGCUGGUCUACUAUUGCAAGCCCCCAGAUUUAAGAAUCUUUUGACGGUAAUUUAUCACCUGUAACUGUGCCGGAAGAUUCAACUAGCACUGAAAAAGAUGAUAAAUUAAUUGAUAUGGAGAGUUUUCAUAUCACUUUUAAAUCAUCUUAUGUAAUUGUGAUGUUAGGAAGCAUUAGUGAUCUAUAUGUGAAUUAUUAUUGGCGCCAUUGGUGGUUUUAUCUUGUUAAAAUAUGGAUGAAUUCCAGUUACUAUUUUGUUGCAGACAAUCUUCUUCAAUUAACAUAUGGUUUAAAAUCAUUAUGUAAAUCAAUCUAUUAAUUUUCAAGAUAUUUAACUGAGUUAAAACUAAGUGCACUCAAUAAAUCUCUUUUCCUUUAAAAAACUGUUACGCUUUAUUUUAGUGCUUAAUAUUUAUUGAACUCCGAUACAGGGAAUUUGAAAUCAAACUCGUAACUACAUAUUAUCUAAUUGCAAGUUUCUAUCCAUAGCUGCUGAUUUGUAGUGAUUAUCUAAUUGACUGAGGUGACGACAAUUUUUUUUUUUUUAAAUUUUCAAUAGCACAAUGUGGAAUUCAAUAAUUAAAUUCUCCUUUUUAAUUUGUUUCCAGUUAAAUUAUUAAUUACUUAAACUCUGUUUUAAGUCUUUAAGUUUAUGUGUUUAUGCAGAAUUGGAUUCUUGAGCGUGUUGGACACGACCAACAAUGAAAUUGACAGUAAAAAAACAAUACAACGUGUGGACUCCGGUAGAUGCCAUACAAGUCUACAACUUUACAAAUAAUAAUUGAGUAAGCAACUUUGAUUCUCGGGGCCCUUCAAUGAAUUUCUAGCCCCGUUGACUCCGCCAACUAAAGUUUGUAAAAUAAAAAAAUACAUAGAAUUCCACUAAAUGCAAAACGCGUGGAAUUUAAUUUUCGGCCAUGUGGACCAAAACAUAAUUUAAUGAAAAAGGAAAAAAAAUGAUAAGAUUUCUAAAAUAUGUGAAAGAUGAUCCAUAUUUUACUGAAACGACUUAUUAAAUUUUUCAAAGAUUUAGAAUAUUUAGUCAUAAAUUACGUGCAUGUUAAUUUUUCCGCCAUUGACUAUCAUAUUCUAAACUUAAUAGUACAUUUCUUGUUGAAGGGUACUUAGUCUCUCUUCUCCUCUUAUAAAAAUUAUUGAUGGAUUUCUUGUUAUAGUUAAUAGUCUUUAAGAACGGAUAACUUUAUUGUUUUCGUGACCAAAUUAUGUCCGCCUAAGGUUGUGACUAUUAAUAAAAUUAAUAUUUUAAUGUUUAUGUUAAAAGAUAUAAGAUUUUAUGCGUUCAUUAAUUGUUAUUAGCUAAAGGAUGAAUUAUUUUUUCAACCCAAUCAGUUGAUGCAUCUGCAAGAGUUUUUUUCUUUAUUGACCAUAAUUAUGUUCCGGGUACAAUAAAUUGUCUUUGGUGCUUGGAAAAUAUGACUUCUUACUUCAAGUUUGAUAUGUCUCUCUCCAUAAACUUACUGGAAAUAUAUCCUCAUCUACUGUCAUUUAUCUAAUAUCAAUUGAAGAUCUCACUUUUUCAACUAUCACUUCCAAGUCUCAUUGUCACUUGGCCAUUCUUGGACCAUUCAAAACCAAUCAAGUGUUGAAAUAAUCAAAUAUAUGCAAAAUUAGAGUCACGAUUUUUUGGUCCCCCAAAUUCUAAUUAUAUAACUUCUAUAUAUUUCAUUGCCAGGUCACGAACUUGUUGGCACAUUUUCCAAAUUCCUCUUCCAUCAGCUCUCACACGUUAACUUAAGUGGAAAGUUUCCAAGUUGAUUGCUAGAAAGCAACGCAAAAUCAGACACACUUGAUCUGUCCCCUAAUUCUCUUUUCUACGUUGAAAAAGAAAAAAAAAAAAAUACAUAUAUAUAUAUAUAUAUAUAUCUAUGUAAAAAUAAAUAAUAAACUGAGUAAAAGUACAUUUGUUUAAUUAACAUCUGAUCGGGGCAUUUUUGGUGUAAGCCACAACUAAAAUCAAACAGCCCCUUAGCAUACUUCUUCCAUUUUAUCUGCUACUUUUGUGGAUCUUAUAGGGUGGGCAUGUGGACAGAAUUUAAAAGUUUUAAUAGGCUCAAAGAAGAAGAUGUGUUAAAUCUAAAGUUGUUGCACCUUCUGAUUAAAUAAAGUUGUACAAUUUCAUCAACUUGAAAGAAUUGACAUUAAUGAACUGGUCGCCUCUCCAUGUAUGAAGCCUUCUUAAAAGUUAAUUUUUAUUUCAGAAAAAAAAAGUUUAAGUUACAUAUAUUACAGUAAGAUUUUUUUGAGACCAAUUCCCUUCUUGAAAUAUAAUAGAAAAGUAUUAAUUUAAAAAUAAAAUGAAUAUGUAUUGAUUAUAUCCUGAUUUUCAUCGAUUAUAGUUAGAGAGUUUCACCAAAUCAAUUCCUUAUUCAAAUAAUACAGAAAAAAUAGUAAUUUAAUAGUAAAAUAAACAGGUGUUGAUUAUAUAUCCUAAGUUUCAUCGAUUAUGUGAUCAAAGUGGCAUUGUUGAUUUAUUUUUGUUCAAUGUUAAUUUUUAGGUUAUAUAAAUUUCAAGGAUUUAAAAUCUUUGGCCAUGAAUUACACGCUUGUUAAUUUUCCUGCCAUUGACUGUCAUAUUCUAGACUUAAUGAUACCUUUCUUGAUCAAGGGUAAUUACUCUCUCUUCUCCUCUUAUAAAUUCCUCUUCCAUUAACAUCACUAGGAGUAUGUUGAUCUCUCAGACGUUAACUUGAGUGGAGAGUUUCCAAAUUGAUUGUUACAAAACAACACAAAAACUAGACACACUUGAUCUGUCUAAUAAUUCUCUUUCGGUAAAAUUAAAUAAUUUUAGGGGAAUAUUCGGCCAACCUCUAUAAUUUCAGAGUGAUCAUUAAUUAAUUAAUCGAUACAAAUAUCUAAAGUGAUUAAAUGUGACUUGAAAUUUGAUCUCUAUCGAUUGGUUUACAAAUGGACGUACUUGUGCCUUUGUGGCGAUAAUCGAACAAGUACCCAUGAUUAUUAUUUUUUCCAAAAACUUUUUUACAACAAAUUCAUCUCGUCAAAAAUUCUAUGUUGCUAACUAACAAUAAUUGAGCACUUGGCCGCAUUGACUCCACGUCUCACCUCUUUCUAAAUUCUAAGUAAAAACAUGGAAAUGUAAUUUCCACAAAAUGCCAAAUGUGUGGAAUUUAAUUUUUUGCCUUGUGGAUCAAAAUACAAAUGAAAGAAACAGAAGAAAAAAAAGGCCCAAAGACUUCUAAAAGAUGAAGAAGUCUUUGUGCCUUUUUAUAAUGGUGAAUUUUUUAAAAGAAAAAAAAUAACAACAUUUUUAUGGUUUGUUUUGAUAAUCAUAUUUACAUAUACUCUCUAAUUUUCAAAAUGGACACAUAAAUCUUUUUUUUUUACAAAAUAUAUAUUAUUCAUAUUUUUUUUUUAUUUUUUUUUAUCAUAUUUUAUUUAUUAUAAAUGUUUAGAGCAAAUUUUUAGGUUGAAAUAUAAUAAAAAGGUAUAAUUGUUCUCUUAUUAAACACACAUACUUUUAUUAGUUUCUAUCCAUUUGUCAUCUCAAUCUCUCUCAAUUAUUCUUUAUUGCUAGCUCAAAACGCGUUGCUGUUGCAAAUUAUAGCAAAAUGACAAAUAUGGAAAAAAAGGGAAGAAAAUUAAUGCAUGAAAGACUUGGAGAAAACAACAAAAUAAGCCAACUAUGAGCUAGUUGGGUGUAUAAAUUGUUAGAUGUGUAUAUACAAAUAGCGUAGAGCCCUCUAGUUGGUUCCAGAGACAGAAAGAGCGUGUGUGUUUUUUCACAGUUAGAGAUAUAGUUAGAAUGGGUGGUUCAAAAUCAAAAAUGAUGAUAAUGUUUAUUAUGUUAUUAAUAAUAUUUAAAAGUGGGUGGAGUGAGGGAUGUUUGGAUCACGAGAGAUUUGCUUUUUUGAGACUCAAACAUUUCUUCAAUGAUCCUCUUAAUUCUCUUUACGACUGGGUAGAUGGUGAGGGAGCUACUGAUUGUUGUCAGUGGGAAAGGGUUGAGUGCAGCAACACCACAGGCCGAGUGAUAGCACUGGACCUUUCUUAUAUAUAUUCGGGAGAGUACAGCUGGUAUCUGAAUGCUUCUUUAUUUACUCCUUCCAACAACUUGAGUCACUUGAUUUAACUCAAAACAAAAUAGCCGGAUGUGUUGAGAAUGAAGGUACUUUGUUUAAUUUAAUUAAUUUACUUUCUCCCCCCUAAUUUAAGUUGAAUAUCAAGACCGAGCAAUUAUACGCAUAUUCAUUUAGUCGACAAUUUUGACUUUUUUUUAAAUGAUUAAUUUUGAAAUUACACCAGUAUCUAUGAUCUUUUUUAUUUUAUUUUAUUUGCAGGUAUAGAGAGGCUAUCAAGAUUGAACAACUUGAAGAUGCUUAAUUUAAGUGGAAACUCAUUCAAUAAUAGCAUUUUAUCAUCUCUAACUCAUCUUUCAUCAUUAAGAUCAUUAAAUUUAUUGUGGAAUAGAUUGGAAGGAAGUAUUGACGUUAAAGGUACAUAAUUAAAACUUCAAGCUCUUUCAUUAACUUGCUAAAAUAAGAUUCAAGGCUUUGAAUUCAAUUUUUUUAUGAUUAAUAUUAAAAAAACAGUUUUAAGCAAUUUAUAAAUACAAGUUUUAAUGUUUCUUGUAAUUUCAUCUUGUACUUUCAUAUGUCUUGAAUUUAAGAUUAAAAAAAAAACUCUAAUAGCGAACCAAACACCUCCACAACUUAUUAUUAUUUGUGGUGAGGUUUGAAACAUUCAACUCAAUUUGUACUUAUUACAGAAUUUGAUUCUUUGAGAGAUUUAGAGGAGCUAGACAUUGGCGGAACAAGAUUGACAAAUUUGUGGUCUCAAAAGGUACUACAAAUACCAUAAAAAAAUAUGCUAACUUUUACAAAUUAGUUAGAUUCUUUGCCAUUUGGUUUAUUAUUUUACAGGUUUGAGUAAGUUGAAGUCUCUUGGUUUAAGUGGUAUCAAACUCAAUCGUAGCAUCUUAUCUUCUCUGACUGUCUUUCUUCGUUAAGAGAAUUAUAUAAGUGAUACGGGAUUCAAAGGAACAUUCGAUGUUCGAGGUAAGCCUAAACCUUGCUUUCUCAUUUUAUAUAUGCCAACUAGAUUUGUGUAUCAUCGACAUAAUUUAAUAUUUAAUUUGAUAAGUCUGAAUGAAUUACAUGCUAAUUUAACACUUUUAUUUACUUUGUCAAUUAAUUAAUUAAUUAAUUAUACUAUUUGGCUUGGUUUGGACGAAAUUCUCAUGAUGUUUUAAUUUCUUUAAAUUAAUUAAUUAAUUAACUCUGUUUUUAAGUCUUAAGUCUGGGCGUGUUUGCAGAUUUGAUUCCUUCAACGACUUAGAAGUGUUGGAUAUGAGAUACAAUGAAAUCGACAAUCUUGUGGUUCCUCAAGGUAAACAAUUAAAAGGUACAGAUGUGGCCAAAUUUAUAAAUAAAUUGUUAAUUAAUUAAUUUUUUCGUAUUAUUAAUAAAGCUAAAUUCGUUUGCUCCUUCCUUCUAAUUCUAAACAGAGUUGCACAAUUUCACCAACUUGGAAUAUUUGACAUUGGAAUCUUUCCUCUCUCAUAUAAGCCUUCUGCAAAGCAUUGCAUCAAUAUUCCCUUCGUUAAAAAAUCUGUCGAUGUCUUUUUGUGAAGUCAAUGGUGUCGUACGCGGUCAAGGUAAAAGAAAAGCGUUGAUUGUGAACUCACUCAAUGGUGUCCUACGUGUUCAACAUUUUUAUUUAUUUUAUUGUUUAAUGUUUCUGCUAGGUUUUCCUCAUUUCAAGAGUUUGGAACAUUUUGACAUGAGGUUCGCGCGCAUUGCGCUCAACACCAGCUUUCUUCAAAUCAUCGGUGAAUCGAUGCCCUCUCUUAAGUACUUAUUACUGUCAUAUUCUAAUCUCUUGGCACUAACAGCAGCAGGAUUCUUCAUCAAGGUUAAUGAGAUGCUGCCACCCUCCCCUCUUAACCUAUAAUAUUAAUUUUCGAUUAAAUAUUUAAUUACACAAACCAAAUCACUUAUUAUAAAAGAACAAUACGCAUUCAUUAAUUUUUAUAUUGUAUUAAUAAUUGAUGAAUUUAAUAAAUUUUCAGGCCUCUGUUCGUUGGUGCACCUGCAAGAGUUGUACAUUGAUAAUAAUGAUUAAAGAGGUAGCUUGCCUUGGUGCUUGGCAAAUAUGACAUCCUCCGAAUAUUAGAUGUUUCUUCCAAUCAACUUACGGGAAGCAUCUCCUCAUCUCCCCUCGUUCAUUUGACAUCCAUUGAAAAGUUGAUCUUUCAAACAAUCACUUUUGGAUCCCAAUUUCACUUGAACCACUUUUCAAUCACUCACGACUCAAGCUUUCUAUGCUGACAACAAAAAUAAAAGCUGAAAUAACUGAGUCACAUUCUUUGACUGCCCCAAACUUCCAAUUAAAAUAUCUCUCAUUGUCUUCCGGUUACGAAGAUGGUGUCACAUUCCCCAAAUUCCUUUACCAUCAACAUGACCUGGAGUAUGUUGACCUCUCACAUAUAAACAUGAGCGGAGAAUUUUCCAAAUUGGUUGUUGGAAAACAACACAAACUUAGAAUAUAUUUUUUGGUUAAUGAUUCUCUUGCAGGACCUUUCCGGUUGCCAAUUCAUUCACACAAGCGGUUAAGACUGUUGGAUAUAUCCAACAACAACAUCAGAGGCCACAUUCCAGUAGAAAUUGGAGAUGUUUUACCGGGUUUAUUUUCUUUAAACAUUUUCAUGAAUGCUUUAGACGGUUGCAUUCCCUCUUCAUUUGGUAAUAUGAAAUUCCUCCAAUUUCUGGACUUAUCCAACAACCAAUUGACUGGUGAAAUCCUAAGCACUUGGCCGUGGGUUGCGUCAACUUAGAGUCUCUUGCGUUGUCAAACAACAACUUAGAAGGUCAUAUGUUCUCCAGAAACUUCAACCUGACAAACUUGAAAUGGUUACAAUUGGAAAGCAAUCACUUCGUAGGAGAGAUCCCACAAAGUUUGUCUAAAUGCUCCUCACUAAAAGGAUUGUAUCUUAACAAUAAUAGUCUUUCGGGUAAGAUUCCACGAUGGUUGGGUAAUCUCACAUGGUUACAAUAUAUUACAAUGCCCAAUAAUCAUCUUGAAGGUCCUAUUCCAGUGGAGUUUUGUCAGCUUGAAUGGCUUCAGAUUUUGGACAUUUCAGACAACAACAUAUCUGGAAGUUUACCAUCUUGUUUCCAUCUUCUCUCUAUCAAACAAGUUCAUCUUUCAAAAAAUAUGUUACAUGGACAGCUAAAAGAGGUACAUUUCUUUAAUUGCUCUUCCCUUGUGACAUUAGAUCUUAGUUAUAACCGCUUGAAUGGCAGCAUUCCGGAUUGGGUUGAUGGACUUUCUCGUUAAGCCACCUUAUCUUGGCUCACAAUAAUCUUAAAGGUGAAGUGCCAGUUCAAUUGUGCAAAUUGAACCAACUACAAUUGUUAGAUCUUUCUAAUAAUAAUCUUCAUGGUCCUAUUCCUCUUUGCUUUGAUAACACCACACUUCAUGAAAGUUACAGCAAUAGUUCUAGUCCUGAUGAGCAAUUUGAAAUAUAUAUUUUUAUGUCCGCCUAAGGUUGUGACUAUUAAUAAAUUAAUAUUUAAUGUUUAUGUAAAAAUAUAUAAGAUUUUAUGCGUUCAUUAAUUGUUAUUAGCUAAAGGAUGAAUUAUUUUUCAACCCAAUCAGUUGAUGCAUCUGCAAGAGUUUUUUCUUUUAUUGACCAUAAUUAUGUUCCGGGUACAAUAAAUUGUCUUUGGUGCUUGGAAAAUAUGACUUCUUACUUCAAGUUUGAUAUGUCUCUCUCCAUAAACUUACUGGAAAUAUAUCCUCAUCUACUGUCAUUUAUCUAAUAUCAAUUGAAGAUCUCACUUUUUCAAACUAUCACUUCCAAGUCUCAUUGUCACUUGGCCAUUCUUGGACCAUUCAAAACCAAUCAAGUGUUGAAAUAAUCAAAUAUAUGCAAAAUUAGAGUCACGAUUUUGGUCCCCCAAAUUCUAAUUAUAUAACUUCUAUAUAUUUCAUUGCCAGGUCACGAACUUGUUGGCACAUUUUCCAAAUUCCUCUUCCAUCAGCUCUCACACGUUAACUUAAGUGAAAGUUUCCAAGUUGAUUGCUAGAAAGCAACGCAAAAUCAGACACACUUGAUCUGUCCCCUAAUUCUCUUUUCUACGUUGAAAAAAGAAAAAAAAAAAUAAAAUACAUACAUACAUAUAUAUAUAUAUAUAUAUAUAUAUAUAUAUAUAUAUAUAUAUAUAUAUCUAUGUAAAAAUAAAUAAUAAACUGAGUAAAAAGUACAUUUGUUUAAUUAACAUCUGAUCGGGGCAUUUUUGGUGUAAGCCACAACUAAAAUCAAACAGCCCCUUAGCAUACUUCUUCCAUUUUAUCGGCUACUUUUGUGGAUCUUAUAGGGUGGGCAUGUGGACAGAAUUUAAAAGUUUUAAUAGGCUCAAAGAAGAAGAUGUGUUAAAUCUAAAGUUGUUGCACCUUCUGAUUAAAUAAAGUUGUACAAUUUCAUCAACUUGAAAGAAUUGACAUUAAUGAACUGGUCGCCUCUCCAUGUAUGAAGCCUUCUUAAAGUUAAUUUUUAUUUCAGAAAAAAAAGUUUAAGUUACAUAUAUUACAGUAAGAUUUUUUGAGACCAAUUCCCUUCUUGAAAUAAUAAUAGAAAAGUAUUAAUUUAAAAAAUAAAAUGAAUAUGUAUUGAUUAUAUCCUGAUUUUCAUCGAUUAUAGUUAGAGUUUCACCAAAUCAAUUCCCUUAUUCAAAUAAUACAGAAAAAAUAGUAAUUUAAUAGUAAAAUAAACAGGUGUUGAUUAUAUAUCCUAAGUUUCAUCGAUUAUGUGAUCAAAGUGGCAUUGUUGAUUUAUUUUUUGUUCAAUGUUAAUUUUUAGGUUAUAUAAAUUUCAAGGAUUUAAAAUCUUUGGGCCAUGAAUUACACGCUUGUUAAUUUUCCUGCCAUUGACUGUCAUAUUCUAGACUUAAUGAUACCUUUCUUGAUCAAGGGUAAUUACUCUCUCUUCUCCUCUUAUAAAUUCCUCUUCCAUUAACAUCACUAGGAGUAUGUUGAUCUCUCAGACGUUAACUUGAGUGGAGAGUUUCCAAAUUGAUUGUUACAAAACAACACAAAAACUAGACACACUUGAUCUGUCUAAUAAUUCUCUUUCGGUAAAAUUAAAUAAUUUUAGGGGAAUAUUCGGCCAACCUCUAUAAUUUCAUAGUGAUCAUUAAUUAAUUAAUCGAUACAAAUAUCUAAAGUGAUUAAAUGUGACUUGAAAUUUGAUCUCUAUCGAUUGGUUUACAAAUGGACGUACUUGUGCCUUUGUGGCGAUAAUCGAACAAGUACCCAUGAUUAUUAUUUUUUUCCAAAAACUUUUUUACAAACAAAUUCAUCUCGUCAAAAAUUCUAUGUUGCUAACUAAACAAUAAUUGAGCACUUGGCCGCAUUGACUCCACGUCUCCACCUCUUUCUAAAUUUCUAAGUAAAAACAUGGAAAUGUAAUUUCCACAAAAUGCCAAAUGUGUGGAAUUUAAUUUUUUGCCUUGUGGAUCAAAAUACAAAUGAAAGAAACAGAAGAAAAAAAAAGGCCCAAAGACUUCUAAAAGAUGAAGAAGUCUUUUGUGCCUUUUUAUAAUGGUGAAUUUUUUUAAAGAAAAAAAAAUAACAACAUUUUUAUGGUUUGUUUUGAUAAUGCAUAUUUACAUAUACUCUCUAAUUUCAAAAUGGACACAUAAAUCUUUUUUUUUUACAAAAUAUAUAUUAUUCAUAUUUUUUUUAUUUUUUUAUUAUCAUAUUUUUAUUUAUUAUAAAUGUUUAGAGCAAAUUUUUAGGUUUGAAAUAUAAUAAAAAGGUAUAAUUGUUUCUCUUAUUAAACACACAUUACUUUUUAUUAGUUUCUAUCCAUUUGUCAUCUCAAUCUCUCUCAAUUAUUCUUUAUUGCUAGCUCAAAACGCGUUUGCUGUUGCAAAUUAUAGCAAAAUGACAAAUAUGGAAAAAAAGGGAAGAAAAUUAAUGCAUGAAAGACUUGGAGAAAACAACAAAAUAAGCCAACUAUGAGCUAGUUGGGUGUAUAAAUUGUUAGAUGUGUUAUAUACAAAUAGCGUAGAGCCCUCUAGUUGGUUCCAGAGACAGAAAGAGCGUGUGUGUUUUUUCACAGUUAGAGAUAUAGUUAGAAUGGGUGGUUCAAAAUCAAAAAUGAUGAUAAUGUUUAUUAUGUUAUUAAUAAUAUUUAAAAGUGGGUGGAGUGAGGGAUGUUUGGAUCACGAGAGAUUUGCUUUUUUUGAGACUCAAACAUUUCUUCAAUGAUCCUCUUAAUUCUCUUUACGACUGGGUAGAUGGUGAGGGAGCUACUGAUUGUUGUCAGUGGGAAAGGGUUGAGUGCAGGCAACACCCACAGGCCGAGUGAUAGCACUGGGACCUUUUCUUAUAUAUAUUCGGGAGAGUACAGCUGGUAUCUGAAUGCUUCUUUAUUUACUCCCUUCCAACAACUUGAGUCACUUGAUUUAACUCAAAACAAAAAUAGCCGGAUGUGUUGAGAAUGAAGGUACUUUGUUUAAUUUAAUUAAUUUACUUUCUCCCCCCCUAAUUUAAGUUGAAUAUCAAGACCGAGCAAUUAUAUGCAUAUUCAUUUAGUCGACAAUUUUGACUUUUUUUUAAAUGAUUAAUUUUGAAAUUACACCAGUAUCUAUGAUCUUUUUUAUUUUAUUUUAUUUGCAGGUAUAGAGAGGCUAUCAAGAUUGAACAACUUGAAGAUGCUUAAUUUAAGUCGAAACUCAUUCAAUAAUAACAUUUUAUCAUCUCUAACUCAUCUUUCAUCAUUAAGAUCAUUAAAUUUAUUGUGGAAUAGAUUGGAAGGAAGUAUUGACGUUAAAGGUACAUAAUUAAAACUUCAAGCUCUUUCAUUAACUUGCUAAAAUAAGAUUCAAGGCUUUGAAUUCAAUUUUUUUUAUGAUUAAUAUUAAAAAAACAGUUUUAAGCAAUUUAUAAAUACAAGUUUUAAUGUUUCUUGUAAUUUCAUCUUGUACUUUCAUAUGUCUUGAAUUUAAGAUUAAAAAAAAAACUCUAAUAGCGAACCAAACACCUCCACAACUUAUUAUUAUUAUUUUAAUUUGUGGUGAGGUUUGAAACAUUCAACUCAAUUUGUACUUAUUACAGAAUUUGAUUCUUUGAGAGAUUUAGAGGAGCUAGACAUUGGCGGGAACAAGAUUGACAAAUUUGUGGUCUCAAAAGGUACUACAAAUACCAUAAAAAAUAUGCUAACUUUUACAAAUUAGUUAGAUUCUUUGCCAUUUGGUUUAUUAUUUUACAGGUUUGAGUAAGUUGAAGUCUCUUGGUUUAAGUGGUAUCAAACUCAAUCGUAGCAUCUUAUCUUCUCUUUCUUCGUUAAGAGAAUUAGAUAUAAGUCGUACGGGAUUCAAAGGAACAUUUGAUGUUCGAGGUAAGCCUAAACCUUGCUUUUCUCAUUUUAUAUAUGCCAACUAGAUUUGUGUAUCAUCGACAUAAUUUAAUAUUUUAAUUUGAUAAGUCUGAAUGAAUUACAUGCUAAUUUAAACACACUUUUAUUUACUUUGUCAAUUAAUUAAUUAAUUAAUUACUAUUUGGCUUGGUUUGGACGAAAUUCUCAUGAUGUUUUAAUUUCUUUAAAUUAAUUAAUUAAUUAACUCUGUUUUUAAGUCUUAAGUCUGGGCAUGUUUGCAGAAUUUGAUUCCUUCAAUAACUUAGAAAGUGUUGGACAUGAGUUGGAACGAAAUCGACAAUCUUGUGGUUCCUCACGGUAAACAAUUAAAAUGUUAUUCAAUUACAUUAUUUUUAAUUCAUUUGAUUAGGGAAGGCCAAAAAGGUAAAAAAAAUAAUAAUAAAGAAACAGAGAAUUUGUAUUAUUUAAAAAACAGAAUGUAAUAAAGAUUUGAUUCUGGUUCUUUAAUCUUUAAAGUGAUUGAAAAACAAUGUUGCUCUUUUCCCAAAGCAUCAAAUACGAAUUGAAUGCCAAUUAACUUAAUCAUUCAUUUCGUUUAGCUCUAAAUUUAGACAAUGAAUUUUUAUAUUAUUUCAAAAACAUGACGUAAUAGAAUUUUUUUAAAAAACAGAUUCUAAUAAAGAUUUGAUUCCAAUUCUUUAAUCUUUACAGUGAUUGAAAAAACGAUACUACUCUUUUCCCAAAGCAUAAAUACGAAUUGACUCCCAAUCAAAUUAAUCAUUUAUUUCGUUCAUCUCUGAAUUUAAAUAAUGAAUUUUGAUCUUCAAUCGUAUUAUAAUUACUAUUAAAGAACAGGUUACAGAGGUUUGAGGAAGUUGAAUCAUCUUGAUCUAUCGGAGUUGGAAUUAGAGAUGGAAGCAAGUUGUUACAGUCAAUGGGAUCAUUCCCAUCCCUCAACACUCUUUACCUUUCGUGGAAUAAUUUUAUCGAUACAGCGACCGCUACUCAAGGUAAGUAAAAGGUACAAAUGUGGCCAAAUUUAUAAAUAAAUUGUUAAUUAAUUAAUUUUUCCGUAUUAUUAAUUAAGCUAAAUUUGUUGCUCCUUCCUUCUAAAUCUAAACAGAGUUGCACAAUUUCACCAACUUGGAAUAUUUGACAUUGGACUUUUCCUCUCUCCAUAUAAGCCUUCUCCAAAGCAUUGCAUCAUUAUUCCCUUCGUUAAAAAAUCUGUCGAUAUCUCAUUGUGAAGUCAAUGGUGUCCUACGCGGUCAAGGUAAAAGAAAAUCGUUGAUUGUGAACUCACUCAAUGGUGUCCUACGUGUUCAACAUUUUUAUUUAUUUAUUGUUUAAUGUUUCUGCUAGGUUUUCCUCAUUUCAAGAGUUUGGAACAUUUGGAUAUGGAUUACACGCGCAUUGCACUCAACACCGGCUUUCUUCAAAUCAUCGGUGAAUCGAUGCCUUCUCUUAAGUACUUAUCACUGUCAAGGUUAAUCUAUAAAUCGAUGCCUUCUCUUGAUCAAGGUUAAUCAGAUGCUCCCACUCUCCCCUCUUAAUCUAUAAUAUUAAUUUUCAAUUCAAUAUUUAAUUACACAAACGAAUCACUUAUUAUAAAAGAAUAAUACGCAUUCAUUAAUUUUUAUAUUGUAUUAAUAAUUGAUGAAUUUAAUAACUUUUCAGGUCUCUGUUCGUUGGUGCAUCUGCAAGUGUUGAACAUUGCAGGCAAUGAUUUAAGAGGUAGCUUGCCUUGGUGCUUGGCAAAUAUGACAUCCCUCCGAAUAUUAGAUGUUUCUUCCAAUCAACUUACUGGAAGCAUCUCCUCAUCUCCCCUCGUUCAUUUGACAUCCAUUGAAGAGCUGAUGCUUUCAGACAAUCACUUCCAGAUCCCAAUUUCACUUGAACCAUUUUUCAAUCACUCACGACUCAAGAUUUUCCAUGCUUACAACAACGAAAUAAAUGCAGAAAUAACUGAGUCACAUUCUUUGACUGCCCCAAACUUCCAAUUAAAAUAUCUCUCAUUGUCUUCCGGUUACGGAGAUGGUGUCACAUUCCCCAAAUUCCUUUACCAUCAACAUGAUCUGGAGACUGUUGACCUCUCACAUAUAAACAUGAGCGGAGAAUUUCCAAAUUGGUUGUUGGAAAACAACACAAACUUAGAAUAUAUUUUUUUGGUUAAUGAUUCUCUUGCAGGACCUUUCCGGUUGCCAAUUCAUUCACACAAGCGGUUAAGACUGUUGGAUAUAUCCAACAACAACAUCAGAGGCCACAUUCCAGUAGAAAUUGGAGAUGUUUUACCGGGUUUAUUUUCUUUAAACAUUUUCAUGAAUGCUUUAGACGGUUGCAUUCCCUCUUCAUUUGGUAAUAUGAAAUUCCUCCAAUUUCUGGACUUAUCCAACAACCAAUUGACUGGUGAAAUCCCUAAGCACUUGGCCGUGGGUUGCGUCAACUUAGAGUCUCUUGCGUUGUCAAACAACAACUUAGAAGGUCAUAUGUUCUCCAGAAACUUCAACCUGACAAACUUGAAAUGGUUACAAUUGGAAAGCAAUCACUUCGUAGGAGAGAUCCCACAAAGUUUGUCUAAAUGCUCCUCACUAAAAGGAUUGUAUCUUAACAAUAAUAGUCUUUCGGGUAAGAUUCCACGAUGGUUGGGUAAUCUCACAUGGUUACAAUAUAUUACAAUGCCCAAUAAUCAUCUUGAAGGUCCUAUUCCAGUGGAGUUUUGUCAGCUUGAAUGGCUUCAGAUUUUGGACAUUUCAGACAACAACAUAUCUGGAAGUUUACCAUCUUGUUUCCAUCUUCUCUCUAUCAAACAAGUUCAUCUUUCAAAAAAUAUGUUACAUGGACAGCUAAAAAGAGGUACAUUCUUUAAUUGCUCUUCCCUUGUGACAUUAGAUCUUAGUUAUAACCGCUUGAAUGGCAGCAUUCCGGAUUGGGUUGAUGGGCUUUCUCGGUUAAGCCACCUUAUCUUGGCUCACAAUAAUCUUAAAGGUGAAGUGCCAGUUCAAUUGUGCAAAUUGAACCAACUACAAUUGUUAGAUCUUUCUAAUAAUAAUCUUCACGGUCCUAUUCCUCUUUGCUUUGAUAACACCACACUUCAUGAAAGUUACAGCAAUAGUUCUAGUCCUGAUGAGCAAUUUGAAAUAUAUGUUUUCAUCGAAGGCCCUCAGGGAGGUGUAGAAAAGAAAAUCCAUGAAAUUUUUGAGUUCACAACAAAGAACAUUGCGUACAUUUACCAAGGAAAAGUGCUUAGCCUCCUAUCAGGACUUGAUCUUUCUUGCAACAAGCUAAUCGGUAUUAUUCCUCCUCAAAUUGGAAAUUUGACAAGGAUUCAAACAUUGAAUCUAUCGCACAACAACUUGACAGGAUCGAUCCCAUCAACAUUUUCAAACUUGAAGCAUGUCGAAAGUUUGGAUCUUUCCAACAACAAAUUGAAUGGGAAAAUCCCUCAUCAACUAGUGGAGUUAAAGACAUUGGAGGUUUUCAGUGUGGCAUACAAUAACUUAUCAGGCGAAAUUCCAGAAUGGAAAGCACAAUUUGCAACCUUCAACGGGAGUAGCUAUGAAGGAAAUACUUUUCUUUGUGGACUGCUAUUGCCCAUUUGCAGAUCACCAGCAACUACGUCGGAGGGUUCAAUUGGCAAUGAACGAGAUGAUAAUUUAAUUGACAUGGACAAUUUCUUUAUCACAUUUACAACAUCGUACGAAAUUGUGAUAUUCGGAAUUGUUAUUGUUUUAUAUGUAAAUUCUUAUUGGCGACGUAGAUGGUUUUACUUUGUUGAAAUGUGGAUAACUUCAUGUUAUUAUUUUAUUGUAGACAAUCUUAUUACAACAAGAUAUUGUCAUUGAAAUUAAUUAGGAGUUUAAUUACGAUUCUUUAAGUUCUAAUCAAGUUUGCUUAGGAAAUAAAUUUAUUUUUAUUUUUUAUUAAAACUGUAGUAGUAUUUAGCUCUAUAUAGCUUCCAACUUCCAAGCACUUCACAUUUGUCUCUACACUUCCAAACCCAUAUCUAUCCACCAUAACUUAUACUUCCCUAUACUGUGCAGCAUACUUAAAUAAGAGAACCAUCUCCAAUGUUAAAACCAGCCACUCUAUAACAUUCAUUUAGAAUAGUUUUAUUAUCAUACACAAGAAAUGAAACACCUAGAUGCACUUGAUCGCCUAUUUUACUUUAAAAAAUAAUGAUUAUGGUGCUAUCAUCAUCUUCUUCACUAGCAACAUUAACACCAAAUCCAGCGAUGGACCCAGACAUUUUAUCAAGAAAGGUAUAUAUAUAAUAAAGUUGAAGCUUGACAAAAAAUUCAGGAAGAUUAAUGCCUCGCCACAACAAGGGGCACAACAACAUCAAAGUAGAGAUGAAGCAAUAUUUUCAAAUCUAAAACUCUCAAAUCCACCCACCAAAAUUUCAUAUCUCCUCAACAAUUUUAAGAACUAAAGAUAAUUAGGAUCUAACAUUAGUUUUUUAUAUAUUAGUUUCAUAAUUUACAAAUCAAUGAAGAUGAAGAUUAUGCUAAUGAAUUCAAAUUAUACCAUAGAUUCUCGAGAUGUUACCAAAAAUUUCUAAGCCAAUCCCACAUAUUUCAUAAUUUUAAGACUAGAAAAUUUCAUUAGUUAGAAGUUUCAUUACCUUCAAGUGGAAGAUGAAGAACAUUAUACAAUUGAUUCAGAUUAUAUCAUACAUACUCCAAAUGCAACUAGAAAUUAACAAGUUCAUGCGCACAGAUUUCAUAACAUUAUGAUUGGAAAGUUUCACAAAGAGAAAUUCUAAAUUCAAUCUCUUGCAUCAAGGUAGUUUGAUUGAUUUGAGUUACUUUCUCAUCAAGCUACUAAUAUAACAUUCAAGUCAGGGAGAAAGUAAAUUAAAACUGGGAAGAAACAACAGUAAAAAUUUGUUGCUAAACAUGAUGUGUAUUUUUUUUUAAGGCAAUUUGGAAACACAGUUGUUACUACAGAUAUUCUCCUCAACUUAGAGAUAAAUACAAAUAUUAAAAUGCAUAUGAUCGCACAUAUUACUUGGAGCUUAGUAAGAUUUCAUUAAGAGAAGCAAUCAAACCACUUAUCAAUUGUUGCAAUCGUUCUAUAAGCUAAAAUAGCAAUAUAAUACAAGAAAAAGAACAUAUAGAUACUUGGCAAGAGUUCAUUAAGAAGUCGCAUCACAUUCGGGUGAGUUUGCUUCUGAUAUCUUGCUAGCUGGGGCUUUUUCUUGUCUUUCUACGUAUGCCGAGGGAAACCAACCAGCUUGGCCCUUGCAUUCACCUUCCGACCAUCCAGUAGGAGCCACCUUGAGAAGUUAUAACUAAAAGUCUAAAACAAUGAAUUAAACAAAAGUUGACCGUUCAAAGACCUAAGGGGAAAACUAAUUCUUUUACGUAGGAGGAGUGAAUUAGUUGUGAUCACUGAAAUAACAGCAUAACUAUGGAAGCAUAACAAGAUAUAAAUUCACACGUCUAUAAGGGUAAACUGGGUGGUUUAGAACUGAGCUAGCAACCCUACUAUAUUCUGAUUUGCACAUCAAUGUAAAAGGGAAUAUAUGGUAGGAAGAAAGAAAACCAACCAUCAGUUGUUAACUCAUUGCUUUUCAAUCAAAAUUUUAAGAACAAAAUGCCAUGUGCUUUGAACAUCAAAUAAGUAUAAGCAUUAGUUCUAAAUUCCACAUAUCAUAAGUUAGAAGGACAAGUCAAUAGCAUAGUAGAAAAAUCUAUGUGUUGUUAUUUAGAGGGGAAAGUACCUGGCGAACCACAACAUAAUCAUCAAUUGAAAGACUUAGCUCUCCAUUUGCUUGAGCAUCAAAUGGAUGUAUAACCUGCAAGAUAAUGGGAUAAAUAGAACUUAAUCUUAAAAAAAGCAUAACAAAAGCAGCAACAGUAGCAGCAGCGUUCAUUGUAACCACUAUGAUCAUGGCCAAUAAAGAUAUAUUACAAACAAAAUUCCAUUUUUACUACGACAUUAAUAUGUACUAUAUGAUAUCAUGACGAUUGGGUUACCAAGAGCUAUCAAAGUCCAAUAAAUUCUGUAUAACUUUAGGUAGUUAUUCAAAUUAUGGAUCAGAUUUUAAAUCCGAAAUUUUGACUGCUCUCCACAAAACAUGGCCUAUGCACAAGAAAGUCAUAGAUAAUGAGGAUUACAAGUGUCUGACAUCUUUUGAGUGAUGGAUUUAACAUGAGAGCUUAUGGUCAGUCAAUUUCCUCUGCCUAGCAAUAUAAGCUUUCUCGGCCAGAUUUAUCAUCAAAUACAUAGAUUGGCCCCAAGUCACAUCCAAAUAAACAUAGUUUUUCUAGGUAAACCAAGUAAGGAGAAUCAUAAUUCAGACAUAAUCAUAAAAAGGCCCAUCUAACUUAAGAGAAAAUCUCAAAAAGAGGGAUGUUGAGCUAUCAGUCUUGUAUCUAUAAGCAAUAUCAAGACUUUACAUCACCUACUACAUCGUGAGUGGCUACACAACUUUCAGUGGUUUGUCUUUCUUUGGCAUGCCUAACUCAGCUUUGAUGUUGCUGAGAUAUUGAUAGUAAAGACACAUGAUACUUCUAGCCCAUGCAUUCUAUCUAGCUCAUCCGACAACUAUCUCUUUUUUAAUUCAUUAGUGUUUGCUAAACCUCAUGCUUAAAAGUCCUAUUCUCCUAAACAAAGCUUCCUAAGAAUGACUUCCUCAGCACCACAUUUGGACACUUUUAGAGCAAUUUUAUUUGGGGGAAAAGAAUUUUCAAGGUGUUAACUAAUAAAUUUUAAAAAAUAAUUACAAUUUGUCCUACAAUUAUAUGACAAUUUAUCUGGGAUGAAAGGAUACAGACAGACAUCUUCCACUUUCAAGACUAAUCACUACUUCCGUAGAUGUUUUGCAAUAAUACAAAUACUUGACCAGAUGGUAGAAAAAAAUUUUAUUGCUCCAAAAUUAAAAUAAGAAUGCAAUAUGUUAAGCAAAAGACUGUGCAACAUCAAAUUAAUUGAUAAGUUUGUAAUUCAGUAAAUUAACAACUUUCAUGGUAAAAUACAACAAAUUUCUUUUCAAAAAAAAAAAAAAAAAUUAAAAGACGGCAUUCAAUUUUUUGGGCAUCUUAUUUCUUAAGAUUUUCCAGGAGGAGGGCACUAGAGGGACUUUCACCUAUGCAAGAGAGCAGAAGCCUUACUUUCGCUAUAAAGUAGACGUCAUUCUGAUUAAUAUGCGUUUGCAAAUCAGCUCCAUUUGAAUCAGUAUUCUGAUAGACACAUGAGGCAUUUACAUCCAUUUCCAAAGUCACAUGUUGCGAGGAGGACUCAUUUGAUUGCUCCUCUAGGAUCAUCUAAUUCAAGUAGCAAGGGUUGGAAGAGAAUAAAAAGUCACAAUUAUUCUUUUGCAUAAGUGAGACGAAAAUGAUAAAUGCAAUAUUAUCAGCAGUAAACAAGAAGAGAACACUCCAAGGAAUAGAUAGAUGCAGACAAGCAAGUUAAAAUGCACAGUUCCAAACCUCCGCAUACAACUUCUCUAAAAUAGCAAUAACGUGUUGAUGAUAUGUUUUCUCAGCAUCUACCUGCAAAGGCCUGAGACCAGGAAAACAACAAUAAAACCACUAGCUAAAGGAGAAAGUAAAGAAAGAAAUACACUUGACAUAAAUCUUGACAAGAAGCACAAUUUAAGACAUAACAAACCCCAAUCAGAUUGUUUAGAACUACCAUUCGUUAUUUCGUUAUUGUAGCAUUUCGAACAAGUGUUGACUUAAUUCAACAUUGUUGGAAAGAUAGGCUUUUAGAAGCGGAAGAAAGCCACUCAAACCAAAGUGAUUGUCCUUGUAUUGAUCAAGGGAUGUAAACAUAUUACAUUUGCAGGAUGAGUUUUAAUCACUCCCCUGAUUUAUUUGGGUUGCAGUAAAACUAAGCGAGCAACUGUUUGACUUUCAAGCAACAUCUAAAUCAGCUAUUAAAAUUCAAAUAAAAUUAUAAUAGAAUAAUAACAGGCCAUCUUGCAUAAAAAAUUAAGUUUAAUUUGUGAAUUUUUUUCUAUAGACAUGUUAGUUCCUGCUAUUGAAAUGUUAAAAGCAUUGAAAAAUUAUUCAAUAAAUUAUGCAAACAUUAAAAUAGAGGACAUAUUAAAAAGUUUCUAAUUACAAUGUUAAGAUUUCCUAUAUUUUAGCAUUUGCAUAUUUUAAUUUAUUUAAAAGUUACGUCAAUCAACUUUGGGCGUGAAGAUUUUAGCUUCUACGAGACUUGAUUGGAAUAUGCAUAAGGAAGAGUGUUAAAAUAUGAUGCAUCCAACGAAAGACAAACCACGUGUAGUCUUUUAAUUAAGCCAAAGUAGCAGCUCAAACAAAUGACACUUGGACCAACAUGCAAUCAUGAAGUGGCCGGUAAAAGGACAAAUGCAACUUUGGCUUAAAUAAAAAAUAACAUGUGACUUGACUUUUGCUGGACAUGCAUCAUGUUAUUACAAGACAACAGAAAUCAGUAUGAUAGUACUAAAAGUUGACAAUAACAUGAAGAUAAGAGGCAGAAUGUCAACACCUGCAUAGGCACACACAAGAAAGUAUUAACAUAUAUACCAUAGCAAAAAGUCUUUGAUAUGUCAUCUGUUGCUGCUGUGAUUCAACUGACAGCAUGGCAGCUGUCGCUUCUCUACCAAGAGCCAUUAUUGUAGAUUUAAGCUCGGUCAAUCUUGCUUCUGCAUUUCGAAGCUUCACAGCACUCUCUGCUGAUAUAUCAGAUUUCCUUAUCUUUGAUCGGUGCCUAAAUACUUCAGCUGCCUGGUGAAAAUAUUCAAUAUAAAUCUAACAUAAUUCUCAUCUUGCCUUAUACAUGCAUAUGUUACCUCAAAGCUUGCCUGGGCUUCAACUUCAUGUCGAAGUUUGUCAUAACGAUGAGUCAGGUGUCGAGCAUCUUCCAAAGGUGCUCCGUUGAUUAACGCCCGUAGUGGCUCAGAUACCUACAUGUCCAAAAACCUGUAACAUAGUUAGAAAAAUGAAAAGAAAGAGCGAAACCUCAAUUAAAAAGUUCCUCCAACAUAAUCAUGGAAUUUGGGCCUACUUCAAGGAUAUAUAUAAGGAUAAUUUAUGCAAUUUUGGGUCUUAGGAUGAUUCAUAUUAGGUUAGUGUUCUUCUCUUCUGUAUUUAAGGUUAAAAUAGAAAUAAACCUAUGCAAAUAUCUAAAUUAGGGCUGUAAGACUUCCACAUGCAUCCUUCAGUCUCAUGGAUUUGAUUUUACUAUAGAUGCAAGUGUCUUUAUCGAAAAUGCUUGGAGUCAAUUGAGAGAACUCACAGCCAAUAACUUGUCACAUGCUAGUCUUUGCUAGUGAUGCAAGAAGUCACAAGGUCUCUUCAACAUUUGAACCAAUAAAAUUAUUAAGUCAUGGAUGUCACUAGCAAUGAUUUCAAUAUAAAACAUUAAAUAUUUCAAGUUGUAACUUUAAAAUGGAUUCUUUUAUUCAAUAUCUUAGAACUAAGUUUCCUUAUGAGAAGAUAAUAGUUUCAGUAGUAAUUUACAUGAAAUUUUCUAUAUUUGAAUUAUUUUCUAGUUAGGGAUGAACUAACCUGAUCAUGAAGAAUCCCAAGCAAAGUUUUCCUCUCAUUUUCCAUCAAAUCAUGUGAAGUGCCAAAUUGAAGAGCAGCUCUUGCAGCGCAAGAAUUGUCACUUUGAUUCUCCACUCCAUACUUGCAACAAUCUUCAGCCAACUUUCUCACUACAAUAUUUGAAUACAAAAAUAUUGUACACAAGAACCAGUCAAGAAAAUAAAAAAAAAAUCAAAUAUUAUAACGAGAGCAAGAGCAAACAAACAACCUAUUUCCAUUUGUUUCAAGCUUACUGCAACAAACCCUUCAACGCCACGGACAAUAUUCCUCUGAAAAUUCUGUGCUACAGAGCAUAUAUUCCAAAUUAUUGUUCAGAUAAAACCAUAGAAACCAUCAUAAUUAUCAACAUACAUUAAGCUCCGUUUGGUAAAUACUUGCAACUUCAGUCUAGAAAAUACAGUUGUUUGUACCAUAUUUGACAAAAUUAUUAUUUAAAAAUCAUAACUAAUUACCAAAAGCCACAAUAAAUCAAUAUCAAACAGAGUCUUAUUAUUAGCUAAAGGAGGAUGGUGCCUUAGCUGCCCUGGUGGAAUUGUAUAGAUUUUAAAGUUGUUGGUGACACUCAAUUUCAGCUUCAUGAACCGCAAUAUUUUCAAUACCAAGAUGGAGCAGAUGCUUCAAUGCUGCCUGUACAAAUCAUAAAAAACUAAUAAAAAUAAAUAAAAUCGAGAAAUUUCACUAACUAAAAGUCUAAAUAUAAUUUUUGAAAAAAGAAAAGAAACGGACUUGCUGCUGCUUGGCGACUUGUUCUCGGUGCUUGAUUGCCUGUUUCUUGAUAGCUUCCAUACUGUUUCUUUCAAAAAGCAACGACGGCUCAGCUCAUGGAGGUGGAAAAAAAAAGUAUGAUCGAGAAAAAUAAAAAGGCAUGAAUAAUUUUUGACAAAAAGCGAAAAAUAAAAAGGCAUGAAUAAUGAAUAAUUUUUGACAAAAAGCUCUUUCCAGAAAAUAAAAAAAGAAAAAAGAAAAAAGAAAAUUAUAAGUUUGAAAGGAGUAGAUGAUAGUGGAAGUGUGCGGUGUGGCUGCCAGCUACUUGAAUUGUAUUGUCGGGUAAGGUAAUAGUAGAGAAUUUUUUUUUUUGAAGAAAAAUGGGUAAUUUUUAAAAACCUCCCCUGAGGUUUGGGCUUGUUGUAAGUAGAUGGCGAGAAUCCAUUUAUUUGUAAAAAACCCCCUACGUUUUUGCUCCGCUUGGUUGCCGUUUGGGCAAUUGUGGGCAUUGUUGACAUUUCGCAAUAAAACAAAUCUUUUGCAACUUUCGUUUCCUUGAGAACAAUAGCUAGAUUUCUCAAUCUGUUUCAUCCAACACUUCAAAAAUUUCAACUUUUAUGAGUUAUUGCAUUCUCUGGCAAAGUAGACUUCUUCUAAUUUUAUCACAGUGCUUUCAGGAACAAGAAUGGGAUCCAUUAACAUCCCCUCAAAUUUUACAGCUUCCUUACAGCUAUACACUGCUGUAACACGAAGUUUAAUGAUUCCAUCGCCAAAUAGUCCCCAAAAUCUAUUCUUCCCCAUAUUGAACAACUUAAGUUCACAACACUUGCAUUCUAAAGGCUUCCCACUAACAUCUAAUAUCUCAAGACUCAACGUUGCUUUACAAUAAUUGUUAUUACUACCAAACAAACAUGAAGAAACCCCGAUUAUCGGAUAAAUCAACCCAAAAUGAACAAGAGAAGAACCCAAAACAAGUGAAUCGCUAGAGCAAAACCCCCAACCCAUAUCCCUAAUCCCACACUCAAAAAAACCCAAUUUCUCUCCAAAGUCAUUGACACUAGCAUCACUACUAGACUCUAAUUCCAAUCCUAGAUUACAUUUAAUGUUAACCCAACUAAAAUGAAUGUUCUUACUACAAUACGCAUCGUUUACACUCUCAAACAACGCGCUGAACUUACUCUUAAACGAUCCCACAUUGGUCAAACACUCAUCACUCACAUCGACAUCCAAGAAUUCACUCAAAAACUUCAUAGACUCGACAAUUGGAGAAAACAAAACCACUAAACUCAACUUUAUACAAGCAUACCCAUCGAGAAUCUUACCGUCAUUAACCGAAUCACAACAAAUCACCGGGUCCCACGCGCAGUCGUGAACGAGCUUACGCAUGGACGGGGCAACAUUUAACCCCCGCGGCAAAAACGACGAAGCUUUGGAAAAAUUGUGUUUUAGAGCUGGGUUGAGGAGUAGAGAUUGGAGAGAUUGGAAGGUGGAAUCGGGACGGUCAAAGGAUAGAGAGAGAGAAGGGAAGGGGAUCUUUAAAAGAGAAGUGGGGAGAGGGAGGAGAAGAAGGAUUUGAAAGAGAAAAGAGAGGAACGGAGAGGCGGGAAUGAGAUUAAGGUUUUCACUGCAACUAAAAGAGUAAUCAUGUAUGGCUCUUGGUCUUGGAGAUGAAGGAGAGGAUUCAGGUCGAUUAAGAGGACUAUACGCUGCAUUUUGGUGUAGUCUGCCGCCAUUGGUAGAAGUUUCGAAGUGGGUUUCUGUUUAGAUCCGAGUUUGACGAAGAAACGUGGUGGUUGCGCUUGGGACAAUAUUGUUUUUGCACUGGUCAAUGUAGAAAUUAAACGACGGUAGGGUGUUUUUUUAUAAAUAAAUGAAUUCUCGCCAUUUAUAACAAGCCGAAACCUCAAAAGAAGAUUUUAAAAAUUACCCGAAGAUUCGAAAAAUAGUAGAGAAUUUUUUAAAAAGCUAGAACAGAGCAUGCUAGACUUUUGUGGACCAAAUUCAAAAGCCGAAGGGCACGGCCCAAAAGCUUUUGAAUACAAUAACUUACUAGAAAGCUCCAUUUUUUGUUGGCUACAGUAAAAGUAUGUUGUUUUAUGCUUCUUAUAUGUUACGCUUGCAUCAGCCUCAAUCACUUCUUAAUCGCUUGCUUUAACUGCAUCGCUCUCUGUGUACUCUUCUACACAUGUAACGGUUAUGCGGUUGUAGUUCACGGCUGAGGCUACGUGUUGGUUUGACGCGGCAGUUACGUUACGACAUUACGAGUCUGUUAAACAUUCGGUGAUAGAGCAUUAUUAGUUAUUUUAAGGGGACAAAUAAGAUUGGUUGCAAUAAACCCACUAAUUUUAUAAAAUUCGAGUAAUAUAGAAUAAAAUAAAAAAAUAAAUACAAAAUUGGCUUUUAUUUUUUAUGGUUGACUGUAUUUUGUGUUCUCUUCCGGCACUACUACAAUUGUUCCCUAUAUAUCAGUCACACCCAUAUAUCAUCAAUACAAGAAAUGAAAUCUAAUGUCACCUAUUUAGUUAAAGAAUUACUCAUGAAAAAAUUUUACCAUUUUACUUUGAGGAUCCAUAUUUUGAACUGCAAGCUAAUGUUCAUCAAGAAUCACUAAUGUUCAUAAAAAACAGAGCAUGGCCGUUGAGUAGAAAAACUAUUUUUGGACAAAUUAUUUUUGUUGAUAGAAGAAUUUCUUAAGGGGCUCAUAAGGCCAAUGAUGUUUCUACUGCUGGUGGUUUGAUUCGCGAUUAUUCGGGUCGUUGGUUGACUGGUUUUGGGUUGAUGCUUGGUUCCUGUUCUGUUACAAUGGCUGAGCUUAGAGGCAUUUAUCAGGGGCUUAUCUUGGCUUGGAAUUUUGGCAUUCGGUGGCUGCAUGUGGAAACUGAUAGCUUAUGUGCAACUCAAAUGUUGGCUAACCAGGUGGAGACUACUAAUGAAUAUGCGUCCCUCAUUUUUGCCAUCAAGGAGUAUCUCCAGAAAAAGGAUUGGCAGGUUUCUAUUUCUCAUGUGUACAGAGAGGCAAACUCGGCUGCUGAUUUUAUGGCGAACCUUGCUUGUUCUUUGCCUCUUGGGCUUAUGGUGUACCCUAGUCCCCCGCUCGGGUUUUCAUCCAUUCUUUUGUAUGAUUCUUACGGGGUUGCGACUCCGCGUUCGGUUGUUUUUUAGCUCUUAAUUGAGCCCCAAUUGAUCAAAAAAAAAAUAUUAUGAAUAACAAUGUAGAACACACCCACAUAUCAUCAACACAAUUGACUUUAAGGAUCCAUGCUUUGAAUUGCCACCUAAUGUUCAUCAAGAACAGAGUAUGCCUUGUGAGUAGAAAAUUUUAUGAUUUUGGUCCGAAAUAAAAAGAAAUUAAAUUAGAUGAGAAUCUGCCACUUUCUCAUAAAGAAAGGCAUACGGAGCAUACCAUGGUACCAUACAAUACAAAGAGUCUCUAUUCUCUGGUUUUUCAAACUCUGAAGGGGCCAAUAUUCCCGAAUUCCCCCUUGAAAAUUCUGAUUACGACAUUAUUCAAUUCUUGACACAAUCAAAGUAGCGACAAAGUUAAGAAAAAUAUGAGUCCUAAGUAAUGGCUAGGUAGGGUUCUUGAGAGCAAAAUUGUCCUAAGCAUUAUAUGCAUACAUGGUGUGGUACAUAGAGCACGUUGAAUUCCACACUAUAACACAAACCCAGAAAGACAAGUAAUAACUCAACUGAUAUAAAGACAAAAAGAAGAUAAAAUGAUAUAGAAAAAAGAAUUUCAAAGAGACAGCAACAUACGAUAGACUGAAGCCACUUGAUCUGCUCACUGAUUGCAGCCUUAAACUUACAAAUAGUUACUGUACGCUAGUGCUCUAAGAAGUGAAAAUGAUAAGAGACCUGAUUCCCUUUUGACUUCCAUUUACUGUCAAACAUUCUAGUAAUACAAAAAAUUGUUUAGAUAUCUUGCUAUAAAUAUAGUCGUUUGACUGUCAUAAUAAAGUCACAAAUAACCAUUCAUAUUGAUCCACUGUCACACAGCAUGCUUUAUGCAUACAACAUCUGCAUGUAUACCAACUCCUAACCUUAUCAAUACAUUUGGCAAAAACUUAAGAAGAAAACUAUUUCUCCAUCUCUUUUUUGAAAUUUCACAAUAAACCAGCACAUUGUGAAAGCUAUGUUCUAAUCUUAUGAUAAAUGCUCUAGACUCCAAAAGGAUUUUAUAUAUGAGAGUUUGUUGCAGCAGAUAUAUUGACUUAUCAAGUAUGAAUCAUUGUCUGGAUGAACUAUCUUUAAAUAAAAGAAUAUUAGAACCACUGUAGAAUAUCUUUACGCUGCUGGUUCUAACAGGAAUCUGCAUGUGGCAACAAUUGCUAGAUCCACAAUUCCCCAACUUGAAAUACAUAGUUGCACACCGUGAGAUAGUGCUGCAAUCUACUGAGAUCUAACUUAUUUGAUACUUUAAGCUACUAAUGUUUGCAUAUUUCUACAUGUUAAAUUGACACUACCAUCUAUAAUCACCCCAAAACGACAAAUGAUAAGCAGCUUUUGGCCACUUAUUAAUUACUAGCAUCCACAACACAAUUAUAAAUAAGAGAUCAUGGGUUUACUUGUUGCAACUACUUAAUGAUCUGCAUUUGAGACCCUGACGCAAGGUUUAAAUAGUGACUGCUUAGAACCCUUGUAGUUGGAUCUUGACCUCUCCCAUUGUAGCCAAGAUUGGCUACUCUGGUAAUGAAUCAACACUCUCCUGCUUAUUUUUUUGUUUUUAAAAAAUAACGAAAUCAUAAAAUAAAUAAACACGUGUUUGGUUUUGGGCAUUUUCUUUUGUUCAUUUAAUAUCAUCUGGCUCCCUGAUUUUUGACUAAUUAACAACGGAAUCCUGUUAGUUUCUAAAUUGAAAUAAUAAAAGGUCUUGAGAUUAUUUACUCCAUUUAGCACUGUAGACUUAGAGUAUAUUGAAAAAGCUUUGUCAAAUAGUAGUAAUAGGGGCAUAAUAAAUAAGUUUUUCAGAAUUUACAUAAUGUACUUUGCUCUAGGAAGAUUGCCCUCUUAUCACUCAAGUUAGGUUUUGCCUUAGAGUUGAGGUAAAUCAUUAAAAUAAAUUAUAGCUAUCACAAAUUCGUUAGGAGAAUUUCAAUUUUUUUUCCAUUAAAUGGCUAUGAUGCAAAAUUACCUCAGCUUAUAUUGCAACACUAAUACUUCAAAUCCUAACAAUAAAAUUGAUGACAAUGGUUUUUAUGUAUAGUAAUUUUCACUCUUUUGUUUGAUCUAAAAGUAGUUCUUAAAAUGACAAUGAUGACUUAUUUAGAAGAAAUGGCAAACUUAUAGUUUGUAAUAUUGUUUGCACAAACAAUAAAGACUAAUUUGAUAAUAAUGAAGUGUUAAUUACUAUUUAACAUUUUUAAUUAAUUUUUAAAUUUAAAAAAAAAUGAAGGCCGAAACUUGUGCAUUAAAUUUUAAUUAAAAGUUGAUUGCUUCGAAGGUUGGAUCGUGACAAAUUGACAAUUGAAAAAAGAAGUAGGGAAUAUAUAUUCUGAUGAAAGGGACAAGAUUAAGCAAGGGGACAAUAUUGUCUAUUGGACCUACAAAUGGGGGCAAAGAUAUAUAUAUUCCAAAAUUUCUUAUUUGUGGAUUGGCCACCACGUGUAACUAAUAUAAAAAGAGAAAAUUUGGCAUGGUUUUAACCGAUAUAAGGGUCCGUUUGGGAUUGAGGUGCUGUAGCUUUUAAGCUAUAGCUGCUGUGGAAAAAAAAAACUGUAAGUAUUAAAUAAAAGUUAAUAAUAUAUAGUAAAUAUAAAUUUUAAAUAAUAAUUUUGAUGAAAUUAUUAAAGAUAUAAUAGAUUUUCUAUUAUACAAAUGAAAAUUCAUAUCAACAUAGCUUAAAAGUUACAGCAGUUAGUGUUUACCAAACACUUUAGUGCUGUAGCUUUUAAGCUACAGCUGCCCAACCUCAAUCCCAAACGCACCCUAAGAAGAGAAAAUUUUGAGUGUAUAAGAAGAGAAAAUUUUGAGUGCACAACAAGAACAAAGCAAAACCCAUGAAAAUUCACCUUUCAUGUGGGUUGGAUUGGAUAAAAUCAAUAUCUUGAAUCAAACAAAAUGUUUGGUACUUGAAGGUUUUUUUAACAUUUUCAUUUUUUUUUCCAUUUAUGAAGUCCAUUUUUUUUUUAAUUUUGAUUUUUUUGAAUGAUUUUGCAGGUGUUGAUAUAAGGUCAUCAAAAGUUUGUGAACUUGGGGUGUUGAAUUAUAAGGCGAAGCGUGUGUUUUAUCCAUUUGAAGCAAGUAAAUUUCGCUGUCGGUAUGAUUACUAUUGGGCUUCUAUCUUCAAGGUAUUCAUACAUUUUCCCCUGUACUAUAAGCUUCUUAGUGGCGGUCUUGUGAGCGGAAGUGAGCAGUGUGGCUGACAGCUUCUUGAAAAUUAUAAGUUUGAACAGAGCAUGUUAGACUUUUGUUGACCAAAUUCGAAAGCCAAAUGGCACAGCUCAGAAGCUUUUGAAUUGAAUAACUUACUAGAAAGCUCCAAUUUUUUGUUGGCUAUAGUAAAAAGAGGUUGUUUUAUUCUUCUUAUACUUUACACUUGCAUCAGCUUAAAUCACUUCUUAAACGCUUUGCUUUAACUCCACCGCUUCGUACUGUUCUAUAUAUGUAUCGGGUAUGCGGUUGUAGUUCACUGCUGAGACUACGUGUUUGUUUAACGUGGAAGUUACGUUACGAGUCUGUUAAAACAUUCGGUGAUUAAAGUAUUAUCAGUUAUUUCAAAGGGACAAAUAAGAUUAGCUACAACACACACUAGUUUUAUAAAAUUCGAAUGAGAUGGAAUAAAAUAAAUAAGUAAAUUGACUUUUAAUUUAGUGCUUGAAUAUAUUUUGUAUUCUCUUUGGGCACUGCUGUAAUUGUUCCUUAUCACACCCAUAUGUUAUAGACACAAGAAAUGAAAUUUAAGAUCACCUGUUUAAUUAAAGAAUCACUCAUGAAAAAAUUUUGCCAUUUUGAUUUGAGGAUCCACAUUUUGAACAACCAACUUAUGUUCAUUAAGAACAAAGCAUUGCCUGUGAGUAGAAAAAUGAUUUUUGAACAAAUUAUUUUUUGUUUAUAGAAGAAUUUCUCAAGGGACUAUUAAAAUUACUAAUAAAAAUGUCAGACACACCCAUGUACCAUCGACAAAAUUAACUAUGAGGAUCCAUGUUUUGAACUGCCACCGAAUGUUCAUCAAGAACAUAGUAUAACUUGUGACAAGAAAAUUUUUUGAUUUUGGCCUGGAACAAAAUGAAAUUAAAUUGAAGGAGAAUCUACUACUUUCUCAUUAAGAAAGGCAGACGGGGCAUACCAUGGUACCAUACAAUACAAAAAGUUUCUGUUCUCUGGCUUUUCAAACUCUGAAGGGGGCAAUAUUCCCCAAUUGCCUUGUGAAAAUUCUGAUUACGACAUUAUUCAUCGCUUGAUACAUAAGUAAAAGUAGUGAUAAAAUUAGAAAAAAUAUGACUUAUAAGUAAUUACUUGGCAGGGCUCUUGAGAGCAACAUUGUGCUAGGCUUUAUAUGCAUACAUUGUGUGGUACAUUCUACACUAUAACACAAACCCAGAAAGACAAGUAAUAUCUCAACUUAUAUAAAGACAAAAAGAAGAUAAAACGAUACAGAACAAAAAAUUUCAAAGAGACAGCAACAUACAAUAGACUGAAGCCAGUUGAUCUGCUCGUUGAUUGCAGCCUUAAACUUGCAAAUGUUUACUGUAGCCUGGUGCUCUAAGAAGUGAAAGUGAUGCAAACCUUGAUUCCCUGUUUACUUCCAUUUACUGUCAAACAUUCUAUUCAUACGAAAAAAAUUGUUUAGAUAUCUUGCCGUAAAUAUAGCCAUUUGAUUGUCUUAACAAAGCCACACACAACCAUUCAUAUUGAUCCACUGCCCUUGAUCUUGAACAGAUCAAUACAAUACGCACAACUUAUGAUUGAAUCCAGAAACAAUCAAAUCUUUAGCAAGAAAAAUUAAUCAGAAUCAAGAAACAAGUUCAAUGAAUAUAAACCUAUAAUUGGAACAAACACAGCCAAAGAACCCAAGAAUGACACAACCUACACCACGGGAGAAGUUUUCCAGUGAGAUUUUAUUGAUGAUCAAAGAAGAAUCUUUUUACAAAGCUAACAAAAGAGAUUUCAGAGAAUAAGCUAUGACUCUCUCUCUUCAAUCUCUCUCUAGUUUGUUCACAGUGAUGACCCCAAUCUGCUUCGUUAGCCAGCUUCAUAACUGCGUUAGUGACAAACUAGCAAACCCAGAUUGAGCAGAUUACCGACACGUGGAUAACGGCUAUUAAGAACUUAGUUAAAGAACUGCUCACAUAUUCGUCAUGCGUGUUACUUAAAUGAUGGCCAAAACGACUUCAACCAGAUGCCGUUUUGAAGCUUGUGAAUUAUAAUUGAAAACACGUGCUUGUCUCGUGACACUUACAUACAACAACAAGCCCAAAACACUGCCGUUUCACUUUGUUGAGUUUGCCAUCUCUAAGCUUCACAACUAGCAACGGAGAAGAUGAUAAUUAAAUUGACAUGGAGAGUUUUUAUAUCACUUUUACAACAUUCUAUAUAAUUGUGAUAUUGGGAAUCGUCGGUGUUGUAUAUGUGAACUCUCGUUGGCGACACUGGUAGUUUUAUUUUUGUUGAAAUAUGGAUGACAUUUCGUUACUAUUUUAUUGUACACAACAUUUUGUUACUAUUAACAUGUUAGUUUCAUUAGCCACUAGGCCUUUGGCUGAGUCGUUCGGGUGUCUGCCCUCCAACUUGGAGGGCAGCAAUUUGAACCCCCACAAGCGCAAUGUUGGGUAUUUCUUUCUUUAAUCUCUCGAAUAUUAGUGAAUGUUAAAAUCUAGGCAGAACUCCAUAAGUAUUGAUGUAAGUUGGUUUCAGUAAUAGUUUAAUUUGUAAAUAUCAGUUAUAAUCUCAUGUAAGAUGAGUUGUAAUUUGAGCAAUAGUCUCAUAGAAUAAUAAUAAUAAUAAACAUGUUAGCUUCAUUACAUUUUUCUUCAUUAAAAUUCUCAAGUAUUAGUCAGGUUUGCUAAAGUAAUAAAAUUUUGCCAUUAAAAUUGUAGUAGUAUUUCUGAGCACCUCACAUUUUCAAUGAUUUUUCAUAAAUCAAUUAAUCUGUCGUACCGAUAUCAGGUUUAGUUUUUCAUACUAAACAAUCAAGAAAGCAAACAUACAAAUUCACAGUUUAGAGGGGUAAACUAGGUAGGUGGUUUAGAUUUUAGAACUAGGCUAGCUACCCCACUAAAUUCCAAUUUGUAUAGUGAACUACAAGAAAUUGAGAAAACAGUGUAUUUAUAGUUUAAUUGAAUCGUGAGAAAGCAAUGUAGUCAUAGCUCAAUCUGAGAUGAUCACGGAGAGGCAUAUUCUUUUCAAGUUAAUUUGAUCAAUUUAUAAGAGAUGAAGUGGAUUGAAGUUAAAAGUUUAAAUAACAAAUCCUUGUUCUUGAGUUUUACGACGUCGUUACUCCUUCAAGAGGCAGAUUAUUUAUGCAAGUGAAUGCAGAAACGCAAUGCAUCAUCCACGGGGAUGGUACACCAAAAGGCGGGAUCAUAGUCUAUGCCCGCAGAUUAACAAUUUCGCUCAUAUAGAAAAUUAAUUUUUUAUAUAUACUAAUCAAUACUAAAUUGAUUAUGUUUUGUAUGUUUAUAUGCGAAUCAACACUAAAUUAUAUUAAAUGAAGAAAUAAUUCAAUUUUUUCUAAUUUAAUUUAGAAAAUAAAAUUAUUAACAUUAAUAUUCCCAAAAAAAAUUAUUUUCCAUUAGUAUUCAAAGUCUUCACUUAUGGAAAAUGUGUUUUACAUGAAUAUUAGUUACCGUGUAAAUUUGAAUGAUAGUGAAAAAUAAUUUUUUAAUUAUUGUAAAAAUAAUUAACCAUAUCAAAUCCCUUACGUAAAUAAUUUUUAUUUUUCAAAAAGGUAGAAAGAUGGUUAAUGCACAAGCAAAUUUUAAGCCCCUCUCUUCUUGGCCUAAGAUUCAAACUCAGAUGACUAGUUAAAAAAACCUAUGUGAAAAUCAUUCGGCCAGGUCUGCGGGGCAAAAAUACAAGAUCCUUAAUUUCAUAAUAUAUAUGAAUUAAUGUCAUUUACUUGAAUUAUCCAAAUUCAUCAGAGGUUAUCGAAUUUUCCUGACAUGUAGCAGAUGAAGUUGUUGCUUCCUUCUUGGCAUUAUUUCAGCUCUGGUUGUUGGUCCCGAUGAGCUUUAGUCUUAUUUUAAUUUUAUUUAAACUCAUCAUAAGAUUCGUGAAGCACCUAACUGACUUAACUGACUGUGCAGAAAUGUCACAUAGCAUAUUUAACCGUUUUAACAGUAAUUUUGAACGGUCUUCGCAGUUAUCAUCUACAAACUCGUUCGUGUUGGUCCACUAGGUGAAGUUUUUGAAAUAAUAAUAAGCUCCCAUUCUUGAUUUUAAAAAAUGUGCUUAUAAUAAUUUUAGAAUAAUGGCUUAUUUAUAGAACAACUUAUGAUUUCCCAUUAGCAUUAUUAUUGAAGUGGGGUGGGUAACGGUUCACUCAAUUCGUCGGGAAUAAAAAAUUACCAUCCAAGGCAGAAUUGUGGAAAAUUAAAGCGAAAUGAGAAAUAUGGAAAUGAAGGAAGAAAGUUAAGGCAUGAAAGACUUCCAGUUGAAAUUGAUAAUCAUGUUUCUAUUUUGGUAACUAAUCAAAUGGGAAACUGAACCAUAAACAAACAUUAAAACGUGUGGACUCCGCUAGCUGCCUUACAAGCCUACAAUAAUAACUGAGUACCUUUGAUUCAUCCUUCUAUGAAUUUCUAGCCGUAUUGACUCCACCGAAAUUUCCACAAAAAAAAUAAAAAAAGAAUUUCCACAAAAUGCAAAAUGCAUGGCACUUAAUUUUUGGCCCCGUGAUCACUAAGAUACAAUCCUUCUAGGGAAGAGCAAUCAGGCAAAUUUUUUUAAAUCUCUCCGACAAAGUGAUUACCAUCUAAUCGCAACAUUGAAUAAAAAUAAAAAUUUUAAUGGGAGUUUGACCUUAGAUUUAGAAAAUGAAUUUUCACUUUCUUCAAUUAUUAAACAGAUUACAGACAUUUGAGGAAUUUGAAAACACUUUAUCCAUCGAAAGUUAAAAUUAGAGAUGGAAGCUAGGUGCUUCAACUAAUGGGAUCAUUAAUUCCCCUCCCUCAAAUGUGUAGUUGUUCCUCUUUCCACAGCAUAAGCCUUAUAGUUAGAGUUUCUUUUAAAAAAAAUGUUAAACAAUUUCGGUUGAGCAUGGUUUUGGUAGUUGAAUAGACACCUCCGCCGUACCUCAAACAAAACUGUCAUUAUUCGUGUCAUGAAACAUGUUUCGGCCGUCAAAGUCAUGAGUAGGAGUGGGCAUGGGUUGGUUUGGGUUAGGUUUUAAGUCAAUUCAAACCAAAUCAUAAAAAUUUGGGUUAAACCCAAACUAACCCAAAUAUUUUUAACCCAACCCAAACCAACCUAUUUCCUUCUGGUAUCAGAGCCAAGGGGAGGAAAGUGUUUUAUUGUUUUGAGUUUUUGUGUUCUAAAAUCUUGUGUUUUAUUUUGCCACCAGAAAGUAUCCCAUGUUUAUAUCUUGUUAAUCCUACAUUACCUAAAAUUGUUGAGACUGAUGCAUCUGAUUUAGGUUAUGGAGGCAUAUUAAAGCAAAAGGAAAAUGAUAAUGAAUAGAUAGUACAAUAUGUUUCUGCACACUGAAAUUUUGUAAUGCAUAAAACAAUGGAAAGGAUUUCUUUUUUGAUAGUAGAAUAAUUUUUCUGACAAUCAUUCCAGUGUGCAGAAACAUAUUGUACUAUCUGUUCAUUAUCAUUUUCCUUUUGCUUUAAUAUGCCUCCAUAACCUAAAUCAGAUGCAUCAGUCUCAACAAUUUUAGGUAAUGUAGGAUUAGCAAGAUAUAAACAUGGGAUACUUUUUACAGAAUUCUUUAUUAAUCUAACAACUUUUGUAUGUUCAUCUGUCCAAGGAGUAGGUUUCUUUUUUAAUCUGUCAUGCAAAGGCUUAGACAUUCUAUUAAUAUUAGGGCAGAAGUCAAGAACAUAAUUCAAACUGCCAAGAAAUCUCUGUAAUUGGGUUUUGUCAAGAAUUUUAUCAGGAAAUUUAUCGGCAAACAAAAGAGAUCUCUCGAUUGGAGUGAUUGUUCCUUUAGUAAUAUGAUGACCAAGGAAUCUGACUUUUGUUUGAAAUAAAGAAACUUUAGAACUGGAAAUUGCCAAUCCAGCCUUUUUGGUGGCAAAAUAAAAAGUCUUUAAAUGUUUGAAAUGUUGAUCGAUAGAAUUUGAAAAUAUUAAUACGUCAUCAAUAUAAACAAUGCAAAAAUCAGAAUAAGGAUUAUAAAUAUCAUUAAUAAUUUUUUGAAAUUCUGAGGGUGCAUUCUUUAAACCAAAGGGCAUAACAGUCCACUCAUACUGUCCAAAUGGAACAGUAAAAGCAGUUUUGUAACGGUCAUUAGGAUGAAUUUGAAUUUGCCAAAAACCAGAUUUCAUGUCAAAUUUUGAGAAAAUAAGAGCAGAACAUAAUUUUUGAAGCAAAUCCUUUUUAUUAGGUAUGGGAUACCUAAUCCAUUUUAAAGCUUUGUUUAAAGGUUUGUAAUUUAUUACAAGUCUUGGUAUGCCUCUCUCAAGUUCAGAAUUUUUGUUCACAUAAAAAGCAGCACAAGACCACGGGGAUCUAGAUUUUACAAUAAGUCCUUUGGACUCUAAAUCCUUGAUUUCAUUUUUACAAUGUUGUUCCAAUUCCAUGUUCAUUUGGAUUGGACGGGCUUUAGUGGGGAUCUGUCUUUCAUCAAAAGAAUUUUCAUAGGGUAGAUCUACCACGUGUUGUUUUCUGUUCCAAAAUGCAGAAGGUAGAUCAGCACAAAUUUCUUUUUCAAUGAGAAUUUUGAAAUCAGAAAUUUUUCUUUUAAUGAAAUCACUUUGUAAUUGGCUUUCAAUUCUUUGUAGGUUCAAAUCUUUUUGUAAAAACAUUAGAUCACACUGUUUUGAUUUAAGUAAAUUAUUUAUCCUGUUUUGAUAAACAGAACAGGCUUUAACAAUAUUCAAAUUUCUUGUUUUAGGCUUUUCAAUAAAAGGGAAAACAAGUUUCUUGUUUUUUGCUUUGAAGGAUAUACUAUCAUAAUUGACAGUAUAUGGAGUUAUAAGAUUUAUAAAAGGAGUUCCCAAAAUGAUGGCAUGAUGAAUAUCAUUUGUGAGAACAAAAGAAGUUUUAAAAUCAAAACCAUUAUUAUGGAUUGAGGCUUCAACCUUAGAACUGACAUUCAGUUUUGAAUUAUUAGCGGCAGAAAGUCUUUCUUUUGUCUUUUCAUGAAAUCUUUUGGGGACGAUGUCUUCUCUAAUGCAAUUUAAAUCGGCGCCAGUAUCAAAAAGGGCAAUGGCGUCCAUUGCAAAAUCAUCAGAAAAGAUUAAAGUGACUUUAAUCAAAUACUUUCUUGUGGUGAUUUGCUUUAAAACAAAUAGAAAAUCAUUGGGUACAGACUCGAUGUUUUCUACUUUAAUAUCAUCACCAUCAUCAGGAUUAGAUUCAUUGUCUGAAUUAUCCUGCAAUUGUUUUUGUAAAAGAAGUUGGAUAGUAUCAGAAUCACUUUUUUGUUUUUCUUUUAAAUCUCUGAUUUCACAUUUGAUUUCUUUUAUCUCUUUCUGAAGAUCUUGGAUAUUAGGAACCGUCUUCUUUUUUUUCUUUUUAUCCAAAAUUUGAGUAAGAUCAUAAGAAUUCUUUUUAACAAUUGGGACUUUAGAAGUCUCAGCUUUAUUAAAAUCCAAAGUUUUCAAAAGUUUAUCAAGAUAUUCUUUUUGAAGAUUCGGAUCAGAAAUAUGCUUUACAAGUUCAAGAAAAGUUUCUUGGUCUUUAGUCAAAACAUUGAUUUUCUUUAAAAAUGAAUCAGAUUCAGAUUCACUGCUGCUAGAUGCAGAGUCAUCUGAGUCAAUUAGCUCAUCAACUUGAUUAGGGUCACUGUCUCCCGACAUGGAAGACUCAGAAUCAGAAGACUCGAUUAGAAGAGGGGCUAAUUUGGAAAGGAUCUCUUCAUCGAGGUCAAGCUCAUGAAGCUUUUUGUUCAUUCUGCAAUAUUUUGCAGUAUGACCUUUUAUGCCACACUUAUGACAUAUAGCUUCUUUGUAAUUGAAAGGAGUCUUUGGUUUGGCUUUAAACUCUUUUUUAGAGAAUUUGGGUUUCUUAUAAGGCCUCGAAGGUUUCUUAUAAGGAAGUUCUCUAAAAUUACGAAAAGGUUUCCUAAAAUGUUUAGAUUUGUAAUGUUUCCUGCGAGGUUUAGUAGAACACUCACAAUUACAAUCUUUGGAGAUAGAAGUUUUAAAGGGGUCAUAAUUGAAUUGUUUACAGAAACCGCCUAAUUCUUGUUUAGACUUCUUAAGCUCCCACUUAAGUCGUUUCUGUAGUUUCAAAUCUUGACAAAUCUUUAAACCUUCCUUAUUGACAAAACUGACAAGUUCGCCAUAAGUGAGCUCAUCAUAAGGAAUACGGUUAUCAUAAAGGGCUUUAAUAGAAUUUCUUACCUUUUCACCUAGAAGGGUAGGUAAUCCAGCAAAAAAUUUUUCUUUCCAAGUAGUAUGAUUUGCAUCAUCCCUUAGAAAUAGUCUGGUAAGAAAUGAGGUUUUGUAGCUCUGAAAUUCACUAAGUUUCCUACAUCUUAAAUUAUGUAGUAACUCAGCGUUUUUAUCACGAAAGUGUGAAGGGUCACCAAUGAAAUGGAGGGAAAUGGUUAAAAUUAGAGUAGCAACAGCAUCCUGAAUAGGGUUGUUGAACUCAUCAAAAAUAGGGGCUCCAUUUUCAUCGACUUGAAUGGAAUUUAGAAUGUCUAAUUGUUGCUGACUAGUGAGAAGAUGAUCCCACCAACCUUUGAGUUGACCAGUAAAACCGGCAAUGAGGAUUUCUGAUAUGGCACGAUCAGAAGUUCCUGCUUGGGUUUUAUAGGCAUUGGCUGCCAUUGUCAUUUGUUGCAACAAUCCUAGGAUAUUGUAUUCGGACAUACCGUCAAUAUUCCACUCAUAGACUGAAGAUGCAUUAUAUCGGGAUUGAUUUAAUGCACUUGGUCUAUUAUCUAUCGCUAGAUCCGGUGGAGUCUUGACAGUGGGAAGGGCUAAUUCCCAAUGAAUUUUGUUUGCCUUAGGAGUGGGUUCCUCUUGGAAAGCAUCAACGUCCGAAGAGGCUAUAGAAGUUUGGUCAUCUUGUUCUAAUACUCCAAUCUUGCUAGAUUGGGGAGUAUCAGGGGCUAUCUGAAUUUUGCUAGAUGAGGAAGAAGCAGCUUCUAUCCUAUCUAGUUGUUCUCUAAUGGCUUUAGCAAAAUCUGAUUUUGACUCUUGAACAAGCUUUUGGCUAGUUUUCGAAACCUGAAAAGGUUUGAAAAUAGGUUUCUUAAGCUUUUUGUCAGAAUCCGAUUUUGUUGGAAUAGGAGAGAUUGAUGGAACAGUAAUGGUUGACUUCUGGAUUUGGUUUUCUAUCCUAGUCAACUGUUUUCCAAUUGUAUUUAAGUUAGUAUUACAGAAAUUAUUCUGUUGGAUAAUACUACUUAAAUUUGCCUCGGAAUCAUUUGGUUUUGGGAUUUUGUAAGGUGAAGCUCGGAUUUGGACAGGAGGUUCACCGUGAUCAACGGUUAUACUCCGAAGAGGUGGGUGUUCAGACUCUAUAGUUCUAUCACUAUCAAGAAGUUUCCAUUCAGGGACUUUCUUCCUAAUAGUAAUAGGGUUUGACUCUUUAAAAUGAUAAGAGAUGUUGUUAUCGGAAGAAUAUAUCUCAAACCAAUCAAAAAACAAUAUAUGAAUUUUAUGAAAAUUCACAAAUUCAUAGUAAGUUUGUUGGAUUUCUUUUCUUUGGUUUAAAAAGUGUUGAAAAACCAAAGUCUUUUUUCUUUGUUUAAAUCAGAAUAAAAAUCAUUAUGCAGAAAAGUUUUAUCUAAUUCAAAUUCUUUUUCAAUGACAUUAAUGACAUUUUCUGUAACAGCAGAAAAUGUAGGGGAAGUUGGAGGAGAAGGUUCCUUCUCUUCCUGACUUUGUAAAUGUUGAUUACUAGUGUAGAUUGGAUGAGGAACACUAGUGGUGUAAUCAACUGAUCGAAUGGAGGUACCUGUAGCUAAACCAACCUAUUUGGAUUUGGGUUUGGUUUGAAUUUUAUAAUUAAAAUAUUUUUUAUUUUAAUAAAUUUAACUAUAUCAAAUUAUAAUAAUUAUUAAUUAAUAUUAAUUAUUAAAUUAAUAUUAAAAUACGAAAAAAUGUAGUGGAUAAAAAUUAUGAAUAAUGGAUUUUACAAUAACUUUGUUCUUAAAUAUUAACCAUAUUACAACAUAAAUUCUAACAAUGUCAAUACAAAUUAAAGUAAGAUAAGAUAUCUCAACUCAAGCAUCAAAGCAAUCCAUCAAAAUUAAAUUAUUUAAUUUUAUAAAUUUAAAUCUUCCGAGAAAUAAAUCUAAAAUUUAUUGUAAUUAGAAAAAGCGCCAAAAUUUUAAACGCAGUAAGAAAAAUUAGACAUGAAAUCUAAUUAGGUUUAAAUUUAAUUAAAAAAUAACAAUAGAAUCAUAUUUUAUUUGAUAAAAUCUUAAAAUCAAUUGCAUUUUUAAUUUUAGUAAGUUACAAUACAAAUAGGAUUAUAAAAUUAUAUUACAGGAUUUCAUAAAAAUAUUGUUUGAGUAAUUUAUUAAAGGACUCACCUACGUUGCCACAGUUGUAGCUUACCACGCUUUUUGUCUUUUUCCAGUAAAAUCGUAGGAUGCUUUCAAAUUUAAUCUAACGGCUGCAAUUAAUUAUUAGAUAAUUUAAUCAGCCAUUGGCAACCUUUACAACCGGUUAUAUUCUCUCGUUACAUUUAUCGGCUACCAAACAAUCCCCAAGAAAAUGACGAAGUGAGUAACUAAUACACACACCGCAGAGAAAGAUGACAGGAGAAGAGAUGACGGUAGGCCCACCGGCACAAAGGUUCUUCGAUUGCUCUAUUUCUUCGGCGCCGGAUUUAUCUACACAGCUACAAUCGACAAGUGGCGGGAACUCGAGCGGAAGUCAUUGAAAAAGAAACAGCAAGAGAGCAAUCUAUGGACUGAUGAUAACUCAGCAACUACGGUAAAGAAAGCCGUCAAAUGAUCUUUUUAUUUGACUUUUGAUGGAUUUUCAAGAGUUUUGGUAAUAAAAUGUCUCUUAAUUUUUCAUUUCAAUGGCCUAUUGUUUGAGUUAUUAUUAUGCAUAAUUGUUGGAAGAGUUAGGGUUUUACUAUUGGAUUUUGGAAUUUGUAUUUUGGCUUUGAUAUGUUAUUGUUGUGAUGUCGGUCAAGAAAUUUUUGACAACACUCUCCUCGAGUUUGAUACUAUAGCUAAUGAAUUUUUAUGGCAGAUAUAUAUUUUUCUUUGAAAAAAAAAAACACUUUACAACUGGUUAUGCAUUCAUUUAGGAGCUGUUAACUGAGCGUGAGUUCCAUAAUUUUCCAACCAGUGGUUAGGGUUUCACAGAAAAAUGUCGACAUUGAUCUUUAGGCAGCACUUAAGACUGAAAUUGGUUAUAGAGGAUCGAAUUUGGGGAACUAGAAAUUUCUGAUCAUUAAUAAUUGAAAAUGGCCUCUCACUUGUAGGCAGUUGUUGGAUGUAAUGUAUCCAGUUUCUGAAAUCGAAAGUAGAGUGAGUUCUUAAGUUAGAUGUACCUACAUGCAUUAAGGUUCGAAGAUGUGGAAUAGGCCAAUUGUUUGAUGUCAGCUUUGUUGCACAUGUUCUGAAAUUGAUCAUUUAAGAUGGCUUGGAAGCACUCCGUGAUGUGACUAAGAAGAUUCGAGGAAGUAUUAAAUAUGUUGAAAGUUCACAAUUAAUACAAGGUAAGUUCAAUGAGAUCACCCAGCAAGUUGAAAUCAACAGUCAAAAGAGCCUAAAGUGUGAUAUUUUUCUCUUGGAUUGUUUUUUUAUUUUCCAUUUCAAAGCUGAUAGUGUAAAUAUUUUGUUUGCAAAAGUUUCUAAAAAGUACUUGAGUCAAGAUGGUUAGGUAUUUCGUAACUUCCUUUUUACUCUUAACUAGAUUCAUAGAGAGUUAUAACAUUAACAUAAUUUUUUCUUUUAAAAGUGAUCAAUUAGACACUGAUGAGAUAUCUCACUUUUGAAUCAUUUAGCUUUAUGUAAUUUCAUUACUAUUAUAUGCCCCCAGGAAUUGUUGAAGUAUAUAUAUCUUGGCAUUUCUUCACUGACUGAAUUAUCUUUCAUAAUAUUCCAGCUUCAAAUGGGUACACUGCAGAGCCGAUUGGAUGCAGAAUUCCUUCUAGCUCAUAUGUGCUCUGUAAAAUUCAAAGACUGAAUAGUGGUUAUGGCAACUCUUUUUAGAUGAUCUAAGGUAUAAUGCCCAAUUAUUGCUUUUGCUUUAUCUGUUUUACCUUGCAACAUUUUGAAAUUUAUGAGAAGCAUAAAAUUACUGAGCCAAAAUUGAGGAUCUGAACUUUCGUAAAAAUAUUCGUAUUUUUAAAUUAUAAAAUAUUGCAUUUGAUGCUUUAGGUGGAACUUAGUUCACUACAGAAAGGAAAAUUAUGUUGGGCAUAACCAGAUGCUUUUCAAGAGAAAAUUUCACUGAUAUUUUUCUGAGGAUUUUACUUGGCCAUCUUAUUUCAAGCUGCUUGAAUUUUUUCUUUAUAUCAUCUUGGUUGUAUACUAUAACUCGUUGAAUUUGCUAGCACUUUUGCUAGUUGGUUAUUCUAUAUGUGAUUAUGGUGGUAAAGUUUGGAAGCUCAAAAAGUAAUGGAACUUAGGAAGAGUAUGACAUAGAAUGCUGGAUAGAAUUAAAAUAAUCAUUCUUCAGGCAUCCAAAGAUGAUGUAUUCAAAAUAGCUAGUUUUGACUUUUGAGGCCGUAUAAAUAACUAUUAUCUCACAUGGUUACAUUAUGAUAGGUAGGCACUAGCUUAAUAACUCCAAUUAACUUGAAGUUGUUACCUGAUUUAUUAUGACAGUGUGCAUUACGAUAAGUAUCCUUGCAUAUUAAGAUUUUCCUUCCAGAUCUUUGCGGUACUUUUUGAUCUUUUCCGACAUGAUAUGCGAUUAUGGGAAGCAUAUGCCAUCACCUUACAGGUAUUCUCUUAAUUUUUAGAUAGUGCUCAAGAUGACAUUCAAGUUGGCUAUUAUUGGGUGCAAGAUUUACCAUGCUCUUAUUUUGCUUUUUUAGUCUAACCCGAUAUUUGCUUAAUACCAUGAUCUGCUUCAAGCCUUGGAUGAAAAACUUUCAUUUUUUGUAUAUUCUGCAAUGAGAUGAGGGUAGUUUUUCUGAUGAUAUUUGGCAGUAAAUUGGGACUAACUAAAGUAAUUUUCUUAAUGGCAUGUCUACUUCUCAGAUGAAUGACCGUCUGUUCAGACUCCAAGGUGAUGAAUUAACAACCACCGAUCUAUUCUGGGUGAAGAUGAUGACGUUGACACCAAGCCAGUGGAAUGACUAGGACUUCCCUUUUGUUACAAUAAAUUGCGUUCAUUAGACACACGCAGUUAAUUAGUGUAGAUAAAGGAGGUCUAUGCACUAUAGACUGUUUUGUAUUUCGAGAGUCCUUUUUUUGUUUCUUUCAUUCUCCAUUCUUUUGAAAUUAUGUACAAUGGUUAUAUUGUCUGUAUUAUUACGGAUUUAUGAUGGGAGUAUCCCAAGUUUAUGGAAUAAUUAUAAAUAAGGACUUUAAAUUUUUGUUGAAAGAAGUUGAGUGAGAGAAAAGAAGCUAAAGCAGUAAGCAUUUGUUAUACUUCAUUCGAUUGUAUCUAAAUUACAAAGGUUGGUGGCCUUAUUUAUAGUGAAGUUCCCACAGGCCACUUGCACUCAAAACAUUCGAAAUAUGCAAACAUAUUGAUAUAUAAACAUACAGAAUUAAUAUUCUGAAACCUUGUAAGUAAUGCAAAUAAAAGUGAGGUUGGGGCAGCCAAUAUUUACAUCAUGUAUUAAUAGAAAUAAAAUCAAUUAUUUCCAAAUAAAUUCACUUAGUUCAAAGCACGGGCUUCGGUUAAGUUGAACAAGCAAGCCAAUUUUUGUUGUUACUUCAUGAUUGUAGUAAGCUGUGGGUAGUGGAUUGUGUUCCCUAUAAAAAAACAAACAGAAGCAUAAGUUUCUCUCAAUUAAGGCACCUGAAAUGUAUUUCCAUGUCUACUAACCUGGUCAUUCCUCCAUGAACUAAACCCUUCUGAGGAUCUUGAAUAGAUUUAUAGAGAUCUCAGAUAAUUUCCUCAUGGUGUGCCUAAGUAAAGACAAGUCUUAUGUACUUGAUUACUUCUGGCCAAUCCAUCGAGGCCACCACCUGUCUCAGUCAAUUCAAUCUUUUAAUAGAGUGAAUUACUAGAAUAAAAUUUAUUAAAGUUGAUAUAAAAUCUAAAUUAAAAAAAUCAGAUAAGAGAAUGAUCCAAAAUCCAAAAAAUCAGAUAUUUAAGGAGUGGACUUGUGACCCUCUAUAGAAUCCAUGGAAGAGUAACUAAGGGAAAAACAUUAGAGGUACUUUUGGCGAUACUAUUAGUAUUCUUGUGCUGAUCAUAAUCUUGGGGGUAGAUCUAGACUAAUUAGCUAUUCAUUGAACAUUCCAUUUCUCCACAAUUACAUGCAAAAGUGCACCUUGCAGUUGCAGCCUAGACCAUAGAAAUAUAGAAUUCCAAUUAUCAACAUCUAAAGCUACUGUAGUGACUUGCAACCAUGAGAUGAUAUAUACAUAUGCUGAGAUUCAAAUAUUUGAGAAGUUUAAACAUCCUGAUGAAAAAUAGACUAGUUCACAGCUACUUUGGGGAAGUUGAUUUCUAAUAGCAGUAGAAAAUACAAGUUUUUUUAAACAUACCUACUCCAGUAAACUCAAUUAACCAAAACAAAACUCAAAGCAUGAAAAAGAGGGAUUUUAACUAACCUAAUCAUUAUCAUUGAUAUUUUAACAUAUUGAUCUUCACAUGGAGUUAACAAACACAAGACUUAGUGCCUAGUACAUAUGUCUGGGGUUGCACAGUCUGUUCGACAAAUUUAUUGAAACUAUAUCCAUGCUCCUUCUCCAAUAAAUAAAUAUCCUCUUGCUUCUUCCAUCCUACUCUAAUUCUUCCUGGAAAGCAUUCUCCCCUUCUCUAAUUCUUCCGAAAAAACAUAACCGACAAUCCUAAACUAAUUACCACCGUUAAAUCUUUCAAACAAAAUUUACAAUUUCUUAUCAGUAGUUUCCUGCCGCAUCCGAUCGAACGGCUCAUCAACGAAUCAAACAGACUUCUUUCCACCCUUUUUCCAUAUAAUUACAUUUGCCUAAUUCCUAAAGUUUCGGCUCCGCCCAAUGUCGGCCGCAAUUGGCUGCCACAGCGAUAUGUUCAUCUUCAACUUCUCUGCUGCGAUUUCAAAUUUACUUCAGCCUCGUACCACCACACUUCCACUGGCAAUUAAUUUCAUUAUCCGAUUUUACUAUGUGUGGAAUAGAUUUGAGCAAUUUAUGAGUUUUCGCUACGAUUUCGACGAUGUCCUCUCAACACUAAUUUGAUCACCUAAUUUUAACUGUUUUGGGUUAUUUAUUUUUUAUUAUAUUUAUAUACAGUCUCUGCAGGCAACCGACUACUUUACUUAUAUGUGGAACUCAUCUGAGUCAUUAGAUGAAGGCCCUCGAGAUCCUACGGUGAUUAUAUAUGAGGACAAAAUGUGUUGUACGUUGCAACUGUUGCAACGUAGGAGGAUCCUUUAUUAAAAUGUUAAUUUAAUCUUUUAACUCAAGUUGAGACCGUAAAAAAUUGUUAUAUAAUAGUGUACUGUACAACCAAUUGCAUAUGUAUUUAUCCUGUGCAGCACUUCUAUUAUUAUUAUAUAAUAAUAAUUAGUAGUAGUAUAAUUACUAUAUAAUAAUAAUUAUUAAUAGUAUAAUUAUUAUAUAAUAAUAAUUUUAAUAAAAAAUUAUUAUUAAAAUAUUAAUUUAGCCUUUUAUUUUGUUUAAUUUACUUUUCAUUAAUAUGUUAUCUUGAAUUUGUUCAUGACCCAUGGGUAAACUAUACCCAAACUAUUAUAAAAUAAUUUUUUUCAUAAAAAUUCAAAUUUAACCCAUUUCAUGAUUUAUCCAACUCAAACCAUUUAAUUUAAUAGUAGAUAAAGGCCCAAUUUAACCCAUUUCAUUUAAUUUAAUAGUGGAGAUUCGGUAGGGUUUUAUUUCCUUCUCUUUGCUGUCAAACGAAAUUAUGUUACUCGAGUCUUAAUUUGUGUCUCAGUAAUUAAUCUGAUGUGACUAUUAUAACAAGCUGCCACAUCGAUUGAUGGCCAAGUAAUUGGAUAUUUAAUAUUACUCAAUUAAUAAAUUAACAAUAUAUUUGAGUUUUUAAGCUUUUUUCGGGUCAGAUCAUUAAUAACACAGAUUUUGCUGUAAUCUCAGGUUGUGUAAUUGAGUGCAUAAGAAAAAAACAAAACAAAAAACUAUUCAAAAAAAUUAAUUUCAUAUAAUAAAAUUAUACUUUUGUUAUAAUUUAACUUAGUAGUUAUUUUAAUUUUUUCAACAUACACAUAUAUACACAUAAUAAAAUUAAUUUCAUAUAAUAAAAUUAUACUUUUGUUAUAAUUUAACUUAGUUAGGACUCUGUUUUCUAGAAACAGAGUCCUAACUAAAUUAAUUGACUGUACAGUACAUUUCAACAUAGCAUAUUUAACCGUUAACCGUCUUCUGAGUUAUCAUCAACAAAUUCAUUCAUAUUUCUCCAGUCUUACGGACGAUAUCAUAUGUUUAAUAAUGAAUGAAUAGUCUUGGAUCAGUGUUUUGCAGCAAAUUCACAUCAUAGUUUUGAUUCUUUAGAUAUGAAUUCAUCACAUUACCGAAAAGAAUACGCGCUAAAAAAUGAUUCCAAGACUAUUUGACUACCAAAAGCUGCUGUCAGAGUGCACUGAAAGUUUCCGUAGGAUACUUUGCGGUUGUUUAUUAUGUUAUGAUGGGCAUAUAAUUCUCAAAUUUUGACUCCUCUCAGCGAAAAAUAUAUCAAAGUUUAGAUUAUGUGUUCGAGCUUUAAUAAAUGCCUGAGUUAAUAAUAAUAACAACAAUAAUAAUAAACUAAAAAGCAAAAUUACUAUUGAAUGAUCGGAAAAAAAAAAAAAAUUGAAAAUGUGUGAACUCCAAUAACCACCCCACAAAUUUAGUGGCGAAUUUUGGAGAGGGCAAGGCUGGGCUUCUCAGAAAAAAAAUGACGAGUAGAAUUGUGGAAAAUUAAAGCAAAAUGACAAGUAUGGAAAGGAAGGCUGAAAGUAAGGCAUGACGAAAGUCUUUGAGAAGGCUGAAGACUACCAAAGAAGACAACUGAAAGCUAGCUGGGGCGUGAGUGUAUAAAUUGUUAGAUGUGUUUGUUAUAAAUAACAUAGAGCCCUUUUGUUAUUUAUAGUUAUAGAGAAAGAGAGAAUGUGUGUUUUUUAAUAGUUAGAGAUAUAGCUAGAAUGGGUGGUUCAAAAUCCAAAAUGGUGACAAUGUUAGUUCUUAUAUUAAUAAUAUUAGGAAGAAGGGGGGGGGGGGGGGGGGUGUGGAGUGAGGGAUGUUUGGAGCAUGAGGAAUUUGCUCAUUUCUGGCUUAAACAUUUCUUCAAUUCCCCUUAUAGACUUCAAAACUGGGUAGAUGAACAAAGGGAAAGGGUUGAGUGCAGCAACUCCACAGGCCGAGUGGUACAACUACACCUUAGUCUUACUAGGAAUAUCGAUCUGGGAGUGUGGUAUCUGAAUGCUUCUCUAUUUACUUCCUUUCAACAACUUGGUAACAAAAUAGCCGGCUGCAUGCGUUGAGAAUGAAGGUCCUUCAUUUAAUUUAAUUUACUUAAUUUCUCCCUCCUAAUUAAUGUCUAUAACCAUUGGGAGGAACAAGGGAUUUUAUUAACUCAAAUAUAUGUAAUGGAGGAGCUCAUUCUUUGGUUUUACUUGCAGGUCUAGAAGCAGGUGUCAUCUAACAGCUGCUUUGAUAAUUUCCCACCCCUUCAUCUUUGAUGGAAAGAUGAAAUAAAAACAAAAUGGUGAAAAUGGUAUUGGUACCUGAGGCUAUGUAAUCUAAUUCAACAACUGCACCAUCAAAACGAUUACAUAAGUCCCAGAAGAAUCAAACAUUAGUUUGCAAAAUAUCAAUUGCUGGAGGUUAGAUUCUAACUUCCGCUCUUGAUUUUUAUGGGCAUGUUGUAUUGUACUUGCAUACGAAAAUCAUAUUUUAGUUUACUUACACUCAACGCUUGGAUUAAAGUUUUAGGUGGGGAAAAUUGAAGGAGACUAAAAUGACUCAAAAAAAUAGUUGAAUGAGUGAGGGUUUUGUCUUCAUUUAAGGAGCUCUUUAUAAAUUUUAGGAUUUUUUUUCCCUGAGAAAAUUUAUGCCAACUUAUUCUUUGCUUCUUUUCUGAAGGGACAAAUGCAACUAAAAGUGUAUUCUUGAAUUCUCCAGGAUAAGAGACAUAUGUUUAAUUAGAUUCUCGAGCCUUCAAAACAAUAUAAAAUUUUAGAUUGAUAAAAUUUUAUAUAUCUGAGCAUGAUGGUGUUUGACAUGACUUAAAACUGUUUAAUUUACUCUCACAUACAAGAAUGCCUAGUUAUAUUGUAGCUCAGAGUCUGAGGUUAAUUCAUAAAGAAAUGAUUUAAUUUGUUUAUUUAAGAUUAUCCCAAAAAAUAAAAAUAAAAUUUAAAUAUAUGUAAUUUAAUUUGAAAAAAGUUAUGAAAUUAAUUAUUUAGGGUCAUGGAUCCACUCUUAGUAAUAAAUACAAUUUAAUAAAUUCUUUUUAUUUUUAUUUUAUUGCCCAAAAGAUUAAUUAUAUAAAUUAUAAUUAUUUUCCCAUUAAUUUUAUUAUGGAUUAAGUACUUAAUGUGCCAAAACUUAACUUAUCUACAAUAAGUCAAAAUACCAUUUUACCAUAAUUUAUGCAAAGAUAUUAAGAAUUCAUGUGCCAAACUCCCAUGUUUGUCUACAAUAAAUCAAAAUUUCAAAACAUAAAAUAUGGAUCAAAUUAAAUAAAAAAUAAUUUAAUUUAUAUAAUUAAAAAUAGAAUUUGAUUAAAUCAUAUUUUUCUACUCAGAGUUUUACCUCACCCUAACUAUUAGUAUUUAGCUAAACAUAUUUGAAAUAAAUGAAAUUAUUAAAAUUAAAAAAUACAUAAUUAAAAAAAUGGUAUUUGAAAAUUAGAAAUAAAACUAAUUUUAUUUAUUGAAAAUGUAUUACAAAGAGAGAUGAGAAGAAGAAUUUGAGGGGAAAGAAGAGAAGAAAAUGUGUGGAGAGGUGUGUGAAAUUAUAUUGUAAAGAUGUUACACAAACAAAUGAAUAAAAAAAAACUAAAUGAAAAUUACACAAAUUAAAAAGAAAAUGAAAAUUAAAUAAACAAGAUAAAUGUGCAAGAAAAAAAUGCACAAUAAAAAUAAAUAAACUGAAAAGUAAUUAACUAAAAUUAAAAUAACUAAAUAGGCGGUAAACAAAGUAAAUGCCAAAAAUAAAAUAAGUGCGAAAAUUAAAUUACAGAAAUUAAAAGAAGAAAGAAAGAAAAAAUAAUUAUCUCAAAGUGUAAACUCUUUUUCUUUUUCUUUUCAAAUUUUAAAUAUUACCAGCCAAUUAAGUGAUUAAUUCAAAUUAUUAGGCUUUAAUAGUAAUUUUUAAAAUCAAUAUUCAGUUUAUUGAGUCCAAAUAAGGUCCAAAGAAGUUCAAGUUGUUGGUCUAAAAUUAAGAAUUUUGGGAAAUAUUGGCAACGGACCUAUUCAAAAAGUUCUAUAAUUUUAUGGUCAAACUGCAAUUAUGAGAAGAAUGAUCCAAAAAUUAGAAUUUUUGGGGUGAGUGAGAUUUAGAAAAUUUUGUGGAUAUAACAUAAUUUAAGAAAGAAAAAGGAGGUAAAUGAAAAUUUAUACAAAAAGUAAAAAAAGAAAGAAAAAAGAAAACAAAAUAAAUACCUCUCCCGGCAACGGCGGUAAAAACUUAACACGACUUUAAAGUAUUUAAUUUACUCUUAAGUAUAAGAGUAGCUAGUUAUAUUAUAUCGCGAGAAGUCCGAGAUCGAUCUACAGAAAAAUGAUUUAAUUUAUUUAUUUAAGUUUAUCUAAAAAAUAAAAUUAAAAUUAAAUACAUGCAAUUUAAUUUGAGAAAAACUAUGAAAUUGAAGUAGUUAGGAUUAUGGAUCUACUCCUAGUAAUAAAUGUAAUUUAAUAAAUUUUUUAAUUUUAUUUUAUUGACCAAAAGAUUAAUUGUAUAAAUUACAAUUAUUUUCCCAUUAAUUUUAUUAUGGAUUAAGUACUUAAUGUGCAAAAGCUUAACUUGUCUACAAUAAGUCAAAAUACUAUUUUACCAUACUUUAUACUAAGAUAUUAACAAUUCAUUGUGCCAAACUCCCAUGUUUGUCUACAAUAAAUUAAAAUUUCAAAAUAUAAAAUAUAGAUAAAAUUAAAUAAAAAAUAAUUUAAUUUAUAUAAUUAAAAAUAGAAUUUGAUUAAAUCAUAUUUUUCUACUCAGAGUUUUACCUCACCCUAACUAUUAGUAUUUAGCUAAACAUAUUUGAAGUAAAUGAAAUUAUUAAAAUUGAAAAAUACAUAAUUAAAAAAAUGGUAUUUGAAAAUUAGAAAUAAAACUAAUUUUAUUUAUUGAAAAUAUACUACAAAAAGAGAUGAGAAGAAAAAGUUGAGGGGAAUGAAGAGAAAAUAAGGUGUGGAGAGGUGUGUUCCUCCCCCCACCUCUCUAUUUAUACUAAUACGUGAUUAAUCCACACAACACAAAUAAAUAAAACUAAUUACAUCUUAGGCAUACAUUUGUCCUACUAACAAAACAUAAACCUAAGUUAAUCCACUUAAGCACAUCCAACACAUUUCACUAAAAAUUACCACACCUAACAUGAUAAAAACUUAUAAUUUCACAAUUACCACUUUUACUUUUACAACAAAAGCCGCGAAUCUUCUCGACAAUGACCUAAUUUCUCGGACUUUCGGAAUCUAAAAGUUUAAAUAAUAUUAAAUUUAUCUAAUAUAAAUAAAUGUAUUAAAUAAAAUAAUGUUUCAUUUUAUAUUUACCCUCCUUUUAUUAAAUUUCCUAUAAUUAUAUUUAAUAAAAUAAAUAAUAUUAUAUAUUUAAAUAAUAUUAGUUAUAUUUAACUAAAUUAAAGCAAAAUGACAAGUAUGGAAAGGAAGGCUGAAAGUAAGGCAUGACAUAAGGCUUUGAGAAGGCUGAAGACUACCAAAGAAGACAACUGAAAGCUAGCUGGGGCGUGAGUGUAUAAAUUGUUAGAUGUGUUUGUUAUAAAUAACAUAGAGCCCUUUUGUUAUUUAUAAUCAUAGAGAAAGAGAGAAUGUGUGUUUUUUAAUAGUUAGAGAUAUAGCUAGAAUGGGUGGCUCAAAAUCCAAAAUGGUGACAAUGUUAGUUCUCGUAUUGAUAAUAUUGGGGGGGGGGGGGGGGGGGGGAGGUCGAGUGAGGGAUGUUUGGAGCAUGAGAAAUUUGAUCUUUUGCGGCUUAAACAUUUCUUCAAUUCCCCUUAUACACUUCAAAACUGGGUAGGUGAACAAAGGGAAAGGGUUGAGUGCAGCAACUCCACAUGCCAAGUGGUACAACUACACCUUGGCCUUACUAGGAAUAUCGAUCUGGGAGAGUGGUAUCUGAAUGCUUCUCUAUUUACUUCCUUUCAACAACUUGGUAACAAAAUAGCCGGCUGCAUGCGUUGAGAAUGAAGGUCCUUCAUUUAAUUUAAUUUACUUAAUUCCUCCCUCCCAAUUAAUGUCUAAUGGAGCUCAUUCUUUGGUUUUACUUGCAGGUCUAGAAGCAGGUGUCAUCUAACAGCUGCUUUGAUAAUUUCCCACCGCUUCAUCUUUGAUGAAAAGAUGAAAUAAAAACAAAAUGGUGAAAAUGGUAUUGGUACCUGAGGCUAUGUAAUCUAAUUCAAAAACUGCACCAUCAAAACGAUUACAUAAGUCCCAGAAGAAUCAAACAUUAGUUUGCAAAAUAUCAAUUGCUGGAGGUUUGAUUCUAACUUCUGCUCUUCAUUUUUAUGGGCAUAUUGUGUUGUACUUGUUGGAGAAUUAACAAAUAAAACACACACAAAAACACACUAUUUUAUUUCUUCAACAACACUUCUCACUAAUUACAAUUCUUAUUUUUCACUCUCUACACCUGAGAGAUUUUGCUACUUCACUUGAUAUUUAAACCAAAGGGGAGAGGGGGUAUUUAUACAUGAAACAAACUAAUCACAACCAUUCAUUUAUUCAAUUAAUACACAAAUCCUCACCAUCCAUUAAAACCUACCACACCUAACACACCUAACACAAAUAAUUCAAACCUCACCAACCAUACCUACUCAUGGAACCUUCCAUGAGUUGGGCUUGAUUUAUUCAUCUUGGAUCAAGUUUAUGAUCCAACACCUCCCCUUAAACUUGAUCCUGUGACACCAAGCAAACUUCUGAAUCUUACAAAGUCUUCUUGCUUGAGUGGCUUAGUGAAGAUAUCAGCUGCUUGAUCUUGUGAUUUUACAUACUUGAUUUGCACUUCUUUUCUUGCAAUACACUCUCUUAUGAAAUGAUAAUGAGUGUCUAUGUGUUUACUUCGAUCAUGAAAGACUGGAUUCUUGGAUAGGGCAAUUGCUGAUUUGUUAUCAACACAAAUCUCGGUUGGCUCUUCUUGUGCCAAACUCAACUCCUUCAGUAAAUUUCUGAGCCAAAUUGCAUGACAAACACUUGAUGUGCCAGCUACAUAUUCAGCUUCACAGGUGGAUAGCGUGACAAUUGGUUGCUUCUUUGACAUCCAUGUGAAAGCAGUAUCUCCCAUGAAGAACACAAAUCUCGUGGUGCUCUUUCGAUCAUCUACAUCUCCACCCCAAUCGCUAUCGCUAUAUCCAACAAGCUUGUAGUCAUUAGAAAAUGAGUAUAGCAAGCCGAAAUUAGUUGUACCUUUGAUGUAGCGAAGGAUUCUUUUUGCAGCUUUAAAAUGGGUAGUCUUUGGAUUCUCCAUAUAUCGGCUCACAAAUCCAACAGCAUAAAGGAUAUCUGGUCUUAUGCAUGUCAAAUAACGUAGGCUUCCAACCAAACUUUUAAAGAAUGUUGGAUAUAUAUCUUCGCCUUCAUCAUGUUUGGAUAACUUGACUCCGCAUUCCACUGGCGUGCUUAUAGGCUUACAAUCAUUCAUCUUGAACUUCUUGAGAAUCUCCUUUGCAUAGCUUUCUUGGGAGAUAAAUAUGCCUUCUUCCUUUUGCUUGACCUCAAUGCCGAGGUAAUAUGCCAUCAGUCCGAUGUCAGUCAUCUCGAACUCUUUGAUCAUCACUCUCUUGAACUCUUCAAACAAGCUUGGAUUACUUCCAGUGAAGAUGAGAUCAUCCACAUACAGGCACACAAUCAAAAUAUCUCCAUCUUUUUCUUUGACGUAGAGAGCAUGUUCAUAUGGGCAUUUGGUGAAGCAUUUCUCUUGAAAAUACUUGUCAAUUCUGCUAUUCCAUGCCCUUGGUGCUUGCUUUAACCCGUAAAGAGCUUUCUUCAAUCUCAAAACUUUGUCCUCAUGUCCUUUCACCACAUAGCCUAAUGGUUGUUCGAUGUAAACUUCUUCUUCAAGGAAUCCAUUCAAGAAAGCAGACUUCACAUCCAUUUGAAAAAUCUUCCAUUUGUUCUGAGCAGCCAAAGAAAUAAUAAGUCUAAUAGUUUCAAGUCGAGCUACAGGAGCAAAUAUCUCGUCAUAGUCUAUGCCAGCCUUUUGACUAUAGCCUUUUGCAACUAGCCUCGCCUUGUGCCUUUCAAUUUCUCCCUUCGCAUUUUUUUUUGUUUUAUACACCCAUUUGACACCGAUCGCCUAGUGACCUUUUGGAAGAGUAGUAAGCUCCCAAGUAUCAUUCUUCACAAUGGCUUUGAUUUCUUCAUCCAUUGCAAUUCUCCACUUCUCAUCUAGUGCAGCUUCUUGGAAGUUGACUGGCUCACAAUCAGCAAAGAGGCAAAAGAGAGUGAGAUUAUCAUGUCUCUCAGUUACCUCAUAGAGAUCUUGAAGACUCCUUGUACGUUCUUCGGUUCUUUCAUUUAAGAAAGACGGCGGUGAAUCUCCGCAUGUGGUUGAUAAUGGUGAGAUAGGUGGAGUAGCAGGCUCUUGUUGUUCGUCUACUUGUUUUAACUGUGUAUGAUCAUCUUCUUCAAUGGGAAAGAAGUUGAAGUCAUCCACACCAGAGCCAAAAUCCCAUUCUCCUUCUUCAUCAAAAACUACAUCUCGACUGAUCACGAUCUUCCCGUUGUUUGGAUUGUAAAGCUUGUAUCCUUUGGAGUUGUUGUCGUAGCCGAUGAAGAUGAACUUCUCACUUUUGUCAUCCAGCUUGGCUUUACUUUCGUCUGGUAUAUGUACAUGGGCAAUGCUUCCGAAAACUCUUAGAUGGGUGAUGCCGGGUUUUCUUCCACUCCAAGCUUCUUAUGGCGUCUUGCCCCACACGCUUCUUGUUGGAGAUCGAUUGGAUAAGUAGACUGCACAUGCAACUACUUCAGCCCAAAAUUCUUUAGGUAGCCUCUUACUCUUAAGCAUGCUUCUAAAAUUCUUUAGGUAGCCCAAAAUUCUUUACCAGAUAUCCUUUAUGCUGUUGGAUUUGUGAGCCGAUAUAUGGAGAAUCCAAAGACUACCCAUUUUAAAGCUGUAAAAAGAAUCCUUCGCUACAUCAAAGGUACAACUAAUUUCGGCUUGCUAUACUCAUUUUCUAAUGACUACAAGCUUGUUGGAUAUAGCGAUAGCGAUUGGGGUGGAGAUGUAGAUGAUCGAAAGAGCACCACGGGAUUUGUGUUCUUCAUGGGAGAUAUUGCUUUCACAUGGAUGUCAAAGAAGCAACCAAUUGUCAUGCUAUCCACCUGUGAAGCUGAAUAUGUAGCUGGCACAUCAAGUGUUUGUCAUGCAAUUUGGCUCAGAAAUUUACUGAAGGAGUUGAGUUUGGCACAAGAAGAGCCAACCGAGAUUUGUGUUGAUAACAAAUCAGCAAUUGCCCUAUCCAAGAAUCCAGUCUUUCAUGAUCGAAGUAAACACAUAGACACUCGCUAUCAUUUCAUAAGAGAGUGUAUUGCAAGAAAAGAAGUGCAAAUCAAGUAUGUAAAAUCACAAGAUCAAGCAGCUGAUAUCUUCAGUAAGCCACUCAAGCAAGAAGACUUUGUAAGAUUCAGAAGUUUGCUUGGUGUCACAGGAUCAAGUUUAAGGGGAGGUGUUGGAUCAUAAACUUGAUCCAAGAUGAAUAAAUCAAGCCCAACUCAUAGAAGGUUCCAUGAGUAGGUAUGGUUGGUGAGGUUUGAAUUAUUUGUGUUAGGUGUGUUAGGUGUGGUUGGUGAAGUAGGUGAGUGGUAGGUUUUAAUAUAAUCUUUUAAGUGAAUAUCAUAGCCUUUUUCUAAAAGUUGACCUAAACUAAGAAUGUUGCUUUUCAUAUUGGGCACAUAGUAAACAUUCGAAAUUAUUUGGUGGCUACCAUCUUUUGCACGAAAAAGAAUGUUACCUCUACCCUUCACUAGUACUUUUGAAUCAUCUCCAAAAGCGACAUUGUCAUUCACAAAUUCACUUAGUUGCACGAACAUGCUUCUGUUUCCACUCAUAUGAUUGCUAGCACCUGUGUCAAGAUACCAUGUAUUUUCUUGACCUGCACUUGUGUCAUUGCGUGCUAGUAAAAGUGUGCCAUCUUCACCAUUUUUCUCUUCAGCAUAGUUCACUCUCUCCUCAAUUCUGGUGCUUGGAGCUCUGCAUUCUGAAGCAUAAUGCCCAAACUUUUGACAAUUAUAGCAUUGUACUUUGGAUUUGUCAUACCUCGAUCUUGGAUUGCCUCUGCCUCGUCCUCUGGUUGAGCUUUCUCCUUUGUCAUAAUUGGAGUUGUUGUUGUUGAAAUUCCAACCUCGUCCAUGACCACGACCUCUACCUCGUCCUCGACCUCUACCUCGGACAUAGUGCAUUCUCUCGUUGUCGGAGCUUUCUUCUCUUUUCUUUGGAUUGACUUCCAUCUUGAGAAGUUAUUCUUUGAUUCCUUGCUUCUUCUUUUUUUUCUUCAUAGGCUUGCAACCUUCCUUGAAGUUGCUCGAUCGUCAUAUCCUCCAAAUCUCUUGUUUCUUCAAUUGCACAACAAUAUGUUCAAACUUCGACUCUACUGAUCGAAGUAUCUUUUCAAUGAUCCUUACCUCUUUUAACUCCUCGCCAUUUCUUUUUAAUUCAUUGGAAAUGGUUACAACCCGAGUAAAGUAGUCAGAAAUUGACGCCGACGCCUUCAUGUGUAAAGACUCAAAUUCUCCUCGUAAUGUUUGGAGACGAACCUUCUUAACUUGCUCCGCUCCUUUGUAAGAGGUCUCUAGUUUCUCCCAUGCUUCUUUUGAGGAGGUUGUACCAGCAAUCUUUUCAAAAGCAUCUUCAUCUAAUGAUUGAAAGAUGAGAUACUUUGCUUUAUUCUCUUUCUUUUUCAAGUCUUUUAAAUUCUCCUUCUGCGCCGCAGUUAAAGUGGCUUCAUUUUCUGGCACAAUAAAGCCUUUUUCCACGACAUCCCAUACGUCAUGUGCGCCCAAUAGAGCCUUCAUUUUAAUACUCCAAUUGUCAAACUUACUUCCCUUUAAUUGUGGAACUUGAAAUGACAUCAUACCACCGUUUGCCAUAACUCAAAAAUUGAGUGAGAAUUUGGAGAUUCUGAAAGCACAGAUGGAUCCGGCACGUCGAAAAACCUUGGGAAGGACUCGAGUCAACUUUCGGUCAACGGUCAACGCUGGUCAACGGUCAACGUCGGUCAACGGUCAACGUCGGUCAACGGUCAACACCGGCUUGGUAGUCUUGGUUCGGUCCGGAUUGGUUCAGCUCGAGUUGGCUCGGUUCGACUUGAUGCGGUUCAAAUCGGCUCGGCUUGGUUCAGUUCGGCUCAGUUUGGUUCAACUCGGUGAGUCGACUCAGCUUUAGGUUAGAAAACUUUCGGCGGCAAGUGUGGGAGCGUCCGGUCUCAGAUCAGGAUGAUUUGUGCGGCGUCACGUUCCUCUCGUCGAGAUCUUCGAUUUGAUAUGCUAUAUGACCAUAUAUAACAUCACGUACUAGCUCUGAUACCACUUUGUUGGAGAAUUAACAAAUAAAACACACACAAAAACACACUAUUUUAUUUCUUCAACAACACUUCUCACCAAUUACAACUCUUAUUUUUCACUCUCUACACCUGAGAGAUUUUGCUACUUCACUUGAUAUUUAAACCAAAGGGGAGAGGGGGUAUUUAUACAUGAAACAAACUAAUCACAACCAUUCAUUUAUUCAAUUAAUACACAAAUCCUCACCAUCCAUUAAAACCUACCACUCACCUACUUCACCAACCACACCUAACACACCUAACACAAAUAAUUCAAACCUCACCAACCAUACCUACUCAUGGAACAUUCCAUGAGUUGGGCUUGAUUUAUUCAUCUUGGAUCAAGUUUAUGAUCCAACAGUACUUGCAUCCGAAAAUCAUAUUUUAGUUUACUUACACUCAACGCUUGGAUUUAAGUUUUAGGGGGGGGAUUGAAGAAGACUAAAAUGACACAAAAGAGUUGAGCGAGUGCAGGUUUUGUCUUCAUUUAAGGAGCUCUUUGUAAAUUUUAGGAUUUGUUUCCUGAGAAAAUUUAUGCCAACUCAUUCUUUGCUUCUUUUCUGAACGGACAGAUGCAACCGAAAGUAUAUUCUUGAAUUCUUUAGGAUGAGAGACAUACGUUUAGAUUCAUCGAGCCUUUAAAACAAUAUCAAAUUUUAGAUUGCUGAAAUUUUAUAUAUCUGAGUAUGAUGGUGUUCCAAUUAUAAGCUCCAGGGUGCAACUUCACUAAGUUUUAGAAUACCUUCCUAUAGAAUUGAGAAAUCUCCAUUGGCAUAAAUAUCCUUUGAAAAUAUUGCCAUCAGAUUUUGAAUUGGAGAACCUGAUUGAACUCAGCUUGCCUUGUAGUAAGGUUAAGCAAUUUUGGAAAAGAGAAAAUGUAUAAUGUAUUACUAUUACCAAAGUAUCUAUUUUUCUUUCUUUAAGUAUUUAUAAUGAAGGCUGAUUCAUAGGAAGGCUGUAAAACGGUAAUCAACGAAGGUAAAGGGGUUAGACACUUUUACACUAGAACUUAAGAAAUAAGAGCAUUUACGAAAAAAGGAGAGAAACACUCAUAGGUGUUCCACUGCCUAAGAGAUCAUGAGAGAGCCACGAGAUCAGUGGCCAAGUUUCCCAAAAAGUAAACCUAAAUUUCUGACUUGAGCGUAGGAGGAUUUUUCCGGCGUGCUCUGACCAGUUUUUGUGUGCGCAGGAGUCUGCUAAGUCAUACGAGUCAUAGCUCUGCUCGGUUAGAAGAGUUACGUGAAGUAUCCUACGUUGGUCGUGAGUUCGGGCGUUGAGGAGAGAUCCUGGUUGCAGACAAGCAGACACCAGAAUCUCGCAUCAACAGUGAAGAUGAUUCAAUAUUAAGCAUGUCAUAUAAUCUGGAAGUGGAUAUUGGACCAAUUUGAUGAUGAAUUUCUUUCAAUCUCAAUCUUUUUCUUUUUAGCAACAUGACUAGUCAUUGUGCAAAUUUAAACUCUGACAAUGAUUUCUCAAUCGGUUUCUAAAAUGAUGACCAUGCAUGUAUAUGUGUGUGUGUGUAGAGAGAGAGAGAGAGAUCACACGUGCGUGAUUUCCUUUUGCCAAUAGGAUAUGCAGAGAGCUUGAUCUUACCCAAUAGCAAAACAAACUUCCUAACAAGUGAAGGUAUAGUAUAAAUACUUAUACUUUCAUGUUAUUUUGUUCAUCAGUAGCUUGAUUAUUUUAUAUGCGUCUUUGUUUUUAAUUUUCUUUCCUUAUAAUCGCUAUUAUCUUUGAACUGGUCAUGAUUUGCCUAUAAGAUUUCUCAUGUUGUUUUGAGGUGCAAUGGAUUUUGAAUUUAGUGACGAGCAGUGGAAGCCAGAAGGCAAAUUAUGAAAAUGGAUAAAGAUCUAUAAUUAGUUGUUAUGGGAUGUCACAUAUCAUAUUGAUGGUAACAUUAUAUAUGUGUACAUAUAAUUAAUGGGGUUGGCUCACGAGCCCAUUAAUAAUCGUAUAUUAGCUUAUAUACUUCAAACAAUGUACUAUGAAGCAAUUUCACAAAUACUUGUUAGCUUAUGUUGAGCUUUAUUGAAUCAGUAGUUCACAGUUCAAUAAAAUGCAGGUUUGCUAUUUGAAGUACAUGGUUAUGGUGCGUACAUUCUUCAUAAGGCUAACUACUAAUUUAUCAUUGAAACUUGAAAAAUGUGACAGAGAGAUGUAGAUAACAGCCGCAAAACACUGAGAUUGAAAAUCAGGGCUGCUAAAUUCUACUAAAAGCCCUUAAAAUAGACAGCGAUCACCCUGAAAUGUAUAUACUGAAACUAAGAAAUAUUAAUCGCAAAGUUAUGCAUUAAUAGAACUAUUGACUACUUAUCUUUAGCAUAAGGUAUAUUUUUAACUACAGCUUUCUACUUUGUUCUAAGAACUAGGCAAAAAUGGUGUAUCUUCAAUCCAAUCAACAUGUAUACCACUUAUCUUCCUCUUCACUUCUGUCUAUUUUGAUUUGCACUUCAUAUCCUGCACUUGCUGCUUAGAAAUAGUCUUAUUCUGGACAUUGAAAGUAGAAAAAGUGCUUGAAACAAUCAUUGGCAUAGCCCGAGAUUCCAUUGAAUCGUGGACUCCAAGCUUUCAUAGUUCUAUAAAGAAAAUGACAAAACUUCAUACAACUGGCAUUCUGCUUUUAACAUUUGCACAACCUGAGCGAGUUAGCAAGCCCCUUGUUGCGUUCCCAUUGAAUAGACCUACUUUUGUUAUCCACAGAAGAUCCACCACUCAAAAUGUUUAUCACCAGGCUAUUCUUAAACUGAGCCUAAACUGAGUAGAAACUUCUGCACAUCUCUCAGCAUUUACAUGAAGAAAUCGACAACUAUCGUCAUCUCUCAGCACAUCUCUCAGCAUUCUACAAAGUUGCAUUUCACUAAGCAAUCUAUCCUCUCCAUUCCUAACAAAGUGACAUUGAUUCCCUUAUUUGUAAUCGCCUAACUUGGGUUUUGGGAAUAGCGUGGUCUUAAAAUUACCACCCAAUACUUUGUUCAGUGCCACUGGCAUCCACAACCUCUAGCCCUGUUAGCUGAAUCAUAUUCAAUGGGACAGUGAGGCAGCAUUUCACUAACAUAUUCAAUUUGACUACUUAUAUUGACGCAAAUAUUAGAAUUUGAAAUCACUUCUUUUCUUGGAAUAUUAUAUUAAAAUGACCCCAAAUGAAAGUUCUUGAAUGGAAAUGAUUUUUAUUUAAUUUUCCAACAGAUUCAAGAAAAUCCAGAGAACACAAAAUUUACACAGUAAUAUGAUUAAGAGCUGAGAACGUACAUGUAGUAAAUGUCUAUCAAAAAACACCCAAGGGUUUCUUUAAAAUUAGAAACUAGUAAAUAAAAAGAAAGAAUCAUUUUACAUUUUUAGCAACUUUGGGGUGAGUGAGUGAGUGAGAAAUUGAAACCCUAAAGUGAUGACAACAGUAAGAUUCAGUAUGAAGUGAAACCCCAAUUUGAAAUGUAGGCAUGAGUUGCUGAGUCAGUAGAUGAAGCUAUAAAUAGGCAUUCGGUUUCCUUCUUUUCGGUUUGGAGGGCCAUGGAAUAGUGUAUUGGAGUGGGCUCCAAGUAAUAGCCUCUAUCACUAGAACGACAAAUCUAUAAAAUGUGAUACAUGGGGAAGGAUUGGGCAUUAUAUUCUUAGAUUAGCGCCUUAUUUAGGGUGUAUAUUAAGCAGAUUAUAUAUUACAUGGAGAUGGAGUUUAUGAAAUAGAUUAAAAAGAAAAGGAAAUUUUGGUGCCUAAAGUUUGCCACUUGGAAUAUUUCGGUGUCUAAAAAUUCACUCACCACUUAUUUCAUGUUUGAUUAUAUGUUGAAAAGAUAUUAAAAUAGUAUAAUGCUAUUAAGGCUUAACGUAGAUUUUUUAUUAGUAGAGUGUAGAAUUUUUAAGAAAUAAAUUAUUAAAUUAUUAUAACUAACAUAUUAUUUUAAAGUUGUGUUAUGAAAAAAAUGAAAUAAAAAUGUACAGUAAAUAAGAAUAUUUUAAAACUUUUAUCUUUUUAAAAUUAGUUUUUAACAUAAGGUGAACUAUUUUUUCUUUAAAAUCACAUAUUCUAGUUAAAAUCAAAUAUGUAUUUAUAUGAAGCUUGUAAAUUUUUUUUUUUAGUACUGAUAUUUGAAUAUUAUCAAUAAAAAAAAGGGUAAUGUUCAUGCUGCAUUAUUUUUGUAGCACACAAAAGGACAACAAAGUUUAUGUUAUAAUACUAUCGCUUCUGUUAUGAUAAUAAUUUUUUGUGGCCAAAUAUCUUUUUUUUUUAAGUAAAAAAAAGUGGACAAAAUACAAAUCAGUUUUUAAUCCUCAAUCUCUCCCAAAAUAUAAAUUCGUAGGUCCAUGGGUUGUUAAAACUAUAGCUGACAAAAAGUUACUAACAAAAACAGAAUGUCCAUUUUAUAACUUUCUUAAAAAACUUUCCUUAACUUUUUUAAAAAGUUACCAACAAAAAGUUAUUUCUAAUUUUUAUUUUGUUAUAAUUUUUAUAACAAAAUUCGUAGUUAACUAAACUCUUCUUAUUCCCUUUCUCAACUACCCUAACCCUGUUCCCCAUGUCCCCACUAAACCACGCUCAAUUAAGGCCAUCAGAUUCUCCCGGGCCCACAUUAAUCCAACUGCUCACAGAGACCGACAGCCUCUCUAUCUCCAUUUCAAGCUCCCUCUUCAACUGGCUUCUGCUACCGUCCUACUCUUUCUCGGCUUCGGAGUCCGUAUUUGCUCGGCCUGUCCCACGAAACUCCCUCUCACUCCAAUUGUCGCCCCACAAGACCAAUUGCUUAAUCAAGACACCGAACAAGAAGAGGAUGAGAAGUUGAAACAAGAAUUUGAGAAUUGGAAAUAAAAAACGUACGCAUUGACCGUGCCUUUGAGAGUCGUUUCUCUUCAGAACUCAGUGCCUCAAUCUUGGGUUAAGGAUUUUAUGCGAAGUCAGGGAAAGAGAUUGAAGUUUCAGAUGAAUUUGUGUGCUAGCAUUGAUGGGAUCUUUAACAAUUUAUCUGUGCCCUUUAACAAAGUUAAGGCUAAGUCAGCUUCUUAUAUGGCUGCUGAUUUGGUUAGUGUUGGUGAUUCAUGGCUUAGUUUUGCCAUUAAAAAGAGAUUGAUUGAGCCAAUAGCUGGAGCUGAAGACCAAGAUUGGUUCAAAUGCUUAAGUCACAAAUGGAAGGUAACAUCUUUGUCUUUGAUCCUCGAGGUAAAAUAUGGGCGGCACCAUACAGGUGGGGCACAACGGUGAUAGCCUACAAGAAAAGUAAAUUUCGAAAGCAUAAUUUGGCUCCGAUUGAGGUAAUAAUUUUCUUUAAACUCAUUUAGUUUUAUAUCAAACAAAAUCAAGACUGCCUUUCUCUUCAAUAUUUUUUAUGAUAAUAUCUUUAGAAGCAUCUCAUUGACGGGUAACAAUGGCAUCCCUGAAAGAGUCUAUAAACUCAAUGAUAUUAUCUUCUACAAAUGGUUCAUUAAACUUUGUCGUUGUGCUCAAAUGUACACUCAGAGCAAUGAGAAGUUAUGCCACUUUAGCAUGUAGUGAUGGCACUUAAUAAGUGAGUUGCUAGGAUGUGAACUAGAAAAAUUAAAUAUUGUCUCCUUGGGUAUGCUAGCUCGUAAGUCAGGGUUAAUAUCAGAGCUUAAGAUAGUAUAACCGUGAGAACCUAUUGACUGCCAAUUAAAAUAUCCAUUAAAAUGUCUAGGGAGUUAUGAAGGUGGAGGUAACUUCCAAUUUCUAAGGCCACAGAGUAGACAUCAUCCAGGAUCCUAGGAAAGUCCAGUUAACCUCCUGCUCGAUGCAAUUAAUAAAUUUGGUCAAUGCCACUGAAACUUGCUAACUGACGUCACAAUGCGACAUGAGCACUUCAAAAUGGGACAGACGGUCAGUGGCACUAAAUUUUUCUUGCCUAAGAUUGAGCAAUUGGUCUAACUACUAAUCCCCCAGAUUUAAGAAUCUUUUGAUGAUAAUUUAUCACCUGCAGCUGUGCCGGAAGAUUCAAGUAGCACUGAAAAAUAUGAUAAUUUAAUUGAUAUGGACAGUUUCCAUAUCACUUUUAAAUCAUCUUAUGUAAUUGUAAUGUUAGGAAGCAUUAGUGAUCUAAAAGUGAACUAUUAUUGGUGUCAUUGGUGGUUUUAUCUUGUUAAAAUAUGGAUGACUUCCUGUUACUAUUUUAUUGUAGACAAUCUUAUUCAAUUAACAUAAGGUUUAAAACCAUUAUGUUUUAUGUAAAUCAAUCUAUUAAUUUUCAUGAUAUUUAACUGAGUUAAAACCAAGUGCACUCAAUAAAUGUCUUUUCCUUUAAAAAAACUACUACGCUUUGAUUUUAGUGCUUAAUAUUUCGUAACUACAGAUUAUCUAAUUGCGAGUUGCUGUCCAUAGCUGCUAAUUUGUAGUGAUUAUCUAAUUGACUGAGGUGACAAUAAUUCUUUUAUUUUCAAUAGCACAAUGUGGAAUUCAAUAAUUAAAUUCUCCUAUUUAAUUUGUUUCAAGUUAAAUUAUUAAUUACUUAAACUCUGUUUUAAGUCUUUAAUUUUAUGUGUUUAUGCAGAAUUGGAUUCUUGAGCGUGUUGGACACGACCAACAAUGAAAUUGAUAGUAAACAAACAUUACAACGUGUGGACUCCGGUAAGCACCAAUGAAUGUCUAGCCCCGUUGACUCCGCCAACUAAAGUUUUGUAAAAUUAAAAAAAAAAAUACAUAGAAUUCCACCAAAUGCAAAACGCGUGAAAUUUAAUUUUCGACCGUGUGGACCAAAACAUAAUUUAACAAAAAAGGAAAAAAUGAUAAGAUUUUUAAAAUGUGUGGAAGGUGAUCCAUAUUUUACUGAAACGACUUGUUAAAUUUUUCAAGGAUUUAGAAUAUUUGGUCAUAAAUUACGUGCAUGUUAAUUUUUCCGCCAUUGACUAUCAUAUUCUAGACUUAAUGGUACCUUUCUUGAUGAAGGGUACUUAGUCUCUCUUCUCCUCUUAUAAAAAUUAUAUUAAUUGAUUUCUUGUUAUAGUUAAUAGUCUUUAAGAACGGAUAGAUUUAUUGUUUUCAUGACCAAAUUAUGCAUGCCUAAGGUUGUAACUACUAAUAAAAUUAAUAUUUAAUGUUUAUGUUAAAAGAUAUAAGUUUUUAUGCAUUCAUUAAUUGUUAUUAGCUAAAGGAUGAAAUAUUUUUUCCCAAUCAGUUGAUGCAUCUGCAAGAGUUUUUUUUUUUCUUUUAUUGACCAUAAUUAUAUUCCGGGUACAAUAAAUUGUCUUUGGUGCUUGGAAAAUAUGACACCUCUCUGUCAACUUACUGGAAAUAUCUCCUCAUCUACUCUCAUUUAUCUAAUAUGAAUUGAAGAUCUCAUAUUUCCAAACUAUGACUUCCAAAUCUCAUUAUCAUUUGAGCAUUCAAAACUAAUCAAGUGUGGAAAUAAUCAAAUAUAUGCAAAAAUCGAGUCACAAUCUUUGGCCCCUCAAAAUUCUAAUUAUAUAACUUCUAUAUAUCUCAUACAUUUUCCAAAUUCCUCUUCCAUGAACAUCACUAGGAGUAUGUUCAUCUCUCACACAUUAACUUGAGUGAAGAGUUUCCAAAUUGAUUAUUAGAAAACAAUACAAAAGCUAGACACGUUUGAUCUGUCUAAUAAUUCUCUUUCGGUAAAAUUAAUUAAUUUUAGGGGAAUUCAGCCAACCUCUGUAAUUUCAGAGUGAUCAUUAAUUAAUUAAACAAUACAAAUAUCUAAAGUGAUUAGAUGUUUGCCGACAAUACAAGUUCAUGGCUUGAAAUUUGAUCUCUAUCAAUUGGUUUACAAAUGGACUCACUUGUGCCUUUGUGGUGAUAAUUGAACCAGAGAUGUGAAGCUGUAAGGAUUUGGCUGUAGUCAAUUGUUAUAAAGACAUAAAGACAACUUCCCAUGAUUAUUAUUUUUUUCCAAGAACUAUUUUACAACAAAUUCAUCUCGCCAAAAAUUCUAUUUUGCUAACUAACAAUAAUUGAGCACUUGACCGCAUUGACUCCACGUCUCCAGCUACUUUCUAAGUAAAAACAUGGAAAUGUAAUCUCCACAAAAUGCCAAACGUGUGGAAUUUAAUUUUUGGCCUUGUGGACCAAAAUGCAAAUGAAAGAAAAAGAGGGAAAAAAACAAGGCUCAAAGACUUCUAAAAGAUGUAAAAGUCUUUGGGCUUUUUUAUAAUGGUGGAUUUUUUAAAAGGAAAAAAUAACAACACUUCUAUGGUUUGUUUUAAUAAUCACAUUUACAUAUAUUCUCUAAUUUUCAAAAUGGACACAUAAAUCUUUUUUUUUCUACAAAUGUAUAUUAUUCGUAUUUUUUAUUAUUUUUAAUAUCAUAUUGUUAUUUAUUAUAAAUGUUUAAAGUAAAUUUUUAGGUUGAAAUAUAAUAAAAAGGUAUAAUCGUUCUCAUAUUAAACACCCAUACUUUUAGUUUCUAUCCAUUUGUCAUUUCAAUCUCCCUCAAUUAUUCUUUAUUGCUAGCUCAAAACGCAUCGCUGUUGAAAAUUAUAGCAAAAUGACAAAUAUGGAAAAAAAGGGAAGAAAAUUAAUGCAUGAAAGACUUGGAGAAAACAACCAAAUAAGUCAACUAUAAGCAAGCUGGGUGUAUAAAUUGUUAGAUGUGUUAUAAACAAAUACGUAUAAUGUUAAAGAUAUAGUUAGAAUGGGUGGUUCAAAAUCAAAAAUGGUGAUAAUGUUUGUUCUGCUCUUAAUAAUAUUUGAAGGUGGGUGGAGUGAGGGAUGUUUGAAUCAUGAGAGAUUUGCUCUUUUGCAACUUAAACUUUUCUUCACUGAUCCUCAUAAUUAUCUUCUCGAUUGGGUAGAUGAUGAGGGAGCUACUGAUUGUUGUCAGUGGGAAAGGGUUGAGUGCAGCAACACCACAGGUCGAGUGAUAAAACUUGACCUUGCUUUUACAAGGAAUAAUUAUUUGGAAGAGUACAGAGACUUUGUACACAAUCCGGGAGAGUAUCUGAAUGCUUCUUUGUUUACUCCCUUUCAACAACUUGAGUCACUUGAUUUAACUAACAACAACAUAGCCGGUUGUGUUGAGAAUGAAGGUGCUUCGUUUAAUUUAAUUAAUUUACUUUCUCCCCCCUAAUUUAAGUUGACUAUCAAGACCGAGCAAUUAGACGCAUAUUCAUUUAGUCGACAAUUUUCACUUUUUUUAAAUGAUUAAUUUUGAAAUUACACCAGUAUCUAUAAUCAUUUUUUUAUUUUACUUGCAGGUAUAGAGAGGCUAUCAAGAUUGAACAACUUGAAGAUGCUUAAUUUAAGUGAUAACUCGUUCAACAAUAGCAUUUUAUCAUCUCUAACCCGUCUUUCAUCAUUAAGAUCAUUAAAAUUAUCUGACAAUAGAUUGAAAGGAAGUAUUGACUUUAAAGGUACAUAAUUAAAACUUCAUCCCUUCUCCAAGCUCUUUCAUUAACUUGCUAAAAUAAGAUUCAAGGCUUUGAAUUCAAUUUUUUUAUGAUUAGUAUUAAAAAAAACAGUUUUAAGCAAUUUAUAAAUACAAGUUUUAAUGGUUAUCGUAAUUUCAUCUUGUAAUUUCAUGUCUUGAAUUUAAGAUUAAAAAAAUAACACUAACAGCGAACCAAACACCUCCACAACUUAUUAUUAUUAUUAUUAUUAUUAUUAUUAUUAUUAUUAUUAUUAUUAUUAUUAUUUUAAUUUGUUGUGAGGUUUGAAACAUUCAACUCAAUUUGUACUUACUACAGAAUUUGAUUCUUUGAGAGAUUUAGAGGAGCUAGACAUUGGCUGGAACAAGAUUGACAAAUUUGUGGUCUCAAAAGGUACUACAAAUACCAUAUAAAAAUGCUAACUUAUACAAAUUAGUUGGAUUCUUUGCCAUUUGGUUUAUUAUUUUACAGGUUUGAGUAAGUUGAAGUCUCUCGGUUUAAGUGGUAUCAAACUCAACCGUAGCAUCUUAUCUUCUCUUUCUUCAUUAAGAGAAUUAGAUAUAAGUGAUACGGGAUUCAAAGGAACAUUCGAUGUUCGAGGUAAGCCUAAGCCUUGCUUUCUCAUUUUAUAUAUGCCAACUAGAUUUGUGUAUCAUCGACAUAAUUUAAUAGUUAAUUUGAUAAGUCUGAAGGAAUUACAUGCUAAUUUAAACAUACUUUUAUUUACUUUGUCAAUUAAUUAAUUUAUUAAUUACUAUUUGGCUUGGUUUGGACGAAAUUCUCAUGAUGUUUUAAUUUCUUUAAAUUAAUUAAUUAAUUAACUCUGUUUUUAAGUCUUAAGUCUGGGCAUGUUUGCAGAAUUUGAUUCCUUCAAUAACUUAGAAGAAAAAUAGAAAAAGUCGAGCAAGAGACUCUCGCCCUAUUUUAAGAUGAGAGUAGCGAUCACUUACCUGAUCUACGACCUACUAUCUACGCGUACCAGCCUUCCUUUGUUUUGCAUCACGAGAUGGACUCUUCGCCCAUCCCCUAAGGUCUUUCAAAUUAUACCUAAUUGGGGAGAGGACCCACCAGGAGUCCAACUCCAGAUUGGUGGCUAAUGGGCCUCGCGUAUCCUGCCUUUUCGUAGAAUGCAACGCUUAUACGUUCACUGAGGAAUGAAAUCCUAUCUUUUAUCCGAGCUAGGGAUCAGAAAGCAAGAAGGUGGGGGUCAGAAAUGAGUAGCGUAGGUGAUACCGAUAGGGUGGUUGGAUACGCGACAGCAACGGCAAGGCACUCUUGACCCCGUCCGUAGAGGGUCGGUACGAAUGAGACUGUGCUAGAGAUCGCAGUGAGCAAGUAUGCCUUGUUGACUGGGUGUUGGUUUUGAAACAAGGAUGAGUCCCUCAGGGAGUCCGUCCAAGCUUCAGCUACUAAUGCCUGGGCUAACUUCUUGGGGGUGAACAAAGUGCUCUGAGUCUGAGAUCGAUACUGGUUAACGCCACAAGUGCUCUGCCAUUGGUCUACACACAGAGUCAUCAGGUAAAGUCAGAGCUUGGACUGGGAAUGAGAUCAGAAGAGGCUAGGCUACUAGGGAAGAUAGAAGCGAUCCACAAAUCAAACCACUAUCCCAUUGGCCGCUUCAUGCGCCGAACACUCUUAAUAAGAAGCUUUAUUUUAUAAGGUAUGUGUCUAUGCUCUCGAUACACGGCUUGAGAAGGCGGCUCCUUUUUAUUCUUCCUAUAGGAGCUACUCCUGAUUCAGUCAAUCAGAACAAGCCUUCGGACCUACCAACCAAUCAAACUAGCUUGAUGCGGAGGCAAAUACCCAGGGAUACUAUAGCUCAACACACGCCUGGCCGGGGGGAAGGAAGCCCUCGAAGCGAGCUCCGUACCAAAUAGCUGUGGAGAGAGAGAAGCCAAACUCUACCGCACUGAAGAGCGAGAUAAAUAACUGACAUCCUUGGUUGAUGAUCCUCGUCGGUGGAAGGGAAAGCGCGAUGAAAGGCAAGUCGGUAGUAGGUCCAAUGGAGAGAGGAAUUGAGAAGAGAUAGGGUCCGCUUUCUAGGCUGACGUUGGACAGCUGUUGGAUAGCCCCGACCUACACAAGUGGUUUUAGAAUGAACUCACAUUUUGAAAUGUUCUGUUAGGUUCUUAGUAGCAGUCGGCGAUCUUUUCUUCUUUUACUUCACAUAGCUUUUCGUCUCCUUGAUAGCUGGAAGUUCUCCAAAAGUAUGAAAAGCUGGAGGACUUUGUACCAUCCAUUCCGGUGUGGUUGGAUUCUGUUCAACAGCCCAAGGACUUGGAGCACAUCUUUUGUUAUUUCCACUGCUUGAAGUGAUUGUUACGACCACGAAGAAACGACGAAUCCCAACUACGGAUAUAUAAGAGCCAAAACUGCUAAGGGCAUUCCAUCCAGCGUAAGCAUCUGGAUAAUCUGGAAUGCGACGUGGCAUACCCGAAAGCCCUAAGAAAUGCAUGGGAAAGAAGGUCAGAUUAACCCCGAAAAAAGUGAUCCAAAAAUGGAUUUGCCCUAAAGUUUCAGGGUAUGUCCGACCAAAGAUUUUACCACCCAAUAGUGAAAUCCUGCAAAUAAAGCAAAAACGGCUCCCAUAGAAAGUACAUAAUGGAAAUGUGCAACCACAUAAUAAGUAUCAUGUAGAGCAAUGUCUAGCCCAGAAUUUGCCGGGACUAUUCCAGUGAGUCCUCCUAUAGUGAACAAAAAGAUGAACCCUACAGCAAAUAACAUGGGUGUUUUGUAUUGUAUCGAACCCCCCCACAUGGUAGCGAUCCAACUAAAGAUUUUGAUUCCAGUGGGGACAGCUAUGAUCAUGGUAGCUGCGGUGAAGUAGGCACGGGUAUCAACGUCUAAGCCCACAGUAAACAUAUGAUGAGCCCAAACAAGAAAUCCAAGAACACCUAUACUGAUCAUGGCAUAAACCAUGCCUAGAUACCCGAAGACCGGUUUUCCCGAAAAAGUCGAAACGAUAUGACUUAUGAUACCGGAUCCAGGCAGAAUGGGAAUAUACACCUCUGGAUGACCGAAAAACCAAAAGAGAUGCUGGUAUAAUAUGGGGUCUCCCCCUCCAGCGGGAUCAGAAAAGGUUGUAUUAAAGUUUCGAUCGGUUAAUAACAUGGUAAUUGCCCCCGCCAGUACCAGAAGUGAUAAUAAAAGUGGGAAUGCUGUCACUAGAACGGACCACACAAAUAGGGGUGAUCUAUGCAUAGUCAUUCCAGGUCCACGCAUGUUGGAGAUUGUUGUUAUAAAAUUGAUAGAACCUAAAAUGGAUGAAACACCAGAUAGAUGAAGACUAGAAAUUGCUGAAUCAACUGCUCCUCCAGAAUGGCUGGUAAUACCACUUAAGGGCGGAUAGACCGUCCACCCAGUGCCGCUACCCACUUCUACUAAGGCUGAGCUUAAUAGGAGCAAGAGACUUGGUGGCAACAACCAGAAUGAAAUAUUAUUUAAUCGUGGAAAUGCCAUGUCAGGUGCACCUAUCAGAAUCGGAACAGACCAAUUACCAGAUCCACCUAUCAUCGCCGGCAUAACCAUAAAAAAGAUCAUUAAAAAAGCGUGAGCCGUUAUUAAAACAUUAUAAAGUUGAUGAUUCCCACCAAGAAUUUGAUCGCCGGGAUGUGCUAAUUCCAUACGAAUCAAUACUGAGAAGCAUGUGCCCAUCACUCCAGCAAUGGCACCGAAGAUGAAAUAGAGAGUCCCUAUAUCCUUGUGGUUAGUGGAGAACAGCCAUCGAACCGGAUUUGUCAUAAAAUUGAGAUUCUUUCGUUUCCUUCCUUAUCAGAGAGGGGCCCCUUAGGGAGCGGGGCUUCUUUAUUGAAAAAGGGGGAGUGAGGGGGGAAGGAGCGAAGCGAAAGCGGGGGGGUCCGGAAAGCCCUUACUUUAUUGAUGGGACAUUUUGAUCCCCUUUUCCUCUCACCCCCCGUUCUGGUUCAGGAUUCAGGAAAGGGUCAACGCAAGGAUCUUACUUCGAAGCAAUCUCUGGAGUUUUCCCUUAUCCGAACGGGUCUUGCAAGAAAAUAGGAUUUCAUAUUGAGCUCCAAAUAUACGCUAUUGGGAUAGGAUGGCUCCUACUAUAUCUCCCCCCCCCCUAAGAACCGCACGUGCGAGUUCCCCUGCAUACGGCUCAAGUGGCGAAGGCACUUUCCUUCGCGCUUGAUAAGCGCUUCGCUGUAGCCAAGCUUACUGCUAGCCUAUCGGCUAGAGCCAAGCUUCGACCCCGACUGCUCGUCGCUUCUGGCCGCCUUAUUCCGUCACCCGAGAUCCAAGUCAGCACCGGAAAAAAGAUCUUGAUUCCUCGCGGCCGGGCCGGCUUGGAAGCAAGCUACUUGUCGCCUAUCUCACCCCCUUUCUUAUUAUUAGUAAGAUAGGGUGCCCCUUUCUCUAAUAAUAAGGUAAGCUUCUCUGAAUUCCGCUGGGUGAGCCUUCGCUUUUUGGAUCGUCUUCUGCCCAAUGCGGUACCCUCCCGUUUGUUUUUAGGUUCCCAUUGGGUUUACCUUGUUUACAGGUCGAUCCCAUGGCAGCAAGAAAAGGUGAUCUUGUGCUAUACUCCGGUGAUCUCUUUCCUACCGAGGCACGCAAACUCCCAUCGUGUCCCAGAUCAUAUUUCGUGAAUCGAAAGGGGAAGCCUCCUCAUCCAUCAGCUCCUCUCGUAGAUCAGUGCGGUUUUACGAAGCGUCUAAGCACAGUUCACUCGCGUUGAUCAAUCAAGAGCUUUGCCGCCACUCCUUAAGGUUACCUGUUGUAUCAUACACUUCUUGCAUUCUUUCCCACGCUUCAUACCCCCCUCUAGCUUCCGCACGGAGCGGUAAGGUAAAGGGCCAGGCAUGGUGGGGUCGGAGCAUCCUGUCAGCAAUCUUUUUGGCUUGACCAAGAAGUCUUAUGUCCUCCGAGUCGCGCGGCGUUUUAACCGAAAGAACUUCUUGCGCAAUUCAUGCCUUUCUGUUUUUAUGACCAGAAAUUUUUUCUUGAUUUCCAUUUCAAAUUGUUCUCUGGACUUUUUAUCAAUAUGAGGUGAUCGUAACACAGUAUAUAAGACUCGUGAUUCAGGCAAUCCAAUCUUUCGUGUGUAAGGCGGAAGAGCCUGGUUUUCCAAAAAUGGGUGAUCAAAAGAUCGAAUCACUAUGCGUAUCUUGGUGGUCGUUACUUUUGGUGGUCUUUCUUUUCUUUUUGGCUGACUCCUCCUACUCCUCCUUCUCUUAUCCUCUAUAUAGCUCGUCGUUGGUCCUUUUUUUUUACAUAACAUUCUCAGCCGCUCAAGAGUCAAGAGACUGACUAUCUCUCUCUUUACGCAAUUUCAAAAAUGAAGUAGCAGAGUGACUACUGAUUUUGGACGCGCUGAGUUAUUUAAGCAAAGCCUUUUUUGAUCUUGUUAUUCUAAAUUAUUUUAUUGUCUUUGCUCAACUUCGUCGAGCCUUGUACCCAGGUACACGGAACACUAACAGAAUCUCUGUUCAAACAAAAACGACAAGCAAACCCGAAAACUAAAGGGUCACCUUCUCUAGCAAGCAAGUAGACUUUUCUCUGAGCCCCAGGGUAGCAAAGCUAGCUCUUCGUAUCAUUGGCAUUGGGCAGGUGAACGGGAACCUGGCUACACAACUACUCUUACUCUAGCAGAGGAUCUAGUUCCACACCAAUCUGCUUAUCUUAUAUAAGAUAAAAUAGAUAAACUUAGCGUACCUACAACCGCUUGUGCCCUCUUGCUUUAGCUACUUACUCGGGAACUAGCUUCGCACCUCACCCCGGGAACUCAAGGGUGCGUAGCUUGCUUGUUGAAGGGGUGUUUCCGUUCCUCCGUUGUGGGAUAGUUUUUCCCUAGUUCGGUCCUAUAAGAAGAGUUCUCUAGAUAUCAACUCAUGGUACUCCCCGGGCCCCUAACAACAAAACUCAUAGGUUAGCUACAGCAGUUCUAGCAUCAGCUUCUCGAGGGCCUAAAAGAACCUCUUUCGUCAUUCGAAAGUGGCAUUUUAGCUCCUUUUCGUGAAACAGAUCGGAGAUCAGGUCUUAUCGAUUCAUACGAUUUUCAUACGUCUUUUUCCCACAUUAAUAAACCCCUUUUUUCUUUAACACGCUAGUGCCCAGAUCUUCUUCUUUUGUCUUUGAGCCUGCCUUUAGGUAGCGGCAUGGAAGUCCCCCUUCUUCUCAAGCAGGAAGCCCGCGUAUUCUUAUUCUAAUGUCCAUUGGAGCUUCUCUUUUCUUCCCGCUAUCUGGCUGUUCUAUUUAGACGUCUGUUCCCCAGUCUUACUUUCUCAUGCCCGCUUUCGCUUCACUCCUUUCUACUUCUGUUACAGUAGCUAUAGUUGUAAUGGCGGUUAUGCAGGUCCCCUUCUCAUUGAGUAGCCUAUACUCUGGAAUUGAAGUAGCGAAAUCGGCCUUAGCAUAGAACGUUUACCGCUUGCCUUACUAUUACUAAUAAUCGGGAAUCAGAACAGGCAACUAUGAGACUAAUUUAUCAUUGCCCCGAGCAAGUUACUGCGUACCUGAAGUGAGUGUGCCCAUCUUGGUCUCCUUUCUUUUUUCUUUGCAGCUGCCAUAAAAGUAAAGCCUUAGAUUCUAACAGGAAUCUCACCGCCUGCUCCCCUUAUAAUUAUAAGAUACUCGCUACUAAGGUUCUGAAAGAAGGCAGCUAAAUCAGCAAUAGAAGAGAACUCCAGAUCUAUGAAUAGCCAACAAAGAGCCUAGCUUUAUUACUGGAACUAAACAGCAAGCUGCUCCUACCUUACUUAUCGAGAAGGAGUACUUGGACUGAGUAGACUUCUUGUAGUUCUCUUUCCCCUAGCAACCUUUCCUGCUUUCCCGGUUGCAAGGUUUCGAGCUAACUACAGGAUUUGCUUCCUAGCUAAUAAUACUAAUUAGUAGUAUUGAACUUCGAACUAAAGAUUUUUUUUAGUUAACGGGCAGGUAAGGGCAAUGAAGGAAGCCGUUAGGCUUGAGACGAAACGGAUUCUAUGGAUUGAGUCUGGCAGUGAUGUUAGUUAAGUCCACUACCUGGGGCUUGUCUUGCUUGAGAACCCGUUUGGAACAAUCUGGAUUUUCCCCUUGUGAGUCACUCGAAUUCUUCUAUUUAUCAUUCUUUCAUGAAUAGAAAGAGAAAGAUCUCCGCUUCGUCUUUCUUCCAAGAAAAGAUCCCAAGCCAUUGAUAUUGGUCAUGCGUGGGCUUUCACUCAAUCUUUCACUAUGAUAUGAAAGGCAAGCAGGAAUUUCACCACUAAUGGGCCAGCGCUUGGCGCUUACUCUAGCCCGUGUUUCUAGGAUACACCUAUUAAUUAUAUAUAAUAGUUUCCCCGAUAUUCGUGGCUUUCCCCUUACUUAUUACUUAUAAGUAGAUCGGUUGAGAUAAGUAGAUUGGUUGAGGCCCGACCCUUUCCUUUGGGGUUGCCGACCUUGAUGCCAUAGUGUUUAGGGGGCUGAGCGGGAAACCAACACGUUGUGGAAACGGAAUAGAGCUUUUCCCUUGAUGGAUGUUAUCCAAUAAAAGCACACAAUCAGUGAGAUGAGCCUGCCAGCUCAGCCUUGGCCCUAUGCCUUUUGGCCAGCUUGACUUCUGACCGGUCGAUCCCGCCCCCUCUUGCAACGAUUCGGCGCCUCCACUUGAUGCUUGACGCCCACGCUUCGUUCAGGCAGCGCUCCUCGGAUAUGUCUUGCCAAUCGCCAGAGCGGUGCCACUUCCAGGAUUUGGUGCGGCCAGCUCGGGAACCUUCCCUGGAGUGAAAGGGUACAUGGAUCGGUUCCUCCACCAGAGGUCAGCUGAAGCGGAUUGGUCAAAAAGAAAUUUUCUGGCUUUGCCUCAUACCCGGUAUAACUACCAUUUUUACUUUGAUAUGCUUCUUACUUCCUUACAAAGUUGCAAGGAUCCCUUCUUGCAUUCCCUCCUUAUUCAAAAGGAAUUUAUUCGAAUAUCUAGUUGAUAAAUGUUCAUGAGCACGGGGUUGCCUUGCCUGAGACCUCUACUACUGCCGUGGAGGGUAAUUGAUAACAAUGGAAUAUUUUAGGUUAGUAAUGCAGACCCUUAUCCAUUCGAUCCACUUCUGAGGGAAUCACAUAGCCAGCAUGGCAGCUUCCCGGAAUCCCCAGUCAACACUGUCGAACGCUUUCCUCAGGUAAAUUUGCACACACAUCCUGGCUUUCCCUUGCGGAAGGUGGAAUUUUUUUAGCAUAUCGUGACAAAGCAAGAUGUUAUCCUGGAUGCAUCGCCUUUGUUGUUUAUACCUAGCAGGAGCAGCAAAGACGAAGGCUGAAGCAUCACUAGAGGUAUCUAUUGAGCUUUCUCCUCUUUUUGCAUUAGCCCAGUCACUUCCUUUAUGGAAUGGGUUCACCAGCACGCGGAGGUAAGUAGUUUACUGACUCAGUUCUUUUACUAAAAAAGGAGAAGGGAAGGGGGUGCUAUGAAUAGAAAUUUUGAAUUGCAUAUGCUCUCGAUCGACCUAGGCCUAAAAGGAAUCCGGCUACUCAAUCGCCAGAGAUAGAAAUAAAAGAUCUAAGCUUGCUUUAAUCAUUCGAAAGCGAUGCUCAUUCCAGGGUUUCAAGGCUUGGAAAUAGAUCUUAUUUAAGACAAAAAGAAGUGAGCAUAACCAUCUUCAAGCUCCACCCCGGGAUUUUAGGUGUGAACUCACUUUAGGGAAAUGAGGCUUAUAACCAAUCGAUUCUUCACCCACGUAAGCUCGCCCUGUCACCCUCGCUCUGGUUCGAGAAUCAUGUCACCCUCGCUUUCCGCUUCUGGAAGAUCAAUGACUAAUAGAUAAAGGGCUGUGGAACUAUAGACAAUAGGCGGUAACCUCUCUUGAUCCGCGAGUAGAGCACUUGAACUACUCAGAAAGAGCUGGUUGGCUCAAUUCAAAUAGAAAGAAAAAUAGACACCCAUCUUCUUGGCGAGCUAAUCAGGAGACAUACAAAACCAGCAAUCCAAGUUUUGAAGGGAGGCGGCUGCCUGCAGUCACUAAAGGAAGGGGCUUGGUGGUCUUAUUUUAUUAUCUAUAAAAGAUAGCAUCUCUUCCUGCUGUUCGAAUCAAAACGAUUAGGGACAACCGCUCGCUUCGAGGCAGGUUAAAAAGCAUAGGCCAUAGCUUCUACCUCUCCUGGAUCAUUAUGCUCAUCUGGAAGCGGUUUUUGCUAGGAUGAAUGCUACUUCUAUGUAUUUCCCAUCGCAUUUUCAUAAGGUUUCAUAUCCUUCUUUUUCAAUCUUUUAAUGAUGCUUGCCAAUUCUAAUCCAGGGGAGCACUUAGAUCGCAGAUUUUCGCAAAACGACCUCGCGUAGCCAGUUCAGGUAUAAAUUUGAAUAGGUUUACCAAAAGUUUUCCCUAUUUUGAGAAGAACUUCACUGUCGAAGUACUCAAUAGGGAGCUCAGGUAAACGGAUCCAAAGCGCAGUUUUAGUGACCGUUGCCAAGGAAGGCCUAAAAUCAGGGUGCUUCGAAAAGUGAGAUAAUGGUUUGCUAUCAUCCAAGGUCCCCCAGUAAGAGCUCUUUUGUAAUCCUCCCCAUCAGUUAAGGAUGGUCGUGGCCCAGGUCAAUGAAGUCAACUCCCCACUUGGUCUCCACAUUUUAAAAAUUUUCUCAUGGAUAAAUUUGUACUAAACUUUCUUACCCAGAACCUUAACUAUAAGAAAGAGACUUCCUCCAUGGUUGAAAAAUUCUCCUUUUCUUUUAGUUUCCCCAUUACCAUUAAUGUUGAUCACAAGGGGACAAUUCGAAGGGCCCUGGUUAUGGAUUUGCUGCUGCUGCUCAUCUUCUUCCUACUCGUCUGAUUUAAAGCCUUCAGACUCCGGUUCCGAGAUCUCAAGAUAGUAUGAGCCCUUGUGCUGUACCUGCAUGAGAACGAACAUCACGAAAGGACAGUGGUUGAUUACCGUCUUCCUUUGAUCGCUUCCAUGGUCCGGGACUCUUCCCAAGGUCCGGAGGUAGCUCACAAAGGUCGCCAUUAACUGUUUCAGUCGUCACAGAGGUCGCCAUUCCUUAGCCCCUCAUUGGUUGUUAGGCAUUUGUCACUUCUUCUAUUUCAUUUCCAUAGCGAUUCACUCAACAUAGAAAAGCAACUAGAGCAGAGCUCGUAUCCGGCCUAAAGCUCUUGAACUAUAGGAGGGGUCUAGCAUACUGAAACAUAAAUGUAGCUAUAAAGCCUUUUUGAGCAUCUUCCUUGCGAUCUCCUUAUCCUAUAUCAGAACACUUUUUCACUUUUUUUUGCUAUCACAAUAAAUUGCCAUAGAUCGAAAGUGAGUCCAGGCUUAGUGCUUCCGCCUAUCCGGCAGCCGUUACCAGCUGUUCACCACUCCUCCCUUCUAUGCUCCGUGGGUCUUUUGUUACCUAAUUCCCUUAAACACGGAAUUGCUCCUAGUCUUUACCCAAGAGAUGUCCCUGAGACUCAAUAAGAAAAUUGUCUCUUUGCUUAGCUUAAGCACAAGAUUCGACAGUUGUGAUUCCGUCUUGGAUUGAGCUUUCUCACUCUUUCUAUGCCUCUUCCUGAAGUGAACGAAUACAUCUCUUUCUGACGUGAAUGAACGCGAUUCUCUAAUAAGACCCAAUCUUAUUGAGUCAAGUAGAAGAUUCUUGUAGAAAUUUUUUUUGAUUGACUUACUCCAACAUCAAGGUGGAUUUAGCUUGGAUUAAUAGAGAUUAAUAGAACAGACGGGAACUAAACAGAUAGGAAUGCCCGACACAAUGCGGCUACUAGAAAAACGUAUAUUAGAUACACCAUUUCUUUGUCACGUGCAUAGCCCUGCUCCUUGUCUUUGAAAGUCCGUAGCAAUGGACACUAUAUAAUUCCUUGUCGCUCUCGUACGCACCAACCCUUGCCUUGUCUCUCGAACCCUUGCUUCUCUCUUGUGCUCCCUAGAGCUAAGUAAGCAAUUCUCUCUCCUCUCUAGCCGUGGCCGCUAGGAAUUGCUUUCGCUCUUCUCUCUCUGGGGUGCUGGUGGUCGAUAGUUGUAUGUAAUGUUGAGGAAAGAGAUUCGGAUGAAAGAGGUACGACGGGAUAUUCCUCCCCGGUUCGGAACUAAACGUUGAGCGGCGGAUCAAGUAAAAGCUGGCAAUCCUCCACCUAACAACUCCUCCUUUACAGUAUCAGCUGUUAAUAAGCUCUAAUAGACAACCAACCCCAUCUAUUCUUGAUAAACCGGGGCACCUUUCCUAUGUGUCAGUGCCAUUUUUCUCUAAGGCUUAAAGUGAAUCUGUCAUAGCUUGUUGCCAGCAGAGCUGGCCCACGGCUUCCGAAAAGGUUUGAGGUUCCCGCAUGAACACUGGCAAGAAAGGCACGAUCUUUGGGAGAAAACGAGUUAUAGGAUCCAUAGGAUUUUUCAUGCGAGAAGACCUACGUACCUCAGUAGAGGGUAGAUAGGAUCUGGAGACAAGGAAGAUGAUGUAGAGGUAGUAGGUUGGCCAGCCUGAUCCAUCUCAGAUGCCUUGCACUUUUUUAGCGCCUAGUGUAAACCGGAGUGGCAGGUCGGCUAGAAGGAGACGGCUCCUCAGUGGGACCAGAUGAAGAAAGCUCCCCUUACUAGUAAAGGGGGUCCGAGGUUCAGGAUAUGAAAUAAAGCAACUUGACGUAACAGAAAAAAGCGUAAACCGAGUUGAAUCAUAAAAUCAAGUUUCAUCCCCAACUGAGGAAAUGUAAUUGUUAAGGUCGGUAACCUGUGGCUACCUCAGGACUAUCUGACUACACUACUUGCGUUAAGGCGCUGAAGCCGGAGUUUUCUUGGUAGGGGUUAGCUUAUUCCCAGACGAACCAGCCCAGUAAGAGAGAUUCCCCCAGACACCAAUACCUGCGGGAACUAGUAGCCACACUACGGCGUAUGAGAAAUUCCCUGACGGCUUCCCUUAACCGUAGGCCACAGUUGCUUCCUUCGCUCUUGAAUCUAAAACCAUAUCUGGUUUCGCCUCCCCUUGGAGCGACCCUUCCGAAACAGCAUUCUAGCAACUUCGUUUUCAUCCAGCGUUCUCACCAACCAGUGAGCCGUCACAGAGUCUCCCGCUAACUCAUGCCAAACCCUUAUGAAGGUAUCCGACUUUUUCCAAUUCUUUGUGACUUCAUCAGUCUAGCAAUAGCAGCAUGCCAGUAUUUUGCCCUAACUACGAAGCUUGAGUCAUGUCUUCGCCCGUGAACGCAACAGGACGCGGUCGUCUAACUCGACUUCCGCAGCGAGUCUCAUUGCAGCUCUCUCCUGCAGUAGUGAAUUUUUUUUUAUUUUACUUCAAAGAUUUUUUUUCUCACAAGAUGCUUGUUUUGCAGAGGGGUGAAAGUUUUGAAGAAAUAGAAGAAGAAAGAAAGAGUAGUAGCCAUGAUCGAUUUCCUCUGCGCAGGAGCUUGGGAUUUGAGAGUAAGCAUGACUCUGAGAAGAUCUCUGAUUGUGAUCAAUUGGGUCUCACUCAAAUCUUGGUAAUAACGAAUGACUUGCUUGAUUUCUCUGCAUCGGCUCGUGAAAUCUUGGAUGAUCUUAUCAAGUUCAAUUGAACUAAGAAUGUCGAUUGCUCUGUCGUAAUAGUUUGUGGUCACUCCAAAGCUUCCAUGGCGGAAUCAGUACCCCCCUCCACUGAACUACGGAUGCCUGUACGCAACCCCAUGAAGCAACCGAAGAUCCAUUGAUCGCUUUUUCGACACCCGUAAUUUUCCUGUAAAAGAAAGAAAAUCCCGGAAACUCAGAUUCUUCAUUGUUGAAAAAUCUUAUAAAAAUAAGUAAUUUAGGAAUUUUCAUUACUGGGAACACGUCGCUAGCCUAAGGCGGGCUUCGCUAUCCUCCCGAAGCUGGUAUUUUCCAAUGUAAUGGUUUUUGACCACUCACUUAUAUGAGUACAAGGGGCUUGACUAUAUUUUUUUUACUUUAUGUAAUUAAGUUUAGCUGGAGGGUCCAUCUAGCCACCCUAAUUAACCCGGUUGAGGAUAACACAUUAUUAAAUCCGAAUGAUGAUUUCAUAAUCAAUCAUAGAGGUGUGAAAUGGCGUCUUUUCAGAAGUCAGAUAGCCCUUGAAGGUGUUAGCGCACACCCUUUUUCUAUCAUAUAAAUUUAGCUCCGAAGGCAACCCGUCGCGUCCUCGUCACGGCGUUAGCAGCCAUUGACGAUUAUUGAAGACUAAGCUAGUUGGCCUAGAAUGGAGCGCAUACUACUUCUUUGAAAUCGCGAACAUCUUACUCUUACCUUUCUUCUUAGUCUGAUCCGGGAGUGUUGGACAUGAGGUACAAUGAAAUCGACAAUCUUGUGGUUCCUCAAGGUAAACAAUUAAAAUAUUAUUCAAUUACAUUAUUUUAAUUCAUUUGAUUAGGGAAGGCCAAAAAGGUCCAAAAUAAUAAUAAUAAUAAUAAAGAAACAAAUAAUUUGUAUUAUUUAAAAAACAGAAUGUAAUAAAGAUUUGAUUCCAGUUCUUUAAUCUUUAAAGCGAUUGAAAAACAAUGUUGGACUUUUCCCAAAGCAUAAAAUACGAAUUGAAUGCCAAUUAACUUAAUCAUUCAUUUCGUUUAGCUCUAAAUUUAGACAAUGAAUUUUUAUAUUAUUUCAAAAACAGGACGUAAUAGAAUUUUUUUUAAAAACAGAUUGUAAUAAAGAUUUUAUUCCAAUUCUUUAAUCUUUACUGCGAUUGAAAAACGAUACUACUUCCCAAAGCAUAAAAUACGAAUUGACUCCCAAUUAAAUUAAUCAUUUAUUUUGUUUAGGUCUAAAUUUUAGAGGAAUGAAUUUUGAUUCUCUUCAAUCUUUUCUUAAUUAUUAUUAAUAAACAGGUUACAGAGGUUUGAGGAAGCUGAAAAGCCUUGAUCUAUCGGGAGUUGAAAUUAGAGAUGGAAGCAAGUUGUUACAGUCAAUGGGAUCAUUCCCAUCCCUCAACACUCUUUACCUGAAGGAUAAUAAUUUUACCGAUAUAGCGACAACUACUACUCAAGGUAAGUAAAAGGUACAGAUGUGGCCAAAUUUAUAAAUAAAUUGUUAAUUAAUUAAUUUUUCCAUAUUAUUAAUUAAGCUAAAUUUGCUAAAUAUAAACAAACAGAGUUGGACAAUUUCACCAACAUGGAAUAUUUGAGAUUGGACUUUUCCUCUCUCCAUAUAAGCCUUCUGCAAAGCAUUGCAUCAUUAUUCCCUUCGUUAAAAAAUCUGUCGAUGUCUUUCUGUGAAGUCAAUGGUGUCGUACGCGGUCAAGGUAAAAGAAAAGUGUUGAUUGUGAACUCACUCACUGGUGUCCUAUGUGUUCAACAUUUUUAUUUAUUUAUUUUAUUGUUUAAUGUUUCUGCUAGGUUUUCCUUAUUUCAAGAGUUUGGAACAUUUUGACAUGGAUGACACGCCCAUUGCACUCAACACCAGUUUUCUUCAAAUCAUUGGUGUAUCGAUGCCUUCUCUUAAGUACUUAUCACUGUCAGAUUCUACUCUUGGCACUAACAGCAGCAGGAUUCUUGAUCAAGGUUAAUCAGAUGCUCCCACCCUCCCUUCUUAAUCUAUAAUAUUAAUUUUCAAUUAAAUAUUUAAUUACACAAACGAAUCACUUAUUAUAAAAGAAUAAUACUCAUUCAUUAAUUUUUAUAUUGUAUUAAUAAUUGAUGAAUUUAAUAAAUUUUUAGGCCUCUGUUCGUUGAUGCAUCUGCAAGAGUUGUACAUUUAUAAUAAUGAUUUGAGAGGCAGCUUGCCUUGGUGCUUGGCAAAUAUGACAUCCCUCCGAAUAUUAGAUGUUUCUUCCAAUCAACUUACUGGAAGCAUCUCCUCAUCUCCCCUCGUUCAUUUGACAUCCAUUGAAGAGUUGUAUCUUUCAAACAAUCACUUCCAGAUCCCAAUUUCACUUGAACCACUUUUCAAUCAUUCAAGACUCAAGAUUUUUUAUGCUGACAACAACGAACUAAAUGCAGAAAUAACUCAGUCACAUUCUUUGACCGCCCCAAACUUCCAAUUAUCACAUCUCUCAUUGUCUUCCGGUUAUGAAGAUGGCGUCACAUUCCCCAAAUUCCUUGACCAUCAACAUGACCUGGAGUAUGUUGAUCUCUCACACAUAAAGAUGAAUGGAGAAUUUCCAACUUGGUUGUUGGAAAACAACACAAAGUUGAGACAACUUUCUCUCGUCAAUGAUUCUCUUGCAGGACCUUUUCGGUUGCCAAUUCAUUCACACAAAUGGUUAAGAAUGUUGGAUAUAUCCAACAACAACUUCCGAGGCCACAUUCCAGUAGAAAUUGGAGAUGUUUUACCAAGUUUAUACGUUUUCAACAAUUCCAUGAAUGCUUUAGAUGGUAGCAUUCCCUCUUCAUUUGGUAAUAUGAAAUUCCUCCAAAUUCUGGACUUAUCCAACAAUCACUUGACUGGUGAAAUCCCCGAGCACUUGGCCGUCGGUUGCGUCAACUUGAAGUCUAUUGCAUUGUCAAAUAACAACCUACAAGGUCACAUGUUCUCUAGAAAUUUUAACUUGACAAACUUGAAAUGGUUACAAUUGGAGGGCAAUCGCUUCGUAGGUGAGAUCCCACAAAGUUUGUCUAAAUGCUCCUCACUAGAAGGAUUGUAUCUUAAUAAUAAUAGUCUUUCGGGUAAGAUUCCACGAUGGUUGGGUAAUCUCACAUGGUUACAACAUAUUAUAAUGCCCAAUAAUCAUCUUGAAGGCCCUAUUCCAGUGGAGUUUUGUCAGCUUGAUUGGCUUCAGAUUUUGGACAUUUCAGACAACAACAUAUCUGGAAGUUUACCAUCUUGUUUCCAUCCUCUCUAUAUCAAACAAGUUCAUCUUUCAAAAAAUAUGUUACAUGGACAGCUAAAAAGAGGUACAUUCUUUAAUUGCUCUUCCCUUGUGACAUUAGAUCUUAGCUAUAACCGCUUGAAUGGCAGCAUUCCAGAUUGGGUUGAUGGGCUUUCUCAGUUAAGCCACCUUAUCUUAGGUCACAAUAAUCUUAAAGGUGAAGUGCCAGUUCAAUUGUGCGAAUUGAACCAACUACAAUUGUUAGAUCUUUCUAAUAAUAAUCUUCACGGUCCUAUUCCUCCUUGCUUUGAUAACACCACACUUCAUGAAAGUUACAGCAAUAGUUCUAGUCUUGAUGAGCAAUUUGAAAUAUCUUUUUCCAUCAACGGCCCUCAGGGAGGUGUAGAAAAGCAAAUCCGUGAAAAUUUUGAGUUCACAACAAAGAACAUUGCGUACAUUUACCAAGGAAAAGUGCUUAGUCUCCUAUCAGGACUUGAUCUUUCUUGCAACAAGCUAAUUGGUCAUAUUCCCCCUCAAAUUGGAAAUUUGACAAGGAUUCAAACAUUGAAUCUAUCACACAACAACUUGACAGGAUUGAUCCCAUCAACAUUUUCAAACUUGAAGCAAAUCGAAAGUUUGGAUCUUUCCUACAACAAAUUGAAUGGGAAAAUCCCUCAUCAACUUGUGGAGUUAAAGGAAUUAGCUGUUUUCAGUGUGGCAUACAAUAACUUAUCAGGCGAAAUUCCAGAAUGGAAAGCACAAUUUGCAACCUUCAACGAGAAUAGUUAUGAGGGAAAUACUUUUCUUUGUGGACUGCCAUUGCCCAUUUGCAGAUCACGAGCAACUAUGUCGGAGGCGUCAAUCGGCAAUGAACGAGAUGAUAAUUUAAUUGACACGGACAGUUUCUUUAUCACAUUUACAACAUCGUACGUAAUAGUGAUAUUUGGAAUUGUUAUUGUUUUAUAUGUAAAUUCUUAUUGGCGACGUAGAUGGUUUUACUUUGUUGAAAUGUGGAUAACUUCAUGUUAUUAUUUUGUUGUAGACAAUCUUAUUCCAACAAGAUUUUGUCAUUGAAAUUAAUUAGUAGCUUAAUUACGAUUCUUUAAGUACUAAUCAAGUUUGGUUAGGAAAUAAAUUUAUUUUUAUUUUUUAUUAAAAUUGUAGUAGUAUUUAGCGUUAUAUAGCUUCCAACUUCCAAGCACUUCACAUUUGUCUCCACACUUCCAAACCCAUAUCUAUCCACCAUAACUUAUACUUCCCUAUACUGUGCAGCAUACUUAAAUAAGAGAACCAUCUCCAAUUUUAAAAGCAGCCACUCUAUAACAUUCAUUUAGAAACUAUAUUCAGAAUAGUUUUAUAAUCAUACACAAGAAAUGAAACACCUAGAUGCACUUGAUCGCCUAUUUUACUUUAAAAAAUAAUGAUUAUGGUGCUAUCAUCAUCUUCUUCGCUAGCAACAUUAACACCAAAUCCAGCGAUGGACCCAGACAUUUUAUCAAGAAAGGUAUAUAUAUAAUAAAGUUGAAGCUUGACAAAAAAUUUAGGAAGAUUAAUGCCUCGCCACAACAAGGGGCAGCACAACAUCAAAGUAGAGAUGAAGCAAUAUUCUCAAAGCUAAAACUCUCAAAUCCACCCACCAGAAUUUCAUAUCUCCUCAACAAUUUUAAGAACUAAAGAUAAUUAGGAUCUAACAUUAGUUUUUUAUAUAUUAGUUUCAUAAUUUACAAAUCAAUGAAGAUGAAGAUUAUGCUAAUGAAUUCAAAUUAUACCAUACAUUCUCGAGAUGUUACCAAAAAUUUCUAAGUCAAUCCCACAUAUUUCAUAAUUUUAAGACUAGAAAAUUUCAUUAGUUAGAAGUUUCAUUACCUUCAAGUGGAAGAUGAAGAACAUUAUACAAUUGAUUCAGAUUAUAUCAUACACACUCCAAAUGCAACUAGAAAUUAACAAGUUCAUGCGCACAGAUUUCAUAACAUUAUGAAUGGAAAGUUUCACAAAGAGAAAUUCUAAAUUCAAUCUCUUGCAUCGAGGUAGUUUGAUUGAUUUGAGUUACUUUCUGAUCAAGCUAUUAAUAUAACAUUCAAGUCAGGGAGAAAGUAAAUUAAAACUGGGAAGAAAUAACAGUAAAAAUUUGUUGCUAAACAUGAUGUGUAUUUUUUUUUUAAGGCAAUUUGGAAACACAGUUGUUACUACAGAUAUUCUCCUCAACUUAGAGAUAAAUACAAAUAUUAAAAUGCAUAUGAUCGCACAUAGUACUUGGAGCUUAGUAAGAUUUCAUUAAGAGAAGCAAUCAAACCACUUAUCAAUUGUUGCAAUCGUUCUAUAAGCUAAAAUAGCAAUAUAAUACAAGAAAAAGAACAUAUAGAUACUUGGCAAGAGUUCAUUAAGAAGUCGCAUCACAUUCGGGUGAGGAGUUUGCUUCUGAUAUCUUGCUAGCUGGGGCUUUUUCUUGUCUUUCUACGUAUGCCGAGGGAAACCAACCAGCUUGGCCCUUGCAUUCACCUUCCGACCAUCCAAUAGGAGCCACCUUGAGAAGUUAUAACUAAAACGGUGAAUUAAACAAAAGUUGACCGUUCAAAGACCUAAGGGGAAAACUAAUUCUUUUACGUAGGAGGAGUGAAUUAGUUGUGAUCACUGAAAUAACAGCUUAACUAUGGAAGCAUAACAAGAUAUAAAUUCACACGUCUAUAAGGGUAAACUGGGUGGUUUAGAACUGAGCUAGCAACCCUACUAUAUUCUGAUUUGCACUUCAAUGUAAAAGGGAAUAUAUGGUAGGAAGAAAGAAAACCAACCAUCAUUUGUUAACUCAUUGCUUUUCAAUCAAAAUUUUAAGAACCAAAUGCCAUGUGCUUUGAACAUCAAAUAAGUAUAAGCAUUAGUUCUAAAUUCCACAUAUCAUAAGUUAGAAGGAUAAGUUAAUAGCAUAGUAGAAAAAUCUGUGUUGUUAUUUAGAGGGGAAAGUACCUGGCGAACCACAACAUAAUCAUCAAUUGAAAGACUUAGCUCUCCAUUUGCUUGUGCAUCAAAUGGAUGCAUAACCUGCAAGAUAAUGGGAUAAAUAGAACUUAAUCUUAAAAAAAGCAUAACAAAAGCAGCAACAGUACCAGCAACGUUCAUUGUAACCACUAUGAUCAUGGCCAACAAAGAUAUAUUAGAAACAAAAUUCCAUUUUUACUAUGAUAUCAUGACGAUUGGGUUACCAAGAGCUAUCAAAGUCCAAUAAGUUCUGUAUAACUUUAUGUAGUUAUUCAAAUUAUGUAUCAGAUUUUAAAUCUGAAAUUUUGACUGCUCUCCACAAAACAUGGCCUAUGCACAAGAAAUUCAUAGAUAAUGAGGAUUGCAAGUGUCUGACAUCUUUUGAGUGAUGGAUUUAACAUGAGAGCUUAUGGUCAGUCAAUUUCCUCUGCCUAGCAAUAUAAGCUUUCUCGGCCAAAUUUAUCAUCAAAUACAUAGAUUGCCCCAAGUCAAAUCCAUAUAAACAUAGUUUUUCUAGGUAAACCAAGCAAGGAGAAUCAUAAUUCAGACAUAAUCAUAAAAAGGCCCAUCUAACUUAAGAGAAAAUCUCAAAAAGAGGGAUGUUGAGCUAUCAGUCUUGUAUCCAUAAGGAAUGUCAAGACUUUACAUCACCUGCUACAUCGUGAGUGGCUACACAACUUUCAGUGGUUUGUCUUUCUUUGGCAUGCCUAACUCAGCUUUGAUGUUGCUGAGAUAUUGAUAGUAGAGACACAUGAGACUUCUAGCUCAUGCAUUCUAUCUAGCUCAUCCGACAGCUAUCUCUUUUUUAAUUCAUUAGUGUUUGCUAAGCCACAUGCUUAAAAGUCCUGUUGUUCUAAACAAAGUUUCCUAAGAAUGACUUCCUCAGCACCACAUUUGGACAUUUUUAGAGCAAUUUUAUUUGGGGGAAAAGAAUUUUCAAGGUGUUAACUAAUAAAUUUUAAAAAAUAAUUACAAUUUGUCCUACGAUUAUAUGACAAUUUAUCUGGGAUGAAAGGAUAUAGACAGACAUCUUCCACUUUCAAGACUAAUCACUACUUCCGUAGAUGUUUUGCAAUAAUACAAAUACUUGACCAGAUGGUAGUGAUGGUAGAAAAAAAUUUUAUUGCUCCAAAAUUAAAAUAAGAAUGCAAUGUGUUAAGCAAAAGACUAUGCAACAUCAAAUUAAUUGAUAAGUUUGUAAUUCAGUAAAUUAACAACUUUCAUGGUAAAAUACAACAAAUUUCUUUUCAAAAAAAAAAAAUCUUAAAAGACAGCAUUCAAUUUUGUGCGCAUCUUAUUUCUUAAGAUUUUCUAGGAGGGCAAUAGAGGGACUUUCACCUAUGCAAGAGAGCAGAAGCCUUACUUUCGCUAUAAAGUAGACGUCAUUCUGAUUAAUAUGCGUUUGCAAAUCAGCUCCAUUUGAAUCAGUAUUCUGAUAGACACAUGAGGCAUUUACAUCCAUUUCCAAAGUCACAUGUUGCGAGGAGGACUCAUUUGAUUGCUCCUCUAGGAUCAUCUAAUUCAAGUAGCAAGGGUUGGAAGAGAAUAAAAAGUCACAAUUAUUCUUUUGCAUAAGUGAGACGAAAAUGAUAUAUGCAAUAUUAUCAGCAGUAAACAAGAAGAGAACACUCCAAGGAAUAGAUAGAUGCGGACAAGCAAGUUAAAAUGCACAGUUCCAAACCUCCGCAUACAACUUCUCUGAAAUAGCAAUAACGUGUUGAUGAUAUGUUUUCUCGGCAUCUACCUGCAAAGGCCCGAGACCAGGAAAACAACAAUAAAACCACUAGCUAAAGGAGAAAGUAAAGAAAGAAAUACACUUGACAUAAAUCUUGACAAGAAGCACAAUUUAAGACAUAACAAACCCCAAUCAUAUUGUUUAGAACUACCAUUCGUUAUUUCGUUAUUGUAGCAUUUCGAACAAGUGUUGACUUAAUUCAACAUUGUUGGAAAGAUAGGCUUUUAGAAGCGGAAGAAAGCCACUCAAACCAAAGUGAUUCUUAGGAUGAGUUUUAAUCACUCCCCUGAUUUAUUUGGGUUGCAGUAAAACUAAGCGAGCAACUGUUUGACUUUCAAGCAACAUCUAAAUCAGCUAUUAAAAUUCAAAUAAAAUUAUAAUUGAAUAAUAACUGGCCAUCUUGCAUCAAAAAUUAAGUUUAAUUUGUGAUUUUUUUUCUAUAGACAUGUUAGUUCCUGCUAUUGAAAUGUUAAAAGCAUUGAAAAAUUAUUCAAUAAAUUAUGCAAACAUUAAAAUAGAGGACAUAUUAAAAAGUUUCUAAUUACAAUGUUAAGAUUUCCUAUAUUUUAGCAUUUGCAUAUUUUAAUUUAUUUAAAAGCUACGUCGAUCAACUUUGGGAGUGAAGAUUUUAGCUUCUACGAGACUUGAUUGGAAUAUGCAUAAGGAAGAGUGUUAAAAUAUGAUGCAUCCAACGAAAGACAAACCACGUGUAGUCUUUUAAUUAAGCCAAAGUAGCAGCUCAAACAAAUGACACUUGGACCAACAUGCAAUCAUGAAGUGGCCGGAAAAAGGACAAAUGCAACUUUGGCUUAAAUAAAAAAUAACAUGUGACUUGACUUUUGCCGGACAUGCAUCAUGUUAUUACAAGACAACAGAAAUCAGUAUGAUAGUACUAAAAGUUGACAAUAACAUGAAGAUAAGAGGCAGAAUGUCAACACAUGCAUAGGCACACACAAGAAAGUAUUAACUUAUAUACCAUAGCAAAAAGUCUUUGAUAUGCAUCUGUUGCUGCAGUGAUUCAACUGACAGCAUGGCAGCUGUUCCUUCUCUACCAAGAGCCAUUAUUGUAGAUUUAAGCUCGGUCAAUCUUGCUUCUGCAUUUCGAAGCUUCACAGCACUCUCUGCUGAUAUAUCAGAUUCCUUAAUCUUUGAUCGGCGCCUAAAUACUUCAGCUGCCUGGUGAAAAUAUUCAAUAUAAAUCUAACAUAAUUCUAAUCUUGCCUUAUACAUGCAUAUGUUAACUCAAAGCUUACCUGGGCUUCAACUUCAUGUCGAAGCUUGUCAUAACGAUGAGUCAGGUGUCGAGCAUCUUCCAAAGGUGCUCCGUUGAUUAACGCCCGUAGUGGCUCAGAUACCUACAUGUCCAAAAACCUGUAACAUAGUUAGAAAAAUGAAAAGAAAGAGCGAAACCUCAAUUAAAAAGUUCCUCCAACAUAAUCAUGGAAUUUGGGCCUACUUCAAGGAUAUAUAUAAGGAUAAUUUAUGCAAUUUUGGGUCUUAGGAUGAUUCAUAUUAGGUUAGUGUUCUUCUCUUCUGUAUUUAAGGUUAAAAUAGAAAUAAACCUAUGAAAAUAUCUAAAUUAGGGCUGUAAGACUUCCACAUGCAUCCUUCAGUCUCAUGGAUUUGAUUUUACUAUAGAUGCAAGUGUCUUUAUUGAAAAUGCUUGGAGUCAAUUGAGAGAACUCACGGCCAAUAACUUGUCACACGCUAGUCUUUGCUAGUGAUGUAAGAAGUCACAAGGUCUCUUCAGCAUUUGAACCAAUAAAAUUAUUAAGUCAUGGAUGUCACUAGCAAUGAUUUUAAUAUAAAACAUUAAAUAUUUCAGAGUUGUAACUUUAAAAUGGAUUCUUUUAUUCAAUAUCUUAGAACUAAGUUUCCUUAUGAGAAGAUAAUAGUUUCAGUAGUAAUUUACAUAUAAUUUUCUAUAUUUGAAUUAUUUUCUAGUUAGGGAUGAACUAACCUGAUCACGAAGAAUCCCAAGCAAAGUUUCCCUCUCAUUUUCCAUCAAAUCAUGUGAAGUGCCAAAUUGAAGAGCAGCUCUUGCAACGCAAGAAUUGUCACUUUGAUUCUCCGCUCCAUACUUGCAACAAUCUUCGGCCAACUUUCUCGCUACAAUAUUUGAAUACAAAAAUAUUGUACACAAGAACUAGUCAAGAAAAUUAAAAAAAAAAUCAAAUAUUAAAACGAGAGCAAGAGCAAACAAACAACCUAUUUCCAUUUGUUUCAAGUUUACUGCAACAAACACUUCAACGCCACGGACAACAUUCCAUUUGUUUUAUUCUUCUUAUACUUUACGCUUGCAUCAGCCUCAAUCACUUCUUAAUCGCUUGCUUUAACUGCAUCGCUCUCUCUGUGCUCUUCUAUAUAUGUAACGGUUAUGCGGUUGUAGUUCACGGCUGAGGCUACGUGUGGGUUUGACGUGGCAGUUACGUUACAAGGGGAUAAAUAAGAUUGGUUACAACAAACCCACUAAUUUUAUAAAAUUCGAGUAAUAUAGAAUAAAAUAAAAAAAUAAAUACAAAAUUGGCUUUUAUUUUGUAUGGUUGACUGUAUUUUGUGUUCUCUUCCGGCACUACUACAAUUGUUCCCUAUAUAUUAGUCACACCCAUAUAUCAUUAACACAAGAAAUGAAAUCUAAUGUCACCUACUUAGUUAAAGAAUCACUCAUGAAAAAUUUUUACCAUUUUGAUUUGAGGAUCCAUAUUUUGAACUGCAAGCUAAUGUUCAUCAAGAAUCACUGAUGUUCAUAAAAAUCAGAGUAUGGCCGUUGAGUAGAAAAAUUAUUUUUGGACAAAUUAUUUUUGUUGAUAGAAUCUGCCACUUUCUCAUGAAGAAAGGCAUGCGGAGCAUACCAUGGUACCAUACGGAGAAUGUUAGAACCACCCUAGAAUAUCUUUACCCUGAUGUUUCUAACAAAAAUCUGCAUGUGGCAGCAAUUACUAGAUCUACAAUUUCCCAAAUAAUAUUUUGUGUUUCUUAAAAAAAAUUGAAAUACAUAGUUGCAAUUGCACACCGUGAGACAGUGCUACAAUCUACUGAGAUCUAAAUUAUAUGAGACUUUAAGCUACUAAUGUUUGCAUAUUUCUACAUGUCAAAUUAACAUUACCAUCUAUAAUCCGAAACGACAGAUGAUAAACGGCUUUUGGCCACUUAUUACUAGCAUCCACAAUUAAUUUUUGUUCAGCAAUCAGCUUAUUUUAUAGAAAUUGAUUUAGUCAGCAACAAACACUAUAAUACUUGAAAUUAGUUCUUGUUCUUUGUAAUUUUCUAUGAUUUUUCAUAUAUCAAUUAAUCUGCAGUGCCAAGAUGAGGUUUAGUUUUCAAACUAAAUAAUCAAGUAAGCAAAAAUACAAAUUCAGAGAUUAGCGGGGUAAACUAGCUGGGUGGUUUAGAACUGGGCUAGCUACCUCCCUGUAUUCCUAUUUGUAAGGUGAAUUAAUUGAAUCAUGAGAAAACAAUGUGACCAUAGCUCAAUAUGAGAUGAUUUCGGAGAGGCAUAUUGUUUUCGAGUGAAUUUGAUCCAUUAAGAGAUGAAGUGGAUUGAAGUGGAAAGUUUAAAUAACAAAUCCUUGUUCUUGAGUUUUACGACGUCGUUACUCCUUCAGGUGGCAGAUUAUGCAAGUGAAUUCAAAAACACAAUGCAUCAAUCACGGGGACAAAAGACGGGAUCACAGUCUAUGCAUUGAACAGUUACAGUUGCUGCUACCAAUUGUUCGGCAAAGAUCAAGAAGACUGAACGGGAAGCUAAUGCCAUCAAUGUCGUCUUCACUAUAUCUGCUGGGAAUGUAGGUGAACUUUCCUCAUUUGCAGCUGUCUAUACAUAGGCUUUUCCCCAGCUUAAGUACAAAUAAAUGAAGCUGCCUUGAAGGCUUUAUUAUUGACCCCAAUAAGGAUUACUAAUUGAAGAAGACUAUACGGAGUUAAUCUCACAUUUUAGUUCUCUCAAUUUCUUUCAGAAGUGCCUCUGAAAAUAGCUGCCAAACCGUUAGUCAGCUUGUAUACUCUGUUUUCUGGAAACAGAGUAGCAUAUUUAAUCGUUUUAAUUGAAUUGUCUUCGUAGCGAUCAUCAACAAACUCAUCAUAAGAUUUUUGAAGCACCCAAGGACUAUCACUGGGUUUCUCUUCUGGUUGAUUUAUUAAUUAAUCAAAGAACGGUUGGAUGAAGUGCAAUGAUGGAGCAAAAUUUACAAUGUCUCCGGUUUCUCCUGACCAUCGGACUUUUGCAGUGAGAACAUAUAACAAAAAGACCUUCAUCAAAAUUUGUAGACUCCGGGUAUGGAUUGGAUCGAGUUUUUUGUUUGAUAUUGAAGAACCACUUUACUAUCGCGAUAUAGAUUAUGUGCAAGGGGUUGUCUACUGUUCUUUGCCUUGUGCUAUGAUCGGUGCUUUUGACGUUGCCCCGAAACAGUGGAAAAUACUUCGAUUUCCUCCGUUUGAUGAUGCAAAGAACUGGUUAAUGUACGAUUACCUAAUUGACUCAGGAUCAAGUAACAACAACAAUUUAUUAAUAGUAGUAUCACAAACGAAGAAGAUUUCGGAGAGGGUGAUGUAUGCCUAUACCGUUUACAGGUUUGAUCCACAGGGGAUGAAGUGGUCUCAAGUGGAAAGUGAUUUAUUAAACAACAAAUCAUUGUUCUUGGGUCAUACCUCAUGAUGUCAUCAAGUGGAAGAUGAAGAUUAUGCAAGACGAAGAUCGUUUGAUAUUGAAGAAUUUGAACAGAAAGCCCAUAGAAAGUACUUAAAUAAGCAUAUUCUUGUUGGGGUAGAAUAUUAAGAAAGGAGUUGUCUACUGUGUGUUGCGUGAUUAGGCUAUGAUCUGUGCUUUGAACAUUGCCCUCAAAACAGUGGAAAAUACUUCAUAUCCUCGACAUGAUGAUGAAAAAUUGGUUACCGAUUACCUAAUUGACUCAGUGACAACAAUCUAUUAAUAGCACAAUUUGGCGUGAUGCCGUUUAGGUAUAUGGUUUUCAAGUUUGAUUCAUCAGUGAUGAAGUGGACUAAAAUAAGAUGUUUAAAUGAUAAGUCAUUGUUCUUGGGCAUAUCGUCAUUACUACUUCUAGUGAUCAAAGAUGAAGAUGAAGAUGAAGAUGAAGAUGAAAAUUGUGCGAGUUCAAGAUUACCAUCAACUCAAUUUUAUGAUUGGAGUGUCUCACCGUGACUCAGACAAAUUCUGAUUCAACCUCCUUCACCAAUGGAUUUUGAUUAGUUAUUUUGUGAUCAAGCAACUUAAUUAAACUCACAGUUUGUUAGUCUAAUUUUAGUUUUACUGUGACCACUAUUCAAGGUAAGCGAAAGUUACAGAUGUGGCAAAAUCAAUAAUUAAAUUCAUAAAAUGUUAAAAAAUAAAACUUAUAAAUUUUGCAUGACUACUUACUAAUAAAUAAAUAAGUUAGAAUGUAGUUAGUUAAUUUUACACCAUAUUAUAUAUUAUUCGAUAAUAAUAUAAAAUAAAAAGAAUUAAAAAAUAAAUAAUUGAAUAAACAAAUAUGACUUUCUAAACAGUAAAAAUUCUAGAGUUAAAAUUUAUAUUAUUAUUUUAUUUUUUAAAAUUGACAUAUUUCUAUUAUCUUACAUGUACACAGAUUUUGAGAGUUGAGAAGAAUAUAUUUAAUGAAGCUUGCUAACAUUUGGUGGGAUAGCAAGUAAGGGUAAAUAAGAUUUUUUUGUUAUUUAUUUGAAUUAUAUCUAUUUUGUUCAAGUUAAAAUACUAAAUAUAAAUUGGAGGUAGACAUUUUAACAGAUCAUCUAAGCUCUCAAAUCUGAAAUUUUGUGUAGAUUUAAAUUCAUAAUUUUAGUUAAUUUUCAUACAUUCAUAUAAACAAAUUUAUGAGAUUUUUCUUUUCAGCAUGUUAUAUUUUGAAACUUUCAAUGUAUUAUUCUAGCUUUAUUUAAAUAAUUAAUUUAUUUAAAAUUUAUUUAAUUUUGAAUUUGAUCAAUAGUAAAAUUAUUUUUAUAUCAAAUUUUUUUAUUUAAAUAGUUCGUGGAUUGGACAAAAUUAAAAAUUUUUAAUCCACAAAAUGGUGGAUUAGAUAUGAAUUGGGUUAAAUACACAUUCGAUCCGCAGUCGUAUGAAUUUGAUUUGGAUUGAAUUUCAUCAAUCCAUGGAUUAGAUUGGAUUGAAAAAUUUAUUAUCCGCAAAAUCGUGGAUCGAAUAUGGACUGAUGUCCAAUCAGCAAAAUCCAAUCCCCGAACACUCCUCUAUCAAAAUUUUCAAGAAUAUUUUUUAUCUUACAAAUUUUUUUUAAAGUCAUAGUCUAAGGGCGGCCCAAUUUCUACUCCAUCCAUAUAAGCGGAGUUCAAAUCUCAUACCUCUUAUCUCCACACAAGAGAUUUAACCAAUUGAAAUAGCUAGCACCCACAAGUAUACUAGUACAGCAUCUCUUAACGUUUAACAUACGUAAAAUUAACGCCAUAGCUAUUGAUAAACACAUUGUUCAAUAUAUAUGAUCAAGAAUCUGAUCCUGCGAGCAACAGCAGUCAGAAGAACCAUUAUAAUGCCUAGCUCUUAUCCUGGUUAAUCCUCUGGCCCGAUGCUUCAUCAUAGUGAUUUAAAAAACCAACAACAGCUCUCUAAAAGAGAUGAAGAUAUCAUCUACGUAAAGAACAUGAGACGGAGAUUCACAACCCAUAAGAACUGAGAUAAAUUGGACCAGACCAGUAAUCUUGAGAUAAGUUAAACUGUGACUUAAGUUGAAAUCAGAGGACAGGAAUUUUAAAAUCUUUCGGCUAAGCCCCUGAGGAAUUUUCUAGAGUACGACUUCUGCUUACCUCUGUUUAAUUUCUCUUUAUAUUUUUCUUUCAUUUCAUUAAUAAAGUCAAAUAAUAAAUCAAAGAACGAGGGAAGAUUUUUCCAAGUCAUGCAUUAUUUGAUUACCAUCAAUCAAGAAACCGACCAAAUUAAUUUCUCUCCGUGAUUUUUAAAAAUUAAAAAAAAAAUAUUUGAGCAUAACAUCAUUAAUUAUAGAGUGGAUCAAACUGCGUUAAUCAUGAACUUUGUUGUGUUAAUUAUUUCAAUCCCCGAUUACGCAAUUUUUAAAUUAUAGCCUAACGGUGGUCUCAUCACCACGUGUGUGAUUUUCUUUUGCCAAUAGGAUCUGUAGAGAGCUUGAUCUCACCCAAUAGCAAAAUAAACUUCCUAAUAAGUGAAGGCAUAGUAUAAAUAAUUCACCCCCAUAUUAUUUAUUAGCAGCUUGAUUAUUUUAUAUGCAUCUUUGAUUUAAAUUUUUUUUUCCCAUAAUUGCUACUAUGUUCGAACUGGUCAUGAAUUAUCUAUAAGAUUUUUCAUGUUGCUUUUAGGUGCAUUGGAUUUUUUUUAGUUUAGUGCAAGAGUAGAGGAAGGCAAAUUAAGAAAAAGGAUAAAGAUCUAUGAUUAGCUAUUUUGGGAUGUCUCAUAACAUAUUGAUGGUAACAUUAUACAUAUGUAUAUCUAAAUAAUGGGGUUGGAUCAAGAGCCCAUUAAUAAUCAUAGAUUAGCUUAUAUAGCAAUUUCACAAGCACAUGUUAGCCUAUGUUGAGCUUUAUUAUCAAUAGUUCAUAGUUCAUCGGUGCACUGCAGGUUUACUAUUUGAAGUAAAUGUUAUGGUGCGUGCAUUUUUCAUAAGGCCAACCGCUGAAUUUAGCAUUGAAACUUACAAAAUGUAAUAGAGAGAGGUAGAUAACAGCCACAAAACACUAAGAUUGGAAAUCAGGGCUACUAAAUACUAUUACAAGCCCUUAGAAAAGACACUGAUCAUCCUGGAAUAUAUAUACUGAAAGUAAGAAAUAUUAAUCGCAAAGUUAUGUGCCAACAAAACUAUUGACCACUUGUCCCUAGCAGAAGGUAUAUAUUUUUAACUUCAGCUCUCUACUUUGUUCUAAGAACUAGGCAAAAGAAUGAAACUUCACUGUCUAAAGUUUGCCGCUUGGAAUAUUUCACUGUCUAAACAUUCACUCACCACUAAUUUCACAAAUGAAUUUUGUCUAACUAUAUGUUGAUAACGAUAUUAGAGGUAAUAUAAUGCAUUUAAGGCUUAACAUAUAUUUUUUAUUAGUAGAGUGUAGAAUUUUUAAGAAAUAAAUUAUUAAAUUACUAUAACUAACAUAUUAUUUUAAAGUUAUGUUAAGAAAAGAAUGAAACAAAAAAAAAAAAAAAAAUAAGGGUAUUCUAAAACUUUGAUCCUUUUAAAAGUAGUUUUUGACGUAAAUAAAAUAAUUUUUAUUUUUUUAAAUCACAUACUCUAGUUAAAAUCAAAUUUGUAUUUAUAAAGCUUGUAAAUUUUUUUUAGCAUUAAUAUUUGAAUACUUUCAAGAUAAGAAAUAGGGUACUAAUUAUGCUACAACAUUAUUAUAGCAUAUAAAAAGACAAUACCCUUUAUAUUAUUAUACUAUCGUUUUUGUUAUGAUAGUAUUUUGUUAGUGGUCAAAUAUUACUUUUUUAAGUAAAAAAGUAGACAAAUGUAAAUCAAUUUUUAAUCUCUCCUAAAAUUCUAAUUCCUAGUUACCAAACAAAAUUGUUUGAAAAUAAUUUGGCUAAGUGCAUGGGUUCUUAAAAGUUAAAACUAUAGGUGAUAGAAGUUACUAGCACAAGCAAUUUUGACGGUCCAUUUUAUAAAAAUUUUUAAUAAUUUUUUAUUUACCAUUUUACCACCUAUAUAAAGAGUGCCACAUCGACAUAUCAAUUCAUUUGCAAAUUAUAUUAAUUUUGUAAAAUUCAUUUGACUUGCUAAACCCUUCUUAUCCCCUUUCUCGACUGUCAUACCCUAACCUUAUUAAUCCAACUGGCAAGUGCUCACAAUGACCGACAGCCUCUCCAUCUCCAUUUCAAGCUUCCUCUUCAACUGGCUUCUGCUUCCGUCGUACGCUUCCUUGGAUUCGGAGUCCGUAUUCGCUCGACCGGUCCGGCACAGCUCCCUCUCACUCCAAUUGUCACCCAACAAGACCAAUUGCUUAACAUUGAUCGUAUGGCAAUUGUCCGUAUUUCUUGGAUUCAGAGUCCGUAUGGCACAGAACAAGAAGAGUAUGAGAGAGAGAUUUGGAAAUCGAAACGUACGCAUUGACCGUGCCUUUGAGGGCAAUUACUUUUCUUGAGAAUUGAAGUUUGGUAAUGUAAUUUGUUCUCUAUCUGUGUCCCCUUUGUAGUCAUUUCAUUUAUUUGUUUGUUUGCUUUUAUUUGCACUUACGAAGUCUCAGAUAUAUCUACGCAAGAAUGAUGCAGGAGAAAUUGAUCCUCGAGCUUACAAGAAAAGUAAAUUUCGAAAGCAUAAUUUGGCUCCGAUUGAGGUAAUAAUUGUCUUUAAACUCAUUUAGUUUUAUAUCAAACAAAAUCAAGGCUGCCUUUCUCUUCAAUAUUUUUUAUGAUAAUAUCUUUAGAAGCAUCUCAUUGACGGGUAAUCAUGGUAUCCCUUAAAGAGUCUAUAAACUCAAUGAUAUUUUCUUCUGCAAAUGGUUCAUUAAACUUCUUAGACGUAGUUAAAUGUACACUAAGAACAACGAGAAGCUAUGCCGCUGUAGCAUGUAGUGAGAUCUUGUUUGAAGUUGUUUUCUGAAAUGAACUGCCAAAUGGUAGUUUUUUUUUUCUUGGGUGCAUUUGAUGACUCUUUUCUCCUCAUUUUAAACAUGUACCUGCUUGGAAUGGGAAGGAAUAGGCUUCCGAGUUGUUAUAUAUGUUGACAUGCUCUGGUCAUUACACAAAAUGCUCAAAUUGGAAAUUAGAAUGAGAUAUUUGUCGAUGCUUUUUGAGAGAUCUGCAUUCUAUGCACCAUAACAUGAUUAAUGAAAACAGGUUUAAGGACUGGAAAGAUCUGUGGCGGCCCAAGCUUGCAGGAAGGAUUUCAAUGGUUAAUUCUCCCAGAGAGGUUAUUGGUACAAUUUUGAAGUAUCUGGGAGCAUCAUGCAAUUCAAACGACAUUGAUUAGCAACUUGCUGCUGGGAGGAUUGUUGUCAGCAGAAUCUGGCAUUACUGGGAAACCAGGUACUCUUAAAGAAAUGAUAUCUGGUCAAUGCAUAUUAUUGCCUGACAGCUGAUUUUGUUUGUAAAGUCUGCCUCUUCAUACAUAUGAAUGCAUAUGUUAGUGUUUUCUUCUCCUUUUAAUACACAUGAAUGCAUAUGUUAGUGUUGUCUUCUCCAUUCCAUAAAUAUGAAUGCAUAUGCUCUGGGUGUUGGUUACUACUUCAAGUGGAAGGUGAAGGUGAUGCAAGUGAUUUCAGGAGUACAUAUAUUCCAAGGAUGCCGGACUAUUAUUGCUUCCCCCCAUAUUUCAGAAUUUUUUGUCAACCUCCUCCACUAAGGGAUUCCAAUUGAGUUACAAAUAUAUUUUCUGUAGCUCUGUUUUAAAUUUUUGGUCUCAUGUUAAUUUUUCUAAUUACUAUUCUUCAACAAAUCUCUUUUACUUUAAAAAACUGCUACAGUUUGAUUUUACUGCCUUAUAUCAUUGAACAUUGAUACAUGGAAUUUGAAAUCAGACUUGUAACAACAGAUAAAUAGAUAUAGAACAUGCAUAUAAUCUCCAUUUCGAGCUCCCUCUCCAACUGGCUUCUGCUUCCGUCUUACUCUUUCUCGGAUUCGGAGUCCGUAUUUGCUCAGCCGGUCCUGCCCAGCUCCCUUUCACUCCAAUUGUCACCCAACAAGACCAAUUGCUUAAUCAAGGCACAGAACAAGAAGAGGAUGAGAAGUUGAAACAAGAAUUUGAGAAUUGGAAAUCGAAAAUGUAUGCAUUGACUGUGCCUCUAAGGGUUGUUUCUCUUCAGAAUUCAAUGCCUCAAUCUUGGGUUAAGGAUUUUAUGCGAAGUCAAGGAAAGAGAUUGAAGUUUCAGAUGAAUUUGUGUGCUAGCAUUGGUGGGAUCUUUAACAAUUUAUCUGUGCCCUUUAACAAAGUUAAGGGUAAGUCAGCUUCGUAUACGGCUGCUGAUUUGGUUAGUGUUGGUGAUUCAUGGCUCAGUUUUACAAUUAAAAAGAGAUUGAUUGAGCCAAUAGCUGAAGCUGAAGAUCAAGACUGGUUCAAAUGCUUAUGUCACAAAUGGAAGGUAACAUCAUUAUCUUUGACCCGAUAAUUUUUAUUGUCUUACAUUGAAAUUUGGUAAUGUAAUUUGUUCUCUAUUUGUGUUACCCUUUGUAGUCGUUUUAUUUAUUUGUUUAUUUGCUUUUAUUUGCACUAACGAAAUCUCAGGUAUAUCUAUGCAGGAAUGAUGCAGGAGAAAUUGAUCCUCGAGGUAAAAUAUGGGCGGCACCAUACAGGUGGGGCACAACGGUGAUAGCCUACAAGAAAAGUAAAUUUCGAAAGCAUAAUUUGGCUCCGAUUGAGGUAAUAAUUGUCUUUAAACUCAUUUAGUUUUAUAUCAAACAAAAUCAAGACUGCCUUUCUCUUCAAUAUUUUUGAUGAUAAUAUCUUUAGAAGCAUCUCAUUGACGGGUAACAAUGGUAUCCCUGAAAGUGUCUUUAAACUCAAUGAUAUUAUCUUCUACAAAUGGUUCAUUAAACUUUGUUGUUGUAGUCAAAUGUACACUCAGAGCAAUGAGAAGCUAUGGCACUGUAGCAUGUAGUGAUGGCACUUAAUAAGUGAGUUGCUAGGAUGUGAACUAGAAAAAUUAAAUAUUGUCUCCUUGGGUAUGCUAGCUUGUAAGUCAGGGUUAAUAUUAGAGCUUAAGUUACUAUAACCAUGAGACGCUAUUGACUGCCAAUUAAAAUAUCCAUUAAAUUGUCUAGGAAGUUAUGAAAGUGGAGGUAUCUUCCGAUUUCUAAGGCCAGAUAGUAGACAUCAUCCAGGAUCCUAGGAAAGUGCAGUUAACCUCCUGCUCGAUGCAAUUAAUAAAUUUGGUCAAUGCCACUGAAACCUGCUAACCGACGUCACAAUGCGAGAUGAGCACUUCAAAAUGGGACAGACGGUCAGUAGCACUAAAUUUUUCUUUCCUAAGAUUGAGCAAUUGGUCUAACUACUAACCCCUAUUGUAGGUUGAUCAUUAUUUUUCCAAUUAUGUUCAGUUUGACCCAAAAAGUUACAGAAUCUUGAGCUGAAUAUUGUCACUGAACACUGUCAAUGUCAUUUAGCAUACCCAACUAACUUGAGUUUGGUAAAACAAACACACUGUGCGUCUCAUCUCUCACAAUUCAAAUUAUCAUCUGUAAUGAUGGAGAAUUUUUCCAAUGUAUGAAGUAUGCUUUGAUAUGUGUACCUUGGAGAAGAUAUCUCCAAAUAAAGAAUAUGGAGAGAAAACGGUUCAGUAGUUUAUUAUUCUGUAGGCAAGUCUUGUCUCGAAAAUGGUCAAAAUUUAAAUGAAUAAGGACAGGGGAUCUUCAUUCUUUUUUCCCUUUUUUAUACCAAGAUAUCUCUCAACCUUUAUAUAAUCCCCACUGGAUAUCUGCUUCUAAUAAUUAAAAUAAAAAUUUCACUCACACAAAUAAAUACUGACCAAGCUCUAACAAUAUAAAGUAACAUCUUUACUCAAGUAAUUUACAGUUCCUCAUCAUCUUAGUGUGAGACUAUCAUUACGUUCCAAAAACAAAAUAAAACUGGUUUGAUCCUGUUUAUUGAUGUUUAAAUGUUGUUCAUUGUGACAUGUAGAAAUGAUGAAGCGAAGUUUAUUUGGUCAUCAAUUAGUAAGAUCUUGUUUGAAGUUGUUUUCUGAAAUGAACUGCCUUUUUUUUGGGCAUAUGAUGGCUCUUUUUUCCUCAUUUUCAACAUGUGCCUGCUUGGAAUGGGAUGGAUUUGGCUGCAGAGUUGUUAUAUAUUUUGAGAUGCUCUGGCUGUUGUGAAAAUUUUAAUAUACUCGCAAGCACACGAAUCUAGAAAUAGAAUAGUGAUAACGAGGUCGAACCCACAGGGAUUAUUGAAAAGUCUAAUUUAAAUCUAAAAUUAAUAUUAAUUCUAACCUAGUUGAGCAAAUUGAGUUUUAAGAGAAAUUAAACUAAUUAAACUAAGAAAAUAAUUAAAGUAAAGGAGAAUUCAAUAAGACAAAAAUUACCAAGGUUUCAGAAUCCACCACUAUUCAACUAGUAAUUAUCUAAUUAUUAAUUAAUCCCCAAUUUUAGAGUGACAACUCGAAAUCAAUCUAUGUCAUCUCAUGGAUAUAACAAUUAAGCCCAAGUAAUUAAAUCUAAUGUAGGUUCUUUUUCUACUUAAUAGUAUGAUAUCUAAGAAUCUCAUGUAAACAUAUUGAAUAACAAAGAGUCAAAGUUUUCUUAAGCACUCUAUGUAAACAAUUUAAUGAAAGACAUAAAAUCAAAGAUAAUCAUGCAUAAACUUUAUAGAUCCAAGCAUAGAUUUAAUCGAAUAUUAAUCCUAACAAUCAAUAAUGCAUAACAGAAUUGAUGAAAAGAUUUUAAUAACAUCCAACUAAUCAUGUGAAAUAAAAACCAUAAUCAUUAAAGAACAUAUAUAGGGAAUUAAAUAAAUAAAAAAAUAAUUAUUUCAUUGAAUAGGGUUUCAUCCUUAACCUCAGUAUAAGAAAAUUAGUUAGACAUACUUGAAUUGGGAAAAACAAAAGAGAUAAAACCGGCCAUGAGGAAUAUUGAACUGUUGGUGCCGAUUGCUCUUUUCCAGCCUUGCGUCUGCUUUCCUCUGGCGGCUACCUCCCCCCUUGCAAAAGCCAAAGUUCGGCUUUUAUAUUGUAACUCCCCCACAAAAUCCUCAAAUCAAAAGGUUUUAAAACAAGCCAAGCACAACCGACUUUGAGCCCAUGCAUGUGAAGCCCAAUUGGAAUUUUCAUUCCUUUUUUAAUGCCAUGCAAUUGCUUUCCCACGUGCUGGCCACUUUAGCUUUAAAUUUCUUCUUUGUUUGCACUAGCAUGGAGAAUUCAAUUUAUUGGCUUCGGCUUCUUCGGAUUGAAUUUCAUACACAUCUACUUAAUUGCUUCCACAAAUUGACUUGAUUUUUAAUGUUGUCCAAUUGUUAUUCUUUAUGUACUUUUCAUCCUUAAUCUCCAAUUAAUUCCCUAUUCAAUAAAAUUAACUUAGCAAUUAUAUAAUAAAGGGUAAAAUAUGUAUAUAAAUUAUGCUCAUCACUGGCCAUUGCACAAUUUGUUCACACUGGAAAUUUGAAUGAGAAAUUUGUUGAUGCUGUUUUGAGAGAUCUGCAUUCUAUGCACAAUAACAUGAUUAAUGAAAAUGGAUUGUAGGACUGGAAAGAUCUGUGGCAGCCUGAGCUCGCAGGAAGAAUUUCAAUGGUUAAUUCUCCCCGAGAGGUUAUUGGUUCAGUUUUGAAGUAUAUGGGAGCAUCAUACAAUUCAAACGAUAUUGAUUCGCAAGUUGCAGGUGGGAAGAUUGCUGUUCAGCAGAAUCUGGCAUUACUGGCAAACCAGGUACUCUUAAAGAAAUGAUAUCUGAUCAUUGCAUGUUAUUGCCUGACAACUGAUUUUGUUUGUAAAAGUCUGCUUCUUCAUACAUAUGAAUGCAUAUGUUAGUGUUCUCUUCUCCUUUUCAUACAUAUGAAUGCAUAUGUUGGUGUUGUCUUUUCCUUUUCAUACAUAUUAAUACAUAUAUUGGUGCUCUCUCCUGAGAUGGAUGCAAUAAAGGCUUUUGGUCCUAAAUUUAGGUGAAGAAAUGGCAAGGGAUGUGAGAUUCUGUCUCAUUAAAUUAACAAAAACCCAAAACAAUGAAAACCCAUAAUAAUGUGGUGGGGGUAAAUUGGCACCAUUUGGUUUGUUUACUUAAUGUGAAUACACGAGCAAUAGGGACUAACAAAAUGAAGUGACAACAACAAGUCAGUGUCCUUUGAUGGAUGCAUUUUAGGCAAAAAUAGGUUUGUAAUUGACCAAUUUCAAAAAAUUUAAAUUAUGUGGUUAUUAGCUGUAAUGAAGGGGAUAGGAGGUGCAAUCAGGUGGAUCCAGGAAAGUUCAACAAAGUUCUGGUAUGGCAUAGUGAAAUUGGUUUGUGCAACUCAAGAGUCUUUCAGGUGAACGAUGAUAUGUUUUGAUUUAUAAAUGUUAUAAAUCUACCGUCCAUAGUAUUCUAGUAGAAUCAUCUAUAAGUUCUAGUUAUUGAAAUUGUCUACUUUGUCCAGUUUGAGUUAAGGGCACAUGUAAUAGGAAAAAUAGUUGUCACAUCUUUUUGGUUACCUAACAUUUGAUCAAUCCUAUUAUGAGGGCUUCAAGAUGUCUAACAAUAUGUAGAAUGCCCAUGCUCCUCCCCAUUGUUUAUCUUAUACAAUAAUUUGUUUUAGAUGCUAAUAUAUUUGUCGAUACCGGUAACGAUAUUACAAUAUCUGC